rnacentral:lncRNA from 1 species
GAGCUCCGGCCACUGGCCGUCCCUCUUUACGCCAUCAUGCGUAUUCUGGUUCGUCGACGAGAGCGCUGUCGCAGGUUCCGAACCCGUUAGGGCUAGGGAUCUCUCGCUUCGGUAGCGCACUUGAGCCGUUCGACAAAAUGCCACAAUGAGAUGUGGAUUUUAUUUCCCUGUUUUGGGCGGAGCUGAGUCGUCCAUGCUUGUCAUGCUCCCCGGUGGCCUUCCUGCGAUGCCGAAUUCCCUGAGUGUUGGCCGUUCAUUUGUUCCGUUGCCUCCGUCGCUGUUAUUGUGUGUACGGCCGAGGAUACCGGCGGCGAGAGCGCCGGUUGAGGAGGGGCAACUCGGGCAAAGACCAAGCCCGCGGCUUGGGCCACCCAAGGCAACGACCAAGUGGGCGUGCAGCACGGCCAAGGCGAGUGGCGCCGCUGUCUCAGCCGGCCAAACCGCGGAGAGCAGAGGGUGCCGCGAGGAGCGCGGAGGACGCCAGGGGGUGUCGGGUCGGAUCCAGGUCAGGAACAGGAUCCGAUCGGAUCUUUAGGGUUUUUUUUUUUUUUGGUCGGUGAUCUUUAGGGUUUGGUCUUUGGGCUGAGACGAAUUACGGAUGUUGGGCUUAUUUUGUUUUCUUGGGCUAGAUUUAGUUUAUUUGCUUUUUAGGGGCAGGGGGGAUCCAUUUCUUUUCAGCUGGACUGGGCCCGUAAAUCAGGCCCAGUCCGGCUGGGGGUCUCGCUACCCAGGUCGCGGGCCCGGGCUGCCUUCGACCUCCCUUAAUGUAAUAUUUUAUUAUCUAUAUAUCAAAAUAUAUUUUAAAAAAUUCAAAAAAAAAAAUUCAAAAGAUUCUGAGGUGAGGAAAGGCAUUAAAAAUAAAUGUUGAGUAAUUUUCUCCAAAAAGAUGUAUGAAAAAAAAAAUGAAAUCUAAAGGUUUAAAUAAAAUUAGGUACCGAAAGGGCAUUAAUUAAUUAAUUGGUGUAAUCAAGUCCUUAAUCCUAAUUUCUCUAGUUGUACAUGAGUAAAAUUUUUUUUCCAAUAUUUUAUUUGGAUUUCUAAUUAACCUACCAUAAAUUAAUUAGCGGCGACUCAUAAAUGAAAUGACUUACAAGUUAAAAACUCGAAUUAUAAAUCGCAAAUUAGCGGGCUUAGGAGAGUCUGGACUAAGCUUGGACUUAGCCACCCAUUAACCUCUGAGCCUGCAGGAGUGUUCGCAGAGGUCGCAACAUGUGCGUAUCUCCUUUUAUUUACCUCAUAUAUGCACUCAACAAAGGAACACUUCAAUAUGUAUUUAGUAAUGCCAAAAAAAGAGCAAACUUUUCAAUGGGCCAAAGAUCAGUUUGUAUUGUUGACUUUUGAGCACUUGUUAGGGAAGUGCUCACACGAAGCACUACGAUUUAAGGGCCAAAUUAACUAAUGAAAAAUUCACAUGAGUCCACAUGAUCGAAUAAGAUAUGGUUGUUAUCAAUUACAUUAUGAAGGAAGUUCCUAAAUACAAGCAAUCCAUUAGUUAGAUAUUAUGAAAAAAUAGAGUAAAUUCUAUCGUGCAUAUAAGUGUGAGUCUGUGUCUGGUCAUAAUGAAAGGAAAAUAAUGCAAAUCACUGUGGCCAAAAGUAAUGGCCGACAAAAAUAAAAGCACCCUUUGAACAACACUAUCAAAUUUUCUAGAAUCGUUUUUUAGGGAUCAGCAUCACCAAGCUUAGCCAACCACAGAAUUAGCUUUACAAAGAAAAGGUGGAGGGCAUUGCAGUCUUUUACAUGCUUGAUGAUGCGAUCACAUUGGCAUCUACGCAAUGCUUUCUCAGUAAAUUGAAAGGAAUAAAGGGGAGGAAAAUGCGACAAUUGCUUUUGCUUCAAGAUUAUGUUACUUUGUUCUUUUUUUUUCUUUUCUCUUUGAUAAAAAACAUUUUUAUUUUGCGUUUAAAGUCAUCAAGUUUUUUCUGUUUUACUUUUUCAAUGAUAAAACGAGGCCACAUCAACUUAUCAUAUAAGCAUUGUUUGCUGCGUAAUCAAUGAAGAGUUCAUUUUAUUGGUUAAAGUGAAAUUAUUUUUAUUCCUUUCAUAUAGAUACAUGAUUUUUUAUUGAUUUGGCCUGAACUUCAAAUGAUAUCUAUCUACAUCUUAUGUGCUAUUGGCAUUUGAAUCACGUUCAGCCACCCUCUUUAUUAAAAGAUAUACACAAAAAAGAAAAUUAGGAAGAAUAAACAAAAAAUGGGUAUAAUAACUGCAACAUAAACUCAUUUCAGUGGCACCGAUAUUGGUCUCUCUAAGCUUUUAUAUGUCUGUUAAAUGGUAAUUGUAUGACAUCAUGUUUAACUAUCUUCUUGUUGGUACCCUAAUAUGCAACUUAAAAAUAUUUGGUAAACUUGGAAAAUUAGCAAGUCUCUGCACACUUUUAUUAAGACAAUUCAGCCUAUGACAAUUGAUAGGAAAAAAAAAAAGGAUUUCUACUCAUUGGAGAACAUCUACAUGUGAAUUCACACAUAAAAUUUUCAAAAUUAUCAUCACAUAUAGUGCUUAUUUUUCUUUCUUCAUUCUUUAUUCAAACAGUGAUUUUCAAUGGUUGGACCAGUUGAACUGAUGGAAUUGUUUACUGACCCUCGCUCCUAUUGAACCUCUAAUAUCGUUUUCAAAGCAUUACCUCUAAAUGGUGGACUAAAAAUCAUCAGUUUUUUUUUUUUUUUUUUAUUGAAAGAUGGGCAUGUGGGAAUCUUUAAUUAAGGGCCGUCAACUUUGGUUUAUACAUCUAUCUAUAGAAUUUCUUUAAUGGACAACCUUAUUCUUACUUUAAUAAAAUUCCAUCUACUUUAUUCGAAGAAACUGCAAGUGAAUAUGGAGAAUAUAUCCAUGUGAAAAUGGAUAUGGUUACUUUAAACCUGAUUCGUCCUUUUCCUAGAAUUCAUUCUUCAUCCUUUUAAACAUGGGGAGAGAGAGAGAGAGAGUCCCAUACCAACACAUGCUCACCAAACUUCCUUGAUUCGAUAACAUAUUUGAUCAAAUAAAAUUUAUCAUAUUUUAUGUAAAGGGCUAUAUUUUUCUCCAUCCUUAAUUAAAAGCAACUUUCUCAAACCAUAAUUUUGAUUGGUGGAUUACAAAUUAUAGACAUCACCCACAUACAAAGAUAAGUGUGGAUGAUAUACAUGUUGUUUAAAAAAACUCAUUGACCAUUACGAACUUGUUGAAAUAAAAAAAAAAUUAAAUUAAAAUGCAUAUCUUCUUCUUGAACAAGAGAUUUAGUAAGCACCAUUGAGCUCAAGGAAGUGUCAUUUGGAUCAUAGCAAAUCAUCCAUAGUAUCAAGUUUUCUCGAUAAGUAGCACCUGUACUACAUUUAUGGUGUCAAUCACAAAACAAGGGAUGCCCAUGGUCGCAAAUCCAUCUCCUAACUUUUCACCAAGAAAUCAAUUUUUUUAUCACAAGCACAAAAUCAGGGACAAAAAAAAAAAAUGAUAUUUAUCCAAGUAGGAUUUGUAAAUUUAUCUUCCAAAGUUGAUGGACAUUUGAGAGAAAAUCAAAAGGGACAAUCUAUUUUGACAAAAGGCAGAUAAAAAUUUGAUCAGAAUCUAUUAAAUCCUUCAAACCCUAUGUACCAAAAACUCAAAUUGCUACCAAUCGCUCCAAGGUUCCAUACCUCGCCUCACAAAGUGCACGAAGUGGAGGUUCAACAGAGUGCGAACUUAUGCGAAGCUAACUGCGGAGAAAAAUAAAAGACGAAUGCUAGCAGGGGAAACUCCUCAUGAGCUCCUCCUUCUAACUUCCCCAAACUUCCCUGCACAUGUGCUUAUCUGUUGUUUCCACUUUCUCGGCUUUUUCGUUCUCUUCUGAUAAGUAUGUGAUUAGCGGCUGGCCACAUUUUGUGAUGAUAAUCAAGCUUCUGAAUGGCUUUUUGGGUGGGUUUUGGUGUUAUAUCUUAGAAAUCCUUACAAUAAAUAUUCGACAAGUAAGACUUUGCUAAGCGUGUCCAAUUUCCCGUUUACCCACAAUGGAGGAGGCCCCUCCAGCAUCAAUGAAAACACCAGAAUAAGCAGGCAAUCGCAACCUAGAAUAAAAUUGAAUCACGGCCACGAAGCAAGGUACGUUUUUAAUUAGCACGUGUUCUACCAAUUAAUGAAUACUAAAAAAAUGAUAACAAUCAAUAAAAAGUCAAUAAAAAAAGUUAGCCUGUGAAUUUAAAAAAGCUGUAACAAAAAUAUGCGUCUUUAAUUAUUGCUUCACCCAGAAAAAUGAGAUGCCUACGUAUUAGAUUAGCAUCUAAUAUACCUAGCCACAUUUAGUGAUGACGUGGCACCGAUGGCAGCCGCAAUUACAUUUCUAUUUGCAAUUUUAACGGAAGAACUGACUUGAGUAAAAAAGCGUUUUAGGAAACACAUUGGUAAAAAAGAAGCAUAUAGACAAUACCGAACCCAUCAAAAAAUUGCAUCACUGAUGUUUUCGUUAGCUUUAAAUUUUUUGGCACAAAGUUUAUGAAGAGAAAUUUUAAAGAAGUUUUGUUUUGUCGCGGUGAUUCGGUUAUCUUUGUCCGAUGGUCACUUGCAAUCAGGGAUGUGCGCAAGUUGGACAAAACUAGAGUGAUGAAUUCUGUCCUCAUCAUUUCUAAAUGUCCUUGACUUUGAUUUUGCGUGGCCUCGAUUCAGAGGAAGGGAUUGUUUUGCUGGUGUUACUCAUCAAAGAAACGCAAUCCAUCACAAGAUCUGGUUGAAGUGCAAGAGGGCUUGGGCUUGACGGAGAGUAACGAGAAAUAACGGAGAAUUUUAAUAUUUCUUCCCCAAGAAGGAUGAAAUACAUCAAUAUUGUAUUAGCAUUUAGUGUACCUUUGCUACGUUUGGUGAUGAAUUGAAAACUAAGACUUCGAUGUUGUUAAAUUUUCAUCGACGGUGUAGCUUCAGCCAUUCUUCUCUCUCAUACACACUAAGUGCUUGUGAUUUUUUUUUUCUUUCUAAUAAUUUUAUCUCAGUCAAUAGAAAAAUUUCCAUCUUAUCUUUAAAUUAUCCAAUCAACACUGAGACGUCACUGAGAGCAGACAUUUCAGCAUCUCGAUUUGCAAUAUAUAUAGGAACCACAUUGAAAAAUAAAAGUACAUGGACGAUAUCAAACACAUUAAAAUGGUACAGAUACUAGAGAGUUCAUUUUCUCUAAACAUUACGCGUAAGCUUUAUUAAUAGAUUUUUUUGGAUGCUUUCCUCUCUAUCUUCUCCCAACGGGCCGCGAGGGUAAUAACAUUUUUUAAGAAAGUGAUCUACAAGUCUCAAAAUCUAUUCCCCUUUCCAUAUAUAUAAUCUUUUCUAACGUUACAUAACUCUCAAAGAGCAGCAAGUCAAAAGUUGAUUUCCACUAUCGACACCUUGACACUAACGCAAGUAUCGAUUCUUUCCACUAAUGGGGAGGGAAACUGACAUGUCGCCCAUCUUCACUUUGAUUUGUGUGACCACCCGAUCCUAUUCCAAAGACAACUACCAAAAUAUCUUUGGAAUCUACCAUAGGGGUGGUAUUCUUGUCAAUUUAGAGGAAAGGAUUGUUUUGGUGGUUUUGGACAAAGCGGAGGGCUAAAGAAGUGAAUUGCCUUUUUAAAGAUUGCGUGGAUUCCAAGCACACGUGGAUCAUCCUUUGAGGCAAGAGAAAAGGCAAAAACUUAUCGAAGAGCCAAGGGCUUGUGCUUUAAGAGGAGAAACACAUCGGUAAGAACACCAUCGCCAAUCACCAGAAAUCACCGAGAGGCUCCUUUUACGUUAUGUGAGAUUUGCUUUGAUAGCUCGAAGCAGAGGCGUGAAGAUAAUCCUCCGACUGCACCACCUUUCAGGACUCAGGCACAAAUUGAUCUACUCCAAGGUAAUUUAUUCUCAAACACAAAACAUUUGACUAUCACUCGUUGCAGAUCAUCUAAUAUCAUUUUUUUGAAAGAAGAUCUAAUAUCAUUUAAAGCAUACAAAUGUUAGGUGUGAAAUUCGCAUGUGACUUUUUCGCAAUUUUCAUUACAUAUAUUACUUAUUCUUCUUACCACAUUCUUUUUAUUCAAACUGGUUGAUAUAAAUUGUUGGAUCGGUUGAACCCGGUGGAAUAGCAUACCGGCCCUCACUCCACAGUUCUAUUCCUCGCACAUAGAGUGCACGAAGUGAGGAUCCGACAGGGUCCAAAUUUAUGUGAAGCUGAAUAUUGAGGAAAAUAAACGAUUACAACAAAAAUAUAAUUGUAUGGAAAAAAUAUAUUACGAGAUAAGUAAAUUGAUGUAGAUAAGAAUAGAGAUAAACAUAGAUUAUAGAUUUGUUUGAUUAUCGAAAGAGAGAGCUCUACAAUCCUAAAAAAACUGGUAUUUAUAAACCUAAUAUUAGUAAUAAGCGUUCCCUAUACGGACAACAAUGGCCCACACAACUCCAUUCUUCAUUCCUCCUCUUUUGCAACUUCCACCUUCAAAGGCGAAUGCAACUCAUCUUGGGCUCCUCUCAGUUACUCCUAUUAUCGUGGCCAAGUUCUCCGGACUUUUUCCAAUUCGGCCUAGCUUAGUCGAAUUGCAUAUUCAACUUAGCUAGAACGAGGGACCACCAUUCUUUUAAAAUCUCUUUUUUUUUUUUCUUUUUUCAAGAAACACUUUUCAAUUGGCUGUAACUAUCUGCGAUUUAAGUAUUUCUUUAACCAAUUUUUUUGGCCAUUUUUCAACGACGAACCCAGUUAACAAUGGUAUUUUUUCAAUUGCUACAUAGUUAGCACGGUUUAUUUCUUUUUCCAAACUUAGAUAAUAAUUUACCUCACCAUAAAAAAUAUGCUGCUCUUAUGAGUCAAGCGAGACUUGCCAUCGCGCAUCAGGUUGAGCCAUCGACAACGAUGUCAGAUUACUCAUUUUGAAUAAAUAUUCAUCAUGAUCCUCUGUUUUUCCUUAAGGUUAAAUAACAUAUUGACAUUAUUCCCUUUUUUUCAGGUCAUAAAAGCAUUUUGACUAAAAAAUACCUGUAUGGUAAAUCAAUACAUAGACCAUUUUCAUUCAUGCAAAAAUUUCAAGCCAAUUGUUUCUACACAUGAUUUUCCAAUGGUAAAGAUUUUCAUAAUUCUCUUGAAACAUUAAGGUGCUUGACCGAGUUAACCAUCGAAAAGAUUUUCACACAAACAAUAUAUGAAAUGCUUGGCAUGAAUAAAUUUAAAGAAGUUAGGGAAGACUGAUGGUUAACCGAUUUACAGUGGUUUGACCCAAAUCGGCACCUACUUCACUUCUUAAGACCAUUCUGGAUUUAUGCCCAUCCCACUAUUUUUGAAGUCUUGUAUAAAGGUUGGUUUAUAAUGGAGACAACAGUCCUCUGCAAGCAAGGUGAACUCAUUUAACAACAAUCUCUCUCACAAGAAGUUGAUUUGCAAAGUGAAUACAAGAGAGAUUUUGCAAGUAUUUUCAUGUACACACAUGCCCAAGACAAUGGCUGCCUUAUUUUUAGGAAUACAAACUCUCACGUCUGAUUUCCAUUGGUGGUAGCAGUUCCCAAGCUGUUAAUAGCACUUCUAAUGACUAAAUUUUCAACCAUUUAGACUUUCGAAUGUCCACACAAACUCAUAAAUGGCCAAGAAAUCGGCUUGGAUUGGGCGAACGAAAUUCAAAUUUAAAUUGUAGAGCCGUGUAUUGGGCGAAAUCUGGCCAGCUAAGCUAUCCUGCCAUUACUUAGCCAGGCACCUCGAUAUGUUUUUAAACAAGCCCACUAUUCUUUAACCCUUUCCAACUUGCACAAACUUGGAGAAAACAUUUCCAUUGUGACUAUUAUAAAUAUACAAAAAAAAAAAAAAAGUUUUGGAAUCAUCAAAAUUGGUUUAGGAUCAAUAGUGGCAACUUAUAAAUAAAAGGUGCAGCUUAAAAUUAUGUUUGACUGCCAAAAAUUUAAAUAUGAUAAAUGUAAUAUUUUGACAGUUUAAUCUUUUGCAUGAAUUGGAGAAAAAAUAAUCUAGUAUGUUAAAAUAACAUAUCAGGUAACGAUUGAGGGUUUUUGUGAUGGGUUGUUUGCACGUCAUCUUCACUAAUGAGCAAUGAUACAAAGAAAAAAAAAUGAUAGAAUUGCGAGGUUAUGACUAUCUACAAAAAUUUAAGUAUUUUAAAUUAGGUUUAAGAACCUUUAGCUUCGGUUGAAUUAUAUGAAUAAAAAAGGUAUUUGUCCAUUUUUCUUAACACGAUUGAUAGUAAAAUCUUGAAUUAGCCCAUUAAUUUGAUGCAUUUACUUAAAUGUAGAAUAUAAUUAUGAGGAGCGUAUGUUGAUAACCCUCUUAUUUAGGAUGUCCUUAGGCUAUUUGGUCGGCGAGGGUGUGUAGCCCUCACCUUGGCACUAGCGACUUGCUGGCCUUCAUCGCUGCCCCACCAACGAUGGGGCGGCGGCCGUAGGUGGGAGGGAGAAGUGUGUUUUCCUUUUUUAAAUUUAUUUUAUGAAAAGAAUAACGAAAGACAAAGGAAAAAUUUUAAAAAACGAAAUUGCCCUUCACAUCUGACAAGUUUAAGCUCUUCUUUGAGAUUGAUAUGGGCACUUAAACAUUUCUUUGAAAUAAGAUUUACUUCGUACCAUUGUUUAAGAAAAUAAGAGCAUUUUGAGCCAUUAUUUGAAAUAAUACCCGCUUCAAAUCCUUAUUUUAGAAAAUAAUGACAUUUCAGACUUUUUUUUACUUGAUUAUACUAGUAAAUCUACUAAUACCAUUUCAAUAUCUAUUCUUAUUUAAACAUCAAUGUUUUAUUUUUAUUUUUUUGGAUUUUUCAUGCACUUUCAAGAGAAGAAUACUCAAAAUCCAUUUUUAAGCCUUUUGCUAAUUUUUUAGAAAAAAAUAAAAUUCUUCUGAUUUUUUUAAUAAAAUAUUUUUUAAAUAUUAAUAUAAUGUUAUAAUAUACAAAAAAAAAAGGACCCGGGUUGGAACCCUCGGUGGGAAUCGACCCGGGUCGCCUACCAGGGCCCCGUCUGGGCCUGAAAUACGAGCCCAGUCCGGAAAACAAAAUGAACUAAGCCUGGCCCAUUAAAGCAGAAUAAGCCCAAUAUGCCUAAAUCAUCCCAGCCCGAAUACCAAGCCCUAAAGACCUGACCCAGAUCCGAGACGGUACCCAGGCAGACCCGACUUCCUAUCCUGCCCCUGCCUCUCGCGGCGCUCUGUCGACCUCGGCCCGACGGGGGCGGCCGCGGCGAGUGCGGCCGCUCGCCUCGGGCUAGCCACGCACCCAGUCCGGCAACGUCUCGGCCAGCCCAGCCCGAGGGCCACUUCUCGGCCGACCACCGUCGCCAGCCAAGUACCAGCUCGGCCUCCCCUACUUCGGCCGAGAUCUGGCUCGGCCAGGCAUGGCCGGCGGAAGCCACUCGACCCAAGGCCUCCCCAACGCCGUCUCCCCUGUCUCGACCCUCCGCGUGACACCCAGACGGCGAGUAGACAAUCGAUCGGAGCUCGGGAAUGGACUUUCUCAACACGAACUUUUAGAUCUAGCUUAGGCAUUUCGUCGAGCGGAUGGCGCGCGACGCGGAACGAGGAUAUCCCGACUCAACUCGCGCCCGCGCCCCUUGACAAACGACAUAUGAUGUCCAAAUAAGAGGCGACGGGCCGGAAUCCGCGUGAGCCGGCCCACCACGAGCUCAGGCCAGGUGAGCCCCAAAAACAGGGCAAGAAUAAAGGGACUACGGGCUACCGGUUCGGCUCGGGAACGGCAUGGCGGCGGCUCGUCGGCGAGGUUCAAGCGCGGUGGUCACCGAGCUCGUUCCCACUCUCACUGUUCCGGUCGCUCUCUCUCUCGGGUCUCUCUCUCUCACCGAUCUCCUCUCGGCCCCCCUCCCUCUCUCUCCCCGUCCUUUUCACGGAGGCGGACGACUCAUGCGUCCGUACCCGUGGCAGGUGGACUGGCUGCCGUCCGUACGUCCGGCCAGCUGAUCCGGUCAUGUCGCCCACCUGCCCGCUUGCUCCUGCUCUGCGUUUCCUGCUCCCUCCGCUUCUUUUGCCGCUGCCCCUCGUCCUUGUUUGCGUGAGGGAAGGGAGAAGGAGAGGGAGGAGAAGGCCGGGCCGGCGGAAAGAGAUAAGAUAAUUGAUGAUUGCAAUUAGAUCCUGUUCNNNNNNNNNNNNNNNNNNNNNNNNNNNNNNNNNNNNNNNNNNNNNNNNNNNNNNNNNNNNNNNNNNNNNNNNNNNNNNNNNNNNNNNNNNNNNNNNNNNNUUAUACCGAUUCGGCAUAUAGCGCAAUCCCCCACACUUCUUUCUUUUUUCGAUUUUUAUAAAAAAUAAUAAUUUUUUAUUUGUCCGAAAUAAGGUAAAAUAAGGGAAAAUGAAAUAGAAAUAAAACUUAGUUGAUGCAAAUAACAUUAAUGUCAAUGUGAUGUGAAAAUCAUUUUUUGUUAAGGUUGAAUUGAUCCCUAAUUUCAUAUGCAAUUUAAUUCUAAAUAUUUAGUUAAAAUGUAAAUGUUGACAUUAAUAUCAGUGUAGGAGAUCAAUAGUCCGGAUCUUUCCAAACCUCUUUGUCUGUCCAUCAUAUAAUUCCACACCCUAGUAUUAAGCUAAAGUUUAACCUAUGUGUGGGAAAACAUAUUUAAAUGUUGAAUCAUAUAUUCAUUGAACAACUUAAACUUUUCAAACAAUUAAUGAGAGAACGUGGGCAACAUCACUAAACCUUGUCUAGUCUUGUUUUUUUAGAGUGCUAGUAUGAACACCUAGAGGGGGUGAAUAUGUGUAAAAACAGAUUCUUUCUUUCUUUUAAGACUUGAACCAGAACAAUAAUAUAAUUAAACAGAUUAAAAUACGAAAUACGUAAAGAGAUAAGAAAAGAGAAUUGAAACACAAAGUUUAUAGUGGUUCGGCUUAAAUCAAACCUACGUCCACUCUCCCACGCUAACAGCCCACUGGCUAGAUUUCACUAAGAAUCAAAAGAGAUGUUACAAUCUCAUGUCCUCGAAUCCACAGUGUAGAGACUCUACUAUACUUUAUCGAGAUCUCACAAAAUUCUCUCUUUUGAGUACAGUUGUAUGCUCAACAAAUGAAAUAGCAAAGAAUAAGGAGCUUUAGACUUUGGAAUUUUUCUAUCUCGCACUUCCUCGAACAACUAGAGUGUCUUCAUUUUAUACUCCUCCAUGCCUAUAUAACUGUUGACACCUUCCAAAGGAGUUCGGCCAAUCUACCCGUUGAACCGAAUCAAUUAGGAAGAUCUCAUGUUACUUAAGGAAUAUGAAGAUAGCCUAUCAAUCAUGUUCGCUUAUACAAUCAAGAUCUAGGUUUCUAUAAGUAGAACCUUCUAAGUAUACUUUGCCAAUCAACGGAUCUGUCUUACUUGAUUUACUUGUCAUACGAAUAAUAGAUCCAGAAAGUGUCAAUGCUUGUUUGUUUGUCUUUGUCCGACGGUCAUUUGCAAUGAUUCGACAGAGUAAAUGGGACAGAACCACGUGAUGAUUUCUGCCUCAUCAGUUUUUCACUAAUAUUAUAUUUCUCAGUUAAUCGAUAUCUUAAUUACAAGCUGUUUGUCGAUGAACAAUGCAAGAGGAGAGUUUGGACAAUGCAACUUUGCUCAAAUCAAAAAGUAGGAGUCCGCACUUCUCGGUAUAAAAAUGGCCUAGCGCCAUCCCAUUACAAUUAAGAUGAAUAGAAAAGCUACGUUAAAAAAUUAACAAUCUAAGUAAAGUAGCAUUUUAUUGACCAAAAUUAGAAACUUAACAAUUUCACAGAACUUAACCAAUCCAAAUUACAAAAAAAAUUGUGUUUAAUUAAUGAUUAAUUGAUUUUCAAAUAUAGGAGGAUAUUUUAGUCAAUUAACAAUAAACAUAGAAGAUGAAGAGGAGAUGAGAGAGAAAAAAAAAGUAGGAUGAAUUAGUUAUUGACCUUGUUUCCGAACAUAAAAAAUUAUUUUGGUCAAUUAAUAAUAAAAAUAGCCUUAAUAAUAAAAAUAGCCCCACCCUAUUUAUUUUAUUUAAAAUAAAGUAACAGAAUCACAAUUUUUACUUUGUGCAAUGUUGUGAAUUUCUCAUAUUUAGAUGUAGACCUUUUAAAGAAAUUCUCUUUAUCUUCUGGGUGACACGGCAUCUGUUAAACUCUAAAAAAUACCGGCUAUCAAAACAAGUGGUGGAUGUUACAAACAUCAAAACAAUGAUUAGCUAUCUAAGAUGUACAUGGUAUCUUUUGAUUUGUAACCACUACUUAUUGCUUUCUUGCGAAAUCAUGAAAAUGAAAAGAAAUUAUUUUAGCUUUGAAAUAUAAAAAGUCUUAAAUGAUUCUGAUUGUCGAUAUUCAAAAGAAUCGACAACUGUUGAACGAGUAUGAAGAAAACAUGGACAAACGGGAACAAAAAAUGGAAAUAAAAUUAGGCUUCUAGUGCACGUGGUAGACAAGUAACAUGUUGCUUGAACUAGCGUGAAAGAAAACAUGGACAACGAGAACAAAAGGUGAAAAAUAAAAGUAAAAUGAGGCUUCGAGUGCACAUGGUAGAUCAGUCACGUGUUGCUUGCCCCCUUAAGAUCAUCUAAAAGUUCUCCACGUAAACCAGUAACGGGUUACUGGGGUGCACCGAACGCGGUGAGCCAUCAUUGAGCGACCAAGUUUUUUUCCCAAAUAACUCCACGUUCUAUGUUGCUCUUGCUGAUGUCCCUCAGUCUCUGUUUAUUUACAUCGCUCUUGCUUCCAUACAUUCCGGUCUCUCUCUCUCUCUCUCCCUGUGAUUUUGUUUCCCACUUCUAACUGGUUACUUCUGUUCUCACUUCAGUUUUCUCCGCAGCCAUUUGUUUAAGAGAAUAAUAAAAGGAGGCAACUAGAAGAGGAACAAAAGAGCGCGGGGGAGGAAAUUCUAAAAAUUAGAGAGAUUAUGGCCGAGGCAAUUGCUUACCCUGUUGCAUCGAAUCUUUUGUCGAAACUUGGCGAGUGCCUGUUUGCUCCCAUUGGACGCCAAUUUGGGUAUGUGCUGUGCUAUAAGAGCUAUUUUGAAGAACUUGAAAAUGGAGUCAAAGAACUAGAGACUGCGAGGAAAAGGGUACAAAGCUCCGUCGAUGAAGCCGUGUAUGACAGCAAACUUAUACAUGCGGAUGUUGAGAAUUGGUUGAAGAGUGUGAAGGAGGAGACUGAUAAGGCAGAUAACUUGUUAAAACGAAACGAAAGUGCAAAAGAUGCUUGCUUCCGUGGGUGGCUUCCCAACCCCGUGGUGCGCCAUCCAAUUGGCAGGAAGGUGAAGAAGAUGACUCAAGUCAUCCAAGGACUCCAUAAGGAAAGCAAAAAUAGUAUCUUCCAGAAGGUCUAUUAUGAGAAUCCUCCCUUAGAAAUCGUCACUGCUACCACUUCCGCCACAAGAUCUGCUCACAGGAUGGAAGAUGUCUUGGAGUCGAGGGCUUCAAUCACAGAGAAUGUAAUUGAGGCUAUAACUGAUGACAAGGUCUGUGUGGUUGGGGUUUAUGGACCGGGUGGGGUUGGCAAGUCCAAGCUUAUGGAGGACGUAGAAAGGAGAGUUAGGGAAGAGCGGCUAUUCGAUGUGAUUGCUAUAACAAAUGUAUCACGUAAUCCAGAUCUAAAAAAAAUCCAGGGAGAAAUUGCUUCUAGACUGGGCUUGAAUCUAGCGAAACAAGAAACUACAUAAGGGAUACCCUUGUUUACUGCAUGGGUUUGGGUUUAUAUAAAAAAUUUAGCCGGACCAUCGAAGACGUUAGAGAUAGGUUGAUUAUGGAUCUGCGUCGCUUGCUUGACUCUUCUUUGUUCCCCGGUAGUGAUGACCUGGAACGGUUGAGCAUGCAUGACUUAUUUAUCGACGAGGCCAUCUCUAUGCGCGACAAAUUUAUUGACACGGAAUGAAACGCCUUGGUUGCGAGAAAGGAUUUUGGGUUUAAAGAGUGGUCGAAGAAUGAUCUCAAAAAAUGCACCGCAAUGUCCUUCAAUUAUGUUGGCAUUGAUGAACUUCCUGAAAAAUUGGAUUGCCCAAACAUCAGGAUUCUUCUGUUGUUUGAAAGCAACCCAUCCGUCAAAAUCCCCGAGUCAUUUUUUGAAUCUAUGGAGAAGCUCCAAGUCUUGGACUUGAGUGGCUUAUCUUUUACCUCUCUACCUUUGUCGAUGGAGUUCCUUGCGAACCUCACGUCACUAUGUCUUGAUCAAUGCCAUCUGGAGGAUGUGACUACACUUGGAAAGCUGAAAGGACUGCAGUCCCUAAGUUUCGAAGGCUCUACAAUUGCUCGGCUGCCCAAAGAAAUGGGUGAACUAAUAGAAUUGAGAUUUUUGGACUUGGGAAGGUGCUCCAUGCUCCAAGUUAUUGAACUUGGUGUGCUUGAAAGCUUGGUUAAUUUAGAAGAAUUGUAUAUGCAAAACAGUUUUGAUCAAUGGGAGGCCGCGGAUAAAAUCCCGCAAAGCAACGCUAGCCUGGCUGAGCUCAAGAACUUGAAAAAGUUGAGCACUUUGCACAUUGACAUUUCUAAUCCAACCAAUCUCUCAAAUGACCUGCCAUUUGGGAAAUUGAACAUGCAUAAAAUCCAAAUUAGGUGCAUUGAGCAUUGGCGGGGCAUUACUAAGAAUCCAGAACUUCCAGAAGGUCUCCAUAAGGAAAGCAAAAAUAGUAAUGAGAAUGCUCCCACAGGAAUCGUCACCACCACGACUUUCGAUGCAAGAUCUGUUCACGAGGAGGGAGAUAUCCCGGAGUCGAGGGCUUCAAGCAUAGAGGAUGUAAUUAAGGCUAUAACUGAUGACAAGGUCUGUGUGGUUGGGGUGUAUGGACCGGGUGGGGUUGGCAAGUCCAAGCUUAUGGAGGAAGUAGAAAGGCGAGUUAAGGAAGAGCGGCUAUUCGAUGUGAUUGCCAUAAUAAAUGUAUCACGUAAUCCAAAUCUAAAAAGAAUCCAAGGAGAAAUUGCUUAUCAACUGGGUCUGAAGCUAGUGAAUGAAGAAACUGCUUGUGAGAGAGCAGAUCUUUUGUGCAAGACAUUAGAGAAAUAUUAUGAGAAAAAGAUUCUCAUAAUUUUAGAUAAUUUGUGGACAAAGCUAGAGUUGAAGGAAGUCGGAAUCCCUUGUGGAUACGAUAAUAAAGUAAGAGGCUGCAAGCUAUUGCUAACGUCUAGAUACCGGAAUGUUUUGUACAUUGAGAUGAGCUCUGACCGAGAAUUUCAGCUCAAUGUGUUAAAGCAUGGAGAUGCACGAAUACUUUUUGAAAGGAUAGUGGGGAACAAAGUUAACGACCCUGAAUUUAAGAGCUUGGUGGAUAGAGUGGUUCAGAAUUGUGGAGGCUUGCCUCUUUUGAUUGUCUCAGUGGCAAAAAGGUUGAAGCAUGGAAAUUUACCUGAAUGGAGGGUUGCUUCGACCAAUGAAGACGGGCCGAGUGUAAAAUCAAUAGUGGAACUAAGUUACAGUGGCUUAGUAGAUGAGAGGAUCAAAUCAUUGUUCUUGGUUUGUGCUCUGGUCUCUGGGAGACCUAACAUAAGGGAUACCCUUGUCUACUGCAUGGGUUUGGGUUUAUAUAAAAAAUUCAGCCGGACCAUCGAAGACGCCAGAGAUAGGUUGAUUAUGGAUCUAUGUUGCCUACGUGACUCUUCUUUGUUGCUAGGUAGUGAUCUGGGAUGGUUGAAUAUGCAUGACUUAUUUAUUGACGUGGCCAUCUCUAUGCGUGACAAAUUUAUCGACACGGAAUGGAACGCCUUGGUCGGGAGAAAGGAUUUUGGGUUUAAAGAGUGGUCGAAGAAUGAGCUCAAAGAAUGCACCGCAAUGGCCUUCAAUAAUGUUGGCAUUGAUGAACUUCUUGAAAAAUUGGACUGCCCAAACAUGAUGAUUCUUCUGUUAUUUGAAAGCAACCCAUCAGUCAAAAUCCUCGAGUCAUUUUUCGAAUCUAUGGAGAAGCUCCAAGUCUUGGACUUGACUGGCUUAUCUUUUACCUCUCUACCUUCGUCGAUGGAGUUCCUUGAAAACCUCACGUCACUAUGUCUUGAUUAUUGCCAUCUGGAGGAUGUGACUCCACUUGGAAAGCUAAAAAGACUGCAAUUCCUAAGUUUCAUAGACUCUACAAUUGCUCGGCUGCCCAAAGAAAUGGGUGAACUAAUAGAAUUGAGAUUUUUGGACUUGGGAAGGUGCUCCAUGCUCCAAGUUAUUGAACCUGGUGUGCUUGAAAGCUUGGUUAAUUUAGAAGAAUUGUAUAUGCAAAACAGUUUUGAUCAGUGGGAGGCUGCGGAUAAAACCCCGCGAAGCAACGCUAGCCUGGCUGAGCUCAAGAACUUGAAAAAGUUGAGAACUUUGCACAUUGACAUUUCUAAUCCAACCAAUCUCUCAAAUGACCUGCCAUUUGGGAAAUUGAACAUGCAUAAAAUCCAAAUUAGGCGCAUUGAGCAUUGGCGGGGCAUUACUAAGAAUCUAGAGCUUUAAAGCUCAAGCUGGAUUUCGACAAUCUUCUCCAUGAAGUGUGGAUGCAGGAAUGUUUGGGGAGAACCCGAGAUCUCCGCUUGGCAGGAUUGCGAGAUAACCAUAGCAUACAUUAUAUGUGUGUCAAAGGUUUUCAGGAGUUGAAGUAUCUUCACGUACAAAAUAACCCCUCACUUCAAUACGUUGUUCACUCCGCAGAGAAUAUCCAGUUCACUGCAUUUACGAGAUUGGCGUCGUUGUUUCUCGAGAAUCUGAACAACUUGAAGAAGAUUUGUCACGGUUGUCUUGCCCUAGAAUCUUUAGUGUGCUAAGAUCGUGAAAAUUGAUAAAUGUGGUGGAAUCAAACAUUUAUUUCCUUUAUCCAUGCUGAGAAUAUUCUUGCAGCUAGAAGAGACUGAAACAAGUAGAUGCCACUUGAUAAAGCAAAUUGUCGCAGAGAACGGAGAUGAAAAGGAUGUUGAUCCCAAAGUGAAGUCCUGCUAUUUGCAUAGGCUAAUCAAAAUUUGCCAGAGAUGAUAAGCUUAUGAAAAACCAUAGACCAUUCGGUCGUGCUCUUUGACAGACAACAGGUAAAUUUCAUGUUUUCUAAAAUGGUCAUAUUUUCCUCCAUCCAGACCGUUCUAAUUGGAGAAAACUUUAUCCGGCUAGUCUUAAGAUCCAUGAGUUAUAAAUAUGAGCAUUGCCUUCAAUUGAUUUGGUUCCCAUUCACUGUGCGGACUUUUAAAAAUAUUGACUUGUUGAAAUAUUUACGUUGGAGAUAUAAUGUAAGGAGUUUUGUGUAAUUUGACAAGGUAAUAUGCAUUUAUCAACUAUACAAAAAAUAAAUAAAUUAGAAUCGUUUGAAUCGUUUAGUAUUUUGUGUGAUUAAUUAAACAUUUGAUUUAUAAACACAUUGAAAUAUUGACUUUAGAGCUAUCUCAAUUUGUUUUUGAUAUGUGGGUGAGGUGAUGCGUUUUGCAUUUUGUAGUAAAUGAAAUUUCAUGCAUGGGUAUUAUAGAGGAGUCUAAUAGCACAUAGGGGAAUUGGAAAUAUAUUAAGAUUCUUUUAAUUAUGACAAAAUAAUGAUUUAAUUUUUCAAAAUGUAAUUGCUAUGCGAUAUGUGAAUGCAUAAAAACAUCUAUAUAAGUUAAUUACAUCUCAUUUUAUAUGUGCUAUGUUAUCAAAAUAUCUAAAGAAGCACCGUGCAAUGUAUCGAUUUUUUAAAUAGUCUAAAAGUUCACCACUGCUUUAUGGUAAAGUAUAUACACAUACAUUUAUGGAUAUAAUCGUAACUUAAAGAAAGUAUAUACGAGCUAUAUAAUUUGUAUGACCUUCAUUUAGUAAUUAUGGAAAAUUGUAAGAUUAUAUCACAUCGGCUUGAUUAAAGGGGGAGAACUAAAAAAAAUCCCGGUGAAUUUAACCUAGUGUUUAUGUGGGAAAUAUUGAUUACUUUGAAUUAUUUUGCAAUUUUCAUCUUAAGUACAUCAAUGCUAGGGUAAUUGAGACGAUUAAGUUGUUGUUAUUUCCCUGACCAUAAAAUAAAAAAAGUUGCUGUUUUUAUCUUCCAAUAAUUGUAAAAAGUUGGGGUAGGUGAAUGGACCUUAGUAGAAAUGUGGUUCUCCACAAAGAUCCAUCAUAUAAAAUUUUCUGCAUGUUAGUUGAUGGAACUAUUAUGUGACAACUGAAUGAAAAUUCAAAUAUAAUAAGGCCAAUUUGCAUUUGUUACUCUUGGUACAUUAAUGAGAUGUUAGUGGAAAAAUUAAUUUUUUUUCUAAUUUAUGUGAGGUUUGGAGUUUUUUUGUAGUGAUUUUUUUUUGACAUAAACACACUUAUAUAUUGAUUAGAGAUGGAAAUUACAUCCCGCAGCUAAAGCAUCCGCAUACAAUAAGUCCAGCAGAUCUAGCGGGAGAGAAAGAGUGAAGUUUUGGGCCGGGUGAGCUAACUGGGCUUUGGCAGCCCAGUCAGCCACUAGGUUAGCCGUUCGGCGGCAGUGUCACAAAGAGAGAAGGGAAAAGUGGGAUAGCCAAAAUAGGGUUUCUUCGAUCAAUGGCCUCUGCUCCCAUGGUGGCAGGCGAAGACCAGUCACGAUCUCAACUAGUUGAAGACAAUCGGUAUGAAGAUCGAUGGGGGUGUUGUGGAGUCCUCGAUGAUAGAGAUGUUGGAGAGACAUAUUCAGCACCUGGAGCUCCGAUUCGAAAGGUGAGGUUGCUGGAAAACAUCUAGAGUAAAUGUCAGUGAUUUUACCUUGAUCAUCUCGGCAAAUAUUGGCCAUAGAUCCUGCUGAAUUGCCCUCUUGAUAACUCCCGUCGAUAUUACAUUUCAGGACGCCCUGUGCCGGAGGUCGCCAAAGUUGAUCGGGUGGAACAGAGUCAAGGCCAGAGCUUGAACUCGAUCGGUGGAUGCCUGCAACAGAAGACUGAUAUGCUGAUAGUUGUGCAGAGCCGAUUCCACUACCAUGGAGGGAUUCGGACGGUGAUUCCGAAAAAUAAGAUGAUUUCUUUUCUUCCAGAUCUGCCAAAAGAUGGUGGCAACUACCGCUAGCCCGGGAGAGGGAUCAAGUAACAUUACAUUUUCAAUUAGCCACUGUGUAAUACUGGAAACGGAAGCUGUAGAGGAGGAUAAAGCAAGCUGUGAGUGUGACCAAAUAGUGCACGUCCAUGAACACUGAAGAAGCAAAUGUUCAAUUGUUUCAGGAACAUAUUGGCAGCAGAUUGGGCAGAAGGGGUCUUGAACAAUUCGACGGUUGAAGAGAUUAGCUCGGGUUGCGAGAGCAUUCUGGCAGACGGACCAGAGGAAGCUACGGAUUUUGGGAAUAGUCUUCAUGGACCAUAUGUUCCGCCAGAGACUCUGAUUAUUCCGGUAAGAAUUGGAACCUUGUAACUCUUGUAGUUGGCUGUGUGAUUGUACCAUUGCAUAAUAGUUGCUCUUAACCGUGUAUUUUCCAGUCGCUGUAGCUGACCAUAUAAGUUUAUCUUCAGAAAAUAGUGGUCUGAUAGGUAAUGAUAGUAUUUCUUGAACCACUUGUUCUUCAAAAAAUUUCCUAAUUAGUGGCAUCUUCCAGGAUUGGGUAUCCUGAUCGAUAAUAUCUGCCACUCUAACUGGUUCUGCUUGAGCUGUAGGUCCGUAGAUGAUUCCCAUAGGGGUGUGCAUGCAAACGUUUCUGUUUCUCAUGGUUUCUGUUCUUUUGUUCCCCGGAACAAAAAAAGAACAGAAACAUGUUUGCUAACGCCACAUUGUUUUUUUGUUCCCGGGAAUAAAAACUUAGCCCGGGAAUGGUUUGGGAACAGAAACAAGAAGCAAAAAAACGUUGCUUCUUGUUCCCAGGAACAAUUUCUAGAAAUAAGCUGAUUUUCUUUUUUAAUUUUCUUUUAUUUCCUUUUCUUGCCGCGACCAUCGUCAACCGCCUAGAGCCACCACCCGCCACCGCCACUGGUCGCCGAUCGCCGGUCAUCGCCGAUCGCCAGUCGCCGCCGAUCACUGGUCGCCGCCGCCGCCACCGAUCGCCGGUUGCCACCGCCAUUCUUCGACCGCCGCCGCCGUCGCCACCCGCCGGCCGCCGUCACCGCCCGUCGGUCACCAGUUGCCGCCGCCGCCUGUCGUCGUCUCCGGCCGCCGUCGCCGCCGUUGUCUCCGGCCGGCGUCGCAGCCGGCGGUCAUCGGCGACCGAUGGGCUUCCGGCGGUGACAGUCGGCGGCCGGCAGUCGUGUGGCGGUGGUGGCUAGCGGGCCGGCGGCGACGACCGGCGGCGGGAAGCGGCNNNNNNNNNNNNNNNNNNNNNNNNNNNNNNNNNNNNNNNNNNNNNNNNNNNNNNNNNNNNNNNNNNNNNNNNNNNNNNNNNNNNNNNNNNNNNNNNNNNNCAAUCCAUCGGCAAGAUUAAAAAAUGAAUAAAUACAAAAAAGAAAUUGAUGCGUUAUCAAACGCAUUUAUAUUCUUUUUCUAUUCCAAGAGUAGAAAUUUUGUGUCGUUAUCAAACGGGUUCUUUUACUUAGAAAUUGUUCCCCGGAGCAGAAAUAGAAAAGAACCAUUUAUGAAAAAAAAAACUCUUCCUCGGAACAGAAGCGUUUGCAUGCGCUACCUAGGUAACCAGCAAUCACCACGAAUACGCAUAGAAGCCCCAUUCCCAACAGACCAGCGUAGAGUUGGUAGAAUAGAGUCCCUUCCUUGUAGGAUGCUCUGCCACCACCAGGACGGCCUAUUUCCUCGGACAGCCGAGAGAAAAUUUGAAGAGCGAAAAUACAAAGCUUUAAACAAAGUUCCCCAUAGUGAGUGAGGAUUAGUUAACAUUCGCCAAGCCUGUUUCCCCAAAAGUGCCUUGUUCAAAAAGAGUAGAUCAUGAAAUCACAUUCCCCCUUGAAGUUUCUGAGUUUUCAAAACAUCCUAUCGCUUCCAAUACCCCCCUCCCUUCUGCUGAUUAGUUCGCCACCAGAAUCUCGCAAUACACUUCUCAAUAGAUGAACAAAUAGAAAUAGGCAACUGAAAAAUCAUCAUUGCAUAUUGUGGAAUAGCCUGAAUAACAUAUUUAAUUAGGAUUUCCUUACCCCCCUUUGAAAUGAACUUCUCCUUCCAUCCCUCAAGCUUAGCAUUAACUCGGGCAAUAAUCCAUGAGAACAUUUCUUUCCUUGACCUGUCCCAAUCUGACGGUAGGCCUAGAUAUUUUCCAGUCCUUUGUAAAAUUGGGACCCGAAGCUCCUCAGCCAUAUUUUGCUGUAAAGUAAUAGGACAGUUCUUGGAAAAGAUAAGGCCAGACUUGUUGCGAUUAAUUAACUGACUAGUAGCCACACAAUAGAGGUUCAAAAGAUUUGCUAAAUUGUGACAUUCUGAAGUUGUGCCAGCUAAAAAGAAGAUGGCAUCGUCAGCAAAAAAUAAGUGCGAUAAAGUAGGACACCAUCUGUUCAACCACAAGCCUUUAAGAUGCCCAAAACUGAUAGCUUGAGUAAUUAACAAUGAUAAAACGUUCACCACAAGAAUAAAUAGAUAAGGUGAGAUGGGAUCACCUUGUCUCAGACCUCGAGUUGGAGAGAAAUAGGGUAGGAUUUCACCAUUGAAUUUCACACCGAGGGAGGAGGUAGUAACACCUAACAUGAUCCAAUCGACCCAUCUUGGAUGAAAACCGAGUUUAAGGAGGUAAUCUCGUAAAAAAUCCCAUUCAAUUCUGUCGUAGGCUUUUUUCAUGUCUGUUUUCAGAAUAGCGUUGAAAGCUUUCGUAGUUUGGUGCGUGCGGAAAUGAUGAAGGACUUCUUGUACUAUUAGAAUAUUGUCUUGGAUCUGGCGGCCUUGGACGAAAGCUUAUUGUUCCUUAGAAAUUAGAACAGUCAAUAAAGGUUUGAGGCGAUUAGCAAGCACCUUGGAUAUAACUUUGUAUGCAAAGUUGCACAAACUUAUGGGGUGGUAUUGAUCCCGUGUUUCAGGUUGGGAAGUUUUGGGAAUGAGGGUGAGGAUAGUUUGAUUAAGACUUGGAGGCAUUUCCUUAUAUAGCAUGAAAUUCUUGACUAAUUCAAACAGGCUGUCUUUAACUGUUUCCCAAUGCUCUUGAUAAAACAGGCCCGUUAAGCCAUUCGGUCCCAAAGCUUUGGUGGCUGCCAUUUGGAAAGUAGCCUGGCGAACUUCCUCAAGGGUGAGAGCAACUGUUAGCUGGUGAUUCAUCUCUGGUGUGACAACUGUCCUGCAUUGGUCGAGGAGCGGGAGGUAGUUACGAGGCCCCUCGGAAGUAUAGAGGCUGGAAAAAUAGGAGAGAGUCAUCAUCUGAAGGUCUGGUAAGUCGCGUAUCCACUGCUGAUUCUCAUCUUGUAAUAUGGUUAUACGAUUCCGUUGGCGACGCUGAAUAGUUGAUGCAUGAAAGAAACGAGUAUUCUUGUCUCCCCAUUUGAGCCAUUUAAUUCUAGAGCGUAAGGCCCAAUAUUGUUCCUCUCUCUGCCAGACUUGUCUUAUUUCGUCUUUCAAAAAUAAGACCUGUUUCUUGUCAACCGGAGAAGUCUGAUUGAUAAGAUGUUUUAAUUUGUCCUGCAGGAUGACUAGUUGUUGUUAACCAUUGGAGAAUUUACGACGGCUCCAUCUUUGAAGGGCUGCUGUCACAUUCCUGACAUUCCGAGUAAAAUCAGCGUAUUGUGAGUCAGCUGAGUUCCAUACUUCUGAAAUAAGCUGGCUGCAUUCAGGGUCAUCGUUCCAGAAGGCCUUAAAGACAAAAGAUCUACUCACUUUAGGAAGAAAUGGUAAUGUAUUAAGCACCAGGGGACAGUGGUCAGAACCCAUUGGUGGCAGAGCAAUAACUUCUACUGCAGGAAACAUUAAACGCCAGUUCAUCGAGCAUACCAUCCGAUCUAGUUUUGCUUUGACCAGCUCCUCUCCGUCUCGAUUAUUCAACCAGGUAAAUUUACAACCUUUGCCUUCUAAUUCAGUGAAAGCACAAUCAUCUAACAUAGUUCGGAAUGAUUGCAUUCGUUGUAGCAAGGCAGGUCGUUUACCAAUCUUCUCCCAAGGGUAGAGCACUUCGUUAAAGUCCCCCGCACAGAGCCAAGGCAAUGUAUUGUUCAUUUGUGAACAUGUGGCUAUUUAGGGCCAGCCACCAGAGCCUGAUCUUCAGUCUCCUCCGCGAGGAAAACAGGUGCAUCCAGUAAAUUGAGGUCAGAAGGUUCCUCAAUGAUAAUACUCUUAGAUUCAUAUGGACUGUAUCUUUUCUGUUUUUUGGCUGAUCCAAGAAGGGGUUUCGAGCGAGGAUUAAUUUGCUUCCUAGAUGUUUUGCUGUCCAUAGGUGAGGAUUGAACACCCUUUAGCUUGUGGUCAGCAGCUACAAGGGCUGUACUAUGCAUUACCAAUGGUUGUGGACUUGAUGCUGAAGGUACAACAGACUUAUUGCAGUAAUCUUCGAUAUCCCUGUUUGAAGUGUCGUCUAUAAUCAUAGAUGGAGGAGGCAUUAAUUGAGCUGUUGUGACCCUUGUAGGGGGAGUUUCAGGAAUAACUUAUUCUGUCGGCUCUGUAGAGAUUGGUGAGUCAUAAAAGAGUUUCCAGUAAGGACUGUGCAGUUUAACUUCAGCUCUGAGCCAUGGUCCAUAGGCCAUCUUUUCUCUUCCCUCGUGUUUAUCUUCAGAGUAGGGAAUAUCUUUACAAUACAUCGCGUAAUGUCCAAGUUUGCCACAGGAAAAACAGAAAUGGGACAGCCGUUCGUAUCGAAAAUCCAACCAAAAAGGUUUGCCCUGAAUUCGUAUUAGUUUUCCUGUGAUUAGAGGUGUAUUUACAUUGAGUUGGACACGAACUCUACCUGUUUUUGUUUGAUAGCCUUCCUUUGAAUCCAUCUUCACAUCUUUAAUCUCACCAAGGUGCUGGACAGCUUUUCUUAGCAUACGUUCUGAAGACCAUUCAAGAGGUAAGCCUAUGACUUGUACCCAAAAGUCACAGGUUGAGAAGUCAUAACAGUGGAGAGGAGUAUUAGGAAUCCAUUGUUUAAAAUUAACCAAGUGGCCAGAAAAGAGCCAAUGUCCACCAUCAAGAACUUUUUGCAUAUCUUCAUGGGUCUUAAACUUUGUAAUAUAGAAACCUGUCUCACUCUGUAAUAUUUCUGCAGAAUCUAUACGCCAUGCUUUCUGGAGCGUAGUUUGAAGUGCUGGAAGAUUAAUAGAUGGAUCCGACAGAAUUUUUGCAACUAAAGUUAAACGGCAUGCCUCCACCGUGUCAGCAGGUGGUGCUUCAUCCCAAUCUUCGAUAAUAUGUUCGGUAGUGAGACGACUAAGACUAGAACAGAGAGCCUCUAGACGUGAAGGUGUGGCGGAUUCAUGGGAGUUCAUCUUGCGGAUAAUCUCAUCGAAUUAAGCAGAGAACAGCGACAGAGGCCUCGACAGGUGCAGUGGGUGGAGAAGAACGACAAUGCAAUCCCAUGCAAGACAAACACCAAGUAAAGAAGACAUGCAGUAGCUAACCCGUGACAAUUGGCAUCAAAAUUGGCAAAGGCACCAUGAUCCUGAGUCUGUCGGAGACGAGGGAUGAAGCCGAUGCAGGAAAAACGAGACGCCCUUCAAGCCAUGCAUUCCGAAACAAGUGAGAAUAGAGCAUUAACACCAUAAUUGGGGAGACUGGGAGAGUUGCCAAGUCGAGAGAAGCUAAUGUAGUGUAUGGGUUGAAAUUGCUGUAGGAUACUGUUGGUUUUUCUGUAAAGAAUUAUGGAUGAGGGUUUUAAAGAAAACUCCCAUUGGAGGUAGAGAGAGCUCGACAAAACGAGAGAGAUUCAUAUGAGCCUUUUUUUGUAGUGAUUAAAUUAUCACAAAUCUUCAUUCUAACAACUUUUCUAAUAUUAUAGUAGAAUUUAUGUGUACGGCACAUUUUUAAAUUUCUUUUUUCUGUAAUAAAAUGUCGCUUGAAAGUAUUAACUAGAAACACAUCUAGCAUUCAUUUGUGCACUAUUGUUUGGAAUUAACAAAUUUUAUAACUAUUAUGUUAGUAUAAAAUAAAAAAUUGGAAACCCUUUUCUAACUAUUUUUUAAAUUCAUGUUUAUCACGUAACCCAAACCACAAAAGCAUUAAGCUCGACCGAAGUCAUUAUUAAAUUAAGCAAUUCUUUUUCUUGGCUACAUGACUAAAACUUUGAGGAAGCGUAUCUUGGGUCUUCAUAUAUCUGAAACUAAAUCCUUUGCUGAAAUUGACUUUGAUGAUUGUACGGCGCCGUUGGGACCAAUUCGUGGAUGUUAUGGUCACCAAUGGAUCCUUUGAAGAUGAACCCCUUUUUAACAUUUGGUCGAUGUGGCUUCUAUUCCGCUUUACGUCAAUACUAGAAAAUAAUGGAUCUUAUAGUGCCAUGCAUGGAGACAUUAAAAUCUUAGGACUACGUUAUUAUUUCUCUAAUAAAUUUACAGUAACUUUUUAAUUUAACUCUCUCAAUAAGAGAUACUUCUUUUUCUUUUUAUUUUUUGGGAACAGUUUGGAGAAAAAAGCCACUUAAAUUACACUUGCAAAUCAACGAAAAGUAUACUUUUUAUCAAUUUAUCAAUAGAGUUGAUAACUAUUUCAGAGAAAGUAAUCCAGAUGGUUUGUUCCACUAUCGAUUGAGAUAAUAUAUCAUACUAUCGAAAAAUCAAUUGAGCCUAUGCCAAAAAUUUCUAAAAUUUAAGGCAAAUUGCACAAAAUGUGUGGGUAAAUUCGAUAACCUCAAUAAUUCGUUGUGUGGGUAAAUUCGAUAACCUUAAUAAUUCGUUCUUGUUAUUAUAUGUAUAAUAAAGUCCAAAUACAUAAUAGAUCCAUGAUAAGUUAGUGUAAAGUAGAUAAGUUUAGAGAAGAGUAAGGGAAAAUUCAAAAUCACUACUUUUGUCAAACAUUAUCUCUAGAUCUAUUAUGUGAGAUUAUUUCUUCUCUUAUUAUUUCACGUGCAACUCGUAUUCAUGAUUUCUAGUGAGGCGUGUCCGAUUGGGGAGAAAGCCUCGCCGGAGUCUGGAGCGAUGGCGUACUCGGCGAUUUUCCACGGCUGCCUGAGGGCGGCGAUGUCCGCGCGGCGGCCGCCGCCGCCCGCCGUCAUCCAGCUUCGCAGGGCUUGCAGGGCCUCCGCGGCGGCGCCGCCACCUUCGGCUCUCCCGCCCGCCGCCGCCUUGAGGGCUCAGGCGGCAAUGCUUAGGUCGGCGCGCCUGCCGACUUUGUUGGAGCGGCGGAUGAUCGCAUGCUUGGCCGUGGAGGUGGACCGGAGGCGGAGGAGGGGCGGCGGCGGCGGCGGCGUCGCGUCGCCGUUCCUGCGCCGGCAGAGCUCGAGCUACAGCCGGUUUGCUUAUCAGGACGUGUCCAGCGACGAGUCGGACCUUGAGGUCGGCUCAUCUCAGCAGCAGCAGCAGAUGGUGAGUUUGGAGUUUUCGUGAUUUUAGUGGAGUGAAUGAGUGUCGGUCGCGGUUCUGAUUGAGUUUAGUAUAGUAAAAUUCGGUGAGAACGUUGGGGUACGGCGAGUUUCUGAUGGUGUUGCUUGGUAUUGAAUUGGGGUGGUAACUAAGUGUUAAAGCAAGCCUGAAGUGAAGGAUUUCUGCCAUUUGGUUUGAAGUGAAGGAUUUCUGCCAUUUGGUUUGAAUUCGUUGCUUGUAUGCUUCCCAGUAGUUGGUUUUUGAAUCGUGCUUACGAUGGAACUCGGUUAGACUAUGCUUCCACUUUUAUUCAUGCCACCAAAUGCCCUUGUAGGACUUUGUGUACAAUUUGUUCCUCAAUAUGGUUUAAGGUGGAGUCAGUGAUGAGUAUGCUAAAACAUGUGGAUGAGGAAACCACAGUGCAUGUGCUGUAAACUAAAAGAGUCCAAAAGUUUGAAGUAUUGAAAUCCCAUGUAUACCUCAGCUUCUUCAAGGUGUGGUAUGGACUUGGAAAUAAGAUACAUUCUGGAUGCCUACAGCUUGAGCACUAGAAGGAGUGCCUUUCCAUGGCUAGUUUUUUUGUAGACAUAAGCAACAAUCAGAAAUGAGAUUAAUGGGAGGGCAAUGUCUAUUGUAAAUAAGAACAUUCUAUCUAGCAUGGUGGUGCCAUUUAUGACUCAAUCAGUCACAUUUUAAGGAGAUUAUAUGCCUCGAUCAGUUAUGUUUUGAAGAGUUUAUAUGAUAAAAUGAUAUAUGAUAUGAUCAAAGCUGCGAGGAAUAUGCAGGUAGUUUUAAGUAUUUGUCUGUUUAAAUGUAAAAGGGCUUUGUCAACGAGGAUCUCCAAGACACUGAUUAAGGACACUUAACAAAGAAAUGUUUUGAUUUUCAAUGCAUUGCUACCCUAACACAAGAUGAAAAGUGCCUUGGGAGUUAGAUUGUUUCCUUAGAUAGGUGUUAUUCCUGGGAGCACUCAUAAACAAAAUCCCAUUUAAAAUUAGAUGGUUUUGUCAAAUAUCCCUAGUAUGCUUGUGCCAAUCUCUUGUUUAGAGGUUUGAAAAAGGCUAGAAUUGUUCCUUUAAAUCCAUAUCGAACAAUUUAAUCAAAGGAGUCUAAUAUGCAAAGAUUUUACGUUGAUUUUAUAUUAAGAAAUCAGUAUAAGAAGUCUAGAACAUGGCAAUAACAUGUUACUUGAGGACUUUCACUAUUGUAUCAUUUCAGCUAAUUUGCUGAUGAAUGUAAUUUUUCGGGUAAGUUAAAUCAACAGUCCUAAUUCUGAUGUCGCCCUGCCUCUUAACUCUUUAAACUUAUUAGGUUAAUAGAUAAGCUUAGCAAUUCUAGGGAAUUUAUUUGGUAUGUUGGAGUAGUAGCCUACUGGUCUUUCUGUUACCAGUAAAAGAAGAAGGUUGUGGAUCCUUUGUGCCAAGCAACAUGGCCCUUGUCUUAAGUGUCAAACGAUAAUUGCACUUCAUAAUUAACAAAAAUUUGAAGCAUCUCGUGAAAUAUUUGUAGCACAUAGCCCCCUCCAUGUAUACACCUGGAUAGCAGAUGGUUCUUGCUGGCUUUUACGCCUUCUCUUUUUGGGACUUUUCCUAUUUUUGCUUAGUUUGUGGAGUAGAUUUCUUGUUUAAUCUUGAUUUAUAGUGUUUUGGUGUUCUGUUGUGUUCUAGCACGCAUCAACCCUUGACAAUGUGGAAGAGUGGAAGUGGAAGUUGACCAUGCUUCUUCAUAAUAAAGAGGAGUAGGAGAUGGUAUCUAGGGAGAGGAUAGACAGACGUGACUUUGAUCAACUUUCAGCCCUGGCAACCAGGAUGGGAUUGCAUAGGUACUUAAGCUUAUUGCAGAUUACAGAUUACAACUACUUAAGGCCAGUCCUCCCCUGAUAUCAAUUCCACUAUUUCUGAUAAGCAAUUUCCAUUUGCAGCCAUCAAUAUUCAAAAGUAGUUGUCUUUAGCAAAGUCCCUCUGCCAAAUUACAGAUCUGAUCUUGAUGACAGGCGCCCACAGAGAGAGGUAAAUCCCUGAUAUAUGUACUUUGUUCCUCUCUUUAUAACUUUAUUUCCACAUGCUUAUAGGAAGAGAGAUAUAUGGAUGAAGUGGCUGGCUAAGGUUGUAUUAAUAAUGUAGUCAUGGAACUUGGUGCUUCCACAUGGUGAAUUUUCUUGUGCAGUGAAAAUGUAGACUAAUGCUUUUGUGUGCAUCCAGGUGGUAUUACCUUAUAGAUUGCAAAUGGAAGUGGAUACACACCUCCAAGCAUACCUUUCCCGAAAGCCCAAAAGUAACGAUAAGUUAUUGUAUUCACCAAAAUCAUCUGGCGUUGAUGGGAGUAUUGCUGUUGAUGAUCUUUAUGACAAGCAGGAGUGUAUUACACCAAACAGUGUAGUUGUAGAGAAAAUUCAACACCGGAGAAGUUUACAAUUGCGUAAUAAACAGCAAGAUUGGCAGGUGAAUUUAGCAAUGCAUUUUGUGGAAUUUAUUAUAGAUUGCCACAUCUGUUUGCAUAGUAAGUCGGGUCUUGAUAAUUUGCAACUAUUCUUAUAACUGACAAGUACUAUUAACGUCCUAGGAAUCUCCUGAAGGCCAAAAGAUGCUUGAAUUUCGUCGAAGUCUCCCUGCAUACAAAGAGAAGGAUGCCUUGCUGAAAGCCAUUUCAGAAAAUCAGGUUGGUUGGAUCUAUAAGCUGGUUUCUGGUUUUGCUAAAUUUUCAUUUGUUCGCCUGAAGUGGAAGUUACAUUGUUUGCUGGGGCCGCCUACUAAAAUUUCAUUUGUAGCAUAAAAAAAAAAUUUGAAAUGGUCAUAUCUAGUAAGUCUACGUUGGCUCUCUAAAACGUUUGAUGUUAAUGGACCUUUUGCUUGACUGUGUGCCUCAGAGGGAGACAGUGACAGUAACUAUGAUAAACAAAUAAAGUUUUCAUCACACAGGUUGAAGCUGUAGUUAUUUACCACAUGGUACUUGCUCUCCUAAGAUGCUCCUUCAAAUUCCUCUUUUGUUAAUUUCUUAGUGCAAACUAAGCCAAUGGUAACAAUUAAACGUUUCAUAAAUUACAGAUUAGAUACGAGAGGAUGGCUUGAGGGAUCUCCAAUUGUUGCAGUCUGUUUGUAAAGCCUUAGAGGAAAAUGUCAUUACCUGCUUUAUAUGACGAAAAAUUAGGAUUCCUCUUCAGCAUUUUGGUUGCAUGUUGUUCUGAUCUCCCUUCAUGCAACAUGAAUUGGGCCCUUUUUGAAACCUCGCUUAUCUAAUCAAUGAAGUGGCCAUGAGCUUGAGGAACGUGCCUACCCAUGCAUCUUAUCUUGACAAAUUUGUUUGGUAUGCCUUUGUUGCUCAGGUGUGUAUUGCAAACAACAGUUGGGCAGAGCACCAAAACAAUGAGCAGAAAGAACCGUUUUGGCAUCAUACCUCUCCUUUUAUCUUUUUAUUGAAAACUUUUGAACUUCUUGGUGGUGUAAUGGUCUCCCAUGUCCCUGGAAAAAUCCAAAUUUUCUUUUUCAAAAAAACUUAUAUUUAUGAGUUCAACUGGUACAGAGGCUUGCUUGAAUAGUAUCAAGAAAUUUACAACCAGGUAUACAGUGGUUAGAAUUUGUUAGGUAUGGAGGUAUUACGUGAUUUCCUUUUUACACUAUUUUCACGAAUAAUUGUUGAUGGAAAAAAAUGUGUAUCAUAUAGGUGGUGGUUGUCUCUGGUGAAACUGGAUGUGGUAAAACAACUCAACUUCCUCAAUACAUACUUGAAUCUGAGAUUGAAGCUGCUCAAGGGGCUGCAUGUAGUAUAAUUGCACUCAGCCAAGAAGAAUAUCUGCUAUGGCUGUUUCUGAAAGGGUUGCUUCAGAGCGAGGAGAGCAACUGGGAGAAUCUGUUAGUUUUUUCAUCUGGCUAUGUGAAUCUUGCUUUUAACUAGUUAUGCAAGAUGGAGUAUUUACUGUCCUGUUGCUGAAGCAUUUGUUGUUUUUUCAUAACAUAAGGUUGGGUACAAGGUUCGGUUGGAGGGGAUGAAAGGGAGAGAUACUCGCUUACUUUUUUGCACCACUGGCAUAUUGUUGAGGAGAUUACUUGUUGACAGAAACUUGACUGGUGUAGCUCAUGUUAUUGUUGAUGAGAUUCAUUAACGUGGUAUGAAUGAAGGUAAGUAUGGAACUUUUUUUUUUUGGGGGCUAUUUGGAUAUUCCUUGAUUGCUGUUCUCAGCUGAAUUCUGCAUGUUUCAGAUUUCCUUCUCAUUGUGCUCAAGAAUCUUCUUUGUCGCCGACCUGAAUUGAGGCUGAUUUUGAUGAGUGCAACCCUCAAUGCUAAGCUUUUUUCUAAUUACUUUGGUGGUGCUCCAAUGAUCCGCAUACCUGUGAGUUUGAGAAAUUAGAUAUCAAAUACUGUACCCCUUUUUUUUUUUCCAUUGGAUGCAGUUUUUACUUUGUCUUAUUGUGAGCUAGAGGCGUUUUGGCACCUAUAUUAGCCUGUAGGUUGCUUUUCGAGGAUUAGUCCUACGUUUUAUGACAUGAUACAGGUACCCGUUUUUGUCAUUGGGGAGAUUAUAACUUGAUACUGCCUGAAAAUUAAAUGGCUCUAUUAUGUUAUUAAAUGGCAAUCAUAAAACUCUGUGUCAAGAUGCAACUUGAGAAGAAUUUAUAGUAAUUCAGUGGGCUUUGGAAAAAAGUCUCAAAAUAUGGUGGUUCGUUCUCUUUACUGUUGUGCAUUUUAAAAGAAAGGUCUUAAUCUGUGUUGUUUUGGGUAGCCAUGAAUUUUGUGGUCACAAUUUUGUUUGUGAUAUUCUCCUAAUGGCUUAAUAUUUUCAUUGUCUCCCUUACUUUUUCCUGGCUGAUCCGCUCAAUUAGAAUUGCAUUCUUGUUUGUUCUGUGUGCUAAUGUAAUUUUCUUCAGGGUUUCACCUACCUUGUCUGAGCUCAUUUUUUGGAGAACAUUUUGGAGAUGACUAGAUAUAGAUUAACCCCACAUAAUCAGAUUGACGAUUAUGGUCAAGACAAAAGUUGGAAAAUGCAGAGACAAGCUGUUAAAAAGAGGAAGAGCCAAAUCGCUACUGCUGUCGAGGUACGUAAAUUAGUUGAGCUAGUUUAGUUAUUUCAUCACUGUUAAAUUCUCAGACAUCCAAUCUGUCUGCUUUGCAAAUGAUGCACUUGANNNNNNNNNNNNNNNNNNNNNNNNNNNNNNNNNNNNNNNNNNNNNNNNNNNNNNNNNNNNNNNNNNNNNNNNNNNNNNNNNNNNNNNNNNNNNNNNNNNNGCUGCAAGCCCAUCCUCUCUUGGGUGAUCGAAGCAGAGUUCUGUUGCUUGCCUGUCAUGGAUCUAUGGCCAGCUCCGAGCAGGUGAUACUUCAUCCUCUGUGCUUCUUUCAGUCUGUUUGUAACAUUGGUAUCCUAUUUUCAUCUUUCGUGACACUUUCCAACUAUUUUUAUGUCCUUCAAAUAAUUAAAUUGGUGAUUACUCUUCUCCUUUUUCUUCACAGAGGUCGAUAUUUGAUAAGCCUCCAGAUGGAGUUAGGAAAAUAGUCCUAGCUACCAAUAUGGCUGAGACUUCCUACGAUGCGCUCAAUAACACUCCUUGUCUGCUUCCAUCUUGGAUCUCAAAGGCUGCUGCUCGACAAGUAAGAUGAUUCCUAUUUAUCUACUUUUAGGCUUUGGGAGAAGUGGUUCUUUAUGCUUUAUAUAUUGCUCAUACCUUACUGGCAUGAAUCUCUUGCUUAUAAUUGCAAGUUCUGAUUGGGCCCUUGACCUCACUUUGCAUCUGCAACGUAAAGUUAUUGGGGAUGUUCUUGCCAUUAUAUUUAUCUUGUCAGCUGAUGUUCUCACGAUUAUCAGUUGUCUUGUCAGCCUGCUAUGUGUCCUCUCCUUUCGCCCAUGGUCUUCCAUACUAAUCUUGCAUAUGAUAGGGAUAUUACAAUUUGCUUGCAUUUUAUCCAAGAGAUUGACUGAAAUAUGCAUCAUUUGGCAGUCUAUCCUUAUUACUGCGAAACUUCUAUUGAGGACUAGGACGUGGUAAUUGGUAUGGGCUAGUGUAUGGAUAUUCAUCUCUAGUCUCUACUUCAAACUGGCUAACUUUCACUUCUUGUUAUUGCAGUACCACUCUUGCCACUCAACCAUCAAAAUAAAAAUUGUGAAAAUGGGUAGAAAUUGGAAAGUUUUAUUACUGAACAUCCUAGAUAUUAUUGAAAUUCCCCCAUAUGUGCACUUUGAUGGUGAACCUUAUAAUUCCUACAUGGAUGAUGUUUCCUAUCACCAGCUUAUGAGCAUCACCCACAUGUAAACUUAUUAACAUCGAAUGUGGGUGAGAUCCAUGCUCAUAAUCAACCAAUUAAAGGCAUGGUUCCUCCUACCAGGGAUGGAGGAAAACAGAACGCCUUCUAUGUUGUUAUUUUUUAAAGACUUCUAGUGUUCAAUUACGAUAAAUACACAUGCAAAGUCAUGGACAUGGCAGACACCAGGACACGUGUUCUUACCUGAUGUUCAGUUAGCAUAUGUGCAAUUGGUCCAAGCCAUUUGUUUCUGGACUCUACCUAUCGAUUCUGCCGUCACCACUGCUUUGAGAGUCAGAAACCAGGAUACACAUUCAUAUCUGAAAUUCAAUUCCUGAGUUUGACUAGAGUAUGUGCAAUUGAUCUGAGCCAUUUGUUCCUGGCCUGGACCUAUGUAUUCUGCAGUUGCCAUUACUUUGAGCUUAGCUAACUUGUCUAAACUAUGAAGUGACUGUUGCUGGCACAAUUCUGAUGUUUCUCCAUAGAGAAUUUGAUAGAAAGGCAUUUGACAUUCUAAGGGUUUGAGCAGGGAAGUGUAAUCAGUCUGGCGCUUCUUUUAAUGUAGUGGUCAUAGGUUUGAGUUAGUCCUCCAACUCUUUAGCAGCAUGUGGCCUUCUUUAAUUUUAAUUUUAUUUUUAAUUUUUAAUUUUUUUUGAGAAUUUUCACAUUCAUAUCAAGUUUGAUCUUUUGUUUGUAGAGAAGAGGAAGAGCUGGUCGUGUUCAAUCUGGAGAGUGUUACCACCUCUAUCCUAGAUGCGUUUAUGAUGCUUUUGCUGACUACCAGUUGCCAGAACUUCUGAGGACACCAUUGCAGUCCUUAUGUUUGCAAAUAAAAAGUCUGCAACUUGGAAGCAUCACAGAAUUCCUGUCUAGGGCAUUGCAACUGCUGGAAUCACUUUCGGUAUCAGUUUCACUUCCCUGUUCUUAUUUGUUUGUUUCUACAAUUUCUUGUGCUUGCUAACAGUUUUCAAUUCAUGUGAUAUGCAUAUGGCUUCUGUCUUCUAGUAGAUUUAUAUUGAUAAUUUCUGUGUUGCUUUAAAAUUGUCUCUCUUGUAGGUCCAAAAUGCUGUAGAAUAUCUGAAGGUGAUUGGAGCUUUAGAUGAAAAUGAGAAUUUGACGGUGCUAGGUGCUGAAAUUAUAUAUUUCCUCCUUAUGCUAAUUGUUUACUGUGUAUGCUACUCUUCCCUGUUUGCAGCUGAACUUUUGGAAGGACCUGAUCAUGCUUGUUUCUUAAUAGGUCGCCAGCUUUCAAUGCUUCCAGUUGAGCCCAAACUGGGAAAGAUGCUUAUACUGGGGGCCAUUUUCAACUGUCUAGACCCAGUAAUGUCAAUUGUUGCUGGUCUCAGUGUUAGAGAUCCAUUCUUGAUGCCAUUUGACAAGAAGGAUGUAAGUUUGUUCUCUUUUCUAGCCAUAUUAGUAUUGGAUGCUUCCUCUGGCCAUAUUGCUUUAAUGUUUAGUUCCCCAUCACUUAAUCAUGUCGACUGUUUUGGGAAUAUGCUUAACAUCCUCCCUUGUCUUCAGUGAUUUUAAAUCCAGACCAAACUGACUGGUUCAAAUGGUCAAUGUGCUUGACCAGAUCUUUAACCAUCCUAAAUUUUGGACUUGCUCUGGAGAUGGUUUGAACCCAUAAGCCGUGAUAUCUGGCAAGAGAUGUUGCACUUUGCCUCUUGACUUCUAGUAUGCUUUUAGUGUUAGAUGCACAAAACAAUUUACUUAAAGAAUGAGGCGGUGAGGGUAAUCGAUUGCCUGACCUCUUUCAUGGGUGCUCACCGCCUGAUCUUGUGCCAUGAGUACCUCAACAUAUGAUUUGAAUAUUUUAGUGGUUAAGUGUGCAACCAGCUCAACUGGCUGACCCAGCGGGACCUGGUCUUUAAUCAGCGUGGGUUAAAAACACUGCCCAUUUUCAAUUAGGUGGGGAGACAAGUCUGCUUUAAAAACCCUGUUUUCAUGGAAUAAUUGCGCCGGGAAAGCCCAAUAUGAAGCUUUUCAGCCAUUUUCUGGCUGCUUGUGGAAGGCAAGGAUCAGUAACUAGAAGCUUACUCGAGAGGAAUUGGCAGUUCAUCAUAAGGAAACAUGUUAAUUCCUGUGCUGAGAUGAGUGGUUUGAGAGUUGUAUUGAGCAGAUGUGCAGUGGCCUGUGGUAGCUUGCAGUUCAUACAACCCCAUGGUCAUAUGAUUGGCUGAGAAAAUUUCAAACUUCUGUAUUCUAAUUUUAUUUGGGUUGAUACCUCCUUUCGACUGUGCUAUAGAAUUGUUGAUGAUAUUCUCAUUGUAGUUUCAACUCACUGUAGCUUGCAGAGUCUGCAAAAGCCCAAUUUUCUGGCCGUGACUACAGUGACCAUCUUGCACUUGCUCGAGCCUAUGAUGGUUGGAGAGAUGCUGAAAGACAACAGGCUGGCUAUGAGUACUGUUGGCGAAAUUUUUUAUCUGUGCAAACUAUGAAAGCAAUAGGCUCUCUGAGGAAGCAAUUCCUUUCUUUGCUCAAGGAUAGUGGCACUGUUGAUCAAAAUACAGAGUUUUCUAAUUCAUGGAGCCAUGAUGAGCAUCUUAUUCGGGCAAUCAUUUGUGCGGGUUUGGAGGGAAUAUUCUUCUCCUGACAGUUAGUGGUUUUUUUUUUACUUUCCUGCGGUUGAUUAUCUUGUAUAUGAGUAAUAGUACAGUUGAAAGUCUGGUGGAUGGAAGAAUUGCCUCCUCGCAUCAAACCAUUUGUCGAAUUUAGAUCGGCAGUGCUGUCCAUAUGGAAAUGAUGGAUUGAACGGCAACUCGCCUUAAAAAAAUUCGAUACCCUGGACAGUUGUGUAUAAUAUCGCUUUUUAUUUCAAAUUGUUCUUGGCCAGAUUGGCAAAAUAUAUAUUCAAGGUAAACUUAAGUAAGCACUAGGCGGAUGCGAUUGCAUAAGGGGCUUGUAAGUAUCCCGUCUCUCGAAGUAUGAAAUUAUCAUCUAACUCCAUUUCAAUUUAAAUCUGUCGGCGGUUCCGCACUAUUUUUAUCCUUCCGUGAUGCUCAAUCUGUGCCGAAAGAUAGUCAACUAGAUGAUUCCGGAGGGGGCUAGGCGCCAGCAAGAACACCGUUGCUUUAGUCCUCAUGCCCGAAUUGUUUUGGAGACUCGUGAAAGAAAGCCACUUUCGUCGUGGCGUCAAUUCCUGUGAGGCACUUUUCAAUUACUUGCGACAAAGGAAAAUUUCGCGAUGCCAGGAUGGAAAGAUCUUACGAGUAACAAAGGUGCAAAGCAUGAAUUCAAUCCCCUAGACAGAAUUCAGGGCCUAGUGGACCUACCUCUGCAAUGAGCAUGAAAAAUUGAGAAACAUCAUUAAAAUUAUGAAUACUAACGUCUUCUUCUUGCGCCCAACAAGAAAAACAAGCAACCUCUUCCUAUGAAUGGACAAUAAAAAAUAUGUUCACUCAGCGCAAAAGCUCCAUGGCUUUCACCAAUGUCUGUCUGAACCUAUUCACAUCAAGCUCUACAUUCUGCUUUUCCAAGUACAUUGACUUGAACAAAUUCCAAUUAUGCUUAUGAUAUGCAACUGGGUCCUUGAAAACCACAUGGUCAAGUGGGAACUCCUGUAUGAGACUGCUCUCCUUCUCCUUUAUGUUGUACUCCAAAUACUUGAUGUUCAUAUACCUUGCAGGAUCACCAAAGCAAACCUUGGCAUGCCAUUCGAAUUUUCCAAUAGGGAGCAUCUGAAUGAGGACCACGUUUUCUGGGAGGAAAACCAGGUUCGUUAGGCCAGCUCCGUGAACUCCCAUCAUCACGUCGCAGCCUUUCAUGAUCACCGGGUUUCUCGACAUGUUGGAGUCCAACUCAGAAGCAACCACUCCGUACCCCAACGUCUCGGCCAUGUUUGUGAUUUCGGCAAGGUUGGUGAAGGAGCAUGACCGCUUUCUCGACACGAUCAAGAGGCAAGGCCGUCUUUUGAGCUCGCCGUCCUGUAAUUUGAUCGCGUUCUCCUUCUUUAGCGAGUAGGCGCUCCUGAGGAAGGCCCUGAAGUCGCUUAUGGAGUGGGGAGAUCUCGAAGGAUCAAUUGUCAUCUCCUUGUGAUGCUUUAGCCCCACAAUCACUCUUGGGAAGCAAUGGAUGUUCUCCCCUGCACUGUCAAUGUCGAUAAUUUCAUACUUCGACAGAUUUUCUAGUAUGGCGCGGAACUUCUGAAGCCACCGAGGAUUUCUAUUUGUUACUAGGAACUUGACUUCUCCUCCAAAAUGCCGAGUAGUCAUAAAGAGCGGAAUGAUGAUGUCGGGUGAGUGCAUGAAAAUUGUUUCCUGCAUAUCCUCCUGUUGAGAAAAUGACUCCCGGAACGCUGUGGUGUUCGGUGCAAUUGGGGAUAGGUUGAUGGGCCACGGCCGACGGUAAGAUCGACCAUUUCCUAAUUGGACUCAUUGCCGUUUCAUCGCCUUUUCGUGCAUAAGGCCUGAUGGUCCAUGAGUCAUCGCCGGUGAGCAUUUCAGAGGGCGCAACGAAAACAGUGGAGGAGCUUCCUUGAACUCUUAACAUCCCCGGUGAUCGAACAGUAAUCUGACCUCGGAUCCAUGACGUUGCAAAGAGGCUCCAUCUCCCUCGAAGAGAAUGUACUAUUAACCAAUUAAAAAUUGACACGUGUCAUAGAAAAAAUUAAAUUAAAAAUCCCUUAAUCCACCUAGAUUUCCCUUCUCCUCCUCUUCCAUCUGCACGAACCCAACCUCCGCCCCCUCCUUCCGCCAUCGCCACCGACGGAGUUGGAGUUACCGACGCCGCAUCAAACCAGUUUGGCCGUCUCCUCCGCCCAUGCCUCAGUUCCAAAUCUAGCGAGACGACGGAGAGAGUGGACGCGGAGAUUAUCUCCAGAUCUGGUUUGCUGCAACGCUCCUCUGCACCUCCAGAUCUUGGCUCGUCCAUGGCUGCCGGCGAAGAGCUCAACAACUUUGCCGCAGACCGAGAAGCCAUCCAUGGCCGACCGCUCCUCUACAUCUCCAGAUCUGGUUUGCUGCUCAAAAGCUUCGAGCUCCAGUCUUGGCUCGUCCAUGGUUGUUGGCAACGAGCUCAACAGCUUUGCCGCAGACCGAGAAGUCGUCCAUGGCCGACCGCUCCUCUGCAUCUCCAGAUCUGUUUUACCGCAACGCUCAUCUACAUCUCCAGAUCUGGUUUGUUGCUCAAUAGCUUUGAGCUCGAGUCUUGACUCGUCCAUGGCUACCGGUGACGAGCUCAACAGCUUUGCCGCAGACCGUGGCGGCCACGGUGGGGCGGUGGUUCAGGGACGGUGGCGGCGGUGGCGACUUGGGCGGUGGAGAUGGCGGAGACCGGGCGGAGCGGAGGUCGAAGAUGGAAGGGAAAAGAGAAAAAAAAAAUUAAAUUUUUAGAUUUUCAUGUCAACCUUCAUGUGUCAAAAUUUAAUUGGGUAUAAGUAAAUAAGCACACAUCACGUAAACUGUUGACGUGGCACUCACGAACCACAUAAUAUUUUCUCCCUACCAAAAAAAAAAAAAGCCUCAAUUUCAUUUAUAGGAUUGCAUUUAAAGGAAUUAAGCACAUUGCAUUACAUUUAGACGGCAUCAAUUACAUUUAAACUAACUCUCCUAAGCCAUGGUUUCGUUUGUAAUAUUAUCCGUUCCAUGCUCUUAAAAGGUGAAUCCAGUGCUAAGAAGAUUUCAUUACAUCAUGUCUACAAUCAUGCGCUUAAAAGGUGAAUCCAAUGCUAAGAAGAUUUCAUUACAUCAUGUCUUUAGAACUCGAAAUCCUCAAAGUACCUAUCUCUCUUGCUCCUAGAACCCGAAAUCCUCGAAGUACCUAUCUCUCUUGCUCCAUCAUCUUCAACCCCUUCAGAUUUCCAUGUUUCUAAUUCUUCAAAUAUAAACUAUCUUUAUGAAGUCUCUCUUAGUGAUGAAACCAAGAUUUCUAAAACUCAACUCCCCCUUAUAAACCCUUACUCCGCUUUUGCCAAACUCACUUCAUCAUUUUCACCUAUCCGCUCCAUUCAACAGCUCAUUCGGCAGAUUCCGAAAGAAGUAAAGGAGUACGUCCAGUUCUCCAAGUUUGACCAACAUCCUAUUCCUGCUACUGAAAAUGAGUAUUCUGUUACUCUUCAGAUCCCCCAGCGUUUCCUAGGCAAUGGAUCCAACAAAGGAUGUUCUCAUGUCCACUAUGGAUCCAACAAGCACACGCCAUGUCAGCUGUUGACGUGGCACUCAUGAACCACUGAAUAUUUUCUCCCUCACCCCCAAAAAAAAACCUUUCGAAUUUGUUGUGUCCUACAGCAAAUUUUAUGUAUUCUCGAACUACUUCUUAAUUUCAUUUAUAGGAUUGCAUUUAAAGGAAUUGAGCACAUUACAUUGCAUUUAGACGGCAUCAAUUAGAUUCUAACUCCCAAUACCUUACGUUUUUUAUAUUGGUUUAUUUUUCUUCUCUUUUUUUUAAGUGGUAGUAUAUUUUGAAGAGUUCAUAUUGAGUUUCCAUUUAUAGCUCAGGAGAAGUCCUAUUCCGAGCACUGUUAAAACUUGAAUUUUUACUAAUGAUCCAAGUGUCCAAAAAUAUAAAAAUAUAUAAAAACAAAAACAAAAAAUGAGAUAGAAAAAGUUUGAUUAAAAAAUAUAAAAACAUAAAAAAGGAUAUAAAAAUAAAAUCCCACUCGGCAAUUUUCGACCUUUUAAUUCCCAACCCCUCCUCUUUCGGCCCAUUUUUCUCUGUUCUUUAAGCCAACAACUUGAGCCCAAGAAGACAAGAAAGGAGCCCAGCCCCUUCGCCCCUGUCUCCCAUCUCUCGCGCACAACACGCCUGUGAGCGUUUGAAAAAAUAAAAAAGAACAGUGACGGUCACCGAAGAAGGCCCGGUGAGCGAGGGAUGAACAACGAACGAGCAUGUGACGGAAGCGGAUCAGGGAGAAACCUUCUAGAACCGUGAGCUGGCGAGGGAUAACAGAGAGAGAGAUAGAGAGAUGUGCAGGUGUCUGCUCUCGUCACCCUCCACGUCGAGACCUCCACCUGAAUCCCUGAUCACCAUCUCCGCCUCGACUUCAAGAGCUUCUUCUUUCCUUCUUCUUCUCGAACGCUCUCUCGUCGCCGCCUACUCAGCUACGGCGGCGCUCUCGAAGUUCCGCGUUCUCCUAGCCGCGUAGAGUCUCCCUUCUCUUGAUCGGCGCGUGGCGACGUCGCUGAUAGUAGUUAUCUGGCGGCGAGAGCGAGCUCGAGAGUUCGAGUAUCGAGAACGCCAGAUGUUGUCGAUUCUGAGACGAAAAGCCGCCGCCGAAGGCUCGGAUGCUGUGCUGUUAAAAAAAGAGAGGCUGUGGAAGAGUUGCGCGCCACGGCGACGACCCCGGUUUCAGGGCUACGCUACUGCGGCGAAAGAGAUGAUGACUGUGAGAGAGGCUAUGAAUUCGGUGCUUGACGAGGAAAUAUGUCUGGAGAUCCUAGAGUCUUUCUAAUGGGAGAGGAGAUGGAGACGACGCACAACAGAGAGGGGAGGAUAGGCUGGCUGAGGGUUUAGCUCGAGAGGAAAACAGAAGGAAAGAGGAGAGAGAGGAGAAGGGACGUCGGCCAUUGGAGGUUUCAGGAAAGCUUCGCUGGAAAGAAAGGAGAAGCCAGAGAAGAACGAGAUAAGAGAGGAUGAGAAAGGUUCUCUCGAUGAAAAUUUUCUGGAGAAGUUGAGCCUUCUCAUCAAACGACGUCCAUUGCAGCCGAACGCCAUCUUCAUCGAUUUUGGGUUGCUGCAACUUCUUCCUGAACGCAGGUAAUGUCCUCUACUUGCUCAAACCGAGAACAAACUCUAGUUGAUGUUUGCAAUUCAAACGUGUAUUGAUCCGAAAUAGGUUUUCAUCGUUUGUAAUGGCCGAGAAUGAGCCGAUUGUUCUAGAACUUCAUAUAGGCAUCGCGGUUGAAAUGCACAUAACCUGUUUGAUGAAAUGCCUCAGGGGCACAAGCAAAUAAUGAUCUGUGAUCUUGUUCAAAUCUGAGAAUAUGUGGAUGUAGGUUGAUUACUAUCGAUUGAUUUGCUAGCCUCUAGAGUCGAUAUCAGUCAUGUUUCAUUCUUACUACGACCACAUCCGAACAUUCCCUUUUUUUUUUUUUUGGGAAAAGGCCACGAAAAACCCCGAACUUUGCCCAAAGUGACACAUUUACCCCAAACUUUUUUUUGUGACGUGAAAAACCCCAAACUUUCCAAACCGUGACACAUUUACCCCGUCAAGGGCAUUUUUGUCUUUUUAUUCUAUUUUUUCCUUUUUCUUUUUUUUUCUUUUUUUCUUCUUCUUCNNNNNNNNNNNNNNNNNNNNNNNNNNNNNNNNNNNNNNNNNNNNNNNNNNNNNNNNNNNNNNNNNNNNNNNNNNNNNNNNNNNNNNNNNNNNNNNNNNNNCCCUCGCCUACGUCGGCCGGUGGAGGGAAAAGAGAAAAAAAAAAACUAAAAAAAUUUUAAAAAGUAAAAAAAAAAUUAAAAAAUGUUUUAAAAAAGGAAAAGACCAAAAUGCCCUCUAAUUUUGGGGUAAAUGUGUCACAUAACGAAAGUUCAGGGUUUUUCACGUCACAAAAAAAAGUUUGGGGUAAAUGUGUCACGGUUGGCAAAGUUUGGGGUUUUUCACGUCACAAAAAAAAGUUUGGGGUAAAUGUGUCACUUUGGGCAAAGUUCAGGGUUUUUCGUGGCUUUUUCCCUUUUUUUUUUUUGCAUCUUUAUGCAUUCCUGCGGUGGUCGCCGGUGGUGUUAUUCCGGCAAUUAACGGGGGAGGUCUGGCGAUUGGAGACGGUGAAGAGCAAGCGUCGGGUGUGCGUUGAUUACAUGCUGAGAUACGUAUGUCUUCAUUCCUGUGUUUUUAGAGUGCUGAGUCUUGGUUGAAGAUCAGUGUGGUUUCGGCGAUGAUAGUGUCUUCGGGAAGAAGACCUGCACAGGAUGAAGACGUCGCUUGAAGAAGACCUGCAAAAGGAGAUGAAAAUAUAUAUAUAUAUAUAUAUAUAUAUAUAUAUAUAUAUAUAUAUAUAUAUAUAUAUAUAUAUAUAUAUAUAUAUAUAUAUAUGUGUGUAUCUCUCUCUCGCGCGCGCUUGCCCCUGACUCCCUCUCUCAGUCUCACAAACAGUCACACACUCUCUCUUGAGGGCCCUAUAGAUAUAUAUAAAUACACAUAUAUAUAUAUAUNNNNNNNNNNNNNNNNNNNNNNNNNNNNNNNNNNNNNNNNNNNNNNNNNNNNNNNNNNNNNNNNNNNNNNNNNNNNNNNNNNNNNNNNNNNNNNNNNNNNNNNNNNNNNNNNNNNNNNNNNNNNNNNNNNNNNNNNNNNNNNNNNNNNNNNNNNNNNNNNNNNNNNNNNNNNNNNNNNNNNNNNNNNNNNNNNNNNNNNNNNNNNNNNNNNNNNNNNNNNNNNNNNNNNNNNNNNNNNNNNNNNNNNNNNNNNNNNNNNNNNNNNNNNNNNNNNNNNNNNNNNNNNNNNNNNNNNNNNNNNNNNNNNNNNNNNNNNNNNNNNNNNNNNNNNNNNNNNNNNNNNNNNNNNNNNNNNNNNNNNNNNNNNNNNNNNNNNNNNNNNNNNNNNNNNNNNNNNNNNNNNNNNNNNNNNNNNNNNNNNNNNNNNNNNNNNNNNNNNNNNNNNNNNNNNNNNNNNNNNNNNNNNNNNNNNNNNNNNNNNNNNNNNNNNNNNNNNNNNNNNNNNNNNNNNNNNNNNNNNNNNNNNNNNNNNNNNNNNNNNNNNNNNNNNNNNNNNNNNNNNNNNNNNNNNNNNNNNNNNNNNNNNNNNNNNNNNNNNNNNNNNNNNNNNNNNNNNNNNNNNNNNNNNNNNNNNNNNNNNNNNNNNNNNNNNNNNNNNNNNNNNNNNNNNNNNNNNNNNNNNNNNNNNNNNNNNNNNNNNNNNNNNNNNNNNNNNNNNNNNNNNNNNNNNNNNNNNNNNNNNNNNNNNNNNNNNNNNNNNNNNNNNNNNNNNNNNNNNNNNNNNNNNNNNNNNNNNNNNNNNNNNNNNNNNNNNNNNNNNNNNNNNNNNNNNNNNNNNNNNNNNNNNNNNNNNNNNNNNNNNNNNNNNNNNNNNNNNNNNNNNNNNNNNNNNNNNNNNNNNNNNNNNNNNNNNNNNNNNNNNNNNNNNNNNNNNNNNNNNNNNNNNNNNNNNNNNNNNNNNNNNNNNNNNNNNNNNNNNNNNNNNNNNNNNNNNNNNNNNNNNNNNNNNNNNNNNNNNNNNNNNNNNNNNNNNNNNNNNNNNNNNNNNNNNNNNNNNNNNNNNNNNNNNNNNNNNNNNNNNNNNNNNNNNNNNNNNNNNNNNNNNNNNNNNNNNNNNNNNNNNNNNNNNNNNNNNNNNNNNNNNNNNNNNNNNNNNNNNNNNNNNNNNNNNNNNNNNNNNNNNNNNNNNNNNNNNNNNNNNNNNNNNNNNNNNNNNNNNNNNNNNNNNNNNNNNNNNNNNNNNNNNNNNNNNNNNNNNNNNNNNNNNNNNNNNNNNNNNNNNNNNNNNNNNNNNNNNNNNNNNNNNNNNNNNNNNNNNNNNNNNNNNNNNNNNNNNNNNNNNNNNNNNNNNNNNNNNNNNNNNNNNNNNNNNNNNNNNNNNNNNNNNNNNNNNNNNNNNNNNNNNNNNNNNNNNNNNNNNNNNNNNNNNNNNNNNNNNNNNNNNNNNNNNNNNNNNNNNNNNNNNNNNNNNNNNNNNNNNNNNNNNNNNNNNNNNNNNNNNNNNNNNNNNNNNNNNNNNNNNNNNNNNNNNNNNNNNNNNNNNNNNNNNNNNNNNNNNNNNNNNNNNNNNNNNNNNNNNNNNNNNNNNNNNNNNNNNNNNNNNNNNNNNNNNNNNNNNNNNNNNNNNNNNNNNNNNNNNNNNNNNNNNNNNNNNNNNNNNNNNNNNNNNNNNNNNNNNNNNNNNNNNNNNNNNNNNNNNNNNNNNNNNNNNNNNNNNNNNNNNNNNNNNNNNNNNNNNNNNNNNNNNNNNNNNNNNNNNNNNNNNNNNNNNNNNNNNNNNNNNNNNNNNNNNNNNNNNNNNNNNNNNNNNNNNNNNNNNNNNNNNNNNNNNNNNNNNNNNNNNNNNNNNNNNNNNNNNNNNNNNNNNNNNNNNNNNNNNNNNNNNNNNNNNNNNNNNNNNNNNNNNNNNNNNNNNNNNNNNNNNNNNNNNNNNNNNNNNNNNNNNNNNNNNNNNNNNNNNNNNNNNNNNNNNNNNNNNNNNNNNNNNNNNNNNNNNNNNNNNNNNNNNNNNNNNNNNNNNNNNNNNNNNNNNNNNNNNNNNNNNNNNNNNNNNNNNNNNNNNNNNNNNNNNNNNNNNNNNNNNNNNNNNNNNNNNNNNNNNNNNNNNNNNNNNNNNNNNNNNNNNNNNNNNNNNNNNNNNNNNNNNNNNNNNNNNNNNNNNNNNNNNNNNNNNNNNNNNNNNNNNNNNNNNNNNNNNNNNNNNNNNNNNNNNNNNNNNNNNNNNNNNNNNNNNNNNNNNNNNNNNNNNNNNNNNNNNNNNNNNNNNNNNNNNNNNNNNNNNNNNNNNNNNNNNNNNNNNNNNNNNNNNNNNNNNNNNNNNNNNNNNNNNNNNNNNNNNNNNNNNNNNNNNNNNNNNNNNNNNNNNNNNNNNNNNNNNNNNNNNNNNNNNNNNNNNNNNNNNNNNNNNNNNNNNNNNNNNNNNNNNNNNNNNNNNNNNNNNNNNNNNNNNNNNNNNNNNNNNNNNNNNNNNNNNNNNNNNNNNNNNNNNNNNNNNNNNNNNNNNNNNNNNNNNNNNNNNNNNNNNNNNNNNNNNNNNNNNNNNNNNNNNNNNNNNNNNNNNNNNNNNNNNNNNNNNNNNNNNNNNNNNNNNNNNNNNNNNNNNNNNNNNNNNNNNNNNNNNNNNNNNNNNNNNNNNNNNNNNNNNNNNNNNNNNNNNNNNNNNNNNNNNNNNNNNNNNNNNNNNNNNNNNNNNNNNNNNNNNNNNNNNNNNNNNNNNNNNNNNNNNNNNNNNNNNNNNNNNNNNNNNNNNNNNNNNNNNNNNNNNNNNNNNNNNNNNNNNNNNNNNNNNNNNNNNNNNNNNNNNNNNNNNNNNNNNNNNNNNNNNNNNNNNNNNUUCUUUCAUUUUUCUUCUUGGCCAUUUCCAUCGAAGGCGGCUGCUCACCCCUGAAUCAACGCCACCGAAAUUCUUCCCCCACUCACACACGCCCACACCCUCUUUGAACUUUCCUUUGUCGGCCACCGAGUCAACCAACAAUUGAGUUUACCCCAGCAAACUUGACUCCUCCAGCUACUGUUCGUCCAUGCUUCUCUCAUGGACACGCCAGCAACACCACCGAAGACCCUUGCCAGCGACGCCUGCCUCUCCACGCGUCUAAGCCUCCACCGCCGUUAGUCAAAGCCCCAACGGAGCUGCCCCCUUCGUUGACUCCUCCUGCCAGCUGCCGCGCGUGCCCCACAGCUCAGACGAAGCUGCUCCUUCGUCCUCAGCUUCUCCAGCAGCGAAGGCCCAGCGAAGCCAGCGUGGAUUUUUCCCUCAGCCGGCUGCUUCUUCGCGGGCUCUCUUCAUCAUUCGGUCCAAGUCUCCAGUAGCAGCAACCCACGUGUUUCUUCCUUCGGUCCAGCCCGACUUCCUGCCAGCCGUUGCCACAUUUUCCAGUCAACCUUGCUGCCCCUCGGGUGGGUUGUUGACCUUUAUUCCGCCAGCGUGCGACAGCUGCCGCUUCUCUCUCUCCGCUCAGCUCACGCCCCACGAAGCAGAACCCCACGCGUCCGAAGCUGUCCCAUCUUCGUUUCUCCCUUGCCGCACGACGCCAGCUCCUUUGAUUCUGCUUCAGUUGCAGCGUGCAACCCAGCGAAGGCCAGGCCCACGGAUCCUCUUCCAUUUCCCAUCGUAGCCCAUCUUGGGGCCUUUUUGGUGCAGCCCACCGAGCAGCCCAGCUUCCAGCUUGUAAUUUGCUCAGCCCAUCUCUCCAGCAGCUCCAUUGAGCCCAAGUCAGCAAGCCCAAACAAGAUGCAGUCCAGCCCAACGAAAAUCUUCAGUCCAGUCUAACUUUGAAGCCCAGCAAGUUGUCAAUUUCAGUAGCCCAGUUCAGCCCAGUCCAGCAACCGAGUGAUUUCGACUCUUGAAGCAGGCCCAAGCCCAAGUCUAAGCCCAGAAUUUUAUGUGGGCUUGCAAGGUUUCUUGGCCCGGUCCAAGUUCGUCGAAAGCCCGAUUUCGGCUGCCGUUGCGUCGUCAUUGCAGUGUUCCGAUCUUUGCCUUGUACAGUGAGUUUUACUCAUUGAUGCAUUCUUAGUUUGGUAAUUAUGCCUAAGGGUUGAUUAGAUUUAAUUAUUUGCAAUUAUGUGAAUAUAUUAGAUUAAAGUAAUUAAAUUAAAGACUCAUUGAUGCAUGUUAAUUAAAUUGAUUGUGCAUUUAGCUAGUAAACAUGUCAUAUUAUUUAUUGGAUGCUUCUUGGGAUUUUUCCCGUCCCUUAUCGGGUGUUAAUUAAGUAAUUCGGGCCUAAAAUGAAUUAUUAGUAAUUAAAUAUUAAUUUUCGAAUUUAAUUAUUUAAUUAUUUAUUUUCCGGAAAUUCAACCGAGAUGGCCGGUGAUCGGAAUUUUGUGCUGAUUGUCGUGGUGCAGUCCAUUUAUUUAUUUGAGCUCUACAUUGCGUGGAAUUGAUUUGAUUGUGCAAUUUUAGUGAUUUAUCCCAAAUUGAAUGAAAUUGAAUGAUUAAUUGGUUGAUGGCCGAGUGUUAUUAUUUAGCAUCGAUAAUUUUGUAAUGAACUGUAAAGCAGAGGGAACUGUGAAAGUGAAUUGGGGAAAUUCUCGGCUGAAACCAAUCAGCAACGAUGUAAUGAGACAUAUGUGAUUCAGUGAUUAAAGGAUAUCACUGGUGAAAAUGGCGCCUUAAAGAACGCACGAGUGUUGUCUAUUACAUGCAGCAGUAUGGACAUACGUGGUUCGUUGAUGGAGGAUAUCACUGGUGAAAACGGUGUCUUAAAGAACGCACGAGUGCUGUCCAUUAUACACGUCACCUUGGCGGAAGCAACGCCCGAGAGCAUUAAUGAGGCUCUGUGACUAAGUGUACUGCUGGAGGUUAUCGUGAUCGGUAAUUGGUACGUCACCUUGGCGAAAAAGACGCCCGAGAGCAUUCAUCUGGCUCUGUGACUGAGUACCCGAAUGGAGAUUAUAAAGUAUGGUGUUGAUGUGAUCAAGAGGUGGUCCGAAUGACAUGUAAUCGACUAUGUCGAUUGAUCAUUGUUUUGAUCUGAUGUUGUGAAUUGGUUGAUUGAAUGGAAAUGACCGUGACUGGUCUUGUUGGCGUGUGAUCGACUAGAUCGAUUUGAUCGAUACUUCGAUUUGUGAUGUGAUUGCUUGGGUGCCUAUUUGAUCUGUGCUAAUAUGCAGGUGGAAUCUGAGGUCAAGGUAAGUCCUCUGACUCACGUUGUGCAUAGGCAGCCAUAAGGUGUAUUAGUUUACUAAUCGGGUCUUAGGGGGUAGAACUUGCUGAGACGUAAUCUCAUUCCGAUUUGGGGAAAACAUUUCAGGACCCUGAUGAAGAACCUGAGGAGAAAGAACUCGAAGAGGAGUAUCUGAAGGAGAACCCCGAGGAUGAUCCAGAGUAGGAUCCUGAUGACUGUUGCUGUAGAAUCUAAUUGAGUAGAAACCAACCUUUUUAGCAUGGUUUGUAUAUGUACAUGUAUGACUGAGUCAUUAUAGAUGUACAUAAAAGUGUUGACUUUCAGGUUCAAUUUUCUAGUCCUACUUAUCUAUCACAUUGUUUUAUUGUCUGAAGAUUUAUAACUGCUUCCGCAUGUGUAUAUAUAAAUGAAAGGGUCGGCGAUACAUAGUCCUAGGAUAUCGCAUUUUAAAAUAGACCAAAGGUAAGGGAUGUGCGUGUGUCUGAGGAUCGGGGCGUGACAUUCGGUCCCUUCUCUCUCUCUCCCCCCAAAUUCAAGCACUUUAUGCUAACUCUAUUUCUUUGGCCAAAAUGUCAUUUGAUCAUGCCAAAUAAGUAUGACUCCAUUUCUUGCCACCUAGACCAUUUUAAGCAAAGCAGUAACCAAGGCAUCUGAGAUGAUGGGGAUGCCGAAAUUGACUGCUGAAAUUGACGAGGAAAGGAUUAAAUUUUGUGCAGUUAAAAGGGGGAGAGAAUGAAAAAGAGCUGGACUGAAAUUAGAAGGGGAAAGCUGGAGAUCUCGGGCAGAAAGCAAAAGGAAAGAGGCCCUCACGUUUUUUUUUUUUUUUUAAUCCUGCAUCAUCACUAGACAAAUGAGUAUCUCCUCACUUAGUGUUUUACACCAAAAUUCCUCGUCUGCAGAUCUUUCGUCCACCCGUCCGUUCUUCCUGGGAACUCAAAUGGUGCCGUAACACAAGCAAUAGUUUUGGCAGUUUUACAAGGAGGCCAAUCUAGCAUUGUAAAGGAGCGAUGGAGGAAAUGGAAAAAAGAUAGGAAAGGAAACGGAUUUGGUGGCUCGGCAGAACGUGCAAAAAAGGACAAGAAGAACGUGGGAAGGUCGUGGGAUGAGGAAAAUAAGAACAAAGAUGGAAGGGAGUGGGAGACUCGGUGGAGGUGCACAAUCACUCACAUUCACGAUUUCAUAUCCAUUCUCUCAAUCUCGCGCAUCAGAAGCCGAAGAGACUCGGGCCAGAAGAAGCAGCGCUUCCAGCUUCCUCCGUUGUCCCCGGAGUCAGUCAUGUGAGAACCUAUAUUCCUUAGCUAUGCGAUGCAUGUCCUUGCGUUUGCUCAAAAAAAAAUUUCGGUUUAUUUUCUUUAUGCUGGGUUCAUUGUAAUAUCAUAUAAUUGAGUCUUUUUCUAGGUAUCAGUUCGUGCCGAUUGUUCUCCAUGUUUCAAUAAAUGUGGGCAUAACAUUAUAGGAAAAAUCUGCAUCGUGUAGUCCAUAUUUUUGCACAGUUUAGUACCCCUAUUUAGGCCAAUCCAUGGCCGGUGAAGGAGUAGUUACUCAUUUUUUUCCCCAAAAUUGGUUUCUUACCCAUAAUUUGCCUUUACAAUUGAAAUAGUUGCACGCAUCGCGGUGGUUUUUCAUCGCAUUGGUUUGAACCUAAUACCCUAGUCUGUGUGAACGUGCUGAACACCACUGUCCGAUCCAUGGAUAGUAAGAAUUCAAAUAUUUUUCUCCUGCAUAAUACCUAUCAGGCCUCUACCAACAUGCAUAGUCAUGGAAAAAGCUGCCUAAAAAGUCCUAAAACUAUUGUCUUGCAGUUAAUUUAAUCCUAAACCUUUUAAUUUUGACAAAUUGUCAUAAGGUUUAACAUUUAAAACUAUUUGGCAAAAUUGAAAAUUUACUUUGGUUUGGAUUUUUUGAGACAGUUAUCCCCUAUAGUCAUGUUAUCUUGCAUGUUUACUCUCGUUAUUUUCACUUCAAUUUCCAGCAUCAUUUUAUAUUUAUUUUCAUCACUUUCCGGUGUCACUAACUUCGAUUGAGCUGAACGCGACAUCCUAAUGUAUUAAGGUCUGAGUCAAUCCAUCAUUCUAAUGUAUCAAGGUGACUGGAGAUGAACCACAUAGUUACAUGCACCCAAGGACCAUCAAAGCAAUCAACAAAUGGCAACAAUAUCAUUCAAACUCUUGCCCAAGAGGAUUCACUGCAAGGUUCAGCUCAUUAAGCUUGCAAGAUUUACAACUUAACCACUCCAAUAAUACCCAAACAUGUACCGAUAACUAGCAAAUCAAGUAUACAUUGUCACAUGAACAUGGGUUAUCAAAACCACACUCAAAUGAGUCUUAAAAUAUCACAACUCGUAAUUAACACAGUGAAGUCAGCAAAAUCCAAAACAAAAUCAGAACAGUAAAGGUUGAGAUUCAUGAUCUUUUUAGUUAGUAAUGGACUUGAAACAUAUCUUCUUGCAAGUGUAUAUGCGCUCACACAAUCAAGAUGAGUACAAAUAAAAUUCAAAUGAAGAUCAACGAUGCUUGUAUAGUGGAUACAUGUUUAAUUUCAGCAAUUAAAGCAUGACAACAUAAUUAUCUCCCUCGAAAAUUAACAUGGAUUCAUCAUGUCAAUUCAUAUGACUAGGAUAACACAUACACAAGUCUUGGCGAUUGUUGUUUGAACAACGAAUGGAUAUGGACACAUGAAAAUGAAUCCAGAAAAUUUAAGUCACGGAAAAAGUUAUAACCAUGACUUAAGCAUGUUAUAAACAUACACAGUAUUUAUAGUCAAGAAAUCGGCAUAUUUUUGUUCAACAUUCAUAGCCAAAAGAUCAACAUAUUUUUGAACAUGUAUAGCAAGGGUAACAAUGACUCCAGUAAAUUUGAGCCAUGUUCCAUAAGAAUAGACAUAUUUAGCAAGCCUAUGAUGUGACGAGUGUACAGAUUCAACAAACAGCAGAUCCUGAAAUGGAUAUAGUGCAAGCUAAUGGUGACAACCAAGAUAAACCACCAUGUACCUACACGUAAGCAUGACAUAAAUAAUACUCCAACGCAUCCAAUGCAUGUGAUGUGAAGUCUCAACCAAGCGCAAAACAGGGCAGCAGUUAGUAUGUGAAAGAAAAGCUACAACUCCAACAUAUGAACAAUUUGCGGUUAUAGAGGAUUUCUCUACAUUAACUAGUGGACGAUUAUGAGACAUGCACUUUGAACAAUUCAAGCUCAAAAAUAAAUCCAUAGGCUCUCGGUUUAGAGGAAAAUUCAACCAUGCUCCCGGUAUUUAAUUCACUGAGAACAAGUAAACGGAAGCACCAAGGGAAGGAGAACUCUAGGCCAUCAAAGGAUGAAGCAUCAAUUAGCAAUAUAUGAUCAGCACACUAAACAACAACAUACAAAUCACUCCUAUGCAUUCUCAAAUUGAUCAAUUAAUUCAACAUUGUCAUCUCCAAGGUAAAAUGUCGAACAGGUGGUGAGCAUGAAGGGUGAGGUGUUACUGUAAUAUUUAUGACAAUGCAGAAUGCAUGGUGUAAUAAGGUAGUCUUACUGUGAAACUCAUGUCUAUUAUCCGGCCGCGCUAUUCUUUCCUUUACAAUGUUCAUCCAAGUUUUAUUCUGUACAAGUUUUGAGUUCUCAAUAAAUCUGGAAGAUUCUGUUCGCAAAAAAAGGGAACUGGAAGAUAAAAUUCACAAAUGAAAGAACGAUUGAUAGCUUACUUCUCGUCUGAACAUAUCCAAAGGAGCACCCGAGAGAUCCUGAUCCUAAAGUUUCUUCACAGCCACCUCCUGGUGAAUUUGCAAGUCGAGCCAGAUGUAGACUCAAAGAUACAUUGCAAUUUAUCUUAGGUCUCAUGAUACAUUAUAGAAUUUUAAAUACUAAGAGCACAUCACCAAGUAUUUUGCAAGAGGUAAUGUCUAAACUGCAAAGUACUGAUAAUAAGUGCAUAAAAUUCUUUGGAAAAUGUUAAAAAGAGAAAAAGAGUCAUCCGUUGCUUCUCUUUCCAUUUCUCGAUAAUUAAGAGUAUAUAAAACCAUAAAAACACCCACUUGUAGGUAGAUGUGAUGGUUGGGCUUUACUACCUCAUUGCUAAAGAAACGAGUUCGAAUCUCCAGAUGCUUGCGACUUAAGUGGAGGUUCCGGAAAUGAUUUACUGGGCCAGCUCCCGAGAGUUUAUGUAUAAAUAGCGGCUUGCGGCGAGGCCUCACUAGUGCUACCGAGCACUGAAGGGUCGUGCGGUGAGGCUCCACCAGUGCUAUCGAGCACCGAAAGGUCAUGUGAUCCUCAAAGGGUAAUCUCCGACGGUCCCUCAGUCAUCAAAAAAAAAAAAAAAUCAUAAAAACGAUAAACCUAAACAACCUAGCGUUUAAAGUGCUUCUACCAAAUGAAUGGGGUUCGAUUGAGUCACAAACUAACAAUAUACAAAAAGACUUUGCAACAGCCUAUUCAUUGUGACUAUUUGUACAAAAAUCUUCAGUCUUCACAAUAAGGAUUCGAUUACAUCUAGAGAACUUGCAACUCUUUACCGAAGAGCUAAACAUGGAAGCAGAAUCUCAACAGCACCUAAUAACAGAGUAGCAAGGGAGCCAAAAGUAAAACUUCCUUUUGCUUAUCCAAAUUACAAAAGAGAAAGUAGCAAGACGAGGCCAUGAAAGAGCAGCGAGGGAUUAAUUAUUAUGGUUGGCAUCGGUCCAACAAGUCAUGUGCGUAUGUCAAGGUACCAAUUCUGGAGCUUUUUUCACCAACCCAGUUUUUUUUUGGGCAGAUACCAACCUCAGUUGAAAUGCCAAAUUUUGAUACUAUCUGAUGUCACUAUUACACACUAGCUGCUUAGUCUAAAAAUCUAAAACAUUAGCCCAAAAGCAGGACACUAAAGUAGUACUAACUGUCAUUAAGACGUCAUAUUCAAGCAGGAUCUUUUGCUUAAAAGCAAUCAUAUAAAAGGAUCAACGGAUAUAAUCACAUUCAUAAAUUCAGACAAAUGGAAUUCACAACCGAAAAUAAAGGAACUCUUCAAGUAACUAAUGCAAUGACAAUUCUUGAUUUGCAAGAAUUUAGAAAUAUUUGAAACUGACCUUGCCAUUCCAACAAGCAUGAUAGACCUCUCCACAAGAGCCUAUUUAAAAGACGAUAAAAUGGGGUAAAAUUUCUGACAUAUUAAACAGUAAAUGCAAUUCAAUGAGACAACAUUGCACUGCAUCCUAUAAUAACUACUGCAAUUGUGCUUACAUUCGGAUUGCCAUAGAUAACUUUCUAUCAGAAGACACGCACUUCUUUUUACGUGGCUAGCUAGCCAUCAGCAUAUUAGGCGGUAAAGUAGUGAUAAAGCAAAUCUCAUAGUACUAGACAAAUGUCACAAAAAAUGCAGCAACAGGAUCAACAUAUAUGUAUUCAUGAGUCUUGCUCCCUGAGCUAAUAUGUGGACUUGCAUAAGGACAUGAAUCUAUUCAACCAGUGACCAAAUCAAAGCAAUACCUAGUCCAAUCCUUUCACCGAUGAGCUUUGAAUCUCAUCACCAGCAUCAACAUUUAUCAACUUUAUUUGUAUCACUAUCAAUUGAUGAACAGGGGCCUUCUGAAUUCUUCAACAUGAAGUUUGUGUCCAUGAAUCUGUCAUUAGUGCACUUUUCGAAUCAGGAAAAGAAAUUUCAUGACCACCACAUCCACUCGGAAAGUCUAGUAUGCCAUGUUGCCAAUUCUCUAGAGUCCUAAAAGGGUCUUCCCUGACUUGGGCAUUCAAGUGUUCUUCGCAAGGCAUUGUAUUAUAUUGGCCUGUGUUACAUCCCGAUGUCGGACUAUUCUCACUGAAAGGAUUCCAGUGACUACUUUUUUUUUUUUUAUCAACAGAUUGAUUUGUUUGACGACUUGAUGCCACUGCUCUCUUGAGCUGAAUGAUUAAAAUGAUUACAUAACUUAAAAACCGUCCAGAUUGACAUCAGUUGUAGAGCUGCCAAUGGAUGACGACACAUCAUAAGCAAUAGGUUCCCAAUUGCUUCUUGGACAUAGACCUUCCUUAAAACCAUGUUCUUUCUUUCUUGCUACUUCGUUGAGAGAAAGUCGAUUUAUUAGCAUCGAUGGGACAGGAGGCUGACCAGGAAUGGAGUUAUUUUUCUAUCCCGGCAUCUCAUUGAUUUUGUUUUCUGUGCUGUUUCCUAGGGCUUUUGGAAAGCCUGCCACUACGAAAGGAUAGGGAUUUACAAAAUGAUUUGUGGGGUGCUUUGAACACAGCAUAAUAACAGCAUUGAUCCUCCUCGAUGAUGAUGAUGGUGGUUGUUCCGGUCCUCGGCAUACCCUGCUUUGCACUUCCUUUUUAUUUAGCUUUCUGUGACAAACCGACGACCGAGUGAUCCAAUCAUUUUUCUGGGUGGUGGGGACGAGGGACGGACGGUUUGAUCGCUUCGACGCACCGAUCUCCUCGGACCACAGAGCCGUCCACCGGCUCUCCCCGUACCCUCUCGAGGGCGUCCCUGUCCAAAAAAUCGCCGAUUCUCUCAAAACACCAUGGCCAAUCCAAACGCUGCCGGUCGACAAUUACACCGCAAAUUCUCUUUUUUUCUUCUCAUUUUUUCGCGAAAGUAAACAAUGAGAAACUCUCAUUUUCUCAUCUCUUUCUCUCCGUGCCUCUCUGCGCACAGGUGAGAGAAUAGAGGAGGGCGAGGGAGAAGAAGAAGAAGUCGGGACCUCAUCGCGUCAAGCCACGCAUUGGGCCCUUAGACUUUCGAAUUUGCUGUGUUCUGAAGCAAAUUUUAUGUACUCAGGAGACGAAAAUUUCAGGCCAUCCUCAAACUAGAUAUGAAAAAAGCAUAUGAUAGAGUCGAAUGGGAUUUUCUGUGUGAUUAUAUGCUAAAAGUGGGAUUUCAUGAGAGAUGUGUCGAGUGGAUAAAAAAAUGUAUUUCAACGGUAUCUUUCAACAUACUCAUUAAUGGAGAGCCUACAGAAAAUUUCAGAAGGGGAUCCUCUUUCCCCCCACUUUUUUAUCGUCAUGACAAACAUCUUAUUGACUCUCAUGAGGAAAGCUGUCUAAGAAGGGAGUAUAAAGGGUAUUCGCCUUAAUGCUUCUUGCCCAGCCCUCUCACAUCUCCUUUUUGCAGACGAUGCUAUUUUCUUCCUAGAUGGCACAAUUCGAGAAGCACAAAGUGUCUCAAAUGUGCUGAAUUAGUAUUGUUAUGCGACAGGUCAAGCUAUCAACCUCAACAAAUCAGGCCUUUAUGUUGGGAAAGAUUGUCCUCACAACCUUAAAUAGAAUCUAGCCUCAGAAUUGAGAGUUCCCAUCUCUGAAAAUUUAGGAAAGUACCUUGGAAUUCCAUCUGAAUGGGGAAAAAUUAAAAAGCAAAUGUUUGCUUGGAUCCUUGCGAAGGCUAAACGAAAAAUGGAAGGGUGGAAAGAGAAGCUGAUUUCAAAGGCGGGUAAAUAAAUCCUUAUUAAGUCAGUCAUUCAAGCCAUUCCCCAAUAUGCGAUGUCCAUCUUUAAACUUCCAACUUCCAUUUGUCGAACUAUUGAAAAGCGAGUUGCUUCCUUCUGGUGGAAACAGAAUGUAGACAGACGAGGAGUUCAUUGGAAGAAAUUGUCGAACUAUUGAAAAGCGAGUUGCUUCCUUCUGGUAACAGAAUGUAGACAGACGAGGAGUUCAUUGGAAGAAAUGGGAAGAUAUGAAAAUCAGAAAGGAUUGUGGUGGGUUAGGCUUCAAAGAUUUGGUGGAUUUUAAUAAAGCUAUGCUGGAAAAACAGGCUUGGAGAAUUGUUAAACAACCAAAUGCGUUAUGGUGCCAAGUUUUGAAAAGCAUCUAUUUUCCAUGAAGUGAUUUAUGGGCAGCAAACAGAGGACAUCGGCCCUCAUGGGGAUGGCAAAGUAUCUUGGUUGGAAGGGAUGCAAUUGAACCAGCUACUAGAUGGGUGGUCGGAGAUGGAAAAACGAUAAGAAUCCGAGAGGAUGUAUGGUUGCCUUCAGGAGGAAUCAUUGGCCUGGCAAACAAAGAAGAUCCAAGAAUAGUGGCGGAACUAAUAGAGAGUGAAUCGAAGGAAUGGGACUUGAACAGAGUACAAGCACUUUUUCAGGAAAAUAUAGCGCAAGAGAUUUUAGCGCACCCUCUGAGCCCGCAACCUAACCCAGACAAGCUUUUCUGGACAGCAAACAGAUCCAGCUCAUACACUAUCAAGAGCGGAUACAACAGACUACAAAGCUCAGCCAUUACCACCACUCGACAAAACCCUUCUUCAUCUUAUUAAACACCAAAAUCAUUGUGGCAUCAAAUAUGGAAUCUACCAACAUUCACCAAAAUCAGAGUCUUUUUCUGGAACUUAUGUAGUAACUCCCUCCCAACAAAGGCAAAUUUGCACAAGAGACAAAUAAAAACUGACCCAAUGUGCCAGAUUUGCGGCCAUGCACCAGAGACAAUUGAGCAUAUAUUCAUCCUCUGUAACUGGACAAAACAAGUAUGGGAAAUCUCUGAGUUCCAAGCCGAUACAAAUCCAGAGAACAUAACUCGAAUUGAGAGCUGGAUUCUUGGUAAUCUCACCUCAAAACCCGAAACAAGAUCAAAAGCCCUCUUUGCAGCGCUCAUGUGGCAAAUAUGGAAGACUCGCAACUCUGUGAUUUUCCGAGGGAAAUCGCCGGACCCGACCAACACCCAUGAAGAAGCAAGAAUAACAGCAGAUCUGACCAUGAAAUGGACUGUUAGAGGGACGCCUAGCAGAUAUAGACAGCAAGAGACUCAAAGAAUCGGGGAACACUGGAAACCACCUGACCCGCACAUGCUGAAGGUGAACGUUGAUGCCUCAUGGUGCAGCUCGAGCUUGAAUGGAUCGGUUGCAGGACUCUAUCGGAAUGAAGCUGGCCUCCUCGUCGCCAGUUUCACAAAGCAGAUCUCAGCUCCGUCCGCCUGGAUUGCAGAAGCCCUAGCAGUACACAAAGCCCUCUUGUGGGUAAAAAGUAGGCGAACAAACAACGAAGCUCGAACUGAACUUUUGAACGAAGGUGUUGACCGAACAGAUCUGCAGGUGCACGUUUUCUCUGACAACUUAUCUCUCGUGGACAGCAUAGCGGGCCGAGAAGCAGCUCCUUGGCAGGCCCAUUCCCUUAUUGCUGACUGCGCACAGCUCAAAGCCCAGCUGGGUGGUGUGCCCAUUCUUUACGAAUCAAGGGAAUGCAAUACCGCCGCGGAUUGGGUGGCCAAAUCUCACCGAAAAAAUUUACCGUCUAGCAAUUGGGUCUCUUUCCCUCCUCAACCUUUAAUGUCCAUAUUAUGUUUAGACUCACCAGGUGAUGGUGCCCUUUUUACGGGCUAGAAAUGAAAUUUCAGUAUAUUCCGACAAAAAAAAAAAGAAGACUACUUCCUUAUGAGAAUUUCAUUAAUUUCAUCUAGAAUUGCAUCUCCAUCGAAAAUUUCACCUAGGAUUGCAUUAAGGGAAUUGAAGCAGGUUGCAUUACAUUUGAAUAGCAUCAGUUAGAUUCUUACUUCCAUAUAUCAUAGUUCAUUUUAAAGAAAUAAUUCAUUUAGUAUUCAUAUAGUACCUCACGUUUUCAUAUUUGUUCUUUUUUUUUUUUAAGCGGUGGUUAAUUUUGAAGAUUUUAUAUUGAGUUAUAGCUCACAAGAGUCUUGUCAUGAGCAUUAUAACAAGGUUUCAUAAAAUUUUACCCAUACGGCUUGGUUUUUUAUUUUCCUGCACCUUUUAUUUAUUAUUAUGGUUAAUAUUUAUUAUUGACUGCUCGAGCACUAUGCAUUAUCAUCUUCCCAUAUUAGAGGAUUUAGGAAAACAAAAAAUGAAAAUACUACUUGCAAAUUUUUUUAUGAAAGGUAUGAAAGGGUAUUAAAUCAAUGUAGUGUACUCAAGUCCCAAGACAUGUAAAUCUUUGGUUUGUAGGCUCUCGCAUCUUACCCAAGUUUCUAACUAGCUCUGAAUAGGUUAGUAGUGAUUCUUCAGCCUCAUCUUGAAUGAAUGAUUAAUUAGAAAAAUUAAAUUACGAUUAGUACGACUUGUAAGGGCACGUCCUAGACAUAGGCCCCAUCUACUAAGAGGAGCCACUCUUCGUUUAGUAAUCCAUCAAAUUUCCUCAGACACAUCUAAUAUCACUUUCGGGAAGGUCACAAUAAUCUGUACUUAAAGUACAACUUAAUUAUGUACUAGUCAAAUGUCCGAGUGUUACGUGAUAAAGAACUCCAAAAUUCAAUACAAUCAAUGUAAAGUGAGAUGUGCAGUAUAAUGUUAUUAAUACAAAUUUCAUAAAUAAAUAAAAAAAAGUUGGAAGCAAAUGAACAGAAACGAUGAGAUGAUAUAUAUCACCUGAGAACGUCAAGGAUUGCUUCCACGUCUUGCCAUUAAAUAGCGCCUCAUGGUCCUCUCUUGUUGCUACGACCGUGCAUUGGCUACAACACUAAAAUUUAUUGAUGAGAUCUAUUCUGGCACAAAAAGCUUCUGUCAACACUUCUUUGAAAAUGCGAGAUCAAAAUAUAAUACAAGAACCUUAAAUCCAUUCCGCAAAAUGAAGAUAAUCACCUGACCUGCAUGCCCUCGCGUCUCUAAAGCAACAAUUUAGGCAAAUUUUUAAGCUCCACAACACUUAGGUCAUCAUCAUUAUUUAGGACGGUCCCAAUGGUGUAGUAUACAAUUCAAAUGAAGGUGAGACAAGGAAACAAACCUCAAAAGGAGAUGAGAGGAAGCGAGCAUGCUGUCGAUCAAACCGAUGCACUCUUCUACCACCUCUUGAGGAAUUGUGUAACCAGAUUUUUGAACAUUGAUAAAAUUUCAAGGAGGAGAUUUGCCAAUAAGCUAAUGUAAGAUUUUGUAGGAUUUUCGAUUGUGAUUUUCUUGUGCUUUUUUUUGACGAGUACAGCCCGUUAAAAAAGUUAUCUAGUACACACCACUGAUGUUUCAAGUCUAUUUUAAUACACGCUUUUUUCGCCUCUUGAUUUAGAUCUUGCCAAAAAUUUAAUAUCGUUCUAAUAGAGCUAUGGACUAUUCUAAAUAUGGACUUAUCAACUAUCCACGCCUUUUGCUUAUGCAUGGAUGGCCAUGGACUCAGAUUGGUUUGCACACUUUUAGUUGUAUUCGAAUAGGUGACCUUCACAUUCUAAUUUGGAAAUGCCUCUAUGUCAUGACCAACGGCACCAACUCUAACAGUUCCAUUAAAAAUAGAAGAUGCAGAUAAGAGAGAAAAAGAUUAAUGAAUUGAGCAUUAACAUCUUUUUUUUUUUCGUUUUCAAGGCUCUAUUUCACAAUUAAGACUAGGGUGAAAAUCGAUGCUAAAAUGAAUGGAUAGAAGUGACAACCGCAAAUAAUCCUCAUUUGUCCCUCAUCAAAUAUGAAGUUUAAAAUUUACGGGUCGCGACUAUUGGGCUUGGCCCAAAAGCUAAUAGAAUUGGAUGUACAUUGGUUCCAUGUCUUGCUAUGUUUGAAACUGGGGGUGAUGAGUACUAUGGGAGAAAAUUUCAAAAUUUCACGCGUUCUCUUUUUCUCAGCAUAUUUAUAAAGUUUUCUAACAUUUUCCGCCCAAACUUUCUUUUUCUCCAUUUCCUUCUUUUCCCAAACAUCGAAGAAGUAAUAAUACCGCUGAUACCAACAUUUGCCAAUCGGUACAUGACCUCCUCUUUUGAGAAUCAUUAAAUAUUCUUUUUAUCAAAAAUGUCAAAUGUGGUAUUUUUUUUGUCACUUCAUAUAUGCACUCAAUAAAGAAACAGGGAGAAAGAAAUAAUAGAUCACAAUCAUAUGAAAAAGAACAUGUAUAAUGACAUCCAAAUAUCGAAUAUUAAGAUCAUGAACUAAUCACCUCACUCUUUUAGUAUAUACGUCAUUCCUUGUGUUAAUAUCCUCAAACCAUCCCGAGGAUUAUCAAAGAAAAUAUCAUCCAAUACUGAUUCUCGAAGGAUAAUGAGAGUCCCAUCCAUAUAACACUUGACAGCAUUUGGAUAAAUCUCCUCAAGUUUUAGAAAAUAGAAACUCAAUCCACCGCAACCGUUUAGACGAUCGCAUAACUGUAAGUCUAGCUUUCGGCCUUUUAACAAGCUUCUAGUGUCGAAUUGCAAAUAUCUAUCGAAAGAAGCCCAGUUUGGGAAGUGUAGUUCAUCGAAUCCAACUCUUGGAGGACCCGACUCGACCUCUUCUUUUCUUUGUGUCGUUGAUCCCGGUUUGAUGGAUUCCCUUCUUCCUAGCUCUGUAUUCGAUCCAAAUACUCCGAGGAAAGAGAGGAUUCUGGGGAAAACAGGGUUAGGUUUUGAGUGUUAAGGAUGGAAUCGAAUGGAUGUAGGAGAAGGGUUGGAUUUUGAGGAAGAUCGAAGUGAGACGGAAGUGAAUCAUGCCUUCGAUUUGUAGAAAUUCGGAGUAAAAUGGAGUGGAUGAUUAAGAUUUGACUGGAUGAAGGUUGGAGGUAAGUGAGAUUCGCGGAUAUAGAGAGACAAAUCGUGGUUUUACAAAUAACUAAUAAAGAAUAUGCAGCAAAUAAAAGUUAACCUAAAAUCAUUCAAUAUUCACCAUUUUUAUUUUAUCCAAGGGCUUAAUAAAACUAUCCGCUAUUUAAUUAUUGGUGUCCGCAAACUCUACCGAGAGAAUGUUGGAUUAGAUUUUUGCACAAGCUAGUAGCCAGGCUAUAGUCAAACCUAGUGGGAACAUCUUUUUUUUUUCCAUUUAUUCCAGAAUCACGAUGUUUCACCCACAAAAUUUGAGCACGAUAACUAUCCGUGACGAUAAAUUUGACUUCUAUCAUCUAAAUAGCAGCUGAAUUUUUUUGGGAUUUGUGUGUUAAAAAUCCUAAAAUUUAUCGUGAAAACGCAAUUGAGUUCUGAAAAUUUCAAAAAACGUAAUCAAUUCUUAAAAUUUGUUAAAUUGGUACAACCAAAUGUGGAAACAUAAUUUUUACAGUCAAAUUGCUUUUUCUGUGAAAAAGAAGGAGGAGGGUAUAUAAAAAUCAAAUGAAUAAAAUAACAAGUGAAAAAUAGAAAGAAAAGGUGCUUAAAUUGCUCGAAUCCAUCGUUAUGCCUCAGCCCACCAGACCAAGAUCAUUCAAGUUCGAAUGUCAAUUCAAUUUCACGAGAAAUUCGUCCGGCGAGCUUCUGAAAAAAUCUGCUGCGGUUCAUAUCAUCUUUCUUGGCUCUUCUAUUCCAGCGACCGAUCGCUCCCGAAAUCCAGUCGAAGCUACACCCCCCGCGCUCCAGGUCUCUCACCAUCACCACCAGCCUACCAGUCCUUUUCGCCGGAGAGGAAGUCGAGCGAAAAAGAGAUUUCUGCUCCCUCUCGGACCUUUCUUCACAGAAGCAUCGAGACUCCAAGAACGAGAAUACUCUUCUGGAUACCCUCGAUUGAACCUACGACGUCGACUCCAGUCCAAUCUUAGGCCGCCGCAAACAUUCGAGUCUCCGUCGACCGAGGCGCCUCCACCUCUGUUCGCUUCGAGCUCAGCCAUGCUGGAGAGAUGAAACGAAGUAUUGACGGAAAGAUGCCGAAGUCGCGGCUGAUCGAAGCCACUCCCGAGCUUCACUGAUCGCAUCUCCCUGUACUGCUCUGUUUGUCGUUCGGAGAUCUCGAAGUGCCUUGCACUCACUUAAUCCUCCUUUGUCAGGUCCGAUCAUCAUCGGCGACACGCCCAGGACUCCUUUUUGUAAGUUCAACAGCUGAUCGCGGGUGCAAUCGCACAUCAUCAAGGUAAAAUUGUUACUGUUUGUGUGAAAAUCGGCCACGAUUGAGGUUUUAUUAAGGAUUUAAGCUUGCUCCGAUGUUGUUGUGAUGGUAUAAAAGCGAAUCGUCGAUUCAUAUUCUUGUAUAAACUCCUUGAUGGAAAUGCAUAUCACGUGUUUGAUGAAAUGCUCGAACCAGAUCCGGAUGUUUUUUAUUAAGUCAUUGAGCCGGAAGUCGUAAUGUAUCAACUCAACUCAUUCUUGAUUUAUUGAGACCUCAUUUUGACCGCUUUAUUUGGAAUACGAUGCUCAUUCAUUAUUGAAUUGGUGUUAUAAUUCUCAUGUUGGAAAUUGCGUCUUGCUUUCUCUGGUUUGAGUUGAGUCUUCUAUACGAAUGGAGUUCAGUGUUAGAAUCGUUGCUUAUAUGAUCAGAUUUUUCUAUUAUAUCUCAGUUUGUAUAAUCCAUUUUCAGUAUUACUCUGACGUGUCAUCACUUUGUAUGUGGUGUGGCCGAACGAUGGCGACCUGGAUCUUUAGACCGGUGAUCGAGCGAGAGCUUGUCUCUCGAAAUAGAAGCUCGGAGAAGUUCAUUGACUGUGCUUGACAGGGCCACAAUCAUAAGUAUGGACUCUCUAUCCUUCUCUCUGCAUUUGGUUGUAUUCAUUCCAUGUGCUUCUUCUUUGCUGUCCGUCAUUCACAUCUUUGGUUAUUGCUCUGUGUUUGGGGCCCUGCGAGCACGAAGUCAGGGGUGUACGGCAGCAACCGGUGAAACUCCUGCUCUUUCCGCAUCUGCAUUGUUCUCAGCUUGAAAGGUUUGAGUAUGGGUAUAUCCAUGUAAACUUGGUAAGGGAAGAUCAAUUCAGUACGACUGUACAAGCGAAUUCUUCUUUGCCUAUUCUUUCUGGUUUUAGUUUUCCCUUGCUACCUUGAGUUGGUUUUAUGGUGUGAUCGUAUUUGGAAAGCUUGAGGUCCUGAAUAUUUUAAUUCCCAAAAGAAAAAAAAAAUUGUAGUAGCUGCAGUUCUUUGGGGAAUUAUUGAUUGCUUUAGGGGAAUUGAUGUCUAGCGAUUUAACAUUUGCUUUUCUUCAGUCCUACCAAAACCCCUCUGGCAUGUGACGAAGCUAUAUCAAUAUGAUCUCUUACCUUAGCAUUUUUAUGGAUACAGAAACUCAUUCGAUUAAUCGAAGCUAGGGAUUAAACUGAAGUUUUAAUUUGAUAUUAAUUCAUAAUCAAGGUGUGCGUUUUGUGUUCUGUUUUGCAACCUGGACGUUUAUUCAUAUAGCUACUUGCGUAAGCUUCAUAAAAUGAGUGGGCAAUGAAUGAGUGUUAAUAAUACAUGUCAAUUUUGAAAGAAAUAAAACCAUUGUCACACUUGAUCAUGCUGGAAUGAGACUUGGAUUUGCUGACUUAUCUAAUUGAAGCUCAAUUUCGAUUCAUCGUGAUGUCAUUUUUAUCAUAUGAACGAGUAUGAUGACCUAGUAGCCUGUCAUGGUGAAUUGGUGAUAAUUUUUCAACAGAUAACCAUGUUGUUUUGCCUUGAACAUGCUGGAUAUGGGCUGUCAUCACAAUUCCUUUGCUGGUCAUUCCUUUUUCGGUGUAGACUGAAUUCAUUUGAAGCCCCAUCUAAGUGCUGUUCUAAUUAGCCGUGAUGCGGUGUUUGUAUGUUGAUGAUUUCUUAAUCACUGGGCAUGUUUGUUGCCAAUUGCUUUCAUUGAACGAAUUAAAAAUCUUGAAAAUAAGAAAUGUAAAAUUUGUUAGAUUUUGGUAUUAGAAUUAAAUUAGAAUUAGUUUAUUUUCAUUUAGUAAGUGUACGCUUGGUUUAAUGUUUUAGUGGACACCUUUGAUUUAGUUUAGUCUUAGAAGGUUGACCAUUUAAAAAAUAAAUUGAACUCAAUUUGAACUAAGCUCAUGGGGUUGUUGUCAUGGGGUUUAAUAGCAAGGCCAUGUAAUAUUUUUUACCUAACUCAUAUUGGGUUAUUUUACUGCACUAUAUUUUUUUAUUUGUCCUUCAUUAUUAUUUUUAAUGUGUUUGUUAUGAUUGCCCUUAUAUCAUUUUUUGUGCUGUUAUUCAUUUUUAGUUAAGUGGUUAGAUUUAUGUUAGGAACAUAAUAAACACAAAAUCAUUGCAUGGACUCUUAGCAAACAAUAACUUUAGGACUCAUUAUUUGGUAAAAAGAUUGUGUGGAUACCUUGGUUGACAAAUGAUCAAAUUUAGGUACCGAAAGAGCACUAAUUAGAUAACUAAUGGAAUCAAGCCCCUAAACUUAGAUGUUUGGUUGUAUAGGAAGUGGGCAUAUUCUCAUACCCACUUGAUUUUUAGCUAACUCUAAUAAGCUAGUAGUGAUUUCUCAUAUAGCAUUUUCAUAGGGUUAAUUGAACCAAAAUGAAAAUCCCAACAUCGCACUAGGUAAGGAUUUAAGAGCACCUAGACCAAUUGAGGAUUGCUGGUCUUUGUCAUCACGUCACCUCUAAAUGUGUUAUUUUCCCUAACGGAAAAGAGGUGCACUACAUCAAAUCCUUCCAUUAGACCCAUCCGAAUUGAUUCAAUGUAAGUUAGAAAUAUGUGGGGGCUACGUCAUAAAAAUUUGGCAAAUUCUUUUAGAAAAAAUAAAAAAUAUAGCCAAAACCAAUCUCUAUCCGCACAUUUGUAAGCGAGAAAGGGGAAUCUUAUGGCAUGUUCAUGUGAAUUAUUGUUUGUUUACCAAAACUUCUCUUAGUUUGUGGGACCAACCCCACCAAAAUUAUUACAAAGCAAGGUCAUAAGAGGACAAUGCCUUUUGGUUGAGUUCAAGAAAAUAAUUCGAAGCAUACUAAUCAACCGCUUCCGAAAGUUGGCAGUGAAGGAGAUGAUUACUUGGCUUCUAAAGAAUAUCAUAGAUUAAAAAUUGAUUUCUAGUAUGAACACCUUGACUCUAACAUGAGUAUUGAUUCUUUUUUGGGCUGAGGACCUAAGUGUUGAUUAAAAUGUCUUUUAGCAACAAGACCAAUUAUUUGAAAACAUCUAUUAGCGAAAGACCAAUUUUAGACCAUAUUUCUUUGAUCACUGAAGGUUGGCCAUUAUUUCCCCAAAUAAGGGGAAGAGAACUCAACAAACCCAACUCUUGCUUCUUCCUCUUAGCUGUGGAGGACAAAGGGGCUGAUCACUUGAAGAAAAACAAAAGCAAACUCAAAACUCUAGUGACAAAAAAGCAUAAAAGGGUUAACCCUUAUGAGAAGAGAUCCUCCUCAAUUCAGCUUUUCGAUGAGAACUUAUUGGAUACCCCUAUCCAAUCGAUGGAAGGUGUUCUGGAACGGGCUUUGGUGGCUAGCCCUAAUAAGCCACCAGGUUAUACACGAAGAUCCUAUGCUGGAACUGUCAGAGCCUAAGCACACCCCUGACAGUUCAGCACCUUAGAGCCUUCGUGGCUCGAGAAAGACUCAACUUGGUGUUCCUUAUGGAAACCAAGAAUAAAGAAAUAAGGUUGACCGAGUACAAAAGAGUCUAAAGUUCGACUACUCUACUAUAAUCAAUCCAUUCGGAAUUGCAGAUAGUUUAAUUCUUAUGUGGGAUGAUCAAGUACAAAUGGAAGUUAUGGCUUGCUUUGGGAGAUCAUUGAUGUUAAGUGCAAAGUUCUCAGCAGCAGCAAUCAAAUGAGAAUAUCAUUUCUACAUGCUUCUACCUCCUUCCAAGAGAGAUUAAACCUUUUGGCAAAUGCUAUCCUCAAUUAAUUCAUCCAACAACCUACCUUGGCUGUGUAUGGGAGAUUUUAACAAAGUCCUUUAUUAUUGGGAAAAAGUUGGAAGAAGAGAAGCAGAUAGACACCGAAUGGUGGCUUUUCGUGAUUUUAUGGACUCGUGCUCUUUAAUGGACAUGUAAAGUAAAUGCUGCAAAUUCACCUGGACUAAUAAUAGAGAAGGAGAUGACCUAGUGAAGAAAAGGCUUGAUAGAGCCUUAUGCAAUUGGGCAUGGAGAGUACAAUUUCCAAACGCGGAGGUCCUUGCUUUAUCGGUGAUUGGCUCUGAUCACAGCCCCUUGCUACUUGCCCUGGAACCAAACACUAUAAAAAGAAAGAAGGAGUUCAGAUUUGAGGCAUAUUGGCUUGAAGAAAAGGAAUGUAUAAAUGUGAUUCAAGAGGCUUGGGGAAAAAACAACAUCGACCGAGUAAACUUUACAGGAAAAGUGCAGAAAGUUACAGCUGAUCUAGCCAAAUGGAGUCGGCGAAAUUUCCACAAUGCAAUUCGACAAAUAGGUAUUCUCAAGCAAAGACUAACGGAGAUGACUAACAAGGAGGAAGAGCAAUAUGACAGAGAGGAGUACAGAAAUGUGAUUAGAAAAAAUAGAAGCCCUUUGGCGACAAGAAGAAAUGUAUUGGAGCAUGCGAUCAAGAAUCAAGUGGAUAAGAUGGGGUGAUCAAAACACAAAAUUCUUUCAUGCCACGAUUGUACAAAGAAGAGUUCAGAACAGGAUCUCUAUGUUACGGAUCGAUGAUAUUACAUGGAGCCGCGAGCCUUCAACCAUAAAACAACACAUCAGGGAUUUCUAUCAAUCAUUAUAUACUAUGGUGGGGGAGAGAAACUAUCAACCAAUACUUGAUCAAUGCAUACAACUGGUGAAUGAUGAGAUGAAUGAAAGCCUAAUUAAGCCUAUCUCCGAAGAAGAAGUGAGAGAUGCGGUCUUUCAAUUGGGAGCUACUAAAAGACCAGGGUUGGAUGGACUAAACGGAUUAUUCUACCAAAACCAGUGGUCGGUGGUUCAGGAAGACAUUUUCAGAAUGGUAGACUCCUUUUUCAGCUAAGGUACUCUCGAUCUUGAGUUGAAUAAGACCUAUAUCACUCUUAUCCCUAAAGUAGCUGACCCUGAAAGUAUAACUCACUAUAGGCCUAUCAACCUUGGCAAUUUCAAUUAUAAAAUCAUUGUUUAAGUUAUGGCCAACCGCUUAAAACCCCUCCUCCUAAACCUAAUCUCCCAGGAACAAAGUGGUUUUGUUAGUGGCCGUCAAAUCCAGGACAAUAUUUUCAUUGUUCAAGAGGUCCUACACUAGCUAAGAGUGAGGAAAAGAAAGCAGAAGCUUCAGGCAGUCCUAAAACUCGACAUGCAAAAAGCCUUUGAUGGGGGUAGAAUUGGAUUUCUUAUGCAAUUAUCUGCUAAAGCUGGGAUUUAGCUACAAAUGGGUUUUCUUAGUCAAACAAUGCAUCUUCUCAGUCUCAUAUAGUGUUAGAGUAAAUGGGGACCUUUACACUCCUUAUAUCCCAACCCGAGGUAUCCGACAAGGGGACCCAUUAUCCCCUUAUUUCUUUAUCCGACAAGGGGACCCAAUGCUUUUUCAUCCCUCAUGACAAAAGCAGUUGAAUACCAAACCAUAAAGGGAAUCAAACUAAACACCACUUGCCCCACUUUGUCACAUCUCCUAUUCGCCGAUGAUGCUAUCUUAUUCCUAAAUGGUACAAUUACUGAAGCCCAAAAUCUGGCCAACAUUCUAAACCAAUACUGCUUUGCCUCGGGUCAAGCCAUCAACCUAAACAAGUCUAGGAUUUUCUUUGAGAAGGCCUGCCCCAUCUCUUAAAAUCAAACCUAGCAAAUGAAUUAAGGGUUCCUAUCAUAGAGAAAACAGGGAAAUAUCUGGGAAUACCGUCAGAUUGGGGUCAGAUCAAAAAACAUAUGUUCGCUUGGGUCCUUGCUAGAGUCGAAAAAAAAUUAGAGGGCUGGAAAGAAAAACUAAUCUCCAAGGCGGGGAAAGAGAUACUCAUCAGGACAGUAAUCCAAGCCUUGCCACAAUAUGCUAUGUCUCUCUUCAAAAUCACAAUAUCUAUUUGUCGGGUGAUAGAACAGCGAAUAUCCAACUUCUGGUGGAAGCAAAAUUCAGCAAAGAAAGGAGUUCAUUGGAAGAAUUGAGACCUCUUGAAAACCCGAAAGGACUGUGGAGGCCUUAGCUUCAAAGAUCUAGCGAAUUUCAACAAUCUUUGCUAGGGAAAUAAGCUUGGAGGCUAAUUCAAGCCUUGGAAGCCCAUGGAGCAGAAUUUUAAGGAGCUUAUACUUUCCAAGAGAUACUUUCUGGAAUGCACAUAAAGGCCACAAACCGUCCUAAGGAUGGCAAAGUCUCUUAAUGGGUAGAGAAGUGAUUGAACCUGAAACUAUAUGGGAUGUAGGAGAUGGGGAGAAAAUCAGGAUUCGAGAGGAUCGCUGGUUAACCAUUGGAAAAAUUGGUGGACCUUCGAAUAGAAAUGACCCACAAAGGAUGAUGGAAUUGAUAGACCAAAAUACCAAAGAAUGGAAUGUCCAGAAAAUUAAUAUGAUCUUUGGUGAGAUUGUGGCUAAGGAAAUAGUAGCGACUCCUCUUAGUCUUACCCCGAAACCUGAUAAAUUAAUCUGGACGGCAAAUGGCUCAGGAACCUACACAGUCAAGAGUGGCUAUAAUCGACUCAGAGAUCACGAGAAGAAUCACCAACAAUGCUACCCUCCACUUCCUACCAGACUCUCAAAACACUAUGGCAUGAAAUCUGGAAGCUACAGACUAGCCCCAAAGUCCAAUUCCUAGUAUGGAGCCUGUGCAACAAUGCUCUCCCUACCAAAGAAAAUCUAUUCAAGAGGACUAUAACACUUGAUCCAAGAUGCUCAAUCUGUCAUCACAACCCAGAAACAGUCGAACAUCUAUUCGCUUUGUGCAACUGGACAAAAGCCAUUUGGUCAAAUCCGAGACUACAGAUUGACACCUCCCUGAAGAAAAUAACUCGCUUCGACAAAUGGGUUUUGGAAAUCCUUACCUCGGCGGCGGAUCCUCACGCAAAAGCCUUCUUUGCUGAAAUCGUAUGGCAAAUCUGGAAAGCAAGGAAUGCCCUAAUUUUCCAAGCUCAUCGGCCAAACCUCAGGCUGAUUAUUGAGGAUGCGACAUCCAUGAACCUCAUCUUCAACAACUGGCUCCUACGGAACAAAACCCAAUACAACAAGAUGAGACCAGAUUCGACGAUCAGCAGCCCCAAAAAAUUCCUUCGUAGACCCAAGAAGUCCCAUACUUGCAUAAUCAGUGUUGACAGCGCCUGGUGCAGCUCCACGAAAUCAGGUUCAGUCGCGAGAGUUGUUUGAAACAGUAGCGGGCUCCUCGUUGACGGCUUCGCGAAAUCCAUCCAUGUGCCCUCAAUCCUAAUCGCCGAAACCCUAGUGGUGCGCGAAGCCUUGCUCUGGCUGCAAAACUUUGACCAAGACAUAAACACAUGAGCUGCUGUGUACUUGGGAAGUAUAGAAGACUUCCAACUCAGUUCAGAUAGCUUAGAAGCAAUUCAGGGCAUUUUGGGCCAAAAAGAAUGCGUAUGGGCCGCAUGAACAGUAACCAACGACUGCAAAUCUCUUUUGAUGCACAUGCCUCACGUCACAUUAGCCCAUGAGCCCAGAGAAGUCAACAGAGCAGUUGAUUGGGUCGCAAAAGCCCACAAAGCAGGAGAACUUCCUCUUAACUGGAUAAAUUGCCCUCCUCCCCUAUCUUUCAUUAAUUUUAUGUUUAGAUGUUGAAACCUUGUGGUACUCUGAUGGUGGUUAAGUAAUGAAAGUUUCCAUUUCAGACCCAAAAAAAAAAGUUGGCCAUAGCAUUAAUUGGUUUGGAAGUUUGCUUUGCUAUCCAAUUUUCCCUCCUACAAGUUCCCAUUGCAAAGAUAUCAUGAUUCUUUAACUUGGUUAUGCUUCGUAACUUUCUUGAUGAAAUGUUUCUCCAAGCUAACAAGUAUUGCUAUUGCAUUACUUUCAAAGCAGGAAUGAAGAUUUUCUCCACAUUCAAUCCCUUAUAGAUUAUGUCAUGGAUAUAUUGAACUUUUCGGAAACAUGAACAUGAACUUUCCUAUUUCUGUUCACACAAAAACGCUUUCAAAAAGUAUUUGAUAAUUCCUUAUGUACAUUAAUUCAACGAUUGCAUGUCAUGUGGGUUAAUCGACUUUAAAAAUUCUGGUAUCCCAAUAAAAAGAAAUUUGAUAAAGAAAAGUCAGAAUUUUCAUUUUCUUUUAUUUAGGACAGAAAGAUUCCCUCAAGGCUGUAAAUAUUAUUUUAACGUCNNNNNNNNNNNNNNNNNNNNNNNNNNNNNNNNNNNNNNNNNNNNNNNNNNNNNNNNNNNNNNNNNNNNNNNNNNNNNNNNNNNNNNNNNNNNNNNNNNNNNNNNNNNNNNNNNNNNNNNNNNNNNNNNNNNNNNNNNNNNNNNNNNNNNNNNNNNNNNNNNNNNNNNNNNNNNNNNNNNNNNNNNNNNNNNNNNNNNNNNNNNNNNNNNNNNNNNNNNNNNNNNNNNNNNNNNNNNNNNNNNNNNNNNNNNNNNNNNNNNNNNNNNNNNNNNNNNNNNNNNNNNNNNNNNNNNNNNNNNNNNNNNNNNNNNNNNNNNNNNNNNNNNNNNNNNNNNNNNNNNNNNNNNNNNNNNNNNNNNNNNNNNNNNNNNNNNNNNNNNNNNNNNNNNNNNNNNNNNNNNNNNNNNNNNNNNNNNNNNNNNNNNNNNNNNNNNNNNNNNNNNNNNNNNNNNNNNNNNNNNNNNNNNNNNNNNNNNNNNNNNNNNNNNNNNNNNNNNNNNNNNNNNNNNNNNNNNNNNNNNNNNNNNNNNNNNNNNNNNNNNNNNNNNNNNNNNNNNNNNNNNNNNNNNNNNNNNNNNNNNNNNNNNNNNNNNNNNNNNNNNNNNNNNNNNNNNNNNNNNNNNNNNNNNNNNNNNNNNNNNNNNNNNNNNNNNNNNNNNNNNNNNNNNNNNNNNNNNNNNNNNNNNNNNNNNNNNNNNNNNNNNNNNNNNNNNNNNNNNNNNNNNNNNNNNNNNNNNNNNNNNNNNNNNNNNNNNNNNNNNNNNNNNNNNNNNNNNNNNNNNNNNNNNNNNNNNNNNNNNNNNNNNNNNNNNNNNNNNNNNNNNNNNNNNNNNNNNNNNNNNNNNNNNNNNNNNNNNNNNNNNNNNNNNNNNNNNNNNNNNNNNNNNNNNNNNNNNNNNNNNNNNNNNNNNNNNNNNNNNNNNNNNNNNNNNNNNNNNNNNNNNNNNNNNNNNNNNNNNNNNNNNNNNNNNNNNNNNNNNNNNNNNNNNNNNNNNNNNNNNNNNNNNNNNNNNNNNNNNNNNNNNNNNNNNNNNNNNNNNNNNNNNNNNNNNNNNNNNNNNNNNNNNNNNNNNNNNNNNNNNNNNNNNNNNNNNNNNNNNNNNNNNNNNNNNNNNNNNNNNNNNNNNNNNNNNNNNNNNNNNNNNNNNNNNNNNNNNNNNNNNNNNNNNNNNNNNNNNNNNNNNNNNNNNNNNNNNNNNNNNNNNNNNNNNNNNNNNNNNNNNNNNNNNNNNNNNNNNNNNNNNNNNNNNNNNNNNNNNNNNNNNNNNNNNNNNNNNNNNNNNNNNNNNNNNNNNNNNNNNNNNNNNNNNNNNNNNNNNNNNNNNNNNNNNNNNNNNNNNNNNNNNNNNNNNNNNNNNNNNNNNNNNNNNNNNNNNNNNNNNNNNNNNNNNNNNNNNNNNNNNNNNNNNNNNNNNNNNNNNNNNNNNNNNNNNNNNNNNNNNNNNNNNNNNNNNNNNNNNNNNNNNNNNNNNNNNNNNNNNNNNNNNNNNNNNNNNNNNNNNNNNNNNNNNNNNNNNNNNNNNNNNNNNNNNNNNNNNNNNNNNNNNNNNNNNNNNNNNNNNNNNNNNNNNNNNNNNNNNNNNNNNNNNNNNNNNNNNNNNNNNNNNNNNNNNNNNNNNNNNNNNNNNNNNNNNNNNNNNNNNNNNNNNNNNNNNNNNNNNNNNNNNNNNNNNNNNNNNNNNNNNNNNNNNNNNNNNNNNNNNNNNNNNNNNNNNNNNNNNNNNNNNNNNNNNNNNNNNNNNNNNNNNNNNNNNNNNNNNNNNNNNNNNNNNNNNNNNNNNNNNNNNNNNNNNNNNNNNNNNNNNNNNNNNNNNNNNNNNNNNNNNNNNNNNNNNNNNNNNNNNNNNNNNNNNNNNNNNNNNNNNNNNNNNNNNNNNNNNNNNNNNNNNNNNNNNNNNNNNNNNNNNNNNNNNNNNNNNNNNNNNNNNNNNNNNNNNNNNNNNNNNNNNNNNNNNNNNNNNNNNNNNNNNNNNNNNNNNNNNNNNNNNNNNNNNNNNNNNNNNNNNNNNNNNNNNNNNNNNNNNNNNNNNNNNNNNNNNNNNNNNNNNNNNNNNNNNNNNNNNNNNNNNNNNNNNNNNNNNNNNNNNNNNNNNNNNNNNNNNNNNNNNNNNNNNNNNNNNNNNNNNNNNNNNNNNNNNNNNNNNNNNNNNNNNNNNNNNNNNNNNNNNNNNNNNNNNNNNNNNNNNNNNNNNNNNNNNNNNNNNNNNNNNNNNNNNNNNNNNNNNNNNNNNNNNNNNNNNNNNNNNNNNNNNNNNNNNNNNNNNNNNNNNNNNNNNNNNNNNNNNNNNNNNNNNNNNNNNNNNNNNNNNNNNNNNNNNNNNNNNNNNNNNNNNNNNNNNNNNNNNNNNNNNNNNNNNNNNNNNNNNNNNNNNNNNNNNNNNNNNNNNNNNNNNNNNNNNNNNNNNNNNNNNNNNNNNNNNNNNNNNNNNNNNNNNNNNNNNNNNNNNNNNNNNNNNNNNNNNNNNNNNNNNNNNNNNNNNNNNNNNNNNNNNNNNNNNNNNNNNNNNNNNNNNNNNNNNNNNNNNNNNNNNNNNNNNNNNNNNNNNNNNNNNNNNNNNNNNNNNNNNNNNNNNNNNNNNNNNNNNNNNNNNNNNNNNNNNNNNNNNNNNNNNNNNNNNNNNNNNNNNNNNNNNNNNNNNNNNNNNNNNNNNNNNNNNNNNNNNNNNGAAUUUGCAUGGCAACUACGAACGACACUUUAUGAUAAGAAAGCGCCGUUGGCAAUGUGGCUUGAGACAGGGUCUCUAGUCUUGUCUUGCUCGGCCUCACCACCUCUCUUAGCACGCAGCAAAAGAAAAACUGAAGAAAAAUAAUGGCCACAAUCACAGUCUCACUUAUAGCUAUCACAUGAGUGGUGUUGGUGAUCCCCAUCGACAUCGAAUGCGAGCCUUGCCUAGACAAGGGCGGGGAAGCCAUCGACCAAUCUUUCAACCCUGAUUACAACCCCAGCGUCCAAUCUCUCACUUAUCUCUCGCCCCUCUGAUCGCCCACCCUAACCCUAACCUUGUAGAUUCAAAUAUGAAGUGCAUCGGUGGUUGCUUCUUAGUAUCUUAUAAAAUUGUCAAAUCAAUGCUUUCUGUUGUAGGUUUCCGAUUCAUAAUCUUUUUCCCUCCUAUCGUUCCUCUUUUUCACUUUGGCCAUGAGGUUGGUGAAUCCUUCCUUGUAGCACUAAUGUAUUAUCAUAUGUAGAAUUUUAAUCUUAGCUUGACAUUGACAAAGCUAGCUCCAAUACCAUAAAUGGGUUAUGAGAGAUAAGGAUACCAUACAUACUAUAACUUUUAUACGACGCUCACUUCAAUGUCAUAACUUUUUUUCAAACACUUAAGUGUUCAUAACUUAUAUAUAUAAACAUUUACUUGAGGUCAUAUCUUUCGAUCGAUUACUUUAGUGUAAAUUUUUUUUAAAAAUGUUCACUUAAGUACCAAAAAUCUGAUGUCACAUACCACUUGUGGUGAAAGUUUUUAAAAAGUUAUAACACUCAAAUGGUCAAUUAAAAAGUUAUGGCACUCAAGUAAGGGUUGUGUAUAAGUUAUGACACUUAAGCGAAAAAAAAAAGAAAAAGUUAUGGCUAGUAAACAUUAUACAAAAAUUAUGAUACUUGUAGUGUCAUUUUCUUGAGUUAUGAUAAGGAUUAAUGAUAGUCCGAGACAAGUAUGCCUUUAGUAUCAAGACAUCAUUAACCUAUAUCAUUAGAAUCUUUGGCUUCAUAAAGUUUAUGAUCGACAUAAAAAGGACAAUAAUGCAAGUCAUUCUGGCCAAAAGUAAUCGCCGAUAAAUACAAAAGCACACUAAUUACGGUAAUGUCAAAUCCUCUAGUCAUAUUUUUGGGACCAACAUCACCAAGAUUUGCCAACCAUCACCGCCAAUUGUCCAUAUUCAUGAGCACUAUCUGAUCUAUAGAAAAAGGACAAUGAUGCAAAUUAUUGUAGACAAAUGUAAUGGCCGACAAAAAGAGAAGCGCACUAAGUACGAUACGAUCAUGUCAGAUCCACUUGAAUCAAUUUUUCUACGGUGAGCAUCACGAAGCUUCGCCAACCAUCUUUGCCAACUCGUUUAACUUAAAAAAAAAAAAAGAAAAAAGAAGAAGAAGAAGAUGAAAUGCUUAUCUUCUUCGUGAGCAAGAGAUUAUAGUAAGCAUCAUUGAGCUCUUGGUAAUAUCAUCCAAAUCGUAGCAAAUUGUCUAUAAACUCAAGUUAUCUCGAUAAGCAGUACCUCGCUGCACUUAUGUUGUUUAUCACAAAAUAAGAAAUGAGCAUGAUUACAGGCGUGUCUCCUAAUCUUUCAGUGAGAAAUCAAUUUCUUAUCACAUGUACAAAAUCUGGGGCAAAUUUAAUGAUAUUUAUCCAAGUAGGAUUUGUAAAGUUGCAUUUGCAAGAUAAUUAAAAGAGACCAUCAAAAGACAAAUUAAAAUUUUGAUCAAAAUCUAUUAAUAUUAUCUAACCAUGUGCCAAAAAAAUAAAUAAAAACAAAUUGCGUGAAGAGCAACGGAUCGCUCUGAGGUUCUUACCUCGCUCGCAAAGUAGACGGAGUGGAGAUUCAACAAAGUGCAAAUUUAUGUGUAGUUAAGUGCGAAGAAAACUGAAAAGAAAUUGGACAAGAUGCACCCACCCAACUCUAGUAUUCAUUCCACCUAUUAAAAAAGCAAAAAAAUAAUAAAAAAUAAAAAUUGCAAAAGUUAUUUACAUCAACAUUGACCUUGUCGUGUAGGACAAUCAGUAUUAACUAGACCAUCAUGUUAGCUAUUUUUGGCCGAAAUGACUAAUUUUGCACAUAGUUAAAAGAUUUCGGACAAACUGAUCAAAUUAAAAUAUUUAUAACUGAGUUAACAAAAAUAUAAUGGAUUUAGGAUUUUUGUUGGUAAUUUUACUAUUACAAAUUCAAGGCCAAAUGUAAACCUCACGCUUUAUGAAUUGCCUAACUUUUUCCUUUCACAGUGAUUAAGAGUCGAAUCUGACAUUGAUCUUUUCCAUCAACUUAUUAAAAGACGUGUCACAGAUCAGCCCGUGACACACACCUCAAGCAUUAGAGGUCAUCCAAGCUUCUUCCAAGAUAUUUCCACAAAAUUUCAAACAUGACACUGCUUUAGCAAAAAUUCUCAAUCAAUCCAUUAUUUUCAAAGCAUAAUUAUUCAGCAUCUUGACUCUAAAGGAUAGCAACAUUCAAAAGUUAAUUUCCAGUAUGAACAACUUGACUUUAACAUGAGAAACGCUAUUUUUGGCGGAAGACUUAAGCGUUGAUUCACACAUCUUUUAGCAAAGACCAAAUAUCCUAGAAGUCUUUGGGGUAGGGUAUUCCCGCCAAUCUAGAGAAGAAAAUGAUCUAUCCUUUGGGGCAAAAGAAAAAAUGGUUUCCACUAUGAGCACCUUGCAAAAGUUGCCAAGUAAAGGAGAUGAUAAUUUCCACUGUCAACACCUUGACUCUGACAUAAAGUAUCAAUUAUUUCAUUUAGUGGGGGCAGGCAUAGCCCAUUUUCACUUUGAUUUGCGUGGCCAGCCGAUCCAUUUACAAUGACAACUAACAAUGUAUCUUUGGAUUCUACAGUGGGGGGUAUUCCUGCCAAUUCAUUUUUAGUUUAUUACACACGGUUUAAUUAUUGUAAACGGAGCUUGUCAAAAAUGUUGUAUGAUAAACAUAACAUCAAUUGGAAAAAUUGAUAGAAUCAUAUGAUCAUCAUGUUAGCAAUGAAUUGAUCUUUGCACAAUAUACGAUACAAUAUGUAAAUAGGUGAAGUUUUAGGACUUCACAUAUUUCCUAUCACUUUAUUGUUGAUGAAGAGAAUUCCCAUCACUUUAUAACCGAUGGGAAUAAAUUUUGAAGUAAGAAAUACGGUUAGCUUCUGAAUGAGUUUUUGAAGGGGUUUCAGUAUUAUAUCUUUAAUUUUUUCACAAUAAAUAAUCUAAUUAACACUUAUUUUACAGAUUAAAAAUAUUAAAAAUUAUACAAAUCUCUGCUUCACUCGUCCUGACAUAAGCACACACACCAAUCACGAGAGAUCCAUAUAGAGAGAUUUAGCAACCAAUCGUCUUAUCAUCCUGAGUACUCUAGAGCAUUUUUUAAAACUAUUCGUUCACUUAACUCUUUUGCCUGCCUUUCAUGAUUUGAAGAUAUAAUUGGGAUGCAUUUAUUAAAGGUCUAUACUAGAUUACAACGUAUAGGUUAUUACCGUAUUUCAGACUUCUCAGAGAGAGAGAGAGAGAGAGAGAGAGAGAGAGAGAGAGAGAGAGAGAGUUAAGAGGAGUUCAUAAAUUAGAUUACAUCAAUCUUGUAUUUGAUGAUGCAAUUUUGAUUCAAAGUCGAAGUAAACCCAAAUUUUGAAUCUAAAUGACAUAUCCUUAAAUAAUGAAAGGAGUUUUAGCAAUCAAAUGAUGAUUAGAUUGUCUUUGAUAAUGAUCCAAUGACAUCUAGUCCAAUCACUUCACCAUGCUUUUUCUCUCACUUGUUUUUUAUUGGAUGAUAUUAUAUGUAGAAUGAGACACUGGUCAUCGAUAUAUGUGCAAUAUCUUGGUUUGGAUUUAGGUUCAACCCAACCAAGUAAGAUUUGAUUAGAACAAAUGUUGGCAUCUUUUUCUUCUUCUUUGUUUAAAGUGAAAUUUUAACGACUUAUCUGAAAACUAAUUUUUGGUCUUUCUAUUAUUGGUAGCAUAAUUUGUGACUUAAAAUUAAUAUGUAAAUUUGAAAAAUUAGAAGUCUCUGCUCACUUUUCUUGAAAGAUGGGUACGUUGAAAUCUUUAAUUAUGGUCAUCUUUGAUUCAUAUAUCUAUCCAUUUUUUAUGGAUGACCAUGCGCUUAAUCUAUUAAAAUUUCACAUGGUUUAUUCAAAGAGAAAGUGCAAGUGUAUAUAUAGAUUAUGCAAAUGGAAAAUUGGAUAUCGUUACUCUAUAUCCGCUUCCUCCGUUGCCCAUGCGAGAGGAUCCACAAAAAAAUUAACGGUUCAAAUAUAUGGAGGGAGCAGGGAGGGAGGCAGGGAGAGAGAGAGAGAGAAACCUAUACAAACACAUGCUAAAAAAAGUUCCUCAAUCAAUAAUAAAAGAGUAAAAAAUAAAAUUUGUCAUAUUUUAUGCAAUGGGUUAUAAUUUUCCCACCCUUAAUUGAAGGAAACUUUCUCAUACCAUAUCUUUGGUCGGUGGAUUACAAAUUAUGAACAUAACACGCAUGCACAAAUAAAUGUGGAUGAUGUCCAUGUUAUCCUAACUUGAUGCUUGUAUAUAUUACUAUGUUAUCUACAAGGCCUAACUCAUCAAGACUUCACCUAUUGCCCAAUCUCAUGUCAUAACUGAUGUUAAAACAAAUGCUGGAAUUAUAGCCCAAAUUUCUGCUUGAUUAUCCUGUUCACAUAUUUUGUCAUCCAUUUCUAAAUCAAGGCAUCACCCUCAAUUUUCUAAUAUAGAUCGAUACAUAUCCAAUAACAGUUAAAAACUUGUUUAAGUGAAAGAAUAAAAUGCUUAUCUUCUCCAUGAACAAGAGGUUUCAGCAAGUAUAGUUAAUCUCUAGGUAAUAUUAUUUGGAUCAUAGUGAAUUGUCUAUAACCUCAAGUUAUCUUGAUAAGUAGUACCACAAGGGAUGAGCAUGGACAUAGACACAUCUCCUAAUUUUUUUUAAUGAGAAAUCAAUUUUCUUUAUCACAUAUACGAAAUAAGGGACAAAUUUAAUGACAUUUAUCUAGGUAGGAUUUGUAAAGUUGACAUGUGAGAGAAAUUUAAAAGGGACAAUCCGUUUUAACAAAAGAAAAUUUUAAAUUUUGAUCAAAAUCUAUUAAAUCCACCUAGCCAUGUGCCAAAAACCUAAAUAAAAAGAAAUUGCGUGACGAGCAACGGGUCGCUCCGAGGUUCCUUACCUCGCUCACAAAGUGCACGAAGUGGAGAUUCGACAGAGUGCGAAUUUAUGUGAAGCUAAGUGUGAAGAAAAAUAAGAGAUUGGACAAGAAGCACCCACACAACUCCAUUAUUCAUUCCACCUAUUAAAAAAAUAAACAAAUUUAAACAAAUUUAAGAAAAAUAAAAUUUAUUCAUACUAGCGCUUACAGUGCCACGUAGGAUGACACGCACUAACUGAAUUAUCACAUCAACGAUUUCUGACCAAAAUUGAUUAAAAUGACUAAAUUUGUAAAUGGUCAAAAGAUUUAGGACAAAAUUAUCAAAUUGAAAGGUUUAUAAUUGAAUUUGAUAAUUGAAUUGACACGAGUAUUAUAGAUUAGGAUUUUUGUUCAUAAUUAUCCCGUUAUGAAUGACUUCAUGCUAACAUGAAUCAAGGCCAAAUGUUCCUAUGAAUUGCUUAGCUCUUCCUUCUCACAGUAACUAAGAGUCAAAUCCAACAUAUAUUUUUCAUCAACUUAUUAAAAGGCACAUGUGUCACGGACUAGCAUGUGACACACCGAGGUCGUCCAAGUUUCUUCCAAGAUAUUUCCAUAGAAUUUCAAACACGGCACCAUUUUAGCAAAACUUCUCAAUCAAUCCAUCAUUUUCAAAGCAUAACUAUUCAACAUCUUGACUCUAAAGGAUAGCAUCAUGCAAAAGUUAAUUUCCAGUAUGAACAACUUGACUUUAACAUGAGAAUCGAUUCUUUUUUAACCAAAGACUUAAGUGUACCAUAACUAUUCAACAUCUUGACUCUAAAGGAUAAAAUCAUGCAAAAGUUAAUUUACAUUAUGAACAACUUGACUUUUAACAUGAGAAUCGAUUCUUUUUUGACCAAAGACUUAAGUGCAGCAUAACUAUUCAACAUCUUGACUUUAAAGGAUAGCAUCAUGCAAAAGUUAAUUUCCAGUAUGGACAACUUGACUUUAACAUGAGAAUCGAUUCUUUUUUUACCAAAGACUUAAGUGUUGAUUAACGCAUAUUUUAGCAAAAGACCAAUUAUCCUUGAAGUCUUUGGAGGAGGGUAUACUUGCCAAUCUUGAGGAAGGGAUUGAUUUAUCCUUUGGGGCAAGAGAAAAAGUGGUUUCCACUAUGAACACCUUGUAAAAGUUGCCAAGCAAAGGAGAUGAUAAUUUCUACCAUCCACUCCUUGACUCUGACAAGAAGUAUCGAUUAUCCAUUUAGCGGGGCAAGGAAAGCGCAUUUUCACUUUGAUUUGCGUGGCCACCCGAUCCAAUUACAAAGACAACUAACAAAGUUUCUUUGGAUUCUACAGUGGGGGGUAUUCUUGCCAAUUCAUUUUUUUGUUUAUUACAUAUGGUUUAAUUAUUAUCUAUGGAGCUUGUCAAAAUUUUAUAUGAUAAACAUAACAUUAAUUGGAAAAAUUGAUAGUAUGAUAUGAUUAUCAUAUUAGUGAUGAAUGGAUCUUUGCAAAAUAUUCGAUACAAUAUGUAAAUAGGUGAAAUUUUUACAACUUCACAGAUUUCCUAUCACUUUAUUGCUUAUGAAGAGAAUUCUAUCACUUUAUAAUCUAUGAGGAUAAAUUUUGAAGUCAGAAAUACUGUAAGCUUUUGAAUGAUUUUUUGAAAGGGUUUCAGUAUUAUAUUUUCAAUAUCCUUACAAUAAAUAAUCUGAUUAGUACGUAUUUUACAAAUUCUAAAAGUAUUAUCAAAAUUAUAGAAAUCAAUAAAAAGUCAACGUAAAAAUUUGCCUAUGAUUUCGAAAAAGUUAUGAAACAAAAACAUGUGUCUUAACAUUGCUUCCCCCAAAAAAAUGAGAUACAUAAAUAUUAAAUUAGCAUAUCUGUUGAUAUUCCUUUUUGGAUUUUCACUAUCAUUGUUGUUUUUUCCCCUUCUUGGUUCUUUUUUCCCCUCUAAGUAUUAUGUGUGAAGCCAUGUGAUAUGCAUGGCGUUUCCUGAUUAUAGAUUUACAAUGUCUCUGACUGCAAUUCUAUGUCACAUUUUCCUAGUUAUGGAUCGACUGAAUUUUUGGUUUUGUCCUGAAGUAGGAUUAUAUAAAGAUAAACGAUCAUCUUUUCUUAACUUUGAUGUUCAUGUGUGGUAGGCCGACAAAUUUUUCAAGGUGGAUUGGCCUUUGCUAUCUUGUAAUCUCCAAAUUGCUACAUCCCUAGAGUUCAGGAAAAAUAAAAUGACUGCAUUGGACGACCUUACGUUUGUGCUGAAAUUCAAAUGUUGAACGGCAAUUGAGGGGAUCAUGACUUGCAAUUACCCUUGCAAUCAAGCUUAUGUCGAAAAUGUUUACUAGCCCAUUCGAAUUACAUGAAAUUCUACUUGCCUUUUGUCUCUCCAUGUGAGUAAGAUGAUAUCUCGACAGUAUUUUUAAUCGGGAGGUUUCAUAGCAAAGGUUAAAGUAGAAGGACUCAGUUUAUAGGAGAAACUAGCCGUGUCGUUUAAAACCUUUUAACUUCCGCCAAAUCUAAAAAAGCUGACUAUGGCGAUUCAGAGAGGAAACUACUAUAGUGCUACAGUGAGCUAAAGUACCGCUACAGUUAUGAAUAGUAUUUCUAUAGUGCCGUCAACAGUACUGAUAUGGUGCCAUGAAUUUGUUUAAUAAUGAUCACUAACUCUAAAUAAAGGUAAAAUCUAAUUAAAAGAAUUGAGGAUAUAACUAAUAAACCGAUAAACUGAAAUUGAUAAAUUGUGUAAGUGUUCAUUGAUUGUGGAUACUCCACAACUGGUCAAGCUUCGCUUUAUAUAAUCAUGCACAAAUCCUUGCUUAUUUUCAACUACACAUCCUUAUCCAUAAGCAAUUAUGAUCCCGCGGAUAUCCUCUAGCUCAACCAUUGGUAAAAAAUUCUUAUACAAUUUUACUUUAUAUCUUUUCCUAACAUAAUCGGUCAUUUGCCAUCAUAUGUCAAUAACCGUCUAUGUCCAUCAUCACCUAGCAACACUUCCAUUGGUAACAUAAUGUUGGUCUUACGUCAGUGGUUUAUUGAUUAGUGACUAGACCUAUCAAUUACUCUUUCGACGACUCAGUACCAACACCGUAUCAAUUUAUAAGGACUUGAAUUAUUUUUCAGUGUCAACACUCCUAAUUAACACCUCUUUCUAAAAAUUUAUGGGCUAAUAAAAUAUUAUCAAUUGCCUCUAUCCUCUUCACUCCAAAUAUUCAAUGUGAGAUUUUGUUAAUUUCUUACCUUGCAUGUGCACUAGAUAUCCUCCUACUCAUGUGUGAGUCUCUCAAACCAAGCUUAAUAAUUGUCAAUUGAUACUUGAGAUCCCCUUUUGAAAAUUAUUGCAUACUUUUAUGUAUCCCAAAUGUCAAAUGUGGCAUUUCUUUUCAUACGAGCACUUGAUAAAAGAACACUUCAGAAGUUUUGAAUUUUUUUUUAAAAGAAUUUUAAAAUUUAUUAUAAUUAUAUUAAUUCAAUCUUUAAUUUUUUUUUUAUCAAUUUUAUCUUAAAUUUUUAGUGAUGAUAGUAUUUUAGUUUAUUCGAUCAAAUAGGAUCAGCCUGCGUUGAUGUGAAUUUCCGACCGUUGGUGCCAUCCUACUGACGUCGAUGUGAUAAUUUUUUAUAAUAUUUUAUUUUUUUAGAUUUUUUUUUUCCUUCUCUUUUUUCUCUUCUUCCCCUUUCGGUUCUUUUCUCGCAGUGGCCGGCGAGCCUCUGACCGGCGAGGCUCUGACGAGGCUCGCUGGCCCUUGGACGAGGGCCGCGAAGCCCUCGCUCGGCCUCACCCACCCUCGCCGGUGGCCUCGCCACGGCUGGCGAGGCUCGUCGGCCUCUCGAAGGAGGAGGAAGUCCCCUUUCCUCUCUCUUCCAUAAUCUCUCGCUCCUCAAUCUGUCUUNNNNNNNNNNNNNNNNNNNNNNNNNNNNNNNNNNNNNNNNNNNNNNNNNNNNNNNNNNNNNNNNNNNNNNNNNNNNNNNNNNNNNNNNNNNNNNNNNNNNNNNNNNNNNNNNNNNNNNNNNNNNNNNNNNNNNNNNNNNNNNNNNNNNNNNNNNNNNNNNNNNNNNNNNNNNNNNNNNNNNNNNNNNNNNNNNNNNNNNNNNNNNNNNNNNNNNNNNNNNNNNNNNNNNNNNNNNNNNNNNNNNNNNNNNNNNNNNNNNNNNNNNNNNNNNUCCACCUGUGAUCUGAAAUAUGCUCAGCGCACGUGCUGCAAGGCUCGAUUCUCGUCCUGCGGUCCAAUCUCCUCGUUCUGCUCUCGCUUUCUUCGGUCGCGGGAAUGUUCUUUUCUCGCUUUCUUCGCAAUCCGCGGGCGAGGCCGCCGGCGAGGUUGGGUGAGACCGGCAACCGCCGGCGACGGCGAAGGUUUCGCGGCCCUCGCCCAGUCGCCGGCGAGCCUCGCCGGCCACGGCGGGGAAAAGAAUCCAAAGGAGGGAGAAGAAAAAAGAAAAGGGAAAAGAAAAAGGAAAAAUUUAAAAAUUUAAAAAUUUUAAAAAAAAUAUUAUUAAAAAUUAUAAUGUCAGUGUUCCAUGUGAGUUUUGACCUAUCAAAUUUAGCCAAAAAAAUUGAAUUAACAUAAUUACAGAAGAUUUAGAAUUAAAUUAACGUAAAAUAAGUUUAUGAUUGAAUUAUGUUAGGUUUAAGACUAUUCUGAUAUUUUUCACAAUAUGUUAUAGUCUUGAAUUAAGGAAAGUGAUCACACCGAUUAUUCAAUGAACUGUUGGGCAGAUUAUUGUGAUAAAAUGUAGAGAAUAUUUUCAAAUGAUUUGAAGUGAGACUAUUCUUCAAAUUGAGAAUUCAAAGGGGACUUUUUAUCUGAAAGAAGAGCAUGGAAUAACAAAAUUUGUUUCAAAAUGGUGCCAAGCUUCGCUCUAGGCAUUUACGUCCAAGAAUUUUUUUUUUCUUCCUUUUCUUUUUCUUUUCUAUUCACCAUCUUCUUCUUCAUCAACAAUGACAGCUUGGGCUUGGACUGAGCGUUUGUGACAAGAAUGUAUCAAUGAGCGAUAAGGAGUGGCGUCUAGUGAAGGUCAUGAAAUGUGAUCAGGUUCUUGAGGACGUGAAUGGCGGUGGAGAGAUAGAAGGAGAGGAGGUGGAGGAGAUCGGAGAAAACCAUUGAACUGGGUAUGGAUGUGCUUCGAAUAUGUGUGUUUCAGUUUUCAAUCAAAACUCAUUUUUGGUAUUUGAAGCGUUCGCGAUCGACGCGUAGAUGAAGGAGCAAAACCAUGAGAAAUACACUAGUCAUUGUUCUCUCUUUCUCUUUCUUUUUCUUUUUUUAAAUUUUCUGAACACGGCAGACGCACAUGUCGCUGUUGAUCGUACAAGAAAAGGACAAUCAUGGAGGAAGAGAAACUGUGGAGGACCACAUGAUGUGUUCGGUCCUCGUCAUUCAUCAUUCUUAAAUGUUCUUUUCACUUCGAUAUCUGUGGCCACGUGGGCCAAUCACAAAAGUGACCCAAGAAAACAUCCUUAAAAUCUAGGGGCCGAUUAAGAGGAAGGGAUUAUUUUGGAAGUCUUGGUAAAAAAGGUCAGGGUCAAAGAAGUAAAUUUGCCUCAUUCUAGAAAAAGCAACCAUCACAAGAUUUCGUAUAUACCAAGCGUUUCUAGUUCAACCUUCGGGGCAAGAGAAGAAUUCGAGCUUACUUUAGGAGGCGAGGGCUUGUGCUUGAAGUGGAGAAAUCACGCCGGUAAGAAAAUCACCGAGAUGCUCCUUUUUAUUUUGAGAUAUUUACUUUGAUGACUAUAGGUUGAGACAUGAAGGUAAUCUUCCAAUUGUAUUUUCUUUUGAGACUCGAACACGACUUGAUUUGUUUCGAAAAAAAAUAUAUUUUGAAACACAAAACUCAUUACAGUAUAUUUCAUCUCUACAUUACUUCUCUAGAAAAGUCCCACCUUCAUUUUCUUGUUUAUUAAAAUUUGACAGGAUGGAAAACAUUUGAGUUUUACUUGUCGCGUGACACUCUACAUCCCCUAAAGCAUACAAAUUCACAAAUUGCUUUUUCAUCUUUUUGGGGCAAGAGAAGAAGUAAAGCUUUUUUCGGCUUGUGCUUGACGAGGAGAAACCGCAUAGGUAAGAAACACCAUGCUGAUCUUGAGAAAUCAUUGAUACACUCCUUCUCGUUCUGAGAUAUUUGCCUUGAUGACUACAGGUUAAUGUGUGAAGCUAAACCUCCGACCAUAUUGCAUUUCAAGACUUGGACAUGACUUGAUUUGUUUCAAGGUAACUUAUUCGGAAACACAAAACUCAUUAUAGUAAAUUUCAUCUCUACAUUGCUCCUUCAUAAAAGCCCCACCUUCAUUCUCUAGUUUAUUAUAAUUGAUGGUAUGAAAAAUAUUUGAGUUUUACUUGUUGCGCAGUACAAAUUCACAUAUUACUUUUUCAUCCUUUGGGGCAAGAGAAGAAGUAAAGCUUUGUUUGGCUUGUGCUUGAAGAGGAGAAACCGCAUUGGUAAGAAACACUAUGCAAAUCCUAAGAAAUCACCGAGAUAUUCCUUCUUAUUCUGAGUUAUUUACUUUGAUAACUAUAGGUUGAGACGUGAAGUUAAUCCUCCGAUCGUAUUGCCUUUCAAGAUUCAAACAUGACUUGAUCUAUUUCAAGGUAACUUAUUCUAAAACACAAAUCCCAUUAUAUUAAAUUUUAUCUCUAUAUUGCUUCUCUCGAAAAGCCCCACCUUCAUUCUCUAGUUUAUUAUAAUUGAUUAGAUGAAAAACUUUUGAGUUUUUACUCAUUGCAGAACACUUUACAUCCUUUAAAGCAUAUAAAUUCACAUUACUUUUUAAAAAUAAUCAUCACACAUAUCGCUUCUUUUUCUUAAUAUAUUCAUUCUAUUCAAAACCAAUCGGUAUGAAUUGUUAGUUUGUUUGGACAUGGUGAUAUCGCAUGCCAAUCCUCACUCUAGAGCAAUUCUCGAAACAUUUACCUUUGACCUCUGGAAUAGCCAACUUUAAAAGGUGGAUAGGGGAGAAUCUUUACUUAAGGGACCUCAACUGUGGUUCUCGUGUCUACGCACAAAAAUUUCUUUACUGGAUGAGCUCACUCUUAAUUUAUUAAAGCUUCAUCCAAUGGUGCCAAAGUAAGGUGCAAGGGUAUAUGAAAGCUAUAUCCACGGGAAUUUGGACAUGUUGCUCUAACAUUGCUUUGUCCUUUAUACUAUGUGAGGAUCCACAAACGGAUUACUAAUUUUGAAGUGCACAAAGAGAGAGAGAUUCGUAACAAUGAGCUGUCAGACUAGCUAUAUAUUUUCAUUCGUAGACUAAUUAAUAAAUAAAUUCAUUUUAGUCUGAGAAAAUAUAUAUGGCGAUGAAGUAAUUAAUAAUAAAAUAUUAGUCUUUUCCCACACAUUUUUAAGUGAGAAUGGGGCAUCCUAUGGAGAGCUAAUGUAAAUUAUUGCUCAUUAAUAAAUAAAAAAAUGUCCAUAUUAAAUUGGAUGGAUUUGCGGAUAACGUAUUAGCUCACAGGACCACACCACCCCCAUAAUUUCCUGUAUGAAUACAUUGUCUCUAAUGUACGUAUCGAUUCCUUUUUUGCCAAAGACCUAAGUGCCGAGUACAGCGUAAUUUAGUGAAAGACCAAAUAUUUGACAACGUCUAUUAGCCAAAGACCAAUUUGAAAGCCUACUUCUUUCGAUUGCCGAAAGUUGACCAUAGCAUUACUCGCUUCAAAAGUCUCCUCACGCCUACGAGUUCCAAUUGCAAAGAAAUUGUGACUUUUUCCUUGGGCACGCUUCAUAACUCCUUUCAUGAUGGAACGUUUCUCCAACCUAAUGAAAACUAGUAUUGCAGAGUACUUUUAAAGUGUUUGAAAAAAUUAAGUUGAUUUCCACAUUCAACCCCCCAUGUAUUACGCUACAUAUCUGUUCAUCUUUUAGGAAUAAUGACACGAGUUUUCCUUAUCUCUUCCAACAAAACGCUUUCAAGAAGUAUUUGAUAAGUCCCAGUGUACAUCAAUGCGGUAUUUUACAUUUAUUCAUGAAACCUGAAAAUUUUAAGUAAAAUUAUAAAUUAUUCAUGUUAACGUUAAUCUUGAUACGUAAAAUAGUCGAUGUUGAUUGGACUAUCAUGUGCGAUUUUCGAUUAUAAAAAUCACACAAGUGACGCUAGUUAUCACCAUCGCUUGCAAGUCUUGCCUCAUUUGAUCUCUCAGCCUCGAUAAUGACUCCUACGACAACAAAGGCAAGCUCGCCCUCGCUCCUCUCGAAUCGCCCACCCUAACCCUCCCCUUGUAUAUUUAAAUCGGCAGCGCAUUGAGGGAAAAUCUUCCUCAAAUCUUCUGAAACUGUUUGAUUAAUGCUCUCUCUGGUAGGUAUAACGUCCGAUUUAUAACCUUUUUUUUCCCUUCAAUCAUUACUAUUGUUCGCUAUAUUUUGCUUUUGUGUUUGCAUCUUUCUGCAAAUCGAAAAGAAGAAAGAGAAGGAAACCGUGACAUUUGGUUUUGCUUCAAGAUUCUGUUACUCUUUUUCUUUUUGUUUCUCUUCAAUAAAAAUCAUUUCGUUUUAAGUUCAAAAUCAUCUUCUUUUUGCCUUCUACAAUAAUAAAAGAUCGUCAAGUUAGCUUACCACGUGAACGCCAUUUGCCACGUAGGUUAGUUGGAAAAGAUGAUAGUGGCGAUGUUCAUUCGUCAAGAAAAAAUACUUGCUUUCUUUUAUGUAAAUACGUGCUUUUUUCUGGAGUUGGCCCACCAGAUAUGUGAGAACUUUAAAUGGCAUUCCAACCCACGAAGGCCAUUGAAACCUAGCCCUCUAUGUUAACAACUUGUUUUUUCCAAGUCGCAUUAGCAUGGUCAAUUAAAAAAAAGAAAAAAGAAAAAGAAGUGUCGUCUCUUUCUGCGAGAAUGAAGAAAGAAAGAGAACAUUAAGAUGGUCACUAUUGACUAGUCGGAAACGACCGACUCCAUCUAGACUGCGGUCGAAACAUAGUUUUAGGGAGAUUGAGAUAUCUGGUAUAUGUCUCUCUGUCAUUUCCUUAUGAUAUUUCUCAACCAAUCAAUUUUUUUUUUAUAGCAAGACACAAGAGAGAGAGAGAGAGAGAGUUUUUGAACAUUGUAAAAAUUACCUCGAGCCAUCCUAUUACUAUUAAGAUGAAUAGAAUAGUUACAUUAAAAAAAUGAACAAUCUAAGCAAAUUAGUAUUUAUGGACCAAACUUACAGACUUAAAAGUAUUACAAAAUUUAAUCCAUCAUAGUUUAAAAGAAGAUGGGAGGAGCAAUGUUGAUAGCGAGAAACGAAAAGUACGGUUAAUUAACCAUUAAUUGUUUUUCUCUCAUAGAAGAAUAUUUAGUCAAUUAAUAAUAAACAUGAAAGGUGAAGAGAAAAAAAUGAGAGAGAAAAAAGCGAAUGAAUUGGUGACUGACCUUUUCCAUCUCUCUCUGAAACGCUUUCACCAACCCAAGCUCAUCGUCUUCACCGAGCAUCAGCCAUGGGGAAGAGAAUAGACAAAACCGUGCUGAAUCACCCAUUCCCACACCCUCCCCCUCGUCGCCUUCCCACUCCUUCUCGUCCUCCUCCUCCACCGACUUCGAGUUCACCAUCUCUCUUCACCCCCCGGCUCCUCCUCCACCCUCUGCGUCACCUAUGAGCUCUUCUACAAGGGCCAGCUCCUCCCCCUCCACCCCCCGCCUUUCCAUGGUCCGCACCCUUCUCGCCUCUUCCUCCACCUCCCACUCCGCCACCACCUCCUCCCACGACACCUUCGGCAGCUCCACCACCAACUCCGACCAGAUCUGGCCGAAGGACGCCGACGACGGCCAUGGACGACCGUCGGCGUUGCUCGCGAGCCGCUCGUCUGGACCUGGAUCUCGAGAACAGCCCAUUGCCGGGCUCGGCUUCCGGUUGGUGGGGCCGGGAACGGGUGGCGAAGGCCUCCGACUUCAUCUUCGGCGGCUCUUGAGACCCACAAAUGGUCUCCCAACUGCAUUGAAACAUGAAAAAAUCGUUGCACGUCGUUAAUGGUGUUUCGAAGUUAGACGUGAAAUAAGCAGAUGGGAGAGAAAUCUGAAAGAUGAGCUCACCCAGACACGUGGCGAGGUCCCGGAGCACCCAAUAUUUGAAAAGUGGGCCCACUCAGAGAAGCGGUGAGGGUCAGGAGCACCCCGCUAUUUUUAUAUUCAAGUCCAGACGGUGGAUGGUACAAACAUCCGAAUAUGUACGAGCUGUCAAAUGUUAUUAGUUCACCAUUUGUUUAAAAAGUACUGCUUGCUUUCCUGCAAAAUCCUGAAAAUGAAAGAAAUGUUUUCAAGCUUUAAAAUAAUGAGAAACAGUUCUGAACAAUUCUAACUGUCAAUGCUUAAAAGCAUCGAUAAUAAUAUGCAUGUAAUGUUCCUCCUCAUGCAUUGGAUUUAAAUUGGAACACACCUGAACUUUCUCUCGGAAACACUUUGAGAGCGUGGAAUUGUAAUGGAGAGUCAUCCUCAAGAAUCAUAUAGUAAAGAAAACUGGGACAACAGAGAUAGAGAAGCAAAGAAUUAGCCUUCUAUCGUGCGUAUUAGACCAAUAACGUGCUGCUUAUCCACGUACGAUCAUUUGCAAAUUGUCCACGUGGACCAUGUUGCUCGCUUGGGUGCACCGAGUGCAGUAACUGUACGUUUUUCUUUUUUCUUUUUGCAUGCACUACUGUUCUCUCUCUCUCUCUCUCUCUCUCUCUCUCUCUCUCUCUCUCGUCUUUGGUUUUGUUUCGUUGUUCACAUUCUUUUAUCACUUUGCCAUUCCUUUCUUUUCAUACAUCGCAAGUGAUUAGUUCUGUUCUGUUCUCUUUCCUUUGCACAGAUUUGUUUAAGCAAAUUAAUCAUAGGAGGCAACGACAAAAGAAACAAAAGUGGGGGGAAAAGGAAUUUCUAGACAUUAAAGAAGAACUUAUGGCGGGAUUUGCUACCGCCGUUGCAUCGAAUCUUGUGUCGAAACUAGGUGAGUACCUAUUUGCUCCCAUUGGAUGCCAAUUUAGAUAUGUGUUGUGCUACAAGAGCUACGUCCAAGAUCUCGAAUAUGAAGUCGAGAAGCUAGAUAAUGCGAGGAAAAGGGUGCAAAGCUCCGUCGAUGAAGCUAUGUAUGAUGGAAAAUCAAUACACACUGAUAUUAAGAAAUGGUUGGAUAGCGUGGAGAAUAAGGCUAAGGAAGCACAAAACUUGUUAAAACAAGGUGAAAGUGCAAAAAAUGCUUGCUUCCGUGGGUGGCUUCCCAACCCCAUGGUGCGCCAUCCAAUUGGCAGGAAGGUGAAGAAGAUGACUAAAGUCAUUCAGGGACUACAUAAGACAAGCACAGAUAGCACCUUCCAGAAGGUCUACCAUGAGAAUACUCCGACAGGAAUUGUCGCUGCUACCACUUUUGCUGCUGGAUCUGUCUACAAUAAUGAAGAUAUCCUGGAGUCGAGGGCUUCAAUCGCAAAGGAUGUAAUUAAGGCUAUAGUUAAUGACAAUAUAAGUGUGGUUGGGCUGUAUGGACCGGGUGGGGUCGGCAAGUCCAAGCUUUUGGAGGAAAUCGAAAGGCGAGUAAAGGAAGAAAAGCUAUUUGAUGUGGUUGUCAUGGCAAAUGUAUCACGCAAUCCCAAUCUAAAAAAAAUACAGGGAGAAAUCGCUUAUGCCCUAGGCCUGAAGCUAACGAAUGAUGAACCUACUCGUGGAAGAGCAAACCAUUUGUGUAAAAGGUUAGAGAGUGAUUCUGAGAAAAGCAUUCUCAUAAUUUUAGAUAAUUUAUGGGAGAGGUUAGAUUUGAAGGAAGUUGGAAUCCCUUGUGGAGAAGAUAACAGAGUAAGAGGUUGCAAACUAUUACUAACGUCCAGAUAUCGGCAGGUUUUGCUCAUUGACAUGUGCUCUGACCAAGAAUUCCGACUCAAAGAGUUAGAGUACGGAGAAGCACGAAGACUUUUUGAAAGGAAAGUGGGGCAUAGAGUUAACGAUCCUGAGAUUAAACCCUUGGUAGAUGGAGUGGUCAAGAAUUGUGGAGGCUUGCCACUUUUGAUUGUUCCAUUGGCAAAAAGGUUGAAACGCGGAGAUUUGGUUGAAUGGAGGAAGGCUUUGACCCAUAUAGAAUGGUCGGAUGUAAAAUCAAUUGUGGAACUAAAUUACAGUGACUUAAAAGAAGAGAGGAUCAAAUCAUUGUUUUUGGUUUGUGCUCUUGACUCUGGGAGAAGUUUCUUGAGGGAUACCCUUGUCUAUUGCAUGGUUUUGGGUUUAUUUAAGAAUUGCAGCACAACCAUUGAAAAUGCUAGAGAUACGUUGAUUGUUGAUUUACGCAGCCUACAAGACUCUUCUUUGUUACUAGAUAGUGAUGACAUGGAAGUGUUUAGAAUGCAUGACAAAUUUGUAGACGUGGCCAUCUCUAUUUCUUCUAUGGAUUGGUACCCCUUGGUUGGGAAGAAGGAUUAUGGGUUUAAAAAAUGGACAGAGGAUGAUCUCAGAAAAUGCACCGCAAUAUCCUUAAAUUUUGUUGGCAUUAAUGAGAUUCCGGAAAAUUUAAAUUGCCCAAGCUUGAGAAUUCUUUUUUUAUGCGAAUACAACCCAUCUCUCAAGAUUCCCAAUUCAUUUUUUGAAUCUAUGGAGAAGCUCCAAGUCUUGGACAUUACUGGCUUAUCUUUCAACUCUCUACCUUCAUCGAUUGAGUUCCUUGAAAACCUCAAGUCGCUAUGUCUUGAUGGCUGCCAUCUGCAAGAUGUGACUGUUCUUGGAAAGCUGAAAGGAUUGCAAUUCCUAAGUUUCUUAGACUCUACAAUCACUCGGCUGCCCAAAGAUAUAGGUGGACUAACAGAAUUGAGAUUUUUGGACUUGACACGUUGCUAUGAGCUCAAAGUUAUCGAACCCAGCGUGCUUGAAAGCUUGGUUAAUUUAGAAGAACUGUAUAUGGAAGAUAGUUUUGAUCAGUGGGAAGCCGAGGAUGAAGCACCUCGAAGCAAUGCUAGCCUGGCUGAGUUGAAGAGCAUGAAGAAUUUGAGUACUUUGUCCAUUGCCAUUCCUCAUCCCGCCAAUCUCUCAAGAUACCUGCCAAUUGGGAAACUUAACAAUUAUAAAAUCCAUAUUGGGGAAGUUUGGGAUUGGUUAGGCAAACACAAAGAAUCUAGAACUUUAAAGCUAAAGCUAGAUUCAAGCAUUCUUCUUCUUGAAGAGCGGGUGCAGAAAUGUUUGCAGAAAACACAAGAUCUCUACUUGGAUGGAUUGCAAGAUGACAACGAUAGCAUUCACGAUUUGUGCAUCGAAGGAUUUCGGGAAUUAAAGCAUCUUCACGUACAAAAUAGCCCCUCAUUUCAGUAUGUUGUUUGCUCCACGGAGAAUGUCCAUUGCACUACAUUUACUAAAUUGGAAUCUUUGUUUCUUGAGAAUUUGAACUUGAAGAAGAUUUGUCACGGUUCUCUUGCCCAGGAAUCCUUCAGAAAAUUAAAGAUUGUCAAAGUGGAUAACUGUGGUGAAAUCAAAUAUUUGUUUCCUUUCUCCAUGAAGAGAAUAAUAUUGCAGCUCGAAGAGAUUGAGAUAAGCAGGUGCUGCUUGAUGCAGCAAAUUCUUGCAAAUGCUGAGACAAAUGAAGAUGGAGAUGAAAUAGAUGAUGAUACAAAAGUGAGGCCAUGCAAUUUGUGUAGGUUGACAUUACGAAAGUUGCCAAAGAUGAUGAGCUUCUAUGAAACUGCAGACCAUUUAGUCAAUUCCUUCGAUGGGCAACAGGUAUAUCAUUUGUUUUUUUGAGAUUUAGAGCAUGGUUAUGUGAGAGGAUAAUAGGAUGUAGAAAAAUUGGAUAAAUAAUUCUUUUAUGAGAUUUUGCUUCCAAAAUAACUACGACAAACAAUAAUUUAAUUUUGCAAAAUGGAAUUGCUAUGUGAUAUUUGAAUCCAUUAAAACAUUUAUACAUCGGUUAAUUACAUCUCACUUUGUGUUAUGUUACCAACAUAGUUAAAAAGCACCGUACGAUGCAUAGAUUUUUUGAAUAAUUUCAAAGUUUUUUUGGUAAAAGGUAAGAAAUUAUAUUAGAGCUUUGGAACAAGAUACAAAAUUGGUACCAAAAACUUCCACUCUAACUGCAACAGCAGAAAGAGUGAAAGGGAGCCAAGUAACAAGCCAAACAGGCAAAAAGCAAGAGAACCAAAGCUAAACAGCCCAAUCCAAAGGCCAAGCGCCAACCAACAAACCCAGCAACCCUCAGAAAUACAAAAGGGAAAGGGUCGAAGAACAGAGAGCCUAAGAGAAGGCUAGAAAGCAAAACAAGGCACAGACUAGACGCUUAGGACGAACCAGGCGACUGAGCAAAAACCGAGAUCAUAUAGCACAUAGUUGCGAAAGAGAAUCGUGCAAUACUGUGAUAAAAGUCCUUUCCGGCUAAGAACUUAAGCGCCCAAGAGAUGGUAUCCAUCCAAGUUCUACUCCUCCAAGGAAGGUUACACCUAGAAGCCCAUAAGUAUGCAAGCGUAGCGGAGUUGUGACAUUCAAAGAAAAGGUGGUCAAUUGAAUCUGGUUGGGCAUUGCAAAAAGCACAUACCGUGUAAUCAAUUCUACCAUAAGAGAGGAGGAGCAUUUGAGUGGGUAGGCGAUUUUUAGUAAUAAGCCAAAGAAGGAACUGGUAUCGAGGAGCUAUGGCACUAUCCCAAACUAGAGAAGCCCACGGAACACAGUCUCUUUUCGCUCUAAUGGUGCUCCAAGCAGAAGAAACCGAGAACGAACCAGUUGGAUCACACCGCCAAGAGAAUUGAUCAGGAGCCAAGGAUAAAUUCGGGAGGACAAUGCCCCAACUAUGGAGAAGGGAUUUUAGCGUGUAUCCUGCAGGAGAAAACAGGUCCGCCACAUCCGCAUUGUUAGGGAGAUUUAUACUGUCCAUCAUAGAGGCCGGAAUAAAAGUGUCCAAGGGGCCACAAGGAAGCCAAUGCUCAUGCCAAAGAGAAACCGAAAGCCCAUUACCGAUUUUCCAAAAGAAGGAGAGCCGAAAAAACCUUUUGAGUUGUAGUAUUUUCUUCCACGCCCAAGAACAAAGAGAGGGGCAAGAAGAAAUCCAGAAAUUCACUUUCUUUAAGAAAUUUGAAUGCACCCAACGGCACCACAAGGAUUCUUUAUCAGUAAAGAGUAUCCAAAUAUACUUAAGCAUUGAAGCUUUGUUGCAAUACUUCAGUUUUCGAAUGGCUAAACCACCUUCUUCUUUGGGAAGACAAACAUCAUCCCAAGAUACCUUAGCACCCCCCCCCCCCCCCCCCCGGCCUAGGGUAGUGCCAUUCCAUAGGAAUUGUCUCAAGAUACGCUCAAUGGUCAUUAGAACCGAGGAAGGCAAGGAGAAGACACUAGCCCAAAAGGCUUGUAUGGAGUGUAGAACUGACCUUAUGAGCUGAAGCCUACCUGCAAAGGAUAGAAAAUGUUGUGCCCAAGAUUGGACCCUGGCGGUUAUGCGAUCUAUCAAGACGAUGCAGUCUGCUUUCCGCAGUCUAGAAGAAAUUAUAGGCACACCCAGAUAGCGGACCGGGAGUUUCCCUUCUUGAAUAAUUUCAAAGUUUAUCAUUGCUUAAUGGUAAAUUUGAAUAUGAAUACACAAACAUUUAUGGAUAUAUUUAUAAAUUGAAGAAGGUAUAUAGGAUCUAUAUAAUUUUUUUUUUGGACCUAUAUAAUUUUUAUGACCUUAUUUAAUAAUGAAUGGACAUACAUAGAAUUCUAUUAGACCCGAUUGAUUAAAGUGAAAGAAAGAACUGAAAAAAAAAUUAAAAAAUUCAAUAGGUGAAUUUAACUACCUUGACUAUGUGUCAUACAACAUCCAAAUUAAUAGUUAUUAAUUUCCCAAUUUUAUUCGUAAGUACAUCAGCAUUAGAGUAGUUGGGACUAUUAAGUUGCUUUUUUCUUCCCUCAAUGAUUGACAUUGUAGAGAGUUGUGGUCGGUAAAUGUACCUUUGUGGAAUUGUGGUUCGACACAAAGUUCCAUUAUACUCUUAUUUGUUAAAUGAAGGAACUAUUAUGUGCUUACAAAUGAAAAACUAAAUAUAAUAUUCAAUGGUUCAAAUUGCUUUUGUAACCUUGGCACAUGAAUGAGAUGUUAGGGAAAUAAUUAAUUUUUUUUUUGUUCUAAUUUUUGUAAGCUAUUGAGCUUUUUAUUGUGAUCAAAUCUAUCACUAAUCUUUGUUCGAACAACUUUUCUAAUAUUAUUGGUAGAAUUUAUGUACGCUGCCCACGUUUAAAAAUUUCUUUUUUGUAAUAAAAUAUUGCUUUGAGAAUAUUAAUUAGAAACACAUUUAACAUUCAUUUGUGCACUAUCGUUUUGAUUUAGCAAUUGCUUUAAUUGUUCUGUCAUAUAAAUUAAAAAACUAAACCCUUUUCAGAUUAUUUUUUAUCAUGUGCCCCAACCGNNNNNNNNNNNNNNNNNNNNNNNNNNNNNNNNNNNNNNNNNNNNNNNNNNNNNNNNNNNNNNNNNNNNNNNNNNNNNNNNNNNNNNNNNNNNNNNNNNNNNNNNNNNNNNNNNNNNNNNNNNNNNNNNNNNNNNNNNNNNNNNNNNNNNNNNNNNNNNNNNNNNNNNNNNNNNNNNNNNNNNNNNNNNNNNNNNNNNNNNNNNNNNNNNNNNNNNNNNNNNNNNNNNNNNNNNNNNNNNNNNNNNNNNNNNNNNNNNNNNNNNNNNNNNNNNNNNNNNNNNNNNNNNNNNNNNNNNNNNNNNNNNNNNNNNNNNNNNNNNNNNNNNNNNNNNNNNNNNNNNNNNNNNNNNNNNNNNNNNNNNNNNNNNNNNNNNNNNNNNNNNNNNNNNNNNNNNNNNNNNNNNNNNNNNNNNNNNNNNNNNNNNNNNNNNNNNNNNNNNNNNNNNNNNNNNNNNNNNNNNNNNNNNNNNNNNNNNNNNNNNNNNNNNNNNNNNNNNNNNNNNNNNNNNNNNNNNNNNNNNNNNNNNNNNNNNNNNNNNNNNNNNNNNNNNNNNNNNNNNNNNNNNNNNNNNNNNNNNNNNNNNNNNNNNNNNNNNNNNNNNNNNNNNNNNNNNNNNNNNCGUAGCACUGGUAGGCUGAUGUUUAAUGUUGUUCUAUGUCUUUCUUUAACUUAAUAUGUUGUUAGUUCAUGACCAUUUGGUGAAAAUAAUUGAGCUUUUUUCUGCAUAGUCGUUUAAAAUAUUAUAUAAGACCACAUUUAACGACUAACAAGAAUUAAUUGAGUCUAUGCCAUUAAUUUGUAAAAUUUAGAAAGCAUAAAAUGUGAGCGUAAAUUCAAUAACCUCAAUAACUCAGGGAUUAUCCCCCCUGGGGAUAUAUAUAAUGGAGCCCCAAUAGACAAUAAGGUAAAUGAUAAGUCAAGUGUAAAAGUUGAUAACAUUUAAAGAAGAAAAAGGUAAAAUUCAAAAAUCAUUACUCAACUUUUUUUUUUCCGUCAUCUUCAAAUCUAUUAUGUUGAGAUUAUUUCCUUUAUUAAUUUUUCAUAGAUAGCGAGUGUACAUAGCUUUUAGUUAUAAGCAUUGUGAGAUUAUGUGGUGUUUUCCACUCCUUGCAGUUAAAGAAAAAUCAAUGCAUAUGCCUUUGUAACGUGUUUCUUCUUACUUUUUAAGGUUUCAUUGCCCUCGUUGGAGUCCUUGACACUAUCUGAACUUCCCAAAUUGAAAGAGAUAUGGAAUUCUCAAUUUCCUUCAAAUGUGAGCAACCUAAAAUUUUUGAAGGUCGAGGAUUGUGCGUUCCUCUUGAGCAUCUUCCCAUCAAAUUUGGUGACAAAGCUACAGAAUUUGGAAGCCAUAACCAUUGAAAGAUGUCAGUUAAUACGAGAAGUAUUCGACCUUGAAGGACUGACAACCAUUGGGGAUGUUGAGAUUCUAUCGCGAUUGACAACAUUAACCUUGAGUGACUUAUCAAGGUUGGGACACAUAUGGAACAAGAAGCCAAGAAGAGCAUUGUGUUCCCGAAACUUGAGGGUAUUAAAGGUGCAAAACUGUGAGAACCUGAGGUUUAUUUUUUCUUCUUCCAUGGCUAAAGCACUCCAACAAAUAAAAGAGAUAAAAAUAGUGAGAUGUAAACUGUUGGAGGAAAUUAUACAUGUGCAAGAAGAAGAAUCAAAGGAAGAUGCAUCCAUCGACACUCUAGAGUUCCCUCUAUUAUCCUCCUUAUCUCUUGAGGAAUUGCCAAAUCUCAUGACAUUCUCUUAUGGGACGUACUGUAUUCACUAUCCAACCUUAACAAGAUUGACAAUAUCAAGAUGCCCCAAAAUGAUGACAUUCUUUUCAUUCGAAGGAAAGCAACAAUCGAUAACAACUGAUGUGGGUUUACAAAAACCAUUUGGUCGUGUCAACUCUAACUUGUCAUUGCCUGUCUUCUUCGAUGAAAAGGUAAGUAAGCAUCUAUAGUAUCCUUUUUUUUUUUUUUAUUCAGCAUUCUUCUAGAUUUGAUAAGUGAAGAAAUUUCUUAUGAACUAGAUCAUUAUUCUGUACCAAAAGUUUAGUAAUUCGUAGUGCAAGAACUAAAUCAUGAUGUUGUUCAUUCCCAAAGAUGCCGCGAAAUUAUUGGCAUAAGAAAUUCCAUACCAAAAAUUUCAGUUAUUCAGCAUAUACGAGGUUUUCACGCAGGUUCUUUUUCCAAGCUUGGAGGAAUUGAAACUUUCGUCCAUGUGCGAAUUAAAGAGGAUAUGGCACAACCAAUUCAACGGACAGUCCUUCUGCAAACUCACAUCCCUCACUCUUGAACUUUGUGAAAAUCUAUCACAUGUUUUUCCAUCAAAUUCAAUCAAUAGGUUGCAGAGCUUGUAUGAAAUUAAGGUGGUCGGGUGUCCCUCUUUGGAGGCAUUAUUUGAACCGGUAAGUCUCAAGGCCAAGAGAAGGCAAAAGCCAUUGGUCCUCUCUGCAUUAAAAAAAGUGGAGUUGCUGAAUCUACCAAGGCUAAGAGACAUUUUGAAGAGUGAAUGCAAAGUAACCUUGGCAUUUCCUAGUUUGAAGGAAGUGAACGUGAGGCAUUGUCAUAAUUUGUCAUAUCUCUUCUCAAGUGUCACGGCCAAAACUCUUCAUGAACUUGUAGUGCUUGAUGUUUCCUGUUGCAAUAAUCUGCGAGGCAUAAUUGUGAUGGAAGAAGGAAAGGGGAAAACCGUAGAGACAUUCAAGUUCCCUCAUUUAACCAAACUCAAGCUUGAUGACCUUAAGAGUUUGGUUUGCUUUAGUUCAAAGAAUUGUGCUAGCGAUGGGUUACAUCCUCUAUUUGAUGAGAAGGUAUCCCGAUUUAUCUGAUUUGUUAUUUUUCUUUGUUUUUAGUGCUUUGACCCUAAGCUGUUUUGCAUAUUUUUUUGUUUAUCUCUUUACAUUUGUAGCUUGCAUUUCCAAAGUUAGAAGAGCUACAUGUUGAGGGAGUUCAACAAAAAGAAAUAUGGAAUGAUAAAAUCCAUGUGGAAUCCUUUUGUCAUCUAAAAGUCCUCAAGUUGAAACAGUGUCACAACCUAAUGAAUGUGAUUCCGUCAUCCAUGUGGAAGAGGUUGCUUCACUGCAUGGAGUCCUUGAUAGUUGAGAAAUGCCAACGUCUGAGAAACCUUUUUACAAUGUCCAUGGCAAAAUGUCUUGGACAACUCCAAUAUUUGGGUCUCAGUGGUUGUGGAGAGAUAGAGUACAUUUUCGCCAAAGAAGAGGAGGAACCUGAAGAAGCAGCUGACCAAAUUGUAAUUCCUCAACUUGUCACUCUAUAUCUUCACAACAUGCCAAAACUCAGAAGUUUCUGCCAAGGGAAGCAUAUUUCAGAGUGGCCCUCCUUGAAAGAGUUCAUUAUUGAUGAUUGUAAAACUGUGAAGGUGAUUCUUGGAGAUGUCAGUUGUGGAAAAUUAGAGGGUAGCGUUCUAACUCAUCAACCGCUUUUACUUGUUGAAAAGGUUUGCACUCAUUCUUCUUUAAUGGCAUAUCUAAUUUGUUGUCUUGAUGGUUUGAGUUAAGACAAUAUAAGGGUCUGCAAGUCACUUAUGAUACCUUAUCAUUUUCUUUUACAAACCUUUGACCUCAAAUAAGAAACAUCUCAAAACCUUUAUAUUUUUUUCUUUCCUUUUCUAGUCUUAGACUACAUUGUAGAGGCUAAGCAUCAAUUAGUAACUUUUAAUUAAUCUAGAGUCUAGACAACACAAAAGAUGUCAACUCAACUUUAAAUAUUGUUUAACGCAAGAUCAAGGGUUCAUAACACUACAAGUUCUAAAACUUGUGUUAGUUCGGCACUAAAGUUCUAAAAUUUACACAAUCGAUGCAUUUCAAGGCUUGUUAAGUCUGUCCUUUUUUUUUGUAGAGAAAUUCUGCAUUUUUAUGAUAUUUUCAGUCCAGCAUGGCCUUUGACACGGUGAUGGAGCUUCCUCAAGCACAAAGGGAGCUGUUUCACUAUUGGCACAUCGAAAUAUUGAAAAAGAAAAAAAAAGAGUAAAAAUUAGAAAAAAAAAUCAGCACUAAUAUGAAACUGAAAAUAAAAAGGGUCCUAGAAUAGACCGCCAGUUAAUGGGGGAAGGGCUACAUAGGGAGCGCCACUAGGGCAGCCCUUCCUGCCGACAAGGACUUACAAACUGUUGCGGGGCUAAGGCAGGGCUAGCCCUCACCUUGAGCAAGCAAUGGCCUGUCACCACCCUUGCUAAUUUGGUGAGGGCAACUGUGCUCACUCACGUGGUGGCGAGGAGCCAAGUUUGGCAACUAUUGGUGACUUUGCAAGGAAGUUGAACGCCCUCGCCAAGACUCAGGGGACACAGUUGCGGCCCUUGCCAAUGCAAAAGCCCUGAGAACCUUCCCUCUCUCCCGCAUUGUUUUCUUAUAUGUACUUUUAAAAUUUUCAUCAUCUUUUUUAAUGUGGUAUCACAACAUUUUUUACCAUUAGAAAAAGGAAAAUUCGAGGAAAAAUGCCAUAUAUACUUUCUGUCCUCCUAAAACUAAUUUGAGCAAUGGAAAGACUCAAAUGCUGAACCGUAACAAGUUUUACUAAUAAAGGAAAAAAAAAUUAGUUCUUAAACAUGCCAAACCAGAAUAAGUUUUAGGAGUCAUUUUGUCACUAAUCCUGAAGUCAAUUGUAAAUGUUGUGAUGGGAACGUCAUUCCUUAGGUCCUAAAAUGUAUUUAUGAAAUGCAAUCAAAUCAUAAAUUUUUUAGCUGGUGCAAUGAACUCUUAAACCUUUAUCAAAAAGUGCAAUCGAGUCACGAACCUUUCAGUUGGUGUAAUUAAGUUAUAAAUUAAUACAAACAAAUGCAAUUUGAGGUUGCCAGGCAAUCUAAGUUAUUGUGUAGUAAAAGAACUUGAUUAAGCUUUUUCAAAAAUAAUUAAAACUUAAGUACACCAAUUGAAAGGUCUAGAACUUGACUACAUUUCAAAUAUAAGAUUAAUACUUCCAACGCACCUUUACUUCUUGAUUAUGACUAAAAUUGCAAGUAGUUGACAUAAUAUUUUUUAGUUUCAGGUGAAACCUAGUCAGCUUAAUCGAAUGCUAAUCAAAGGAGCUUUAGUGUAAAAGUGGAAUCAUGAACUUAGCAAAUCUGCAUUUGUAGCUCCACACAAGCCAAUAUUUUCUUUGCUACGUGCAAUAUACUUAAAUAACCCAAUUGCACUGACAUGGAAUUUAUAAUUCAAUGUGUUGUCAUUCACUAUCACAAAAAUUUGAGCUUUUUACUAGGUGUAUGAUACAUAUAGCAACUAAUAAUGUAGAAUGAAAUUGCAUAGCAAGGUUGGUUCAAAAUCAUAAAAUCCAAAGGAAAAUCAUAUAGCAAUAAACUAGGGAAAAAACGAGAGAGAGAGAGAGAGAGAGAGAGAGAGAGAGAGAGAGAGAGAGAGAGAUGCCAAACUAGGCGAGGAAGAAGAAACACCAACUAUGCAAACUCAUUAGUCAAUGAAUUCAUCAUCAAAAUUGAAGAAAAUUAGUAUCUUGGCCAAUAUCAUAGGUAAUUAAAACAAGAUUUCCUUACCAAAAGAAAAACAAGAGUUUAAACUAAGCAAGCAUAAAUAAGACAAAUAAACAAUAAGGUGGUUGAAGAAUCAUGUCGUAUAUCAAUCUCCACAAAAAGGAGGAUUUGGAUAUGCACCUAGGAAGUAUAAGGCUAUACUAUACUAAGUAUUUUAGUACAAAUUUUAGCAUCACAAAUUUUCAAUUCUAUGAAUGAUCAAUAGGAGAAAUUGUGUUCCAAAUUUUACUAAAUUUCAGAAGGUGUUUCUAUAAAUUCAUCCAAAUUAGUUAGUAGAAUUUUACUCCACUCACUUCACUAUUCCCACAAGCAUAGUCCUUAUUUAACUCUUGAAGACAUCGAGAGCACUUAUCCAUGUUGUUUUGCUCAAUAGUGAACUAUUUUCGGACUAUUUUCUUGUAUUCCUUACAGUUUUUGAUUGAAUCUAUUCAAUUCUCACUAAAAUUGUUGAAAUGUUUUCUCAAACCAAUAAAAUUUGUUUAAUCUCUUCAAGAUUGUUAAGGAUUUAUGAUAACCACAAUCAUAGCAAUAGUCACGGCAAUAGUUGAAUUACUCCUGACUGUCAACAUUAUUAGAAUAGCACGAUAAUCAUAAUAAUAAUAAUUGCCAUACCAAUCGACAUAAUAACCUUGGUAGCCCUACUCUUUUCAAAUUUCAUCAUAUCUGAGUUAAUAAAUAUUGCAACAUUAUUCAAAGAGAAAAUUUACCAAACAUAGAGUGGCUACAAAUCAACAAGCAUGGUGGCUGAAGUUUUAAUAGGCAUGAAUGCCAUAUAUCUUCAUGAGCAUUUCAGAUCAGAAAUGCAAGUGUAGCAUCUAAAAUAAGUACCACAGAGUUGGCCCUUGGUCUAGAAUAGUUGCACAGCGAUAAUACAUAUUUAAAGCGAAGUUAUGAUACCCCUUAAUGGUGAAAAGAUCUAGCUCAAUGACCAAGUGAUGAAGAACAUAUCUAUAACCGAAACCAACUAACGUGGAAUGAAAGCAUGAAGAAAGUUAGGUUUAAAUUCAUUGAAAGUGGAGGAAAAUCAAAUAAUAAGAAAAAGACAGAAAUUAAAGAGAGAUAAAAGAGAUAGAAAUGCCAAUUCAGGUGGGGAAAGAGAUACAUCAAAUGGGCAAACUAAGUUUUCAAAAUUCAUCAUUAUAACUAAAGAAAUAUAUUUAAUCGGUUUAUACUUAUAGGCAACUUUAAUAAUAGUGAUUCAACUAUUAAUAGAAAUAAAUCAAGAUUAACAUCCUCAGUUUUGAUAAUUUCGAAUAACAAACUUAUAAAGAAACAAAUCAGCUAGUGAUCACAGAAUCCCGUGCAACAUUAAUUAAACAGUACAUACCUAUAUUCAUGAUCUUUUGAUCUAAUUGUUGGAUUCUUGUCUUCAGUAUCUGAUGUGUCUUCUUUGAGUCUAUACUUUGUCAGAGAACUUUUGAAGUGCAAGAACCAUGAAGCAUUGGUUUGUGCAAAUUGGUUUCUAUUUUGUUGUUUGCACGUCAAAGAAAUGGGACAGUGUAUUGGAUAUUAUGUUUUCAGUGUUGUAAUGAGCUAAAUCUAAGAUAGGCCAAAUUUGAGUUUCAUGGGAGACAAAUUAUGCACGAAAUGAAUAUAGUUGUCUUACUACAAAGGCUAUGUUUAUGCUAUUGCUUAAACAUAAUGCUUGAUAUAUAUUAGAAAAAUUUAUGCCUUCUACUUUAAACUAUAUGAUAGGAGAAUCAAUUUUAGUAGGUGGAAUUUUGCUAAAAAGAAAUAGCGUACAUCCGGUCUUCUUUUCUUUCUAUUCUUUGAUAAUGUCCAUCUUGUGAUUUUCUUUGUUCUUGAAAUUAAAGUAUUCUCUUUUUUGAGGGAAUAGAGAAUCAGCUCUAAUUAAUUAAAUUGAAAAAUAACAGGUUGAGUUUCCUAGUAUGGAGUCGAUGAAGAUCUUGCAUAUGGAUAAUAUGGAGAAGAUAUGGCUUGAUGAUUUUGAUUCAAAUGCCUUUGGCAAACUCAAGACGCUAGUAGUGGCAUAUUGUGAGAAGCUUUUAUCCAUAUUUUCAUCUUAUAAUAUGCUCACAAGAUUUCGAAACCUAGAAAAGAUAACCGUGAUCGAUUGUGGAUCUUUAGAAGUGGUAUUUCAAGUCCAAGAGUUUGGAUUUAGUGAAGCUUGUUCUACAAAUACUUUUCAAUUGAGAGAAUUAGUUUUGACGGGACUCUCAAAAAUGAAAUGCUUGUGGAGUGGACUUCCUCAAGAAGGUCUUACCUUUGGACGCUUACAAUGCAUGGAGGUUGUCCAGUGUGAGAGUCUCAAAAGUUUAUUUCCAAGCUCGGUGGCAAAAAGUAUGACACAGUUCCAAAAACUUUUGUUAUUGGAUUGUGGGGUGAAGGAAAUUAUUGCGGAGGAAGACGAAGUAGGGAUGACUGCAGGUGAUCUCUUCUUUCCGCAAUUAACCGAACUAAGAUUAGUUGACUUGCCGAAACUGAGGAGCUUCCACCAUAAUAGUCAUACUUCAGCAUGGCCACUCUUUAAGCAAUUGCAAGUAAGACAUUGCGACAAGAUGAGGUCAUUCUCAUUUGCUUGUGAAUUCCAAAGCUGCCAAGGUACAACCACCAGCGAAAACCAGCCUACACUCUUUUCUUUUGAAAAGGUACCGUCCAUGAGUCUAGCUCUGUGCCAUUAUCUUCAUUGGUUUAUAUGCACUUUGUUAUUUUUCUACAAGAAAUUAAAGUUGUCACACUUCUUGCUUAUUAGUGCUCACCAAAACACACUUGUGAAUUGCUUAGAAAUUUGACUGCUGUUAACUAUUUCUAGCUCAUAUUUUUGGCAUAUAAUAUAGUGAUCCUAGCUUUUACUUUGAAAAAAUAAAUUAUUGAAUUAACUUGCAUAGAUAGUGAUGCUUCUAAUGAGCCGCUCUUGCCUUAUGGUUAGGAUUUACCUAUUUACUUUAAUUUGACCUACCUGUCUGCCAAAAGUGAAAAAAGUUUAGUAUUCCUUUCAUUUGGAACAAAGUUCCAUUCUCGAACAUUGUGAACCCGGUUGUUAACUGUCUAGUACAGCAGAUAAUCUGCUAAUAUGGGCUUUGAAAAGCACAAAACCUUCUUUAUUCUUUUUUUCAAAACUACCAACUACUUAAUAAUCUACCAAUAUUUAUUCUUGGGGCUCACCAACGUAUUUGAAAUUACUAACUUUAUUUGAAUAUACUGAACUUAAUGUGAUUGGUGUAUUAACAUUUGUCACGUUAAGAUACAAACUGAUUUUAGUUCAUUGCCAAUGUCUUUUUACUUGUUAGGUUUUGAAAAGUACCAACAUUUUCAAAAUUAUGAACUAAUUUAAUAAUCAAUCAAUAUUUAUUCCUAUGACAUUUUAACGCCUUUUUUUUGGGUCAACAAUGCAUUUCAAAUCACUAUUUUUAAUUUAAAAUUACAAAAGUUAAUUUGAUUGUGUUAUCAACAUUCAUCAAAUUAAGAUUCCAAUUGAUUUUAGUCACUUGCUAACUUUUUAUCCUAUGGAUCUUGAAAAGUACUAAUAUUUCUUUGCACUUUCAAGAUCACCAACUAUUUUAAUAAUCUACCAAUGUUUAUUCUGAUGGGUCACCAAUGCUUUUGAAGUUACUAAUGUGUAAUCAAAAUUACCACACUUAAUUUGAGUGAUAUAUCAUUGAUAUACCAACAUGGAAUUAGGUUUUUUUUUUUUUUUAACGUACAUAAUGCUAAAAUCAUCCAUUUAUUGGUUCGGUUUGUACGCGUUCUUUUCAGCGUCAUAGAACAGUGAACCCAUGCGCUACUUAUGACAUAUGGUAAAAUAGACAUGAGAACAACUGCUUAGAAAAGAAUGCUACAUAUUAAUACGUCAUCUUACUAUUGAAAUACAUCUAAUAUAUAAAUAACACAGAUUUGUUUUGAGUUUUUUCUAUGAACUUGUUGACAUUCACGUAUGUUUACUUUGCCAUUUGAAUUUAAUUAGUUGACAAUCGAAAUAGAUGAAUAUCAUCAACUAAUAACUUUAUUUCAUCUAAAUUCACGAAACAUGAUUUGAUUGAAUUGUGCAUAUCACUAAAAAAAAAAAAACGUCCCACUUAUACAACCCUUGUAUAAUGGUCAUCAAUUCUUGCCGUCUGGCUCUAGAUUUUUUUUUAAAAAAGGAUAAAACCGACCAAAAGCCUACAGGUUCUUUUUCCUCAUUUCCCUAAUAAAUAGAAGGCCAAUUUAGUCAUUGGACCAUGGCUGUGCCCUAUUUUACUUUUGGUGGAUGGUGGCCUAAUUAAACGGAUUCCCACAGGUCAUUCCUCACCUGGAAGUAUUGGAAUUGUCGAAGGAGGAUGUUGCGAUGCUGCCGCAGCAUUACAUCUUUGGCAAUCUGAGAGAACUGGUUUUGGGAUGCUACCAUGAUGAAAAUGCCGUUUUCCCCUCCGACUUCCUUCUCCAGGGAUUCCCCAAUCUAGAAUUGCUUGAUGUGCACUGUAGUUCCUUCGAGGAAAUAUUUCCAGAAGAUGCUCUUGGACAUGGGGGAGCGACUCCCUAUGGAGGAUUAACAGACGCAGACAAACCUCUUAAGUCACUUGGAAAUUUGAAGCAACUUGAGCUGGUAAAGCUACGCAACCUGAGAGGAGUCUGGAAGCAUGGCUCCUUGAUGGCUAAAAUCCUCAAACAGAUUGAAUAUCUUUGGGUUGAGCACUGCCCUAGUUUAUCAAUCAUAUUUCCAUCUCGGGCCUCAUUCCAGAGAUUAACACAAUUAGAAGUAAAGGAGUGCGCUGGCUUGGUUCAUAUGGGGACUCGCUCGGCAAUGAUGAGUCUGGUGCACCUUACUUGGCUAACCCUAAGAGAUUGUGGUGCAAUGGAAGAUGUGGUAACAGAUGAUGGAGAUGGAGCAGAGGAGAUCCAUUUCCCCAAGUUGAAAUGGCUAAUGCUUGAUCGUUUACCAAGCCUUGAGAGCUUCUCCCCAAUGAAUUGCGCCUUCAAGUUCCCAUCACUGGAGCAUAUUGUCAUCACACAGUGCCACAAUAUGAAUAUAUUCUGUAAGGGUGCCUUAAGGACACCAAACCUAGAUAAAGUACUCCUAUUCGAAGAGGAUGAUGAAGGACUCUGGGAGGGCGACCUCAAUACCACCAUCGGAACCUUGUCGGCUUGGAAUGAUCCACUAUGAAUUCAGUAAGGCAGGUGAAUCUAUUUGCUUAAUUGUGUCUGCCUGAACUUGGUGACAAAAGGAAGAAACUUGCGUUCUUCUUCGAGUUCUAUAUUGGCUCAUAUGAAUUCGGUCUUUCAUAAAAUAAUAUAAAAAGUUUGGCUGUGUUCUAACAAAAUCGUUACAUAUUUCGAAUAUCGGGGGCUUUUGUGCAAUUACUCACCAACGCAUUCUAGCUAUUUGAUGAAUUGUUUAGCGUAAUUUCUGUCAAUGUAGCUUCGAAAAUUGUGAGUUUUGUUAUAUGGGGCCAUGUGCUCGCCCACUUCUCUGGUUAAUUUUGAGAAGUAUCUUACUGAUAUGUUUGUUUCUUUCAGGUGUCUUGCACCCUAGGAUCAAAGUGGCUGCUUUUAUUUGCUAGAAAGUGUCGCCUGGAGUAAGAUAUUGAAGCAAUCUUUUUGCAACCUGUGCUCUAGUAGUGUUCUAGUGCAUGGUGUUGAUGCCUCUCGACAUGGAAUCUUUUUGCCGACAUGUGGUAUUCACAAUGGGUAGGUGCUUCAUUGAAUAUCUCAUUCUUUUUCUAGUUUGGGAUGUCCUCUCUAUGUAAUUUCCUUGAUAAUGGUACUGGUGUAGCAUAAUGUUUGUGCAAAUAAUCAAUUGAAUGAGGGGGUGCUCUAUCCUAUAUUGAAUUGUAUAGGAAUUUUGAAUGAGUGUUGGCUUUUAGGCAGCCUCAUUUAGCAUCAAGAAGUUUCUUUGAAGUUUGGAUGAUGACAACAACGGCUAUACACUGACCAAAGGGGGAAGAAGUCCAAGAAUCCAAAUAAGCACGUGUCCUUCAGGCAACAGACCAUAGCUUACGUGGAGCCAUUCACACUAGAUGUUUUCAUCUCCAAGCAAUUUGUCUCGGCUUCGCUCACUCACGGGGUCGCAUGCAAGCAAGUUGCUAUUGUGGGUACCAAUUUUGAGGACAUCAGAGCCUACUGAAGUCUCAGUUGGACAUACUGGCAUGUUUGGCCUUAGGCCAUAUUUUGGCAGACCAGGCGGGGAAAGCUGAUGUGUACUCUGCUUCCUACACUCCAAGAGAGAGGGACAAGUUUGAAGGAAAAAUCGAAGCAGUAGUUCAAUCUCUAAUUGACAGUGGUAAUGAUAUUUAAGUUUAUCUUCACUGAUUUUUCCUCCUUGAGCAUGAUCUUGAUUGUGUGCACAACUCCUAGUUGGAAUAUACUGACAUCUUUGAUAUUGUUUUGAGAAUACACGGGAUGUAGUGUUGGUUCAUUUGCUGGUUUAAUAUAGAUAAUAGUGAUUGUUUGUUUGACAGGAGCAGAAUACGUUUUUGUUUUGGCUUUGUUGAAACAUUUACCUUCUGGAUUCUUGGCUGAGCAUUGUGAUGGCUAUCAUAGCUUUGUAUAUCUUUCUCUAAUUUUACAUGGUUUUGAUAUUGACUCCUUUUUAAACAUUAUGGAUGUCCAUGCCACAAUGAUUAGUUUCAUCCAAUCUUCUUUUAGCGGACACUUAUUUACAAAGUUAGGUCCACAACUCUUAAUAGUGCGAAGUACUAUCAUCACCUGGGUUAGCAAGUACUAUCCUACUCAAAUUAUCAUAACUUAAGUUGGUUUAGUUAUCUACUUUUCAGUUGUUUUGCUUCAAUUCAUAACAUAGAGAUACAUAGAUAUUACUUUGCCUGCCUCAGUGACUUGAUGAUAAAAAAUCAAUUAACUUUGGUCAUUGUAUUCUUGUGGAAGAUAUGAAACUAAAUAUAAAAGUGGUGUUUAGUCAUUCUUUUUCUUCUGCUUCUAAGUUUGACUAUCUUGGACACGAAGAGUAGGCCUCAUGGAAAAGUGAAUUUGUGUGAUCUGCUGCUUUUUGAAUGUUAAUUCUUGCCGAUUUACUUUGGAGGAAACUAAGAAAAACUUUUUCUGCAGAUUGAUGUCAAUCUAAUAUCCCUGUGUCUUUACCACAACAGUAGUUAUUGCCUAGCUGAUGUGAGAAUCUCUAUAAUUUGCAAUGAGGUCAAGUUAGAAUAUCAUCAAACCAUCAAAGAGAGAGAAAAAUGCCUUGGAUCCAGUUUUCGGUAGAAUACUUUUAUAAAACACUCGCCUGAGCUUUCCGAGAUUCUCAGAUCAUGGUGGCAUCCUCAUUUUGCUCGAUCCUCUCCCUUGGAGGAUGAGCAAUAUAUGAGGAAAAAGAGAGAUGUCUGAAAUCCAAUAUACUCACAGGUAGAGUCCACUAUUGACAUGUCAAAAAAGUAAUAUAGUUGAUUGAAGGUGAUCUAUUGCUUCAUGAUUCACCUAUUUUAGAUGCAUUUACUGCAAAAGCAGAUGAUCUAAGGAUAACUCAAGUGUGGAGCCUACUGCAAUUUUAUGUGUUAAUCGGAAGGCUAGUAUAAAGAAGAAAGGCUCACUUGCUAGUUGCUAUUAUCAAAUAAUGUUUGAAUUCUGCUCUUUUCCUCUUGUUGUAGUUUUAGUUGUAUUCAUUGCUUUUUUGGUGCUUCAUCCUCAUAGCUCUUUCCAUAUGCGCCAAUAUGAACUAUUCAAUUGUUUUUUUAAUGGAUUAGGAAGUAAUAUUCUCUAUUAGCUAUGAAAAAAUAUCAUUCGAGUGCACGAUCAUAUGAGUUCUUAGGAAUUUGACUAUUCAAUUGUUUCAAAUGAGUUUAUGAAAUACAUCAAAUAGUUCACAAACUUAAAAGCUCAAUAUUCAUUUCCAUGACACGUUUGCACUUGCAUAUCUCUUAACUAGUCAAACGUCCAGAAUUCAACAUAAUCAAUACAAGAUUGUGCAGUAAAAUGUUACUUACUCCUGGAUCACACUAUGAACGUGUCAUUUUUUAUGCAUUUGGGUUCAGUGAAAUAAAAGGGUAAUCCAUCAAGAUCUUGUCCAUAGCAUCUUCUCCUUUCCAUUUUCUGCAGAUAGUCACAAAGAAAAUCAGAGUUUGACCUUGCUGCUUCUUAAUAAGAAUGCACAAGUAGGGUUGAGAAACCUGGUUACUCACUGAUGAUGAGGAAUCUGUUGCUUCCAGGAAUGCUAUUGAAAUAAUAUUUCACUGUUCCUAGUUUGGAAAACAAAGAUAUGUUUUUUUAAAGUGUGAACUGUCCAAAAUCUCUCAUCAAAUGUCCUAUUUGAUAUUGUUUCUUGCCAUAUCUUUUGAUUGCUUUAUAUCAAGUACUCAGUGUCAAUCCAGAGUAGUUGAAUCCGGGGGUUCUCUUUGUACUUCCUUGAAGUCGUCAUCAUAUUGUCUAAUAUGUUCCUGGAGGCACUAGUGAAUUGACAUACUGUAAAACUUUUUGCCGGAGAAUCCAUUAGUCAUUGAGUGCUUCGACUUCAAUACUAGCGGCAACCAUGCACAUGGAGGGUAAAUGCCUUUUCUCAUGCAUUUUGUAGAACAUGGGCUUUUGUGUGUUAAUUUGCUUGUCGUUUAUUACAGUAAAAUUCAGUAAGUCCAUAGCAGACUUGGGGAAAGUUCACGGAGAAAGAAACAGGGAAAAUUUUACUUACCAGCUUCUCAUCAAGGCUAUGAAAAGUUGUCUGGCAUUCUUAAAUAGUUUAAUACUCUUCAUUCUAACAGGCCCUUUGGUCAUUUUGCACAUGCAUUUUUCAAAAGUUGUCAGUAAAGGUGAUGAUUAUAUAAGUCCUAAAAAGUAGCAUCAUAUAAAUUUCCACAAUGAACAUCUUGAAUCUAACAUACUACCAAUAUGUUUUGGCCAAAGACCUAAGUGUUGAUUAUAACAUGCUAGAUAAGUUCAUGUAAAUUUCCACAAUGAACAUCUUCAAGUUGACAUACUACCGAUCUUUUUUGGCCUGUGUUGUUAAUAACAUGCCAGAUAAAUUGAUUUCGACACCGAACUUAGAGCUCAUCUUUCUCAAUAUUCGCAUGUUUUUUGCUCGGGAUAGGGUGUCUAGUGUUGUCUUGCUCAGCCUCACCAUCUCUCUUAUCACUCGGCAAAAGAAAAAUCAUAAAUGAAGAGGAAUGGCCAUUAUCAUGGACUAGCUCGCAAUAAAAUAAGCAGUGGUGGUGAUCAUCAUCAAGAUCCCUUACAAGCCUUAUGGCGACGGAACUCUCAACCUCGAUUACAAAGCUACCGUAGACGAUGGCAAGCUCAACUCGUGCCCCUGUAAUCAACUCCCACAACACCAGUCAUGUAUGAAUUUCAAAUGACUCCCCAACCCGCCAUGGCCACUGGCCCCAACGCUCGUUGUUAGUUUCCUGGCUAUGUCUAAGUCGCAAUAGCACGGUCAAUGGAAAAAUAAAUUAAAAAAGAAAAUGAGGCGCAGUCUCUUUCCAUUGCAUGACAUCAUGUCUAAUAUAUUCUUGUCGGUAGCCUAGUUUGUGACUUGAAAAUAAUAGGGUGAUCUUGAAACAUUAGCAUGUGAUUGGAAAAAAUUGAUUUUUACUCAUAGCAAAACUCCUAAAAUACUAUGAAGCAUGCAAAUUAUUACAUGAGUUCUCUCAUAACAUUUUCAAAAACAUUAUUUCAAAAAUUGCUUAUAUUUCUCACUUCAUUCUUUAUAUUCAAAUGAUUGGUAUAGAUAGUUGGGUCAAUUGAACAAGUAGAAUCGCAUACCGCCCAUACUCCGGUUCAACCUCUGGUACCAUUUUUGAAGCAUUGCCUACAAUCAAACCCGGAAUAGUUGACUAAAAGUCAUCUUGUUUCUUGAAAGGUGGAUAUAUGAAAAUCUUUAAUUUAAAGCCAUCACCUUUGGUUCAUAUAUCUAUUCAUCAAAAUUCUUUAAUGGUUGACCUCGUUCGUAAUUUAUUAAAAUAUUAUUCAAAGUAAAUUGUAAGUAUAUAUGAAGAUUAUAACAAUGGAGAACUGGCAUUGUUACUUUUAACCUGCUUCAUCCUUUCAUUGAGCGAGAGGAUCCAUAAAAAAUAUGCAUUUUAAACAUGUGGAAGGAGAGAGAUAUAGGAGAGUCCUAUGCAAACAAGCAUAAACUGAACUUCCUCAAUUUGAAAACAAAAGAGAAAAAAAAAAAUUUACCAUAAUUUAUGUAAAGGGCUAUACUUUGGUACAUCCCUAAUUGUAGGAAACUUUAUCGAACCAUGCCUUUGGUCAAUAGAUUACAAAUUAUGGAUCACCUACAUGCAAAUAAUGUAUUAUAUUAUGCUUAGCACAUGAAAUUGCACAUGACCACAUUAUCUAAUCAAGUCCGGCCAAACUUAUUGUGGCUCCAUUUACCUCUCAAUCUCUUGUAAUACCUUAUGAUAGAUCAGAUGUUGAAAAUUAUAGCUCAACUUUUGGCUUGAUUACUUUUGUUUAAUUCAUUAUGUCAUCCUUUUCUAGAUUGAGGCAUCAUUGUCUAUAUUCUUAAUAAAGAACACUAGGUAUUUGGUUACUAUUUAAAACUUGAAAGAAGAUAAACUUCUUACUUAUUCAUGAACAAGAGAAUAUAGUGAGCAUUGUUGAGCUCUAGGGAAACUCAUCCAGAUCAUAGCAAAUCGUCAAUAACCUCAAUUAUCUCAAUAAGUAGCAUCAAGUCUAUACUUGUUUUGUCCGUCACAGAACAAGGGAUGUGAACAAUCGCAUACACAUCUCCCCUCCUUUUAUUAAUAAAUUUUCUUAGCACACAUUCAAAAUUAGGUACAAAAUUAAUGAUAUUUAUCCAAGUGAGAUUUGUAAAGUUAUCUCCAAAUAAUGGACAUUUGAGAGAAAAUUAAUGGGGACAAUUUAUUUUAACAAAAGACAUCCAAAAUUUUGAUCAAUGUUUAUUAAAGCAAAAAGAAAAAAGAAAUAGCACCAAGAGUGUCGCAACCUACCUUUUCUGUCUAGAGGGGAAAAGACAUAAGUUUAGGGGUAUUGCCUAAAGAGCGGGCCUACAGCCCUCGUUUAGGCAUGGACUCUCCCAAGCCCAUAUGUCAUGCGACAUUGGGAUAUUUAAUUCUAGUUUCAAAUUGAAGCUAUAAUAAUUUUUUAACGAUGAGUUGCCACUAGCCUAUUGGAACCGACUAAAAACCAAGUGAGACAUAAGGGUAUAUCUUACUUCCAACUUAACUAGAGAAUCUAGGGUUAGGAAUUUGAUUACACUAAUUAAUUAACUAAUUAACUAGUGCCCUUUUGAUAUUUGCUCUUGUUAAUUUCAAUAGGAUGUUUGUCAGGUACUCUGUAUUGAUUUUAAGCUUAUCCACUCACAUGUAAGACGAUCAUGCGAGCGCGCAAUCAUAAAAAUAACAAUCAGUAACUAGGAAAACAUUAAAUAAGUUGUAAGGCAGAGUGAAAAUCUAAUGCUAAGAAAUAAGAAAUAAUACCAUUUCUAACUAGGGAAAUCAAAAUUAACAUAUCAAAAGUGCACAAUCACGUAAUAGUCGAAAUGAAAAUACGCAAAUGACGACUUAGCAUUUGUCUUUAAAAACACUUAAAUCCUGUGGUGAAGCUAUAAGAACUUGUUUAAUUUUGAGCACAAUUUUUUAUCAAGGAUUUUCACACAAUUUGAGAGAAAACUACCAAAAAAAAAAAAAAACUUAUUUUAAAGCUUUUUCUUAAAAAUAAAUUUUUAAUUUUUAAUUAAUUUUAUAAUAUAUGAAAUAGGAACUUGGGCGGGCCCCAGGGGCCUGGUCUGAAUAUGGGCUGACGUAGGCUCUCUUUUCUGGGCCAUGGACAUUAAUCGGCCCAUUCAAAUAGAAAAUCACCAAGCCCAUUUCGUCGGAAUAAGCCCAUUUAUUUCUAGCCUAGUCUUCCCACUUCGAAUCCCCAACAUAUUACUGACGUUUUCAUCUCCUGCUGCAAAGUUCAUUCCCAAAGCUAAACAUCAACUCCAGAACCAGCGCGGCUCAACCAUCAACGCUCUCAGACUUCAAAUCGAGAAUGACUUAAACAUCACACUUGAUAGCCUACAUAUGCCAGCAGACCCACGUCGUUGCCGCCACCACCAUGCUAGCGCCAUGGCCAGCCACUGGACGAAUAUCCGCCAAUGAGACAUCAUCAACCACAUCACCCUCUUCGGCUCACUACCAAUCACCCUAACCUUCCAAUAUACAUUCCACAUUCACAAUCACAAGAUAAAAGACUGAAUAGAGCAGAGAUCAGGAAAGCAAGCCAACGCAAAUGACCCAAGAGAUUGACGUUUCGGCCGUAGACUUCAACCGAUUCCUCACGCGAAAAACAUAGAGUAAUAAAAACCCAAAGAAAAUCUCAUUCUUCCACCUGGUUCAACGAUGGAACUACUGCUCAACGAGCGACAAGGAGUUUGUGAUGAUGUGAAAUCUGCCUAUACGCACUUAAGAACGAAUGGCAAUCGGCAACGCAUGCGCACGGGCUGACUUUGACCUAUUAUCAAACAUGUGGUGACUGUGAAAGUACAGAUACCAAAGAUGAAAUGUAUAUGAAAGAAAGAACUCUGUAUAUUGUGAGCACUGAAUGAUCAAUACAUCAGUCAAGAUCUCUUCUUCUUCUUCUCUCAAUCUAUACAAUCAUCUGUAGUUCUACUUCUUAGAGAAAGCAUAAAAGCACUUGAGAGAAUCGAGAGAAUCAUCUGUUCAACCUAUCUUCUUCUCUAUUGACAAAGCUUUUAUAUUUUUGGUUAAACGUCCUUCCAAAACUGACUUAACAAAAUUUAGUUACAAGAUUGAAUCAACAUAAUAACUACACUGUUAUAUUGACACAUGUACGGCUCCUGGUGCAGCUUGAUCAACUUCUGUCUCUAGAUUGCCAACUCAGCUUCUUCACGGAUCACCAGCUCAGCCUCUGUUUCUUUCCUUUGACUUCUUCAUAGAUUGCCAACUUCAGCUUUUCUUUAUUUCGAGCUUUGCUCUGUUUCUGCUUCAGUUUGCUUUGCUCUGUUUCUGCUUCAGCUUGUUCAGCUUCAGAUUCUGCUUCUCUACUUCCAUCAGUAUUUAUAAUCUGUGUUUUUUUUUAUCGUUGUUCUUUAACAUCCCCCCUCAAAUUGGGAAUGGAGAGAGAAAAAAUUCCCAAUUUGACUCGCAUAUGAUGGUGUGCUAGUCGUGACAAAGGUUUUGUAAAAAUAUCAGCAAGUUAGCAAUGACUUGGAACAUAUCUUACCUAUAGUGAUCCUGAGGAAACUUUUUCUCGAACAAAGUGGAAGUCUACUUCAAUAUGUUUUGUUCGAGCAUGUAAGAUAGGAUUAGCAGUGAGAGAGAUGGCUGACUUAUUGUCACAGUAUAGAUGAAUGGGAGGAGUAAGAGAGCAACCUAUGUCUCGUAGUACAAAACUUAUCCAAGUGAGGUCAGCUGUAGUGGAAGCAAGGGCACGAUACUCAGCUUCUGUAGAGGAUCGGCUUACUGUUGGUUGCUUCUUUGCUGCCCAGGAGAUGAGAUUGGAGCCGAGGUAUGUGCAAAAACCUGUUGUUGAUCUUCUGGUUUCAGCACAGCCAGCCCAAACUGCAUUUGAGUAACCAUAAAGAUGCAUAGUGCUUCUGGAAUGGAUGAAUAUUCCAAGAUUGACAGUACCUUUAAUAUAUCUCAACACCCUCUUUAAUCUAUGAAGGUCUACAAGAGUAGGUUGCUGCAUUUUCUGGCAUAGUACAUUUGUAGCAUAGGCAAUAUCUGGACGAGUUAAUGUGAGAUAUUGGAGACCGCCAACCAAACUUCGAUACUCAAUUGGAUUGGAUAGAAGUAUAAGAUCAGUGAGCAAACUAUUUGGUCUCAAUGAAAGUGGAGUUGAGAUUGGUUUACAGUCCAGCAUAUGAGCUCGAUUGAGAAGAUCAAUAACAUACUUAGUUUGGCAAAGAAACAGAUUUUCAGAACCACGCUUAACUUCAAUGCCAAGAAAAUAGUGAAGUGAACCCAGAUUUUUCAUAUGGAACUGGAGACUUAGAGAGUUAAUGAGAUUAGAGAGCAUUGAAGAUGAACUUCCAGUUAAAACAAUAUCAUCAACAUACAACAGUAGGAGGAUUGUCUUUGUACCAUUAUGUAAGACGAACAAUGAUGGAUCAGUUGAGCUACAGAAAAAACCAUACUCUAGUAAGAAGUUGCUGAACUUAUCAAACCAAGCUCGAGGAGCUUGUCGAAGUCCAUAGAGGGAUUUCUUGAGAAGACAUACAUGAUGAGGUCUUUGUGAUUCUUGAAACCCAGGGCUGUUCCAUAUAAACUGUUUCACUUAGUGUACCAUGUAAGAAAGCAUUUUUAACAUCAAGUUGAUGAAUUUGCCAUUGUCUCAUCAUUGCUACUAACAGGACUAGUCGAAUUGUAGCAUGCUUGACCACAGGACUGAAGGUUUCUAUAAAAUCAAUGCCUUCUUCUUGGUGAAAACCCUUAGCUAUAAGUCGAGCUUUCAGCCUAUCAAGACUCCCAUCAGGAGCAAGUUUUGUCUUAAACACCCAUUUGCAGCCAAUUACAUUCAUUUGAUCAGUUCUAGGAACUAAUUCCCAAGUUUUAUUAUGAUACAAAGCAUCCAUUUCAGCUUGCAUUGCUUGAUAUCAUCCUUUGUCGGCCAAAGCAGAUUUUACUAAUUUCGGUUCAAUAGGAACUUUGUAUUCAGCCAGACAUGCAUAUUUUGGAUUUGGUCUAACAAUUCUGGAUCUUAGUCUAGUUUGCAUAGGAUGGAUAGAGAGAGUACCUUGUGUAUUUCCUGAUGCAGAACUGGUUUGAGCUUGCUCUGUAUUACUUUGUGGCAUUAGAACAGAUUCUUGACUCGAAGACACUUGUUCCUCAGUACUUAUAGAUAGAAGUGGAAGUUCAAUAUUACCUGAUGCAUUAUCAGGAGCAGUCUGCAUCACAUUAUCAGGUACUGUAUUCAUUUGUGGUAUUCCUAUGGGAUCGAUUGUACUAAUUUCUCUGUCUUGUACAUCAGGAAUUGUUUGAACUGAUCUAGUAUUCUGCAAGUGUCCAAUAGGCUUAUGGACUUUUGAUUUGUUCUGUUCUGUAGUAUUGAAUCCAGAGAUUCCUCUUAUCCAUUGUUUGUACAGCUCAGAUCCUUGUUGAUGCUCAGCUAUUAUUAUCCGAGUGAAAGGAAAUACUGCCUCAUCAAAUACUACAUGUCUACUGAUAUAGACAUGUCCAUUAAUAGGUAAGAGACAUCUGUAGCCUUUAUGUCUCUCACUAUAUCCCAUAAAUAUGCAUGUGAGAGACCUUGGAUCGAGUUUAUGCUGUGUAUAGGGCCUGAGACAAGGAUAGCAGGCAGAUCCAAAGACUCGUAGGUGAGCAUAAUCUGGUUUCUGUUUAUACAAUUUAUAGUGAGGUGAAUUCAUGUUUAGCCUUGUUGUAGGAAGGAUAUUGAUUAUAUAGACUGCUGUCAUAAAGGCAUCUACCCAGUAUUUCAAAGGUACUCUAGCAUGAUAUAGCAUUGCUAUGCCUAAUUCAAUCACAUGUCGAUGCUUCCUUUCAGAAAUACCGUUUUGUUCUAGUGUAUAAGGACAGGAAAUACUCUGCUUUAUGCCGCACUGCUGCAAGUAGUUCUGAAAUUUGAUACUAGUAAACUCACCUCCUCCAUCACUCUGAAAUAUUUUGAUUUUGUGAUCAAGUUGAUUUUCUACUAGCUUUUGAAACAUGACAAAAACAUCAUAAACUUCUUACUUCUGUCUCAUUGGAUAUAUCCAACUAUAUCGAGAAAAAUCAUCCACAAAAAUGACAUAGUAACGAAAUUUCUGAACAGAUUAAACUGGUGAGGGUCCCCAAACAUCACAAUGUAUUCUUUCUAGGGGAGCAUUAGAUGUAUAGUCUGAAGAUGGAAAAGGCAAAGCUGAGCUUUUAACAAUCCGACAACUGCUACACAUGUUUUGAGCUUUUGAACUACACUGAACUAGAUGUUGGCUUUGUAGAAGCUUCACUGUUUUUAAACUGGUGUGAGCAAGCCUUUGAUGCCAGACAUCUUCUCCUACUUCUUGUUGAAUCUGAGUGAAGAAUACUUCUGUGGCUUUAGGAUCCACUUGAUACAACCCCUUGAUUUUCCUUCCUAGCUUCACUGUUGUAUGGUUGUAAUUGUCCUUCAUAUACACCCCAUGUUUAUCAAAAAUAAGAGAACAGGGAUAGUCAUCUGUUAACUUCGAUAUAGAAAUGAGAUUCUUCUUGAUUUCAGGAACUACUAGAAGAUCAUUUAGUGGUAAUAUGCUUGUUUUUGCAUGUAAUAUUCCAUUACCGAUACAUGAAAUUGACAAACAAGAUCCAUCUCCUAUCAUAACAGCAUCAGUACCACUAUAUGCAGAGUAGUUAUGAAGCAUACCAGGUUCUGCAGUAAUGUGGGAUGUAGCUCCUGUGUCUGGGUACCACUCUGUACCAUAAGGUUCUUCAAUCCGCAUGGCUGCCAAUGCGGUUGGUAUUUCAUCUACUUGAUAUGAAUUAUCAAAACGAUACCAACAUGGAAGAGCUGUAUGCCCUGGUCUUUUGCAAAUUUGACAUUCUAGAGGACCAUUAUUUAUUGGUUUUGUGUUUUGCACAUACUUGUUACCAUUUGAACUUUGUGGUGGAUAUGAUCUAACACCUUGAUACCUUUGAGAAGGAUUUGUAUAUGGUCUAAAACCCUGUCCAUAGUUAGACCAGUUGUCCUUGGUAGCUUGAUCUUGCUGUGUUAUAUUCAGGUUAUUUAUUUGAUAUUGGUGAUUCCUUCUUGCUCCAGUAAAGUUAUUUCCACUAUUCCUUCUGUUAGCAGUCUGUCCUCUGCCAUAGUUAUACCCACCUCGGAUACUUUCUCUUUGGUUUCUGAAAUUCGGCUUUUCCAGACCUGUUCCAGUCUUUCUUUGUCCAUAGUAUGCUAGGUUAGUAUUGUAUUGAUUUACAGAAUAUGUUUGUAAUCUAGUCUCAAAUCUCUCAAGUUGAGAAGUAACCUCAUCAUAUUCUGGCUGAGGUUUGAGACAGUACAUGGUUGUUCUAAAACUUUCAUAUUCUGAUCCUAACCCUUCAAGAAUGUCGAACAUCUUGGUUAUAUCAUCAACCGGUUUUCCAAUGGCAUUUAAUUGAUCACAAAUGGAUUUAAAUUCUCGAAGAUAUUCACUCAAUGGUCUAUCUCUUUUCCUGCAAGCUUGUAAUUUUCCUCUUAAUUCGAAUUCCUUUGCUACAAAUUUCUGUGUAAAUCGAUUUAUAAGAGUUUGCCAUACCUCAAAUGAAGUCUCUAAGCCAAUUAUCAGACUUAGAAUGUUCUCAGAUACUGCUCCACUUAUCCAGGAUGAGAUUAACUGAUCAGUCUUUAUCCAAUCUAGAUGAUCAGGGUUCAUCACUUGUGUUUGCCUUCCCUCAAUCUCAACUUGUAUCAUUUGAGCUGGAGGAGAUGUUUCGCCAUUAAUGAAACCAAUUAGAUCUUGACUCUUCAGAAACCUAUGAAAUUGAGCUUGCCAUAGUAGAAAAUUCUCUUCUGUCAACUUGAUUGUAACAAAAUUGGCUAUAUUCACAUGAAUAGGAAAUGGAUACUUUUGCAACCUGGUUGUCAUUCUGUAUAUCUAUACACUUUGAAGAUAUGACAGAACAAGAAGUAACCUUCAAAUAUCAGUUUUCUGAAAUCAAACCUUCGAAUAUCAGUCUUCUGAAAUCAACAAGAUCUUGAUGUUGCCUUGAUCAUGCAGUCUUUAUACAAACUUUCAGCAAUAGAGAAAGAAGAUCGAGAACUCCCAGGAAGAUGCUCUGAUACCAUGUGAAAGUACAAAUACCAAAGAUGAAAUGUAUAUAAAAGAAAGAACUCUGUAUAUUGUGAGCACUGAAUGAUCAAUACAUCAGUCAAGAUCUCUUCUUAUUCCUCUUCUUCUUCUUCUCUCAAUCUAUACAAUCAUCUGUAGUUCUACUUCUUAGAGAAAGCAUAAAAGCACUUGAGAGAAUCGAGAGAAUCAUCUGUUCAACCUAUCUUCUUCUCUAUUGACAAAGCUUUUAUAUUUUUGGUUAAACGUCCUUCCAAAACUGACUUAACAAAAUUUAGUUACAAGAUUGAAUCAACAGAAUAACUACACUGUUAUAUUGACACAUGUACGGCUCCUGGUGCAGCUUGAUCAACUUCUGUCUCUGGAUUGCCAACUCAGCUUCUUCACGGAUCACCAGCUCAGCCUCUGUUUCUUUCCUUUGACUUCUUCAUAGAUUGCCAACUUCAACUUUUCUUUAUUUCGAGCUUUGCUCUGUUUCUGCUUCAGCUUGUUCAGCUUCAGAUUCUGCUUCUCUACUUCCAUCAGUAUUUAUAGUCUGUGUUUUUUAACAGUGACCACGGAUCAAGAAGAAGACACUGACCAUCUUUAGAACUCGACCUCACGUCCGAACUUGAGAGAACCGAUAAACAAAGUUCAGAAACGACAGAUAAAGGCUGGUUGAAAGCAAAUCCGCAGAUAAACUAGAAAAUGUCAAGCCUCGGUUUCACGGGUUGGCCAAAAUCGGGCAAGGCAGCAAAAGGUUCACGGGACGGGCGUACAAUCGCGAGGGUCUCCCUACCCGACUUAGAGACAUCGGUUAAAGGGUGAGCUCGACACAAAUACGGCCAUGGCCGAUCGCUUCGACACCUCUGAGCCUAGAUCCUCGGGUGGGGGGUCUCGGAACCAGGAAAAGGGACUCGCCGGAAACACGUACGCCAAGGAAAGGUGGUCUUGGGGAUGCCGUUCGGAGGUCGUCGGGGACGCGUAGUUGGAUUGAUGGGGGCGAGGCUGGGCGCCGCUCUCCGAUUUCACUCUCAGCCUCCCUCUCUCUCGGAUCUCUCAAGCUCUCCCCUCCGUCCCCUCUCAAACGAGCCAGCCUCCCCUUCGCUCGCUCUCCUCUCUCCUUUUUAAGCCGUUCGGCGCGAAUGGCCUCCUGCGACGCUGGCUGCCACUGCCGGCUUGGCUCUGACCACCAACUCCCGGUCGACACUCUGCCUCUGUCCUGUUCCGUCUGUCUUCCUUCUCUGUCCUCUUGCAUCCUCUUGUUCGACCAGCGUGAGGGAAGAGCGGAAAGAAGGAAGAGGGAAGGAGACUGGGCCGGGGAAGAAGGAAAAUUGAAGAGGCUGGGCUGGCCUAGGCGGAAAGAAAAAGAAGAAAAGAUGGCCAGCCCAGCCCGGCCCGGCCUUUUUUUUUUUAAAUAAUAAUAAUAUUCUUUUUAAUUAAUUUUUUCCUCUCCUUUAAAAAGAAAAAAAAGGUUUCUAUUAAUACUAACACAAAUGCUCCUAAUGUUUAUAUGCUGUGCAAUUUAAUGAAAAUUAUUUUUGCUAAGGAUUAAAAAUUAAUCUUUAAUGUUCCAUGCAAUUAAUGAUUGAUUAAACGGGUUGCUAAAAUAUAGGUAUCAACAAAAAUGAGAUUGCUUCACGGCUACAUAACUUGCUCCUAAAGUGCACAAAGAGGGGAUUCAACGGGGUGCAAAUUAAUUUGGAGCUAAGUGCAGAGAAAAAAAAAACUACAAGAAAAAUGUAAAUUGCAUUAAUAGGGUAAAUUUCGAGGAAAAUAAAAUGGUGCAGUAAAAAGUAAAUAUAAACAUAGAUUAUAGAUUUUCUUGAUUUGUGGAAAGAGAGAGCUUUACAAUCUCAAAACAUUGGUAUUUAUAAACUAAAUACUAAUAAUAACUGUUCCCUCCUAUACGUACAAGAACCACACGGAUGUUAUUCCACCUCUUUUGCAACUUCCAACUUCAAAGACAAAUGCUACCGUGUGCAAACUCAAUCAUGAGCUCUUCCUUGUUACUUCUCCCAACUUACCUGUACGUCUUCGUCACUUAUUAUUUCCACUUUCUCUGCUUUUUGGUUCCCUUCUCAUUAAUAUUGGAUUAGCAUCUAAUGUGCCUAUUUCGAAAUUGGUAAAUUCUCUCACUUAGUGUUUGUGAUUUUUGUUUGGUUUUCUAAUAACUUCAUCUUAGUUAACGAAAAAGUUGCCUCUCAUCUUUAGUUAAUCCGAUAAGCCUAAAAAUGGCUCUAAUGGAUGAUACGUCGGCAUCUUUGUAAUUUUAAUGAAAGGACAAACUUGAUUAGAAAAAAUAUAUAUAAAUUAGAGACCAUGAGAGAGAGAGAGAGAGAGAGAGUGAAUAAUAUUGAACAAAUUUACAAAAAAAGAAAAAGUAAAGGCACUUAAAAUUUUCGUACAAGUUUUAUGAAACAAUUUUUCUAGAGGCUUUGCUAUACACUAGGGGUGCAUUACUUCGGGUUCUUCUUCAAUGAUAAUGAGUAGUUAGAGACUUUCCAGUUCAAGAAUUGGAAAUCACCGAUUCAAAUCCCAUCAAUAAUUAACAAAUGCAUAAUCUACCUUUCACCUACCAAACAUCUUUUCAUCUUUACAGCGAGCUCAUUGGAAUCCUUGCUGACUAAUCAAAACUUGUCCUCAUCAUAUGGGAAGCUUUUUGAUCAAACGUCUUGUUUCACGUGACCCACGCACCUCACCAUGACCAUUGCCCUCAUUUUGUUCUGGCUUUGUCUGAUGGUCGAAUGCAGUUUACCCGAACAACUUGGACAGAAUUACAGUGAUGAAUUCUAUCUUCGCAAUUUUUGAAUAUCCUCAUCUUUGAUUUGAGGGGGCCACGUGGUACAAUCAUAAAGAGAACUAAGAAGGACGUCCUUGAAGUCCAGAGAGGGGUUUUGAAGGGAUAGUCUUGCUGGUGUUGGACAAGAGGCGAGAGAGUUAACAAGGUAAAUUGCCUCGUUCAAGGAUUUCGUGCAUGUCCUAAAGCACAUCUGGUUCAUCCCAUCCUCUGGGGCUAGGGAAAAGGUAAAUCUUAUUUUAAGUGCCCAAGAAAAAGAGCCUCAUCGGAGGUAGCAACGAUACCGAUGAAUCAUUGAGAUGUUCCUUGUAAAGAAAAGAAAAGGAAAGAGAGAGGAUGGGAAUGAUAUUGAACAAAUUAAAAGAUACUUGCAUUGACAGCUCUGUUAUCCCUAAACUUUUCGCACGAGUUUUAUCAAGAGAGCUCAUAUAUUGGGAGUGUAUUACUUUUCGUUCUUCUCAUGCUAUGACAGACAAUAAUAUCUUUAUAAAAGGAUCCACAUGCAUCAAAGUCUAUUUCUGUUUUCACCUAUAUUAUCUUCUCUAACCUUUCCAUAAAUUGCUUCUUUCUCCUUCAUUGCUAGUCAUUGCCUUCGACUGCCACAACUUUGUUGCCGAUCGUUGCUCGCAUAGUAGAGAGGCACUCCACAUGAAUUGAGUUCGAAACAUUCAGGAUAGCACAUUUGAGAGAGAUUUCAUCAAAAAUUUCCCUCAAGAAAUCGAUUUCUAGAGCCUUCUUUCUCAUCUUUGGCUCGUCGCCACACCCAAGGCAACAAAGCCAUCGCCCAACUGCCGCUCUCGAGAAGCCCCUAUUCAACUCUGUUUUGCUGCUUUGAAGAUUGAAGUGGCCAAAGACUUAGCUUGAAGCUCUUCCACCGGUCUUCAAUAUAGUCAACGACGGUCACAAAGAGCUCCCAUAGUUGAUUGCACUGCCUAUUGCGACUUAGCUUGACUUCAUUGACAAGGAAUUCUCCGAUUCUCCACCAUGCUAUGAUCUGGGGGACGGUGAAGUGAAUGUAAAUCUCGCUCAACUUCAAUUAGGCUUGGCCAUAUCAGAGUCCAUAUAUUUGAUUCUGAAAUUCACGUGUUAGUUUCAUUUGAGUAUGGUCGCCAAUACGAAUUUCAAAUUGCAAAGAUCUUCUACUUAAUCAAUUGACUAUAAUAUAUUUGGUGCAAUGACUAUGAUGUUUCAAUGUGAAUUUGUUUUCAUUUUCGAAACCCGAAAGUAUGUUGGCAUAGAUUAAGUGAUAUUAAUUGAUUUUCAAGUCAUUUAAGCAAGCUCUAAUGUUUUCACAAUAGCCAAAUACAUUUCUGAAUCAUUAUGCUUCUCUGUCCUAUCUUCUAUGUUCCUAUAGCGAUUGAUGGCGAUUACGGGCAAGAGAUGUCCAAGAGGAGAUGACAUAUGUACUGAUGUCCAAUGAUUACUCAUGUCGUUGUAAUGUUAUGCCUCUAUAUAAUUGUUAAACGUGUGCUAGUGUGGCAUAUGCUUAACGAAUGAUGGUGGUUGUCAAAAGCGAAGUUUUUCUUUCGGUUACGUAAGGGCUUGAUGAUUAACAUCAAAAUAAUCAGAAUUCUAAGAACGUUGGAUUGGGCAUAUGGGGAAGACGAUGGAAAAUGACGAUUAAAAAAAAAAAGGCGAGGCGAUAAUUGUAAAUUGGCUCGAAGUCGAUAUUGGUUUUGAUGGAAAAUGGUUUUGAGUGGUUUUAGUGCAGUGGGCUUCAGUUGGGUCUUAUAAGGUCUGGGCUUGACAUAGUUUAGAUAGGUUUGGGCUUGACUUAGUUUAAAUAGUUGUGGGAUGAGAUUGAUAUCUGUGUCUGUGGACCGGACCUGCGAAUCUCAGUGUUGGCCCACAUUCGGACCGAGCCCUGGGCCGGCCCCGACUUCCUUCGGAAAGUAAAAAAAAAAUGUAAAAUAAUUAGAAAAAUAGUUCUUGAUUAGGUUAUUCGAUUUCAAUAUUAUAUUUAUUUUAGUUCAUUUAAUUAGUACACAUAUGGUUUAGGAAAUUCCAUGGUCUUUUAUAAGUUCUAGUUUAGAUUUAGGAAAAUUAGUUUCUUAGAGAAUUUGAAUUUGAUUCGAAUGAUGCUCAUAAGGGUUAUUGUCCUUGAGCUAAAUAAUUGAGCCAUAUUAUAUUCUUUGCCCACCUAUAUCGAAUUACUUUACUACUUUACUUUUUACUCGAUCUUUCAUUACUAUUUUUAAUGAAUCGGUUGUAAUUUUUUUAUAUUGUUUUUUUUUUUUUUUUGUGUGUUGGGAUUUGCUUGUUUUAGAUGUAAGGUUAGAUUACAUUUUAGAAUCUUACUAAACACAAAAAUAUUGCAUGGACACUUGGCGGAUGAAAACCUUAGGCUUGAUAAUUUGGUAAAAAGAUUUUGCGAACAUUUUAGUUGACAAAUAACAAAGUCCAAGUGUCAAAAAGGCACUAGUUAAUUAAGUCCCUAACCAAAUAUCUUUGGUUGCAUAGGAAGUGAGUUAUUUUCACAUAUUCACUUUAUUUCUUGUCCACUUGAAUAGGCUAGUGGUCACUCCCUCAUAUAGGAUUUUCAUAGGUUAAUCAAAUUAAAAUGAAUUUUCCAACGUUACACAAGAUAAAGAAUUGGGAGAACCCACACCAAUUGAUGAUCAUUGGUCCUCAACUCGACGUUACUUCUAAACUUGUCUUUUCCUGGCCAUCAAGAGACUUGUGACAACUUAAGAUACAUAAAAGUGUGUCAAUCAUUUUUAAUCAUUUCAUAUCUUUUGAUAUUCAUUUUUGGCUUUUCACUAAAACAAAUUUUGAUCAUUCGUUGUAUCUUUGAGUCUCGAAUUUAAUUCGACCGGUUUGUCCCGAGAAGAUAUCUCAGUUUUAUGGUUAAAUGGUCCAAGUGCCCAUUUCUCUUCUUAGGGAGGAGUAAAUGAAAUUGAGUACUUCAUUAGAUAAUUAAUAUUUAAAAGAGCGCAGUAGCUUGGAUCAUUGACAUGCCUUCAUAAUAAAGAUAUGGACUUCCCAACUUUCUGAUUCACUUUCAAGGAUGGCUGGGAAAAUAUCAUUGCCAUUAACAAUAUCACAAUGAUGCCCGUGCUAUCUACCACUCUAAAGAGGCAUAUUGAGCAUGGUUAGCAGAAAAAUUUGCCAUUGUGUUGGUGUGAGAUGAUAAAGUGAAGCAAUCGACCAAUUAAAAGUAUCCAUCACUAGAAUAGGUACAUUGACUAUGGAGCAAAAGGUGCUCAAUAACUUAGUAAUCCCACGCCAGCUUUGUUUAGUGCCAUGAGAAGUACUCUCUCAUUGGAAGAAUUUAAAGUAUUUUGAAAAAUCUUAUAAAUAGAACAAUUUAGGAAAAAAUGCAUACUCAAAGGACCAAAUUAAAUAAGGAUUGAAUUGAUGAGUUAGAAUUUUGAAAAAUUCAGAGUUUUUUUUUUUUUUUGGUCGGAAAAAACUGAUAUAUUAUACGAACAUGUGCAUACAACCAGCAAGUAGUGCAUCUGUAAGGACAAAAUUCUGGAAAGCAAAAGGAGUAAAAACAAGCCAGUUUGAAACAGAUCCAUUGGCCCGAUGGGCUUUGGCGGCCCAGUCUGCAGCUAGGUUGGCAUCGCGAGAGACAUGAUGAAUCGAGGCAUUAGGGCAUUGAGAGAGUAGUUCGUGAAGAACGGCAAGAAGAUGUCGCUCCUGCCAUGGCUGCGGCUGGUGAUGCCGAAGGAUCUCCACCAAGAAAAGGCAGUCCGAUUCAACCAGAACUCGAUGGUGCUGAUGCCUCUGCUUGAUCAGGUGCUGAAAGGCUCGAAUCAUCGCGAAGAUCUCCGCUUGAAAAGCCGAUGUGGCCGGAACAGUACUGGUAAACAAAAGUCACCAGACUUGAAUCUUAUUCGCAAUAAACAAAGCAAAUUACUCGGGAUGUGAUAAAUCAGUCAUCCACCUUAUAGAAUAAGUGGACUUGCAAUUUUGUUUUUUUCGGCCUCACAAUAUCGAUAGAAAAUUUUCGACCAUAGAGUAAUUAAUAAAAGAUUUUAUUCUACUGUGUACGACUUGUAGCUUAGGAAAAGAAACGUUACUCUCUUUCCACACAUUUUGUAAGAGAGGAAAAAGUGUUGGUCAAUCGCAACUAUUGAUCCUAGAACCACAGUGAUGAGUUCCGUCCUUGAAUAUUCUCCACUUUAAUUUGUGUAGUCACAUCGGUCCAAUUACAAAGAGGAAGGACAUGUUUGAUGUCACCGUUGAAAGAGUAAAUCGCCUCAUUAAAGAGACGCAACAACCACGAGAUUUUGUCUGUACGAGUGUACAAUGACAUCUAGUCCUUCGGGACAAGGGAAAAGCAAAACUUGGGUUCAAGUGCAAAAGGGCUUGUGCUUAAAGAGCGGAAUUGCUUAAAUCGUGAAUAGUAAUUAUUCCGUGCAUAAAUCGAUUUUUUCGGUUAGAAAUAGAUUUUAUCCUUCAUACGAGUUUCCUAGUAAAAUUUACGGAUUUAAUAACAAUAUAAAAAUUCCAUUCUUAAUAUAGAAAUUCGUGUGAGUGAGUGGCCAGCCAGCCCAUGUCAGGCGAGCGGCUGGCUAGUGGUGAGGUCCCGUAAGAAAAGGAGUUUUUAUUUUCUAUUUUGUUUCAAAAAUAGAAAAGUAGAAAUUUUUUGUUUUUUGUUUCUGUUUCAAACUUAUUUUGUAAAAAUAUUUGAAAAUAGAAAUAAAUGUAUAUAAAUAUUUUCUGUUUCAAUUUAUUUUGAAAUAAAAUAAUUAUCAUCAAUUGAAAUUAGUUGAUGAUGUUGAGGAAAAACAUCUUGGUUUCGGGACAAGUGCGGCUUGUUCGUUUGUCUUGGUCUGGGUCACUCGCAAUUAUUUGUCUAGACAAGUUGGACAAGCAUCAAGUGAUGUGUUUUUUAUUUUUAUUUUUCGAAAGGAACAUCAAGUGAUGAGUAUGUCCUCACAAUUUGAACAUAACCUCCACUUUGAUUUGAGUGCCACGUGGUCCAGUUACAAAAAUAUCCUUGAAGCCUAGGGGGAACCCUGGGGGUGGUUGGGUAUCCUCGCAAAAACUUAGACGAAGGGAUUGAGUUGCUGAGCUUUUAAAAAGAUGAAAUAAAUAAGGGAUAUUGAGCAAAUUCAAAAGGACAACCGCAGAUGAUCACAUUUUCUCUAAGUUUUAAGCACGAGUUUUAUUUAAGAGAGCUUUCUAAAAGAUUCCUUAUACAUACUGAGGACAUAUUAUCGUCUAUUCUUCUCUUGUGAGUGCACUGGUAUUACACAUACUUUCAAAAUGUUUUGAGAAAUUAAAAUUUUUUCAAAGCAUAACUAUUCAAUAUCUUGACUCUAAGGGAUAGCAUCAUGCAAAAGUUGAAUUUUUAGUACGAACAACUUGAUUCUAAUAUGUGUAUCGAUUCUUUUUUGACCAAAGACCUCGGUGUUUAUUAACAUGUCUUUUAGCAGGGGACCAAUUAUCCUUGAAGUCUUUGGGGGAGGCUAUACUUGCCGAUCUAGAGGGAGGGGCUGAUUUAUCCUUUGGGGGAAGAGAAAAAGUGGUCUCCCCCGCGAAAGUUACCAAGUAAAAGGAGAUGAUAAUUUCCACCAUCCACACAUUGACUCGGACAUAAAAUAUUGAUUAUUUCAUUUAAUGGGGCAGGGAGAGCCCAUUUUAUGUUUGAUUUGCGUGGCCACCCGCAACUAGCAAAGUGUCUUCGGAUUCUAAGGUGGGGGUUAUUCUUGCCAAUUCAUAAUUUGCUUUCCCUUCGGUUGUUACCUCUUUUUCACUGUUAUUUUGUUUUAUGUCUGUGAUCUCUCUGCAAAUUGACAGGAAGAAAGAGAAGGAAAAUGUGACAUUUGCUUUAGAUUCUGUUAAUUUCUUUUUCGUCUUUAACAAAAAUCAGUUUAAUUUGUGUUUAAAAUUAUUAACUUUGUUUUUUUUUUUUAACUUCUUUAGUAAUAAAAAUUGCCAUAUCAACUUACCACGUAAGUGCUGUCCGGCAAGUAACUCAUUUGGGCGGAAAAAUAAUAGUGGCCAUUUUUGUCCAUAAAAAGGGGCUGCAUGCUUUUCUUCGAAAUGACAUCAUUUUUGUCCUCUAACAUAAAUAUGUUAUAUCUUUUUCCUAGAUUUGGUCUACCAGUUACGUGAGAACUUUAACUGACACUCCAGCCCACCCUGGUCACUGGCCCAGCGCUCUUUAAUAACUUGCUAUGUUUAUGGCGUGAUAGCACGUGCUCAAGGAAAACAAAAUGAAAAGGUCAAGAAAUACCGUGUUUUUCCACCCUACCGAGAAUAAAGAAAGAAAGAUUGACGUCGAGGUCGUUGUCUUGUUUCGUUUGUCAUUGUCCGAUGGUCUUUUGCAAUUGCUUUAUCUGGGCAAGUUGGCAGAAUUACAGCGAUGAAUUCUGUCCUGAUCAUUUCCCGACUUGUCAUUUUUUUUAAUGGCCAGCUGUUUGUAGUUCUCCAAGUCAAAAAGUGGAGUCAGUAGUGUUCAUCAUAAAAAUGGCCAGCCAAGCGCUUGCCCUCUAGACGUAUUGGUUCAAACAUACUCUCGGCAAUUACAUGUUUCAUUGGCCCAUUGCAAGAACUGAGCAAAGAAUCCCUUCAUCCUCUAGUCACUCCAAGUCGAAGCUGAAGGUACCGAAACAUCUCGAUUACAUUUUUUUUCAUUAAUAAUUUUUCAGUUCCCUGCUGUUUCCUUCCCCGACGGUGUCCACUUGUUUUUGCGUUUUGCCGAUAUUUCCACUUACAUUCUGGUGUUAUCAGGAUUGCUUUUGGCCUGCUGUCCUCUUCAUCCAUCUUCACAGACGAGCUAGCAGCCAAGAAAUCUCAGUUCCUCUUGCAUCCUUACGUUGAAGCCAUUCUGGUAUGUGCUAUCGGUGCUUGUUUCACUUUCGCCCUCUUUGUUUAGUUAUUUGGUUCUAUUGAUUAAACCCAAUAAACCUAAAUGCACAAAAAAGAAAGAAAAAAAGGAAGAGGUAACAAAAAUGGGUAAAAGAAGUGCAACUGAUAAAACCCUAAUAAACAUAAAGCAUCCGUUUUUUUCAAAGGUGGUUUUGUGAAAAUCUUUAAUUAAGGGCCGUACCUUUAGUUCAUAAAUCUAUAGAUAAGACUUGGUUGAUGGACGACCUCGCUCUUAAUUUAUUAAAAUUCCAUCUGCUUAUAUUUGCAUAAAUUAUUGCUUAGGCUCUUGCAAUUAUGUUUUGUCUUAUAUGAAUCAUAGCUUAAAAAAAGAAAUAUUAGUCUCUUUUCACAUGUUGUAAGUGAGAAAGGGGAAUCUUAUGUGAAGCUCAUGCGAAUUAUUGCUUAUUAAUCAAAACACAUCCUUAUUACAUGGGAAGGGUUUGAGAAAAUUAUCUUAGAUAAUGAUAUCUUUUGGUUGAGUUAAAGAAAUUAAUUCGAGGCAAGUUAUUCAACAUCUUGCCAAAAUUGCUAGUACAGGCGAUGGCUACGGUGCUCUCUAGAAAAGUAUUGAUUCUUUUUUAGACAAAGACCUAUGUUGAUUAAAACAUACUUUUAGCAAAAGACCAAUCAUUUUGAGAACAUCUAUUAGCAUGAGGCAAUAUUUUUUCUAGUUGCUGAAAGGUUGAUCAUGGCAUUAAUUGGAAGUUUCCUUAUGAUAUCCAAUUUGCCAUCCCACAAGUUCCAAUUGCAACAAUAUGGUGAUAAUUUUUGCUUGGUUAUGCCUCAAAACUUCUUUCUCGAGGAAAGCUUUCUCCAAUCUAAUGAGUGCUGAUGCCGCAGCUAUUAUUGAAGCGUUUCAUGAAAUCAUGCAUUUUUCCACAUUCAAUCUUCAAUAGAUUAUGCAGCAGAUUUGUUCAACCUUUAGGAACCUUUAACUCGAAUUUUCUUUUUUCUUCUUCCUAUAAAAAUGUUAUAAAAAGUAUUUGAUAAGUCCUGAUGUGCAUCUCUGUGAUUUACGUGCAUUUACGCGAAUUAGUUGGCUUUUAAAAAGUUCAGCUACUCCAUGCUUUUAUUUAAUAAAAGAAAAAUAACAUUUCAUAAGGAAAAAUCAACUAUUUCAUUUUCUUUUAUUUUAAGACAAAAAGGUGCCUGACAUGAAAACUCCUAGUUCGUAAAAUAAUGUGUAUAUACAUAGAUACAUACAUAUAGUACAUCACUGACGGAAGUCAUGUCAACAACUUAGUAUGUAAUUUUAGAUAAAUUUAAGGGCUACGUUAAAAAGAGAGAGGGAGAGAGAAAUGACAAGUCAUUCCGUCAUCACUAAACUCCAUAAGCUUUAUUAAUAGAUCUUUUUUUUUUUUUUUUAUGCUUCGCUCUCCGUUCUUCUCCCACCACAACGAGGGAAAUAACAUUUUUAAGAAAGUGAUCUACAAGUCUCAAAAUCUAUUCCAACGUUGCACAACUCUCGAACAGGUCACCCACCUUCACUUUGAUUUUCGUGGCCACGUGGUCCAAUUAGAAAGAGAACUAACAAAAUAUCCUUAAGGUCUACACAAGUAAAUUGGUGGUAUAGGACAAAUUUGAGGGCUAAAGAAGUAAAAUUGCCUCUUUAAAGAUUCCGUGCAUCACAAGGACCCGCGGAUCAUGGGGCAAGAGAAAAGGCAAAAGCUUGUUGGAGUGCUCAGGCUUGUGCUUUAGGUGGAGAAACGCAUCUAUAGGAACGCCACACCAAUUUUCAGAAAUCACCGAGACGCUCCUUUUUAUGUUAUGAGGUGUUUGGUUUGACAUUUCCAAGUUGAGCCGUCAAGAUAAUUCUCCAAUUACAAGGUCUUUCGAGAAACGGACACAACUUGAUAAAUCCAUCUCAAACACAGAUCCCAUCAUAGUGAGUUUUAUCUCUGCAUUGCUCCAAACAAGAACAAAAAAUAAAAAUAAAUAAACACAUUUGAUAUUUACCCAUGGCAAAACACCUAACAUUGUUUAUAGCAUGCGAAUGUUACGUGUCAAACUCACACGUGACUUUUCACAAUUAUUAUCAUGUAUAUUACUUAUUUUUCUUACUACUUUCUUUUUAUCUAAACCGGUUAGUAUAAAUUGUUGGAUUGGUUUAACCUGGACGAAUAGCAAAUCAGCCCCCAAUCCACAGUUCUAUACCUCCCUCACAAAGUGCACAAAGUGGGGAUUCGACGGAGACCAAAUUUAUGUGAUGCUAAAUAAGGAGAAAAAUAAAGGAUUACAAGAAAAAUAUAAUUGUAUGGAAAAUAAAUUGUAUGAAAAGUAAAUUGAUGUAGUGAAAAAUAGAGAUAAACAUAGAUUAUAGAUAUCUUGAUGGUGGAAAGAAAGAGCUUUACAAUCCUAAAACACUUGUAUUUAUAAACCUGAUAAUAAUAACUGUUCCCUCUAUACGUACAACACUCGCCCACACAACUCCGUUCUUCAGUCCACCUCUUUUGCAACUUCUUUUGUUAGAGCAGAGGCAAAGUUCACUUGGGGUUGCACGGCCAAGAUUAUACAUACAGCUCUAAAGCCACAACCUCUUUAUGCUUCUUGGUCGAGCUCUCCAUCAGAUCAACCAAGUCGAUUAAUUUCAUUCUUUAAAGGCUACAAGAUUGUAAAUUAUCAAACCGAGGACCAACAUUACAUCGAACAUAUUUUAAAUUGGCAUAUUGGUAAAAAGUGGACACCAACAAUUUAUCUAAAUAUUUUUAUAUUAACCCACUUUUGUUCAUGUUGACAUGUGUUCAGUUCGUAUUAAAUCAUUUGGAGCCGUGUAAUAUUCACUUAGACUAUAUUAUAUAUUUUUUAUUUGUUGAUUUGCUCGAAUCAACGUAGUCAAUACUUAAGACUGAGUGAACUAAGUGUGUCUUGCUUACUGAUUGCUAAACGAAUUAUUUUUGGGGAUUCGGAACCCUUUGGAUCUCAAAUUGCUCCUUUUGAGACCAAAAGAAAAAAAAUUGCUCUUCUGAACUUGCGCAAGGUGAUCCCAUAAAUUUUAUUGGGCAUUUAUACAAUUGAAAAAUUAUCACAAUCUGACCUAAUUUGGUCGAAUUGCAUAUUCAACUUAGCCAGAUCGAGGGACCACCCUUCUUCUGCUAUAAUUUCUGUUCUUUACUAAGAAACGUUUUUCAAUGUUGGUGGCAUUUUUCGAUCACUAGAUAGAUAGCACGGACUAUUUCUUUUCGAAGCUUAGCUAAUAGUUAUACCAUCUAAAAUAUGUUUGCUCUUGCGAGUAAGCACCCGAGCAGCAGGCUGAGCCACUGACAACGAUGUCAGUCCACUCACUUGAAAAUAAUCAUCCUGAUUGUCCGCUUCUUUUGGCGGUUAAAUAACAUAUUAACAUUAUUCCCUUCAUUUCCAUUUCUGGUCUUGAAAGCAUUUUUACUUAAAAAGGCCCGUAAAGUAAAUCAAUAUAGACCAUGUUCACUCAUACAAAAGUUUCAAGCCAAUUGUUCGUACACAUGAUUUUCCAAUGGGCAAGAUUUUCAUAAUUCUCUUGAAACAUCAAAGUGCUUGGCCAUGUUACCCCAACAAAAAUAUUUUCAUACUAACCAGGAAGACAGAUGCUUAACUGAGUGAAGUGGCUCGGCCCAAAUUGGCGCCUACUCUGCUUCUCAAGACCAUUAGGGAGUUAUGCUUGUUCCACAAUAUUUGAAAUUUCUUACAGAGGUUGGUUUACAAUGGAGCCAACAGUCUUUACAAGAAAAGUGAAUUCAUUUGCAAACAAUUUCUCUCACAUAAAUCGAUUUGCAAAGUGAAUACAAGGGAGAUUUUGCAGGUAUUUUGAUGUACGCACAUGUCCAAGACCUAUGUAGCACGGACACGCAAUACGACACGACACGAUACGUGACACGUCAGUUCUUAAAAAGUAGAGAAUUUCGAUACGUUCCGACACGUUAAAUAUUAAAUAAAUAUUUUUAUUUUUAAUUAAUUUGAUUCAAAUUUAUAAAUAAAUAAAUAAAGAGUUUACAAUGAAUUUAUAUUAAUAAUAUUAAUAAAUCUUACACUUUUUUUUAUUUCAUUAUCCCAAAUUUACAUUUAUUUUUCGAAAUCCUCCCUCCCCCGCCCCCAAACUUUCCUUGUCUUUUCCCCCCAAAUUUUUUUUCACUUUUUUUUUUCCCUCUCCACGUCGUCCAUUCUCCCCCCACUUUAUUCAUUGACAGACAGGUUGUCCCGUCACUUCCCCUCCCCCCAAAUACGUGAUGGCCAUCCUAUAAAAAACCCUAGCUUUACUUUACCUCAUUCUCCUUUGCCGCUCGCCGCACGACCCUUCCUCUUCUCCUCCUCUAGAUCUGUCUCCUUCCUCGCCGCUUGCCGCUCGCCUCUCACCGCACGACCCACUUCUUCUUCUUGAUCUCCACGUUCUCCCGGUACACGCCCUUUUUCACGUAGAUCACGAACCGGCGCGUCCCGUGAUCGGGCACGGCCGCGAUCGUGUCCUCCACCUUGCUGAAAUUGCUGCUCCGCCGCCGCCGGAGUUGGAGCCGGAAGAUGGGUGGACCAUAGUGAGGAGUCGUGUGACUAGUGAAGUGAUUUGGUUGAGACUUCCAGAGACGACGCUCUUGACAAUGCCGCUAGUGCCCUCAAACCCAUCUCUGCAUGUCUCCUGGUUUGCAAGUGCAACACUUAGCCAUGUCCUCACUGCUCGCCGCACACGACCCCCUUCCUCGCCGCUCUUUCUCUGGAUAUCUCUCGCCAUCGCGGGCUCGCCGUCGGUCUGUCUCUACUCCCUCGCCGUUACUUCCACCUUCCAUCGUCUGCCGGACACGCGUGUCCAAACAUGUUGGGCAAAGGUUGACCACACUUCAUAGUCCAAGACAAUGGGGUAACUUAUUUUGAAGGAAAACAAACUCUCUCGCCUAAUUUCCAUCGGUGGUGGCAGUCCCUGAGCCGUUAUUAACACUUCAAAUGACUAGUUUUCAAUGACACUCUUGAAAAUUCAAAAUGGUCCCAGACACUAGCCCCGCCGGCGCCCCCGGGAGUGGCAGAGCAAAGCAAAAUUCAUAUUUAAACUGCAGAGCCGGAUUUUCAGCCAAACCUAGCUGGCUAUCCCGCCAAUACUUAGCAAGGUACCUACAUACAUUUUUAGACAAACCUGAUCUUCUUUAACCCUUUCCAACCUACACAACUUGCAGAAAACAUGUCCAAAUAAUUUGUAACGAUUAUAAAUAUACAAAAAAGAAUUUUGGAAACAUCAAAACUAAUUUUGGGAUCAAUCGUGACAACUUGUAAAUAAAAGGUGCAGCUUAAGAUUAAGUUUGACAGCCAAAAAUUUAAAUACGAUAAAUGCAACAUUUUGACAGUCUAAUCUAUUACGAAUUAGGGAAUAAAGAAUCCAGCAUUUUAAGAUAACAUAUCGGGUAACGACUGAGAGUUUUGUGAUAGGAUUGUGUGAGCUUCAUCUUCACUAGUGAGUAAUGAUACUAAGAAAGAAAAGGAUAGAAGUGCAAGGAUAUGACUAUCCUACAAUUGUUGAUGGAAUUAGGUUUUUAGAACCUUUAGCUUCCAUUUAAAUGAUACAAGAACGUACAAGUCCAUUUUUCUUAAGACGGCCGAUGGUAAGACCUUGAAUUAGCCAAUUAGUAUGAUGAAUUUAUCUAAAUAGAAUAUUAUUAUGAGGAGUAGAUGUUGAUAACCCUCAAUAAUUUAGAAUGUUAUCACGUCGUCCAAUUCUGGCCGGUGCAAAUAAUCCACUGUUUAGUUGAUUUCCUUUCCUCUUAAUAUAUAUGCACCUCUUUUUUGAAAAUUUGUGGGUUAAUAAGGUAUUAUCCAUUGCUAUGAUCCUUUUCUUUUCAAAUAUUUAGUUGAGAUUUUCUUUAUAUUCUGCCUCACCUGUGCACUAGAUACCAUCCCUCUCACGUGUGAGUCUAUUAAACCGAGGCCAAACAUUGCCGAUUGAUACAUGGCCUUUUCUUUUGCGAAUCAUUGAAUACUUCUUUUUAUCUCAAAGUUCAGAUGUGGCAUUUGUUUUUUUUUUCUCCUCAUAAUAAAGGAAUGCUUCAAAAUGUAUUUACUAAUGCCAAAAAGAAAAAGCAAAAGGUACGGUGGGCCAUAGAUUGGUUUGUCUUGCCGACUUUCAAGCAUUUUUUUUUUUUUGGAAUUAUUAAAUCACUUAUUGUAAAAGGGCCAAAUUAACUCUUAGAAGCUUCAAAGGAGCCCAUACGGUAUUAAAACAACAGUGUAAAUUCAUAAAUAACUAACAGUGCAAAUUGUUUGUUGACGAACAAUGAACAUGCGUAUUUGGGUUGCACGCGAGAGAGAGAGAGAGAGAGAGAGAGAGAGAGAGAGAGAGAGAGAUUGGACAAUACCAAGAUAUGGUUUCUUGAGAACAACACGUUGACUUAUUGACUGCUAAUUGUGUUUCUUGAUUUGUGUAGCAGCACACGCCCAUUCCAUUAGCUAUAUAUUUUCAAUCAUAGAGUAAUUAAUGAAUGAGUUUAUUUUAUUGUGCACACUAGUGUGAGAAAAUGUAAAUGAUGAUGAAGAAAUUAUAACUUACACCCUUACAAUUAGGUUUUGUAAGCGAGAAAGGGCAAUCUUAAGGCAAGCUCCUGUGAAUUAUUUCUUAUUAAUCAAAACUUGUCCUUAUUAGAUGGGAAGGGUAUUAGGAAAACUAGUCUGUGGGACCAUACUGCACCACAAUUUUCACAAAGAUUGAUUAUUAGAGAAUGAUGCCUUUUGGUUGAGUUGAGAAAAAUACUUCGAAUAUACAACAUCUUGCAAAUAUUGGUGGUAAAGAAGACGGUUACGUGGCCUUCAAAGAGUAGUCUAAAAAUCAAAUUCUACAAUGAACAGGCUAACUCUAACAUGAGUAUUAUUCUUUUUUGGCCAAAGAUAAGUGUUGAUUAAAACAUCUUUUAGCAAAAGGCCAAUUGUUUUAGAACCUCUAUUAGGAUAAGACCAAUUUGCGACCAUAGCAUUAAUUUAUUUAUGAAUGAAGAAAUCAAUUACACGUUAAGGUUACAAAGGCAUGGUAAAUGAAGAAAAAUGCAAAAAAGAAAAGAAAAAGUGCCAUCUCUUUCCAUACCAACAAGAAUGCAGAAAGAAAGAAAGACGUUGAGAUGGUCGCCAUCAUCAAGUCGGAAUAGAUAACUGGCGAUCUCUGUCCCUCUUCGUCAUUUCCUCUAUAUGAUACACUAGUUCUCAAUUAAUAAAUUUCUUAAUUGCAAGUUGUGUUGAGAAAGUUGUGAUUUUUUGUUGUCUUGUUUUUCUUGUCUUUGUCCGAUGGUGAUUUGCAAUUAUUUAUCUUGGCAAAUGUGACAGAAUCAUCCUCAUCAUUUCCCCCUACAAUACAUUUCUUAACGAAAGAAUAUCUUAACUGCAAGUUGUUUUUUGAUGAGCAAUUUACGUGGCUAUUUGUGUUGCACGUGAGAGAGAAAGAGAGAGAGUUUGGACAAAACCAAGUACGGUUUCUUGAGAGCAACACAUUGAUCUGCCGACUUCAAUUACGCUUCUUGAUUUCUGUAGGAGCAGACCGCGAUUCCGAUCAGUUGGGCUCGGUAUUGGCAGCAAGAACACUCGGCAAAAAAAUCCCUUCAUCCUCUAGCCAUUCCAAGUCAGAGUUGAAGGUAUUAAAAAAUCUUCCUCGAUUACAAUUAUCUUCAAUGAUUUUCAGUUCCCAGCCGUGCUGCUUCCCCACAGUGUCCACUUGUUUUUGUGUCAUGCUGAUAUGUCCACUUAUACUCAAGCAUAGUCAGGAUUGAUUCUGACCUGCAUUGCCCUUUAUCCAUCUUGCAGACAAGUCAGCCGUAAAGCCAAGGAAUCUCAGUUCCUCUUGCAUCCUCACAGUGAAGUUACUCCUGGUAUGCGUGUCAUUAUAUAUCUACUUUCCAUGUGCUAUCAGCGCUUGUUUCACUUUCAACCUCCUUGUUUGGUGAUUUGGUCGUAUUGAUUUUACCUAGAAAACCCAAAAGCGAAAAAGAAACAAGGAAGAUGAAAAAAAAGGGUGUAAUAAUUGCAACACACUCAUUUCAGAGGCACCGAUUUAUGCCUGUCUAAGCUUUUAUAUAUCACUCAACUUACUUAAAUGAAACUAAUUUUUAAAGAACAAAAAGGUGAAAGAAGUUUUUUUUUUAAAAAAAGAUACUAUAUUUUUUUUGUUGAUUUAGCAAAAUAAUUAAAAUGAAAAUAUUUUCUAAAAUCUGGCAAAUAGUGCAAUAAUGAGAACUUGUGAAUGUUACGAUAGAAUUGAUUUGACUUUAUUGUGCAAACUUGAGAGGAUAGAUUAAACAAAUUAAAAAUUUAAAGACUAAAUUAAAUAUUUUCUAAUUCUUUAAGGUCCACAUUAAAUGAAAGUUUAAGGAUGACAUUGCACAUCAAGCGAAAUUUUAGAGACUAUUAAUGUCAAUUUCCCUUUACAAAUUAUCUAUAUAUAUAGCUUAUUACUUCACUUUUUAUAUUCAAAUUCGUCGGUAUAACCACCGGGACCGAUUGAAUUAGUGGAAUCACAUACCGACCAUUACUUUACUUAUAUUGUUAUCAAAAUACUGCCUAUAAGAGGAGAGCGAAAUGGAUGACUAAGAAUCAUGCUUUUUUUUCUUGAAAAGUUGGUAAGUGAAAACCUUUAAUUAAGGGCCCUCACCUCUGGUUCAUGAAUCAAUACAUAAAAUUUCAUCUACUUGCUAUCUCCAAGUUGCGAUAGCAUGUCGUUAUGUCUGGACUGGCGUGCUACUGUAGGAAUGAUUUGCAUGCUCCCAAUUCCAUAGCGACAGUUAUUGUCGGUUGAUGAAUCCCAUAAAUCAAUCAUUAACUUCUGUGCGUGCUUUGAGUCAAUCAAUUGUCACCACAUGUCAUGUACUUCAUUGACAUUACGCCUAUUGGGAACUCAUGAUAGAUGAGCUCACCGAGUAUUCCAUCGAUGGGUUUUGUAUUGAUUAUGAUUUGAUUUGGGUCAUUAGUUUCGUCACGUUUUGGUCUAAAAGACAAAAACACAAAAGAAAGAGGAUGGUUGCAAUCACAAACCAGCUCAUAGCAAUCUCAUAAGUGGUGUUGGCGCCUCUCUCUCUCUCUCUCUCUCUCUCUCUCUCUCUCUCUCUCUCUCUCUCGUUUUAUUUCGUUUUUCACAUUGUUUAUCACUUUGCUCUUCCUUUCUUUUCAUACAUCGCCAGUGAUUACUUCUGUUCUUUGUUCAUUUUCUUCGCACAGAUUUGUUUAAGAAAUUAAUAAAAGGAGGCAACUACAAGAGGAAGGAAAGAGGGGAGAGGGCAGAAAACGGAAUUUCUAGACAUCAAAGAAGUAAUUAUGGCCGAGGCAUUUGCUACCUCCGUUGCAUCAAAUCUUGUGUCGAAACUUGGUGAGUACCUGUUUACUCCCAUUGGACGCCAUUUUGGAUACGUGCUAUGCUACAUGAGCUACGUCCAAGAUCUCGAAAAUGGAGUCAAGAAGCUAGAGACUGCGAGGGAAAGGGUGCAACACUCCGCUGAUGAAGCCAUGUAUGACGGAAAAUCUAUACACACUGAUAUUAAGGAUUGGUUGAAGAGCGUGGAGAAUGAGGUUAAGGAAGCACAAAACUUGUUAAUACAUGGUGAAAGUGCAAAAUUUGCUUGCUUGUGUGGGUGGCUUCCCAACCCUGUGGUGCGCCAUCCAAUUGGCAGGAAAGUGAAGAAGAUGACUCAAGUCAUUCAAGGGCUCUUUGACGAAAGCACGAAUAGCAAAUUCCAAAAGGUCUACUAUGAGAAUACUCCGAUGGGAAUUGUCACUGCUACCACUUCCUUUAAAAGAUCUGUUGAUGAGGAAGAAGAUGUCUUGGAGUUGAGGGCUUCAAUCACAGAGGAUGUAAUGAAGGCUUUAGCUAAUGACAAGCUCUCUGUGAUUGGGGUGUUUGGACUAGGUGGGGUUGGCAAGUCCAAGCUUUUAGAGGACAUUGAAAGGCGAGUUAAGAAGGAGAAGUUGUUUGAUGUGGUUGCUAUGGCAAAUGUAUCACGUAAUCCAGAUCUAAAAGUAAUCCAGGGGGAAAUUGCCGACACACUAGGCCUAAAGCUGAUGAAUGUGGAAACUGCUCGUGGGAGAGCAAAUCUUUUAUAUAAGAGGUUAAAGAGUGAUCCUGAUCAUGAAAUGAAUAAUCUUGAAAAUAGUGAAAAGAAUCAUCUUGAGAAAAGUGAUCUCGAGAAAAAAUUUCCUAAGAAAAAGAUUCUCAUAAUUUUAGAUAAUUUGUGGAAGUUAGAAUUAAAGGAAGUUGGAAUCCCUUGUGGAUAUGAUAAUAAAGUAAGAGGUUGCAAGCUAUUGGUAACGUCUAGAGACCGAGAUGUUUUGUGCAGUGACAUGGGCUCCGACCAAGAAUUCCGAUUCAGUGAGUUAGAGCAUGGAGAAGCAUGAAGACUUUUUGAAAGGACACUGGGUGACCGAGUCAGGGAUCCUGAGAUUGAACAUUUGGUAGAUGGAGUGGUUAAGAAUUGUAGAGGCUUGCCACUUUUGAUUGUUUCAAUGGCAAAAAGGUUGAGCCACGGAGGUUUGGCUGCAUGGAGGAAUGCUUUGGCCCAUAUGGACAUGUCAGAUGUAAAAUCAAUAGUGGAAGUAAGUUACAAUGACUUAAAAGAUGAGAGGAUCAGAUUAUUGUUCUUGGUUUGUGCUCUAACAUCUGGGAGAAUUCUUAUGAGGGCUUCGCUUAUCUACUGCAUGGGUUUGGGUUUAUUUAAAGAAUUCAUCAAUACAAUUGAAAAUGCCAGAGAUAUGUUGAUUGUGGAUCUACAUAGCCUACAGAACUCUUCUUUAUUACUAGAUAGUGUUGACAUGGAGCUAUUCAGAAUGCAUGACAUAUUUGUUGACGUGGCCAUCUCUAUUGUUUCCACGAAAUGGAACGCCUUGGUUGGGAGAAAGGAUUAUGGGUUUAAAGAAUGGUCAAAGGAUGAGCUUAGAAAAUGCAACGCGAUAUCCUUUCAUUAUGUUGGCAUUGAUGAGCUUCCUGAAAAAUUGGACUGCCCAAACUUGACGAUGCUUCUGCUACUCGAAGAUAGCCCGUCCCUCAAAGUUCACGAGUCAUUUUUUGAAUCUAUGGAGAAGCUCCAAGUCUUGGACUUAUCUAGCUUAUCUUUCACUUCUCUACCUUCAUCGAUUGAGUUCCUUGAAAACCUCAAGUCUCUAUCUCUUGAUCACUGCUAUCUAGAGGAUGUGACUAUACUUGGAAAGUUGAAAGGAUUGCAGUUUCUAAGUUUCGCCAGAUCUACAAUCUCUCGACUGCCCAAAGAAAUAAAAGAAUUAAUAGAAUUGAGAUUUUUGGACCUGACAGGGUGCACCAAGCUCCAAGUAAUCGAACCUGGCUUGCUUGGAAGCUUGGUUAAUUUAGCAGAAUUGUAUAUGGAGGACAGUUUUGAUCAGUGGGAGGACAAGCAUGAAGUACCGCGAAGCAAUGCUAACCUGGCCGAGUUGAAGAACGUGAAGAAGUUGAGCACUUUGCACAUUUCCAUUCCUCAUAUUGCCAAUUUCCCAAUAGACUUGCCAUUUGGGAAACUGAACAGGUAUAAAAUCCAAAUUGGGAACAUUUGGAAUUGGUCUGGUAAAUACAAAGAAUCCAGAACUUUAAAGCUUAAACUAUUUUCAUGCAAUCUUCUUCUUGAAAAGUGGGUGCAGAGAUGUUUGCAGAGAACGCAAGAUCUCCACUUAGAUGGGUUGCAAGAAGGCAAAGAUAGCAUUCACGAUUUGUGUGGACAAGGUUUUCAGGAAUUGAAGCAUCUUCACGUACAAAAUAGCCCCUCAUUUCAUUACGUUGUUCACUGCACAAAGUAUGUCCAGUGCACUGCAUUUACACAAUUGGAAUGGUUGUUUCUUGAGAAUCUGAAUAAUUUGAAGAAGAUUUGUCGCGGCUGUCUUGACCAAGAAUCCUUCAAGAAAUUAAAGAUUCUGAAAGUGGAUAAUUGUGGUGAAAUCAAACAUUUGUUUCCUAUGUCCAUGACAAGAAUAUUCUUACAGCUCGAAGAGAUUGAAAUAAGCAACUGCCACUUGAUGCAGCAAAUUGUCUUAGACGAUGAGGUAGAUGAAUACGAAGAUAUAUUGGGUGUUGAUCCCAAAGUGAAGUCAUGCAAUUUGCUUAGGCUAACAUUACGAAACUUACCAAAGAUGACGAGCUUUGGUAAAACCAUGGACCAUUCGGUUGUAUACUUCGACGGACAACAGGUAAUUUCAUGCUUUCUAUAAGGUCAUCUCUUCCACCAUCUGGAGCAUUCUAAUAGGAAACCUUCUCCAACUAGUCUUCUAAUCCAUGAGCUACAAACAUGGACAUUACCUUCAAUGGAAUAUAUUAGUCAUAGACAUAUACUUGGUUUAAGCAUGGAAUAGCUCUAUUCAAUUAGUGAUACACUCGAUAAAGAAAUCAGACAAACUAACAUAAUAAAGUUUAUGAUUUUUAUAGCCUUUUUCAAUUUCUUCCUUAUCUUCUGUAUUAAAAGGUAUUGAUUUUUAAUCAACAGUGGUUAUAUAAAUAUUUGACUCAUAAACACAAUGAAGUAUUGAUUUUAGAAUUAUCUCGAUUUAUAUUUGAUCUGUGAUAAAAUGAUGAAAGCAUAAUUUUUUUUUUUUUCCAUUUUGAAGUAAAUGAAUUUUUGUGCAUGGAUUUCAUAAGUGAGAGUAUUGUAGGACAUAGAAAAAUUGGAUAAAUAAUAUGUUUUGAAGAUUUUUUACCAGAAUAAUUAAAACUAACUAUUAUUUUAAUUUUUCAAAAUGGAAUUGCUUGUGAUAUGCGAACACAUAAAAACAUUUAUAUAUCAGUUAAUUACACGUCACUUUAUUUGUGUUAUGUUAUCAAUAUAGUUAAAGAAACACAGUAUGAUGUUUAGAUUUUUUUUUUUUAAAUAAUCUAUAAGUUGCUUAAUGGUAAAAUUGUAUAUAUACACACCAACAGGUAUAUUUAUAACUUGAAGGAAGUAUAUACAGCCUGUGUAAUUUGUAUGAUCUUCAUUUAAUAAUUAAUGGACAUACGUAGAAUUUAAUUAUAUGCGCUUGAAAGAAAGAACAAAAACAUAAAAAAUUCAAUAGGUGAUUUCAACUACAGUGACUAUGUGUCAAAUAACAUCGAAAUCAAUUAAUUAUAUAAAUUACAACUUUAAUUGUACGUACAUCAGCGAUAGAGUAAUCGACACGAUUAAAUAAACUAAUUUUGCAAUUUUAGGUAGCUUCCUUUAUUUUUUCUCCAGUGAUUGUAAAAAGUUGUGGUAAUGAGUGGACCUUUGUGGGAAUAUGGUUCUAGAAAAAGUUAUCAUAUAAAUUUUUUUAUACUAUUACUUGUCAAAUGACGGAACUAUUAUUAGACUACAAAAUUAAAAAAAAAAUCAAAUAUAAUAAUCGACAGGCCAAAUUGUUUUUGUUAACCUUGGUACAUUAAUGAGAUGUAAGUAGGAUAAUAAUUUUUUUGUUCUAAUUCAUGUAAGAUAUGGACCUUUUGUGGCGAUCAAGUCUACCACAAAUAUUCAUUUUAACCACUUUUCUAAUAUUAUUAGUAAAAUUUAUGUGCACUGCACAUGUUUAAUUUUUUUUUUUGCAAUAAAAUAUUGCUUGAGAAUAUUGAUUAUAAACACAAUUUCACGAUGCCUUUAAUUAUUUUGUCAGUAUAUAAUAAAAAAAUGGAGACCUUUCUUCAAUUAUUUUUAAAAUUGUCUUUAUCAUGUAAGCCAAACCGCAAAAGCAUGACGCUUGCCUAAAAUCAUUUGCUCAAUUAAGCAGUUCUUUUUUUUUUUUUUGGCUAUAUAACUAAAAUUUGCCAUAUAGAAUAGCUCUUGUAUAGGUAAAAAUUAAAUCCUUUACGAAUAUUGUCUUUGAUGCCCAUAUGGCGCUGUUGGGGCAGUUCAUGGAUCUUAUGUCCAACCAUGGAUCUUAUAGCGAUGAACCCGUUUUUUGACUUUUCGGCCGAGGUGGCAUAUAUUCCACAUUACAUUUGUGCUAGAAAAUAGUGGAUCUUAUAGUUCCACGGGGACAACAAAAUCUUCUACUUUAGUAUUUUUCUCAUAGUUUUACAAUAAAUUUUAACUUCAUGCUCAAAUUGCCCCUGCAAAUCAAUUAAAAGGACAAUGUUUAUCUGCUUGUCAAUUUAGUUCAUGACUAUUUGGUAGAAAAUAAUUGAGAUCGUUUUUGCUUACACUGUCGUUAGAGGUAUUAUCCAAAAUCACAGUGAAUGACUGAAAAAUCAAUUGAGCCUAUGCCGUGAAUAAGGAAAAUUUAGGCAGAAAGCACAAAAUGUGGGGGUAAAUUCAAUAACCUCAAUUAAUUAAAGGAUUUUAAACUCUCAAAUCAUUAUAUAUAUAUUCCAAAUACAAAAUAGGCAAAUGGUAAGUAAGUGUAGAGUUGAUAAAUUUUAAAGAAGAAAAAGAUAAAAUUAAAAAAUUCUACUCUGUUUUUUCUUCCAUUGUCUUUAAAUCUAUGUGAGAUUAUCUCAUUUCUUACUAUUUCACAUGCAAUUUAUGUGGGGUUAUUCACGCCCUCCCAGCUAAUAAAGCUACAGAAUUUGGAAGCUAUAACUGUUCAAGGAUGCUAGUUAAUACAAGAAGUCUUCGAUCUCAAAGGAUUGACAAUUUGUGGCAAUGUUGAGAUUCUGUCACAAUUGACCGAAUUAACCUUGAGUGACUUACCAAGUUUGGCAUGCAUUUGGAACAAGAACCUAAGAAGAGCAUCGUAUUUCCAAAAUUUAAGAAGUCUGAAGGUGCAGAACUAUGAGAAGUUGAGAUUUCUUUUUUCUUCUUUCAUGGCUAAAGCACUCAUGCAGAUAAGAGAAAUAGAAAUAGCCAGUUGUACAUUGAUGGAGGAAAUCAUGGAUGUGCAAGAAGAAGAAUUAGAGGAAGCUGCGACUUUUGACAAUUUAGAGUUUCCUAUGUUAACCUCCCUGUCUCUUGUGGAAUUGCCAAAUCUUAGGACAUUCGCUUAUGGAAAGUAUUGUAUUCAUUAUCCAUCCUUAAUAAAACUGACGAUCUCAGGGUGCCCUAAUAUGAUGACAUUCUCUUCAUUCAAAGGAAGGCAUCAGUUAAUGAUAGUUGAUACAGGUUUACAAUAGGCAUCUGGUCGUAUCAACUCUAGCUUCUCCGUGCUUGGCUUCUUCAAUGAAAAGGUAAGCAAAGCAUAAAUAGUAUUUUAAAUUGAUCAUUCUUCUAGUUCUAGUCAGAGAAGCAAUUUAAUAGAUACUGGAUCAUUAUUUCUGUACCAAAAGCUUGGCAGUUCGCAGUGGAAAAACUAAGUCGCUGAUGGUCUCAUUCCCAAAGUUGCCUCCAAAUUUCGGCAAAAUAAAAUUUUGCACCAAAAAUUUUAGUCACUCUACAUAUACAAUGUUUUUAUGCAGGUUCUUUUCCCAAGCUUGGAGAAAUUGGAGCUUUCGUCCAUGUGCCAAUUAAAGAGGAUAUGGCACAAUCAAUUCCCCGGACAGUCCUUCUGCAAACUUGCAUCCCUCACUAUAACGCUUUGUGAAAAUUUGUCACAUGUCUUUCCAUCAAAUUCAAUGGAUAGGUUGCUGAGCCUGAAUAAAAUUGAGGUGGUGGGGUGUCCCUCCUUGGAAGCAUUAUUUGAACGGGUAUGUCUUAGCUCUGAAAAAAGGCAAAAGCCAAUGGUCCUCUCUACAUUAAAAACAAUGAAGUUGUUGAAUCUACCAAGGUUGAGAGACAUUUUGAAAAGUGACUACAAAGUAACCUUGGCAUUUCCUAGUCUGAUGGAAGUGAAUGUGAGGUGUUGUCAUAGUUUGCCAUAUCUCUUCUCAAAUGCCACGGCCAAAACUCUUGAUAAACUUGUGGUGCUUGAUGUUUCCUAUUGCAAUAACCUUUGGGGCAUAAUUGCGAUGGAAGAAGGAAAAGGGAAAACCGUAGAGACAUUGAAGUUCUGUCAAUUAAGCACACUCAAGCUUGGUGACCUUGAGAAUUUGAUUAGUUUUUGCUCAACAAGUUGUAGUAGUGGUGGGUUAUAUCCUCUAUUUGAUGAGAAGGUAUCAUAUCCCGAUUUAUCUAAUCUAUUAUUUUAUUCUAUGUUUUAUGCUUUGUCCCUAAGCAAUUUUGGGCAUUUUUUGUUUAUGUUUGUACAUUUGUAGCUUGCAUUUCCGAAGGUAGAAGAGCUACACGUCAAGGGAGUUCAACAGAAAGAACUAUGGAAUGAUGAAAUCCUUGUGGAGUCCUUUUGUCAUCUAAAGGUCCUCAAGGUGAAGCAGUGUCACCACCUAAUGAAUGUGUUUCCUUCAUUCAUGUGGAAGAGGCUGCUUCAUUGUAUGGAAUCCUUGACAGUUGAGAAAUGUCCACGUUUGAUAAACCUUUUUACAAUGUCUAUGGCAAAAAGUCUAGGGCAACUCCAAUAUCUUGGCCUUGGUGGUUGUGGAGAGAUGGAGUACAUUGUUGCUAGAGAAGACGAAAAACCUGAAGAAGCAACUAACAGAAUUGUAAUUCCUCAACUUAUCACUCUAUAUCUUCACAACAUGCCAAAACUUAGAAGUUUUUGUCAAGGGAAGCAUAUUUCAGAGUGGCCCUCCUUGAAAGAAUUUAUUAUUGAAGAUUGUAAAGCUGUGGAGGUGAUUCUAGGAGAUGCCAGUUACAGAAAACUAGAAGACCAUAUUUCGACACAACAACCACUUUUACUCGUUGAAAAGGUUUGCACUCUUUCUUCCUUAGUGACAUAUCUAGUUUGUCAUCUUGGUUUUAGCUAGACAAUGUAAGGGUCUCUAGGGUCACUUAUGCUAACUUAUCAUUUUCUUUUACAAAUCUUUGACCUUAAAUAAGAAAAGCUUCUUCUUUAAUUUAAACAUAUUGACAUGUUUAUCAAACUUUUUCAUAACUUUCAAAAAAUAUUUUCUUUCCAUUUUAAUAUUUUAGAUUAAUGUGACAUUUCUCUAAUAUUAUAGCUGAAGUACAAAUAUUAAUGAGAGGCAAAACUUCAAUAAACAAAAUUUAACUAAUCUAAAGUCUAGACGAAGUUAAAGUUGGCUCAAAUUAAAUCUUAUUCAACUUAAGAUCAAGGGUUAUCGACAUUAUGAGUCCUACAACUUGUGUUGGUUGGGCACUUAAGUUCCAAAUUUUUUUUCAUACAUUUAAGUCGUAAUAUUUGCACAAUUUAUGCAUGUCAAGACUUGUUCCCUUUUUUGUGAAAAAAGAAAAAUCUGCAUUUUCAAUCCUAUUUUCAGUCCUACAUGGCUAUUAAUACGGUGAUGGAGCUUCCUCAACCACAAAGGGAACUGUUUCACUAUUGCCGCACCCUAAAUAUUGAAUAAAAAGAUUUAUAAACAGACUAAAAAGUAGAAAAAUAAAUCAGCACUACUAUGAAACUGAUAAAAAGGUCCGGUGAGACCCCGCUGAUCCAAGAGGUGAAGGGUUGCAUAGGGAGUGACACUACUACAUCCCUUCCUGCCAACGAGGGCUGACAAUCACAGCAAGGCUAUUGGCCAAGUGUUGGUUGUUUGUUUGUAAAAUAAAUAAAGUAAUAUUUUUUCUUAUCCCACAUAGGAAAGUUAAGAGUAUGUGGGUCCCCAUAUAAGUGUGGAUAUCUUCUAACUUAUUCAAAUGAAGAUAAUGGGUUGUGGGUUAGACCUCGCAAUACCCGCGUGCUAGUGCGCGAUUAUUAAGCGCACUUGAAAGGUUGUAUUUGUGCAGUUAUUAUUUUUUUCAUGCGGUUAUUUUGCUAAUUUUAUUAGGUGUGUCACAAACCUCAAGAGGUUGUAAUUAUUCAAUUGAUAUUUUUUAGAAGUUGUGAAAUUCGAAAUUUCUUUUAAAAAUAUUAUUAUUAUUUUAUUUCGAAUUUUUAAUAUGUCUUUCCCACAUUUAAUGUGUCCAUUCACUUUGCAACCUUUUGCGAAGGGUUGCUGCUAUUUAAAAGACUGAGAUAAGUAUGUCGGUUUUUGUUAUCAAUUAUUAUCAAGUCUUGUCAAAAUUUUCCAAAAAAUACAUACAUUUUUUUUCUAAUUGUUUCCUUUGAGAGUUCUUCGAAAUAUACCGGAAUUGCUAUAUAAUAUCCUCAUUUGAAACUUUGUUGUAUCCUAAAGAUUUUUUUUCCAAUAGCCAUUAACAACAUUAAUGCCUAGUAAUGCACAAGCUAUAUUGUUUUAAAUGGUCCAAAGAAAUGGGAGAGUACGUUGACUAUUGUGUUUGUGUGUUGUAACGAGCGGAAUCUUAAGGUAGGCUAAAUUUGAGGUUCAUGGGAAACAUAUGAAGCACGAAAUGAUCAUGCUUGUCUAACUAAGGUGGUUAUGGGUUAUGCUAUUGCUCAAGCAUAACGCUUGAUAAUUAGAUGAAUAUAACUCAAAAAUAAUAUGGUAGGAAAUGGAUUUUAGGGGUUGGCAUAUGCUAAAAACAAAAUAAUGUGCAUCUAGUCUUUUUUCUUUAUUUAUUUUCUAUUCUCUCAAUGACUUUCCUUAUUCUUGAAAUUAGAGUCUUCUCUCUUUUGAGAAGAACAGAGAGCCGGCUCUAACUAAUUAACUUGAAUAAUAUUAUAGGUUGAGUUUCCUGAAAUGGAGUCAAUAAACAUCUCCCACAUGGAUAACAUGGAGAAGAUAUGGCUUGAUGAUCUUGCUUCAAAUGCCUUUAGCAAACUCAAGACAUUAGUAGUGGAGUAUUGUGAGAAACUUUCAUCCAUAUUUUCAUCUUAUACUAUGCUCACAAAAUUUCAAAGCCUAGAAAAGAUAGCUGUGACCGAUUGUGGGUCCUUAGAAGUGGUAUUUCACGUUUGAGAGUUCAAUUUUAGCGAAGUUCGUUCUAUAGGUACUUUUCAAUUGAGAGAAUUAGUUUUGAUUAAACUCCCAAAAAUGAAGCACGUGUGGAGUGGGCUUACCAAAGGAGAUCUUACCUUUGGACGCUUACAAUUGAUGGUGGUUCUCAAGUGUGAGAGUCUCAAAAAUUUAUUUCCAAGCUCAAUGGCAAAAAGUAUGACACAGUUUGAAGAACUUUAUGUAUUAUCUUGUGGGGUGGAGGAAAUUAUAGUGGAGGAAGAUGAAGGAGUGAGAACUAGUGCAAGUGACAUGUUCUUUCCACGAUUGACUACCCUGAAAUUAGUAGAAUUGCCAAAACUGAGGAGCUUCUAUAUUAGGAGUCAAACUUUAACAUGGCCACUCUUGAAGGACUUGCGAGUGGCACACUGUGGCAAAAUGAGGUCAUUCUUAUUCGCUUGUGAAAUCCAAGGCGGGCAAGGUACUGCUACCAACAAGAACAAAUAUGCACUCUUUUCUGUAGAAAAGGUAAAAUCCUAAAUCCCGUCUCUCUACCUUCGUGUUCAUUGGAUUACGUGCAUAUCUUUUGAUGCUCAUUAUUUACAUUUGGAAAUUGAAUUCUUCAAGCAUUUCAUGCUUAUUAAUACUCACUCAACCACAAUUAUAAAUUGCUUAAAAACUCUUGGCCCAAAAAAAAUUGCUUUAAAACUUGAAGAAUGAUUGAAGUUAAACUAUUGUCGGCUCGUAUUCUUUUGAAAAUAUUCGAGUGAUCCAAGUUGUUACUUUGAAAAGAGGAAAACUUUUUUGUUGGAUUAAUUUGCAUAGAUAAUCAAGUUUCUAAUAAUGUGCUUGGUUUUUUGUCUAGUCCAUUAUGUUAGUGGCAUAUCAGAAAAAAAGGACAUUACAAAUAUCAUAACUUUUGUUCGGCAUUCACUUAAAUGUCAUAACUUUUUCCUUCAAUCAUUUCAGUGCCAUAACUCCUAAAAACAUUAACUUAAGUGUCAUGACUUUUAAAAAAAAUGUUUACCACUCAAAUGAUUAAAAAAAUUAUGACUUUAAGUGAUUGCAAAAAAAAUAAAAAAAUUAUGACGCUUAAGUGAGUGUUGAACGAAAAUUAUGACACCUAUAAGGGCCUUAUACUAUGGCAUGUCUAACAGUUAGCAUUUGCCUAGUUAAUUUAAGUUGACCUUCCUCGUCCACCAAAAUUAAAAAAAUUUAAGCAUUGUGUUUAUUUGGCAGUUUGCCAACGUUCUAUAGCUUUAAAUACGGAAUAGAGUUCCCUGGUACAUUGUGAAAAAGAUUGGUAACUACUUAUCCAAUCAUGUGUCUGUAACUUACUAAUAGAUUUUGACAAGCACCGACAUUUAACCAUACCUCAAGAACUCAUCCACUAUUUUAAUAAUCUACCGAUUUUUAUUUUUGUGGCUUACCAAGGCCUUGAAAGUUACCAUUUUUUAUUCUGAGUUACUAACCUUAAUUUGAUUGAUGUGCGGACAAUUAUCACAUUAAGAUAACAACUAAUUUUAGUCACUCACGAACUUUUUAUGAUCUACCUACAUUUUACUAUUGUGCUUACCAAUGAUUUUGAAAUACUAAUUCUUAUUUGAAAUUACCAACCAUAAUUUGACUUAUGUGCCAACAUCAUCAGAUAAACAUUCUUUUAUACGUCCAAAAUUACUAAUAAUUUGCCAAUGUUUAUUCUUGUUACUUACCAACGUCUUUGAAAUUACAAACUACUUAGUCAUUUAUUAAUUUGUUUUUUUUAUUAUAUCUUAUUAGGUUUUGUAAAAUAUUGACAUUCGUUUAUACUUUCAAGAUUACCAACUACUUUAAUAAUCUAACAAUAUUCAUUAUUAUGGUUACCAACACUUCGAAGCUACUAACUUUUAUUCAAAACUACCAACCUUAAUUAAACUGACGAACCAACAUGUCACCUUAAUAUACCAACUAACUUUGAUCAUUUUCCUACUUCUCAUCGUGUUAGGUUUUGAAGGGCAACGAUUUCUUCGAUACUUCCAGAUUUACGAACUACUUUAAUAAUCAACCAAUAGUUAUGCUUGUGGCUACCUGACAUCUUUAGAUUUAUUAAAUUUAAUUUGAAAUCAGUAACAUUAAUUUGAGUGCUGUACCAACAUCCGUCAAAUUAAGAUGCCAACUGAUUUUAGUUACUAACGACUCUUUAAUCUUGUAACUUUCGACAAUCAAAAUUUCUUAUAUUUUCAAGAUCACCAACUACUUUAGUAAUUUAGUAAUAUAUGUAAGAAUUAUUGUGGCCCAUAUUAUGUGAUUUAUUAUAUGGUUUAAUAAUUAUUGAAAUGCUAUAAAUAAUAUUGGUUAUGAGAAGGUAUGACUCUAAUAAAACGAAAGGGUAUAUCGCUUUGAUGGAAGGCACCUUUUCAACGAACGUAUAAAUAGAGUCCGGUCCUCUCUCCACCCACAUACGAACAACAAUAACAAAAGAAACGUAUUCUCUCCUCCAUCAAUUGAAUACAUUAAGGUUUAGUGGGUUAAGGGAGAGAAAUCGGAUUUCUCCUUUUGGUUCAAGAUCAUUGGGUUUUCUACAACGAUCAUCAUCAAGCGUAGCGCUAUGGAUAAAGGUAUGUCUUCAUCCAAUUGUGAGAAUCAUGAAGAUCAAAGAUCAAUGAUUUGUUAUGAGUUUCCACAUCAAGUUUUAUAUGAAUUAUAUUCUAACAGUUGGUAUCAGAGCGUUUGGUUUAUGAUCUCAUGAUUUUUCCGUUUAAAGAAAUAUUAUAGUUGAUGUUUGAUGAUUUGUUGAACGAUCCUGUUCGUAGCAUUUGUUGUUGUUGAAAUGUUUUGGAAGGUUCUGUUAAAGAAAAUCCGAAUGAUGGAACGUUUUUCAUGGACUAAAAUGGUGAAGAAAAGUUACUGUGUGCACGAGUGGAAAAGGACAAAAAUGGUGGAAUUCGGAAUUUUGAGGGCAAGGAAGAAACUCGCCGGUUCCGGGUAAAAUCCGGCAACCCACCGCUUGAUUUCGGACCCACACCGUCGCACUGUCAUGAGGAACAUUAGCCAUGAUUUUUCCGGUAUAUUGGUGUUCGCCGGAGGCUAAUCGAGCGGCGGUGGUGGAGUUUUUGUGUUCUGAAAAUUUUGGUUUGAUUUGGGGCCAAUUUCUUGGUCAUUUUUGCCGAAACUUAAAUCCAUGUGGUCGUGCCGGCAUACUCUUCAAAACCUAUUAUUUAUUUGUGUCUGGGAUGGGCUACCGGAGAAGAAACGGCCGGCGAAACCGCGGCGGAACGGCAAAAAUCGGCGAAGAAUCGCGUUUGUGCGCGAGGAAGAAGGCGCGUGGGCUCCACGCGCGCGCUGCGGUUGCAGGCGCGUGGAACCCACGCGCCACGCGCCUUCACGCGCGCUCAAGCGCUGCGCGCGUGGGAUCCACGCGCGCGGGGCUCCCCGCGCGGUUGCAGGCGCGUGCAACGCACGCGCCCGCGCGGCCUUAUUUACGUUUUUGCCCCUAUGCCAUUUUUAAAAUUCCAAUUUUGUCCUUCUCGCAAUUUAUUUAUUGUUAUGCCCCUGUUUAAUUAAUAAUUACAAUUCUGCCAUUGCUGAUUAUUUACCAUUUUGCCCCUAGAUAUUAAAUUUAUGAUUCUGCCCUUAUGAAAUUAUGAUUUUACAAUUUUGCCCUUAUGCUUUAAUUGCAUUUUAUCCUUGUGUGCAAAUUUGGUAAAUAUUUGUAUUUUACAAUAUUGAAAAUUCAUAUUAUGAAUGGUUUGUUAGUCACCAAAGUGGCCGAACCUUGAAGUCUUUUGAAUUUUUUGAUAUUGUAAAUUAUUUUAUUCAAUUACCUAUGAUUAAGUGAUGCUAUAUAUGAAAUUGAUAUGUUUUAUAUCAUUAUUGGAGUUAUGGGUAUAUUGAAGUUCAUUUAUUAUAAGAACUUAGGGAUUAACCCAAAGGUUAAUUAUUUUCUUAUAAUUCAUGAACAUGAUGGUUGAUAAUUAAUAUGAUUUGUUAAAUUUGUUUGUAUAUCCAAAGAUAACAAAUAAAUUUUAAUAAGAUAUAUUUACAAUUAUCAAAUAAAAGUUAUUAGCAUCAUUAUGGUUUAUAUAUAUUUGUAUAUCAUAGGAUCGCCCAAAGGAGAACUAUGAUGUGCAUGUGUAGUUUAGUUUAAUCUGAUUAUAUGAUAUUCUCAAAGCAUUAAUGUAUGAGUAUUUUCUUGCACAUUUGCAGUAUCUGUACCUGUUUCACUCCAUUCGCACGCCUCAUCUGUUCCCUUAUUCAAUGGGAUAAAUUUUCUUGAUUGGAGUGAACAAGUCCAGUUUCAUUUAGGUGUCCUGGAUCUUGAUUUAGCACUUCAAGCUGAGAAACCAGCUGCUAUUACUGAUGAAAGUAGCAAUGAUGAAAAGUCUUUCCAUAAAGCUUGGGAAAGAUCAAACAGAUUGAGCUUAAUGUUCAUGCGAAUGACAGUUGCAAACAACUUAAAGACUUCUCUUCCCAAGACUAACAAUGCUAAGGAAUUUAUGAAAUUUGUGGAAGAACGUUCUCAAACUGCUGAUAAGUCACUUGCUGGUACACUGAUGAGCACACUGACCACCAUGAAAUAUGAUGGUUCGCGUACCAUGCAUGAGCAUAUACUUGAGAUGACCAAUUUAGCAGCAAAGUUAAGGACUUUGGGAAUGAANNNNNNNNNNNNNNNNNNNNNNNNNNNNNNNNNNNNNNNNNNNNNNNNNNNNNNNNNNNNNNNNNNNNNNNNNNNNNNNNNNNNNNNNNNNNNNNNNNNNGGCCAUUUCAAUGAAUUACAACACUAUAAAGGAUAAGUGGAAUGUAAAUGAAUUGGCCAGUAUGCUAGUUCAAGAGGAAAUAAGGAUAAAGAAUCAAAAGGCUCAUUCUGUUCAUCUCUCAAGUCAUCAAGAAGUUCGAAAGAAUUUUAAGAGGAAAGGUGGAAGGAGCAAGAAGAAAGGACUACACGUCCUGAAUGACUCUUCAAAGGAUUCUCAAAUCCACAAGAAGGAACACAAUCUUAUUAAGUGUCAUUUUUGCAACAAAAUUGGACACUUGAAGAAAGAUUGUCUGAAAUGUAAGGCUUGGUUCGAAAAGAAAGGUAAGCCUUGUGCUUUAGUAUGUUUUGAAUCAAACUUUACUGAAGUUCCUUAUAAUACUUGGUGGAUUGAUUCUGGUGCCACCACUCAUGUGUGAAAUACGAUGCAGGGAUUUCUUACGAUCCAAACUAUAAAGCCAAAUGAAAGUUAUGUGAUUACGGGGAACAGAGACAAAGCUCCAGUUGAAGGCAUUGGCACUUAUCGUUUGAUCUUAGAUACUGGGCAUUAUUUGGAUUUGUUUCGAACCCUUUAUGUACCUACAUUUUCUCGCAAUUUAGUUUCUUUGCUAAGACUUGAUGUGGCGGGAUUUUAUUGUAAGUUUGGAUCUGAAUCUUUCAGUCUAUUUAAGAGUGAUACUCUUAUUGGAACUGGAACUUUAUGUGAUGAUCUCUACAAAUUUAGACUUGAUAAUACUUUUGUUGAGACAUUAAUGACCUUGCAUCAUAAUGUUGGCACUAAACAAAGUUUGUGAAUGAAAAUUCUACUUACUUGUGGCAUAAACGNNNNNNNNNNNNNNNNNNNNNNNNNNNNNNNNNNNNNNNNNNNNNNNNNNNNNNNNNNNNNNNNNNNNNNNNNNNNNNNNNNNNNNNNNNNNNNNNNNNNNNNNNNNNNNNNNNNNNNNNNNNNNNNNNNNNNNNNNNNNNNNNNNNNNNNNNNNNNNNNNNNNNNNNNNNNNNNNNNNNNNNNNNNNNNNNNNNNNNNNNNNNNNNNNNNNNNNNNNNNNNNNNNNNNNNNNNNNNNNNNNNNNNNNNNNNNNNNNNNNNNNNNNNNNNNNNNNNNNNNNNNNNNNNNNNNNNNNNNNNNNNNNNNNNNNNNNNNNNNNNNNNNNNNNNNNNNNNNNNNNNNNNNNNNNNNNNNNNNNNNNNNNNNNNNNNNNNNNNNNNNNNNNNNNNNNNNNNNNNNNNNNNNNNNNNNNNNNNNNNNNNNNNNNNNNNNNNNNNNNNNNNNNNNNNNNNNNNNNNNNNNNNNNNNNNNNNNNNNNNNNNNNNNNNNNNNNNNNNNNNNNNNNNNNNNNNNNNNNNNNNNNNNNNNNNNNNNNNNNNNNNNNNNNNNNNNNNNNNNNNNNNNNNNNNNNNNNNNNNNNNNNNNNNNNNNNNNNNNNNNNNNNNNNNNNNNNNNNNNNNNNNNNNNNNNNNNNNNNNNNNNNNNNNNNNNNNNNNNNNNNNNNNNNNNNNNNNNNNNNNNNNNNNNNNNNNNNNUCAAGCAGAAGUAAGAAUUUACAUCACAUGAAAGGAAAUGGAUUCAAGAACGACCAGUGGUUAUUUCAUUGGUUAUGCAGAGAAAUCCAAAGGGUAUAAAUUUUAUUGUCCUAAUCAUAGUACAAGAAUUGUUGAAUCUGGAAAUGCUAGGUUCAUUGAGAAUGGUGACAUCAGUGGGAGUGAAAGAAUGCGUGAUGCUUGCAUUCAAGAAGUAAGGGUAGAAGUUCCUAUGCCUAAAGCUUCUAAAGUUGUUGUUUCUGAUAUUGUAGUACAAUCUAACAAUAAUCGAGAACAACAAACACCCAAUAAUGGAGAUGUCAAUAAUGAACCUCUAGUAGCCGAGUCACAAGAAAUAGCAUUAAGGAGAUCUCAAAGAGAAAAGAGGUCGGCUAUUUCUGAUGACUAUAUGGUUUAUCUACAAGAGUCAGAAAUUGACUUAGGAAUUGGAAAUGAUCCAGAUUCAUUUUCCCAAGCCAUGGAAUGUGAAGAUUCUAAUGAAUGGUUUAAUGCCAUGGAAGAAGAGUUAAAAUCCAUGCAUCAAAAUCAAGUUUGGGAUAUAGUUGAAUUGCCUAAAGGAUGUAAGAAGGUCGGGUGUAAAUGGGUCUUUAAGACCAAGCGCGACUCAAAAGGCAAUAUUGAACGACAUAAAGCCAGACUUGUUGCAAAGGGUUUUACUCAGAAAGAAGGCAUUGACUAUAAAGAGACAUUUUCACCAGUCUCUAAGAAAGACUCACUUAGAAUCAUUAUGGCUUUGGUGGCUUAUCAUGACUUGGAGUUACACCAAAUGGAUAUAAAAACCGCAUUUCUUAAUGGGAAUUUAGAGGAAGAGGUUUAUAUGGACCAACCCGAAGGCUUUUCAGUUAUAGGAAAGGAACACAUGGUAUGUAAAUUAAAGAAGUCAAUAUAUGGACUUAAACAAGCUUCCCGACAAUGGUAUCUUAAGUUUAACGAUACCAUAACUUCAUUUGGAUUUAAGGAAAACACCGUUGAUCGGUGUAUAUAUAUGAAGAUUAGUGGGAGCAAGUUUAUUUUUCUAGUUCUGUAUGUUGAUGAUAUUUUGCUUGCUGCUAAUGAUCUUGGUUUGUUACAUGAAACCAAUAAAUUUCUCUCUAAGAAUUUUGAAAUGAAGGAUAUGGGAGAGGCAACAUAUGUGAUAGGAAUAAAAAUAUUCCGUGAUAGAUCACAAGGAUUAUUAGGAUUGUCUCAGAAAGCCUACAUUGAGAAAAUUUUAGAGAGAUUUAAUAUGAGUAAAUGUUCAGCAGGAAUAGUUCCAAUUCAGAAGGGUGAUAAAUUUAGAGCCUUAUGCAAUGUCCGAAAAGUGAAUUGGAACGAGGACAAAUGAAUAAUAUUCCUUAUGCAUCUAUUGUGGGAAGCUUAAUGUAUGCACAAACUUGCACCAGACCAGACAUCAGUUUUGCUGUCGGAAUGCUGGGUAGGUAUCAAAGUAAUCCUGGAAUGGAUCAUUGGAAAGCUGCAAAGAAAGUUCUUAGAUACUUGCAAGGAACGAAGAAUCAUAUGCUCACUUAUAAAAGAUCUGAUCAUCUCGAGGUGAUUGGAUAUUCAGAUUCAGACUUAGCCAGAUGUGUCGAUACAAGAAAAUCAACAUUUGGUUACUUGUUUCUUCUGGCUGGAGGGGCAAUUUCAUGAAAGAGUGCGAAGCAGUCAGUUAUUGCUGCAUCCACUAUGGAAGCUGAAUUUGUGGCAUGCUUUGAGGCCACAAUUCAUGGAUUAUGGCUGCGGAAUUUUAUUUCAGGGCUUGUGAUUGUCGACAGUAUUGCCAAGCCGCUGAAAAUCUAUUGUGAUAACUCUGCAGCAGUUUUCUUCUCUAAGAACGACAAGUAUUCUAAGGGUGCUAAGCAUAUGGAGAUCAAAUACUUGUCUGUCAAAGAAGAAGUUUAGAAACAAAGAGUGUCAAUUGAGCACAUUAGCACCAAUCUUAUGAUAGUAGAUCCUUGACAAAAGGAUUGCCGCCCAAAACAUUUAAUGAGCAUGUUGAAAGGAUGGGCAUUAUUGGAUGUCAUUUAAUGUUUGUAUUAUGAUUGUAUUAAGUUUAUGUAUUUGACACUUUGAGCUCACUUACAUGUUUCUGAUAUUUCCUGUUUUCUAUUUAGUAUACAUUAUGGAAAUAGAUUAAUGUUAAACAGGAUAGUUUCUAAAGAAACAUUAUGGUUGGACUAUUACUGUACUUCUCAUUUAUGGAUCAUGUUAAGUAAAGUGCUAUAGUUGUAGUACAUAGAAGGGACUAUGUCGAUUAAUGACAUAUAACCGCUAUGACUCGCAUUAGUUUUCUUUACUUAAUUGUGAUUAUUAUGUGAUUGCCAAUUUAAUGAAAUUUUAUAGCAUAAUCUUAUUGUGCACAUUAUAGUCUUCAUUAAACCAUGAAAGGAUAAUCAUAUGGGCCAAGUGGGAGAAUGUAAGAAUUAUUGUGGCCCAUAUUAUGUGAUUUAUUAUAUGGUUUAAUAAUUAUUGAAAUGCUAUAAAUAAUAUUGGUUAUGAGAAGGUAUGACUCUAAUAAAACGAAAGGGUAUAUCGCUUUGAUGGAAGACACAUUUUCAACGAACGUAUAAAUAGAGUCCGGUCCUCUCUCCACCCACAUACGAACAACAAUAACAAAAGAAACGUAUUCUCUCCUCCAUCAAUUGAAUACAUUAAGGUUUAGUGGGUUAAGGGAGAGAAAUCGGAUUUCUCCUUUUGGUUCAAGAUCAUUGGGUUUUCUACAACGAUCAUCAUCAAGCGUAGCGCUAUGGAUAAAGGUAUGUCUUCAUCCAAUUGUGAGAAUCAUGAAGAUCAAAGAUCAAUGAUUUGUUAUGAGUUUCCGCAUCAAGUUUUAUAUGAAUUAUAUUCUAACAAUAUACCGAUGUAUGUUACUGUUUACUAACGGCUUUGAAGUUACUAAUGUUUAUUCGAAACUGUUAACAUUAAUUUGAUGGUAUAUCGCUGAACUAUGAACAUGGAACUAGGUACCAUUUUUUACCCCACGAAAUGCUUUCAAACAUCCGUUAUGUGGGGUUCUAUACUUUUGGUUUGUUUCCUAGUUUAUUUAACAUUUCUUAAGUAUUAACAGUUUGUCUUUAUUAUUUACUCUUUUUCGGCGACAUUUUAAAAAAUAUAAUUUCUAUCUUGUUCCAUCGCUUUUUCACCGAUGUCCCAUCGAUUCGAUUUUUGUUCUCCUUUUUUGCCAAUUACCGGUUCAAUUCGAAUGCGUUCUUCUCGGAGCUAAAGAAAAGUGAAGCCAUGUACUACUUAUGACCAUAGUAAAAUACAUAUGAGAACUAAAGCUUAGAAAACCGAGUGCCACAAAUUAUCACAACAUUUUACUAUUGAACACAUCUACUUACUAUAUAAGUAACACGAUUCGGUAAAACAAAUAAUUUUAAGUUUUUUCUACAAACUUGUUGAAAUUCAUAUGUGUUUAUUUUGCUUUUUGGAUUUAUUUAAUUGACCCUUUUUUUUGGUCAUAUAAUUGACAGUUGAAAUACCUGAAGUUUUCUGUUGACUAAUAACUUUCUUAUCCAAUACGCGGAACUUAUUUUGAUUGAAUUGCGCACACCACUAAUAACCAACAUCCCUUGUAUAAUAAUCAUCGAUGCUUGCUCGUUUGGCAUCGGGAAUUUUUUUUUAAUUAUAAAAGGGGCUAAAAACCCGAUCACUUUUUUUUUUCCUCCCUAACUGGAAGAACAUUUUAAGUAUUUGGUCUGUUGCUGUGCCAAUAGAGAUGAUAUGGACUUCUGGGGGCUUAAUUAAAUGGAUUCCAGCAGGUCAUUCCACAAUUGGAGGGAUUGACAUUAGUGAGGGAGGAUGUUAUGAUGAUGCAGCAGCAUUACAUCUUUCACAAUCUCAGAGGGUUGACUUUGGGAUGCUACCAUGACGAAAAUGUUGUUUUUCUGUCCGAUUUCCUUCUCCAGAGUUUCCCUAAUUUGGACAACUUGUGGGUGGACUGUAGUUCCUUCAAGGAGUUAUUUCCAGAAGAUGUGUUUGGACAUGGGGAAGUGACUCCUCAUGGAGGACUAACUAACACGAAAAAAUCUCUCGAGGCACUCGGAAAAUUGAAGUGCCUUGUGCUGUCUAAUCUGGAUAGCCUGAGGCGAGUUUGGAAAGAUGGCUCCUUGAUGGUUGAAAUCCUUGAACAGAUUGAAUUUCUGAGGGUUCGGCAGUGCCCAAAUUUAUCAAUUGUACUUCCAUCUCCGACUUCAUUCCGGAGCUUGAUAGAAUUAAAAGUAUAUGAUUGCUCUGGUUUAGUUCAUAUGGGGACUUGCUCAGCAAUGACAAGUCUGGUGUACCUUACUCAGCUAAUGCUAAAAGAUUGUGAUGUAAUGGAAGACGUGGUAACAAAUGAUGGAAAUGGAGUAGAGGAGAUCUCUUUCUGCAAGCUGCAACUAUUGACACUUGAUGGUUUACCAAGUCUCGAGAGCUUCUCCCCUACGAGUUGCACCUUCAUAUUCCCCUCAUUGAUGCGUAUUUUUGUGAAGCAGUGUCCCAAGAUGAAUAUAUUCUGCAAGGGUUCCUUGAGGACACCAAAACUAGAUAAGGUACUGCUCUCUACUAAGGACGAUAUAGGGCGCUGGGAGGGCGACCUUAAUACUACCAUCCAAACCUUGUCAACAUGUAACGAUCCACACUGAGUUUAGUAAGUCAGGUAAAUGCCUUUUCUAACAACAUAUGUUAUUUUAGAAAUUGUUAUAGUUUUUUUGUCCACUAAAAACAUGAAAAAUUUAAUAAAAAUUAUGAAAUCAAUUUAUAAUCCCCUAAAAUAUGAUGUUGUAAGGGCUGUUAUUAUCACCUAAAAGGGGGUAAAUAGGUGAAUAUGGGGAAAUAGAAGAUAAUUGAAUUCAAUAUCGUAAUAGGACAACGUUCAGUGACAAAUUUGAAUGAUGAACACAUCUUACCAAUGUGCAAUAUUCUAUCACACAAAAUGAAUAAGACUUUAAGGGAUAGAAAAAUGCAAACAAUUAUUAUAGUGGGUCGUCUUAUGGAAAGACUACUUUCACCCUCUCCCCUUGACAGCCUAUCGGUUGAAUUUCACUAAUAUAUCAAUUAGAGGUUACAAUAACUAAGUACUCACAACUCGAGUAGGUGUGAUCAAGUCUUCUGAUCUCACACCCCAAGAGCAACCUCUAAAUGAUUACAAAUAAAGCUCACUAAGAAGAGUAUUAGGGUCGAAGCUCUCUAGAACUUUGGAAUUUUUAGACUGCAAUUCUUGUUCUUCCUUUAGCAUCAUGAUCUCCUUUAAAUACUCCUCAUUCCCCAAGCCAACCGUUGGAUAUAAAUUCGAGGAUCAUUAAUUCAAUCUACCCUUUGGACCUUGAAUGAUACAAGAACAACUGAUUACCUCUGGAAUGCCGAGAAUAGAGUCUCUUUGAUUAUGCUACCCAUUCAACAGAGAUUAGGUUUCCAUAAGUUGAGUUUCUCAUUUGGAAAAAAAAGCAUCUCAUCUUCUAUUGAUUAUGACACGAAUUCCGAAUCCUUAUUAGGAAAGAAAAUGCAUUGCUAAAAAUCCCUUCUAGACAACCAAUACCUGGAAAGAAAUCCAGGCCAAUUACCAGACGUUGAGCAAAGAUUUGAUAUAUUCUUCUGUUGGUUUAUCGCACAUAUCUUCUGGAUAAUUCUUUGUACGAAUUAAACCAUUUGCUACAAUCAUGUUCGUAGAGAGCCGAUCGCAUAAACCAUUGAGUCUCAUGAAUUAUAUACACGUUGAAAGUUUUGUCAAUCCUCAAAAUUACUUAGGGAAGUUUCCUCAACAAUCUCCUCAUUUUUUUAUGAUGACAAAACUUUCCAAACAUAAAAGAUUGGAUUUGAAAAGAUUUUAGAAUAAGGUGCUCCAUAUAAAGAAUGUUAAAGAAACUUUUGCACAGUUCAUGAUCUAUAAGAAUCUCUGAGUUGGUGAUCAAACAUAUAAGGCAAGAGUUUCUUAUAGAAGGACAAUCAAUCCAGAGAAAAAUAUAAACAAAGGAAUACACUCUUUGAAUAUUUAAUAUAAAAUCAAGGAAUAAGAAUGUUUUAACCAAGUCUUGUAUGAUGUCCAUGUAUGUAGCUCCCCCUGCAUCUCCCCCAGCAUCUCCCCCUCGAUAUAAGAAUCUCUAAAAGAUCUGCUUGCACAAAUUUUCCCCCCUUUUUCUCAGCAUCACGUAUAAUAGUCAAAGAAACUCAUAGAUAUAACAGUCAAAGUUCAAGCCAAAAUAACUGUCAAACUAUAGUCUUAGUUCAAAUUACAAACCAAGAUUCAAAAUGCAAACAAAAAUAUCAAUCCAAACUUUUAAAUAAAUUGACUGCAAGACGCUAAAAAAUUCUAUUUUGAGGAGGAUGGUUGAUUUGGGUUUGUAGUAGGAGAAAUUGGUGAGGAAGGCUUAUCAGCAGAAAUGGAUAAGGUGGUAAUCGCUCAGUCUGGCCACUGUAUGUUCGACUUCCUUCAAUCUUCUCUGUACAUCCUUCGAAUUUUGCUACAUUUGAAUCCUAAACAAGAGCUUCAUUUCUUUGAUACUCUUUUAUAGACUGCUUUGUUGUUCCUUGAUUUCCAUUAGGGUUUGCAGAAUAACAGCGUGUUGUACAGGAUUCUGAUAUUAAUCUUCUAUUGUAUCCUCUGUCAUAUCAACAUCAGCUACAAACUCUCCAACAUUUGCUUUUUGUUGCUAUUAUUCAUCGUUCUCAGGAGCAUAUAACACCUGUUGUUCAGUCUCUUCCAGAAGCCGAGUCUCAUGGACUACGAUCAAACUUCUGUCAUCAGCAGGUUCUUCUUUAUUUCCUUCAGGAGUUUUCUCAUCAAAUUCAUCCUCACUACCCAAGCCAUCAAAAUCAUCUUCAUCUAGAUCCUCUCCUUCCUCAGAAGGAUCAAAAUCAAGUCAGAAGAAUCAUCGAAUGCUCCAACCUCUUUAUCUUUUUUCUGAGCUUUCCUUUCUCUUUUCUGGAGGGGAUGCUUGUUCAAGAGCAGCUGUUUCGACAUCUAUAGGCACUGGUUUUCCCUCUGUCUUUCCAUCCAUCACUUGUUGACUCAAAGCUCAUUUUUCUCUAUCAUCUUUUCACCAACAAACAUCAGAGGGAGUGAUUUUGAACCAAGCUUCCUGGGAAUUUCAAUAUCUAGAUGUUUGAAGAUUUUUGUUUUCAGAGAUCCAUAGGGCAAUUGUCCCUCAUUUUUUAGGACACAUUAGUACAUAUGGAGGAUCGCCAUGUGGGCUAGGGAGGGAUGAUCAUUUAAGAUUGCCCAAAUUAGUUUAGCUUCAUACCUUGACAUAUCAGUCUUUGACGAACUCUUUGGUCUUAAACAAUUGAUGAUGAUUUUGUGCAAAACAAUUUGCUUCAAAGGGAAAUGAUAAAGCAAAACAUGCAAGAUAGUAUCUCUGUUGAAAUCAGAAAUAUCAGAAAUUGAUCGAUAGGCUAUGUUAGGAUCUAUGUCAAUAGGAAUGAAGUCAGAAUAGUUGACCCCAAGAAUUUUUGCCAACUCAGAUGCUUGAAGAAGAUGUGCUUCAUCAUAAAGUGUAAACUUGGUUGUAUUUAGAGAGUAGAAGGAUGUAUUUGAAUAAAAAUAUGCUGUUAAGGCAAGAUAGUUUGGAAAAUCCAUUGUGCAGAAAUAAGUCAUCAAACGUUUUUCAAAAAAAAAAAGAAAAAUUGAUAUGGAUGCCGGACGAUUCAAAGAAGUCAAAAUUGACAGUGUGAUGAUUAAUAACAAAUCUAUUCAAUAAAGAAUAAAAGUGCGCAAGAUGAGCUUUUGAUCUCGUCAGUUUCCCAACUCUGCUUCCUACAGCCACGAAACCACCAUGUUUCCUCUUAAAUUUUUCGAACAACUUUUCAUCAUUGUCCCCUUUUCUCCAUCAUCAAAGUCAGUCUUCUUCUUACUUCCUUUCUUCUUCCCUUUUUCAGAGACAUGGGUUUUGAUUUUUUCAACAUCCGGAGAUUUGUCCACCUUUUCUUUUCCUUUCCUCGACCUAGUAUUAAUUCCACUAGAAUCACCAAACUGAAUAGGUGGUAAGACUCUGAUUGGACUGGCAAGCACGUUCUCAAGAGUUUCUUCAUUAUCAUACCCACUUUUGGCCAACAGAUUCGAAAUAAGUUCCUCAUUAUUCCUCAAUUUUCUCAACGAUUCAAUGGCUGAUUUCAAGUUACUCACACUGAUGACCUUAGUGUUUGGAAGAGACGAUUGAAGAUCCACAGAAUCAGAGCGAGUACAUUUAAUAUUAUUAGAGGAAUCCGAGAUUUCAAAAUGCUCUACACCUCCCAUUGCCCUAGAGAAUCUUCCCGCAAUGCGAUUCGAUUUUCGAGAGCCCGUUAGUCUAGGCUUUGAGUUUUGCACAAAUUUGGGUGCCAUGGUAUGUUUGGAGAGGAAAUGUUUUGGAUCUUGAAGACAGACAACGAUCGCUGGAGGAAGGGUUUAGAGUCUAUCGAGAGAAGAAAGCAUAUGUUGGGUUUUGAGGUUGAAGGGCGAGAAAAUGUUUUAUAGAUAUUGAAACGACAUGACCUUUAAACAAAAUAAGCAGUUUAUAAAUUUAAAAACUCAAACGAUAACUGCAGUACAGUUAUUCCAAAAUGAACUUCAACAAUAUUCAUUAAAAUAAUUAAAUUUCAAAAUUAAAUACAUACUUGGUUUGUUUACUAAUAUAAAUAUUACCCGCCAGAUUUCAAAAUGGAGAUUUUGGAUAUUCAUAUCUUCCAUUGUCAACUUGCUGAUGCACAACAUCUAAUCGCACCUGUCUUAGGAGACACUUUGAGAAAUUGGAUUAAUAAUUCCCAAUAUAUUUCGUAUGAAAUCAAAAGCUUUCUUUUCCAAUAGUUUUGUAAAAAAAUCAGCUAGUUAAUUUCUAGAGUCAAUGAAUUAAAUGUUUACAUCACUAUUAUGCGCAUGGUCACGGAUAAAAUGAUUCUUAAUCUCAAUGUGCUUAGCUCUAGAGUGUGGAUGAGAUUUUUUGUUAAGUUGAUGGCACUAGUGUUGUCACAUUUGAUUGAGAUAUUUGAUUCCUCAACACCACAACCUUUUAGUUGUUGCUUCAUCUAGAAUCUGAGCAUAGCAACUACCCAACACUACAUAUUCUACCUCCAUUGUUGAAAGAGAUGCGGUGCUUUGCUUUUUGGAAUACCAUUAGACUAAUAUGUUCCCUAGCAUUUGACUACUUCCAAUAAUACUCGUUCUGUCAAUCUUACAUCCUGCGUAAUCAACGUCAAAGUAUCCAGAUAAUACAAAAUCUGAUUUCUUGGAAUACCAAAGUCCAAGAUAGGGAUAUGUGUUAAUGUACUUAAUAAUUCUUUCUACAACUGAUAAAUGCAAUUCCUUUGGAUUUGAUUGAAAUCUGUACACAGCAAAUAAUAAAAAGAAUGUCAAGUCAUGAAGCAGUGAGGUAUAAUAAGGAAUCAAUCAUGCUUCUAUAUAGUUUUUGAUAAACCUUUUUACCCUUUUCAUCCUUAUCAAGCUUCGAUGAAUAUGACAUUGGAGUUUCUGUUUUCUUUGGGCACGUUUGGUAACGUUUCUGUUCAAAAAUUGUUCCAGGGAACAUAAACAAAAAAAACUAUUUUUGUUCCAAGGAACAAUUUUUGACCAGAAAGACGUAUUUGGUAAACUUGUUCCGGUAAUAAAAAAUGAAUAGAAACACGUUUGGUAAAUUUAUAUUCGUUUUUUGUUUCUUUUAAUUUUUUAAUAUUUUUAUUUUAUUUUAUUUUAUUUUUCCUUUUUUCUUUUUUCUUUUUUUCUUCUUUUGGCCGGUCGCCGGCCUCCGACGACCGGUCGACGGGGGCUGGUAGCCUCGCCCAGCCACGGCGAGGCUCGGCCUCACCUUCGUUGGGCGAGCUCGGGCUGGCCCAGAUCCGGAAAGGCCGAGCCUCACCGGUGGCUGGGCGAGCUUGGCCUCGCCCAGAUCCGGCGACGCUUCGGGGAAGGUCGCCAACCCUCAACGGCGUCGCCAGCCAAAGAAAAAAGAAGAAGAAAAGAAGAAGAAAAGAGAAGAGAGAGAAAAAAAUGUUAUUCAAAAGUGUUUCUUGAACAAAACAACAACUUUGUUCCGGGAACAAAAAAACAGAUUUUGAACAAAAACGCAAACAAACACGUUUAGGUUCUUUUUUUUUUGUUUGUUCACGGGAACAAAUAAACAAAAUUUUUGUUCAUAAACAAGAAAAAAGAACAUUACCAUGCAGGGCCUUUGAAUUUAUCAUGCCGAACUUCUUCACAACUUCCUUUGCAUGCUUUUCAUGAUAAAUAAAGGUUAUAUUCUUCAUUUGCUUGAUUUGUAGACUAAGGAAGAAAGUUUAGUCGCUCAUCAGACUCAUCUCAAACUCAUCUUGCAUCAACUUAGAAAUUACUUGCAAAGAAUUUUGUUAGACGAUCUAAAUAUAAUAUCAUUGACAUAAAAUUGAAAAAGCAAAAUAUCUUACCUUCUCAUUUAUAAAAAGCGGUGUCCACUUUACCUUUGUUGAACCCAUUCCAAGUGAGAAAAUUGCUUAGUUUUUCAUACCAAGCAUGAGGUGCUUGUUUCAAACCAUACAAGACUUUCUUUAAUUUGUACACAUGAUCAUUUUUUCUUGGUUCUACAAAUCCUAGUGGUUGUUCCACGUACAACUUUUCUUUGAUAUAUCUAUUUGAAAAGCACUCUUGACGUCCAUUUGAAAGAGUCUGAAAUCAUAGAAACAAGCAUAAGCAAGUGAAAGUAUGAUACUUUCUAACCUUGCCACAAGUGCAUAAGUUUCAUCAUAUUAAUCCCCUCUUCUUGUGAAUAGCCUUUACUCACAAGUCUUGCUUUGUUCCUAUUAGCUCUUUUUUUAUCAUCCAAGUUGUUCUUGUACACCCACUUAGUUCCUAUCACAGGAUGAUCCUUUUGUUUUGGUACCAAUUCUCAUACUUCAUUUAAUUUGAAUUGAUGAAGUUUCUCUUGCAUGGCUUGAAUCCAAUUUUCAUUUGAUAAAGCUUCCUCAAUACCUCUUGAUUCAACUUCUAAUAUGAGUGUUAAGGUACCGAUUACGUUCUUUAAAGUUGAUCUCGUUCUAAUCUUGUCAUUUAUAUCCCCAAUGAUAAGAUCCUUUUGAUGAUCGAAUUUAUGCUUCCAGUUCCUAUUGAACCUCUUGUCUGAUUUUGAUGUCUCCGCUUCAUCAGACCUUUUAAUUGCUGAAUUACUUUAAUCAAUACUCUGAGUUUUUUUUUUUUUUGAACAGAAUCAAUACUCUGAGUUUGAACAUCUGGAUCUGGUGCAUCUUUUGUUUCAGUUGUUGGACUUUGAAUUUCUUUUGAGGGUGGAUUAGGAUCUUCCAAAAAUGUUUGAUUACUUUAGUCAAACUUCACGUUUAUCAAUUCUUCAACCAUGCGAGAAUUCUUAUUGAAGACUUAGAACGGCUUGCUUGUGGUCGAGUAUCCAAGAAAGAUGCCUUCAUGUGAUCUUUCAUCAAACUUGCUAGGGCGAUCAUUAGCAUUUUUAAGUAUAAAGAAUUUACAAUCAAAAACUCGAAAGUAUGAUAUGUUUGGUUUUCUUACUUUAAAAAUUUCAUAGGAGUUUUUUCAAGAGAGGUUCUUGCCAUUUCUUACAAGGACCAAUUUUUCCUUUUCACUGCACUUUUUUGCUCGGGUGUUGGAAAUUAGUGCUCAAAACCAUUUUCAUCAUAGAAAUAUUUAAACUUUGAUUUUCAAAUUCACCUCCAUAAUGUAACCUUUUCAAUUUGAAUCUUUUUUUUUUUUUCAAAUUUUGAAAAACAAGUGAAUGCAUCAUAAAUAUGAGCAAGAAAGUAUACCCAUGUAAAUCUGGCAUAGUCAUCUACAAUAACUAAACAAUACUUCUUACCGCCCAGACUUUGACUCCUUGUAGGCUCGAAGAUAUUCAUAUGAAGAAGCCACAAGUAAUGGUCAAUGCUAACAUGAUUUAAAAGUUUAAGAACUUCUUACUUGCUUGCCCAUAGUACAAACUAAUCAUAGUUCGGAUCUUUCAUAUUUCAAGUCCGGUAGUCCACGAACUAGCUUCUUUGAGAAUAGCUUUGUAAUAUGCUUUAUGCUGAUAUGACCAAGUUUUCUAUGCCAAAGAUCUAAUUCAUCCUUAAUUGAAACAAGAUGGUCCAGCCUAAGGACCUUAAAUAAAGGCCGUGGUUAUCGGAGCCCCCGUUCUACGUAAAUAAAACGGAAGGGUUAACCACGGGGGGAUUUGUAAUCAAAUUUGGAAACACCCCCUGGCUUGAUCCCAGCUCUGCUGCGCUGACCUCUCGACGACUGCCAGUCCAGUAUCUUAAAAAUGAUAGCAGUUGGUUACAAAUUUGGUUAAUUGAAACAAUACAUUUAAUAUUAUAAGACUUUAUGUCUAAUAAAUAUAUGUUUUCAUGUCUUCUUCCAGUAAAGGAUUGCUUAUUCUCACAACUUGUUCUUGAACUGUUGUUUUCUUGAAAGCAUAUUUUGAGUCCAACGUCAUAUGGUUGACUGAUGCUUAUCAAAUUGCAGUUGAAACCUUUAACAAGAGAUACAUUAUUGAUUGUGAGAUUCCCAAUUUUGGUUGUUCCACUACCAAUAAUUUUUCCUUUAAUGUUUCCUCCAAACGAUAUGCUUCCAUCGUUGUAUUUUGAAAGCUCAACAAACUUGGUUGAAUCACCAGUCAUAUACCUUGAGCAUCCAUUAUCCAAACACUAUUUUUUCUUCUUUUUCUUUGAUACCUACAAUUAUAGAACAAAUUCAAGUUUUCUUUGGUACCCAUAUUAGCUUGGGUCCUUUCUUGUUAGAAGGUUCAUCUAUAAUUAUAAAAUUUCUUCGAAUUGGUUUCCAACCUUUUGGGCAAUCACUCUCAAAAUGAUUUGGGUUGCCACAAAUUGAACACUUGAGGAAGCUUUGGCCAAUAGGUUUUAAAAAUUGUUUUUUGAAAUGAUUUCUAUAGACAGCUUUUGAAGGUCAUUGCUUUUUCUUGUCUUUGUAUUUAGGAAAAUCAUUCUAAAGAUCACUUUUGUUUUUGCAUCCAAGACAUAAUUUGUUGUAAUAGGGAAUUCAAAUAGACAAUGGGUGCAUUUGGGGGUGGCCUUUAGAAGGCACAUUGGACACCCAAAGCCCCUUGGGCCAAAUAGAGGGUGUUUGGUGAAUUUUUUUUAAACCCUAUUUGGGAAAUAUGAGCCUUCAAAAGGCUGAAAGCCCAAGGCAGCUCAGGGGGUCUCUAGAAAGCCCAUUUUAUGAAAUCUCCGAGAGAUCAAAAUAAAAAAAAGUACGGAUACUUUAUUUAUCACCAAGUAGAGAUGAAUACUAUAUGAUAGCAGCGAGAAAUUCUUUAGCACUGAAUCAAUGUAUUUAAGAAGAACAAGUUGUUCCAACUUGAUACCGUCAAGAACUCUUAACUAUUGCAUGGGAACAGGUUAAUUCCCAGACAUGUUGAAUAUAAAGUAUGACUAUGCAUUUAUCUCGUAUGUGUUCCUUGCAACGCACGGACAUAAUUCUAGUAUCCUCUAUUUUGGAUUUUGAAGGGCUUCAAGUGGGUGACCACAAUACCACAAUUCACAAAUUAUCCUCAGCAAGUUCUUCAUAUACUCGAAUCUUUUUGUUCUUUCUAGUUCCUUCCUAACAGUUUAGUCCAAAUGGCAACUCCAUUUCACUCCAUUCGCUGAUAGAUGUAAUAUAGCAUAAAUUUACAGAGCUCAAGAAUUGAUCACUACUCCCUAAUCAGUAUGCAUUCUUUGAAGUGCUGUUCAAUGCAACCAUGUGCUUCUCUGUAUCACGAACCAAGUCCUUCAUGUGUUACCCUGAUUCUCUCAAAAUACUGAAUUCUGAAUUACUGAUGAUGUUUUGCAGUUGCUGGAAACCGAUAAGAUGAGAAAUUGGCUCGUCCCAUACAGACGAAGUUGCAUUCAAGCACUUCAGCUUUUCUUGAUCAUCAUAUUGUGCAAUGGCGAAAUUCUCGAGGACAGCUUGGACCUUUUUUUAAGUGUAUUUCUUCUUCCCUUUCGUUCUGCAUUAAAUUACAACUUAUCCUGCGGGAAAUUACUUAACUAUUGUCGGGACAUUUCAUGGGAUUAAUAAUGUAAUGCUACCAGCACACGCAGCCAUGGACUACCAUUCUCUUGGCGAUUUGGCAUUCAGGAAUAAACUUCAUCCACUCUACUAUCAACUAAAAUGAUUGUGCUCUAGCUUUGCGAGAUUCAUAGCUCACAACUCUUCGGGGAGCGCAUGUAACUUUUGUUUUCUUAAGGCUGGGUUCUCAAUUCUCUCGUCCAUCAGUAGGUUCUCAAAUUUCGGCUUUUGCCGUCUUGGAAUCUGUAGAUUGUUAUGUCCCAGGAAUUCUGGAAAAACAAAAUGACUGCGUUGGACGAUCUUACGUUUGCGUGGGAAUUCGUAAGUUAAACGGCAAUCAAGUAAUCAUGAUUGGGGGGCCAAUUAAUUCAUAAAGAGAGAAUUUUCGAUUAAAUAUCGAGGGUCAUUAUCUAUAUCUAUAUUCAAUCAUGCCCUUGAUAAUGUAAAAGGAAUAUUGCAUUAAUUUGAAUGAGAUGAUUAAAAUUUUGACUAAUAUGUUGGUGGUUCCCCUCAAAUCUAACAACUUAACAAAUCCACAGCUCAUUGCCAUCCAAAUUCUUUUCCUCAAUUUUCAAAAUUAAAAGUUUAUCGUGGAUUUUAUCAUUUCAAAUUAAGAUUGUAAUCGUCUCAUGUUUUUGCACGCACGUAAGCAUGUGCCCUAUUUUCCGUAAAAUGAAAUGACAAUUCCAGCUAUUCAGAUGAGAAUUGACAUAUACUAUCUGGCUAUGCGGCAAGGCAAUUCACGUUACAAUAAUAAGUCAAAAACAAAAGAGAUAGGCACUAUAAAAAUCUUAUACUAAAGAGCAAACUCACGACCGCACGAUUGUUGAGUCUUGACUUUCCAAUUAGACAUAAGGGUAUUUUAGACCAUGCACUUUUAUUUUAGAGAUUCUUAAAGGGAGACUACAAAAGAAAUGUAUUUAAUAACAUAUCUCCAACCCUAGUGUCACGCCCCGAACCCCAAAUACGAGCACAUCCUUUGGCGGUCGAUUAAAAAUGCGACGUCCUAGGACGCGUCACUGACCCAUUCUUUUUAUCUUUCAAUUAAGCGCAUGCAAAAGCGAAUUAAAUGAACCAUCGGUCAAUAAACAAACAUAUGGAUAGUAAAACAAGCCAGCAAAUUUUCACAAACUAUGAUUUAUAUAUAGGGAAAAAACCAUGAAAAACCUCAAACUUUGCCCAAAGUGACAAAUUUACCCCAAACUUUUUUUGUGACGUGAAAGAUCCUGAACUUUGCCAACCGUGAUAUAUUUAUCCCAAACUUUCUUUUGUGAUACAAAAAACUUUGAACUUAUAUCCGUGUGACACAUUUACCCUAGUUUAUAGGGCAUUUUGGUCUUUUUACUUUAAAAUUUUUGCUUUCUUUUUUUCUUCUUCUUCUCUCUUCCCUCCACCGGCCAUGGCGGAGCCACCGUCCGGCAAGGGCUGCCCUCGUCGACGUCGCGCAAGAGUCACCCUUACCUGGGCUGGCUAGGGCCGCCCUCGGUUGGGUCGGGCGAGGGCAACCCUCGCUUGGGCUAGCUAGGGCCACCCUCGCUUGCGUCAGGCGAGGGCCUCCCUCGCCAAAUCUAGCGAGGGUUGUCCUUGCCAGACAUAGGUGAGGGCGGCCCUCAUUGGCUACGAGGGUCGCUCUCAGUUGCGUUGAGCGAGGGGUGCCCUCACUAGAUUUGGCGAGGGGAGGCCCUCACCCGACCCAGCUGAGGGCUACCCUCGCCCGACGUCGGCGAGGGUGGCCCUAGCCAGCCCAAGCGAGGGCGACCCUCACUGGACGUUGGCUUCCCUCCGCCAGCUCCGCCAUGGCCAGUGGAUGGAAGAGAGAAGAAGAAGAAAAAAAGGAAAAAGAAAAAGAAAAAGGAAAAACAUAAAAAAAAAUAAGACAAAAAUGCUCUUGAUGAGGUAAAUGUGUUACAGUAUGAAAAGUUUGGGAUUUUUCUUGUAAAAAAAAAAUGGGGUAAAUUUGUCACUUUGGGCAAAGUUUAAGGUUUUUGGUAGUCUUUUCCAUUAUAUAUAUAUAUAUAUAUAUACUGAGUUAACCCUACGAGUUCAUAUAUACAAGUCUAUCAAAAAGUGAACUCCUACGCGACCUACUAACAGAAGGGUCCAGGUCGGGGCCAACUUCCCUCUGUACAACUACUACAAGCUCCUACAACCUCUGCCCUAAUAACCAAACCUAGGUCUAGCCAAGAGGUUGGGCAAGUCACUAGAUGAACACGGCUCCCCGGGCCCUUUUGGCUCUGUAUCUGGUUCUACCACGAUACCUUCCGGGAUGUCUAUAUCCAUGGGGUCGAUAUCCUACUCAACCCCACUUCCUAUGCGUAGCCCAUCAAAACCGUGCAUGGGACCCUCCCGAUCACCAUUCGGUUUUGUAAUAUAUUAAGCCUCAAAGUGGUGGGGUACCAAAUUCACAAAACCUUCAUCGACCCAAACUGUAGUCACAACCCACUCACGAAAUUGGUUGGUCUCGAGAUAGGGUAGAAGGUAUUAUCUAACUCCAUCUCCCAUGGGAUCCUGAAUCGAACUGAACAAACCUCCAUACUAAGGACCUAAAAAAGUUUAACCACGACGGGAUGAAAUAAAAUCCCAGUGAGUCAAUAGGUUUAACCCCAAGUAGGACACAAAUUCACCUCAAAGGCGACCUAAGCACGCACCAUUCAAAACUUACCUCGCCUUGGCACGUCCCGGCAUAUUAGUGUAUCACAUAUGCCAUUAUAAAUACAAUAAGCAUAAUUAAUAACCAGAACACAUAAUUCUCACAUUCCAAACAUUCACAUGGGUCCCGAUUAUAAGGUAAAACCGUUAUGGCACGUCGCAUACCAUGCCUAACAAUUUUGCCCCAUAAUCAAGCGCAAAGCAUCACAACCAUUCAGGCGUGUUCCAAUUAUUAUGAUCCUUUGGUCACAGCCAACUCAAAAGUCUGCGGUCAUUCAGCGUACUAGACAUCGUCCCGCCCUAUUGGGCAUGGCAAUGUCUAGCACCCGUCGCCUAGACGGCAUUUCAUAAGGAAGCAUCAGUCCAGCCUCAACCGCGACUCAGCAUCCCAUUGACGUGGGGGCAUUCGAAUUUAAUCGGGUAUCAUCCCGUGUAAACGCAUUAGGACGGGUUCCAUUAAGUGACCAUACGAGCACAUAUUUAGCAAGAACACCGUGUUUUGCGUUCAAAUGCCUUGUUUUCAAAUAAUGAACUUGGCCAAUUUUUCUUCUUAUUAAAAAUCUCAAUAAAAUAAUCGUGCGUGGUCACGUAUUCGAAAUCGAACCGUCAAACAAACUUAGUACACUGCCAUUUUAAAGCUCCAUGGUUUUAUAUAAUACAUAAAAGUUGGCGUCCAAACCCAACACCAUAUUAUUUUUCUAUUUAAAAGCUUAUAAAGCCAUCUUUUGACAUAAAAGUUGGAACCAACGAUAGAUCAAUCAAUUGCACAAUAUCGGACGUGCAAACACUCAAAAUCAUACAUAAUUGCAUCCAAGAAAAUGAGCGUAAAAUUCUACGUAAUGCCUAAUCUGUCACUAAUUACGCUAAUUACAAUUAAUUAAAUAAAUCGUGAUUAAUUAAGUAAAUUGUGAUUGAUUAAGCUAAUCCAAAUUAAUUAACCUAACCAUGAUUACCUAACCUAACCAAUAUUACUUAACCUAACCAUAAUUAACGAAAACUAAUCAUCAUCAAGACUAAACUAACUACCCCUACGUGCAAUUAAUGGCCUAAUAAAUGAUUAGGGAGUUAACUCACGGGAUUAUGACAGCGGCGGGCUCGCAGCGACGCGACGAAAACUUGAGACAAACACAGCUUGCACGGAGGCUCGACGGUGGCAGUGGUUGCCCUACAAGCUCUCGGCCAAGGGGAGGGCUUGGCUCGGCUACUUGGGGGCUGGUCGGUGGAGGUGGCUGCAGGUGCUGCUGUGGCCAGGACGAGGUGGUGCUGGAGGCGUGCGGUGCUGGAUGUGGGACGGGCGGCUGCUGGACACGAAGGAGCUGGGCUGGACACUGGUGUUGCUAGCUGUGGUGACGUGGGAUGCUAAACGGUGGUGGUGGAUGGUGGUGGAGCUAGUGGGUGAGUGCAGCUGUGGUUGAGAGCGAGCGGUAUGGGUGGAAUGAUGAAGAUGAUGUUGGACGCUAGAGUGGAGUGGCAACCAGGCGAAGGGAAUGGAGAUGCUGAGGUGAGGGGAGAAUGAGCGUGAGGGGGAAAUGAGAUGAAGAAGAUGGUGGUCGGCUGAAGGGGGGGGAUGUGCGUGCAUGAGAGAGUGAGGAAUGGGAGAGAGAGAGAGAGAGCGAAAGAAAGGGAAAAACAAAGAAGUCAAUGGAACAACCAAUGACAAACUUAGUAAAAUAUCUAAACCAUCAUCACAUUGCCUCAAAGUCUUCAUGCCCCAAAGUCCUUAGCUCAUCCAAUUACAAUUUAACUCUAAUUUCCCAAUUUAGAGCUUUUUGGGUAGAAAAAUCCUAUUUUCUCUACCCAUCCGAAUUUCCUUAAAUUUUCCUUUUCGUCCGAAAAAUCAUUUUUCUGUAAAAUUUUCGGACUCGAUGAAAAUUCGUUGAAAGAUGAGAUGACGUCCAAUAAAUGAAUCGUGACACGCUCAAACAUCUGAUUCCCGAAACCGACUUAAAUUUCGUGGUUAAAAUCGACCAAACGCAACUUUAGUACGACCUAAUCUAUCGGGUAGCUUUUAGGGAUUUUAGCACGUUUGACCCGUAAUCUAUCAUUUUCGAUCCACAUUUGUGCAUCUCUGAAUCGUAGACGACCCUCGGUUGUCACAUAAUCGCGAGGUUUCAAUUACGUAUUCCGAAUAUAAUAUCGAUAGAAAAUCGGUUUACUGCCGUUCGACGCGAAUAUCGCAAUCGUGUGGAACCAUCCGCAAUUCGACUACGUGAUUCCAUCGAAUCAACCUAUAUCCGUUCGCUAAUCGUUUAUAACGGUGUCAUCCUGCCGAUUAUUAUGGUCGAGUGGUCGAUUUCUAAUCGAAUUCUCUAAUCUGUCACGUUUAUAUCCCUUAACGGCCUCACAUAAUAGAUAAGUUAUCUCGUGAGUGAUUAAUUUCAAGUAAAUUAACCAUAAGCACAUCGACAAAUCAACCAUUUCAUAUAUCUGAAACGGGCCAAAUUUUUGGGAUGUCACACCUAGUCUCCAUAUUAUUUCCUAUUUUGUUUUUUCCUAUAUUGUUGUUAGAUCUUUAGAUCUUGUGACUUACCAAAUGGUCUUGAGAGCUUUGGAUUGUACUCUUGUACUCAUUAUUGAAGAUAGUGAAACCCCUUUCUCUCCCUGUGAUUUAUCUUGUUUUGGAUUUUCCAUGUAAAUCUUGUGCCUUGUGUGAUUUCAAUUUUCCUUUCAUCAUUUGCUACUUGUGCUCCAAUUGGUGCAUCUUUUGGCAUUUUUCCCCAACAAAUUGGUAUCAGAGUGAAGGAAUUUCGGUCUUUUUGUUUGAAAUGGCAUCUAUCGAGUUUGAAGUGGCACAUUUAGCUGGCCAAAACAAUUUUGGGCUAUGGAGGAUUAAGAUCAAAGCGUUAUUGCAUCAGGAAGGUUGAGUUAGAGCCUUGGACGGAAAUUAUUUCGACGAUAUGACUAUGGCAGAGAUCAAGGAGAUGGAGGAGAGGGCACACAACACCAUCCAAUUUGUCGUAAUUCGAUAAGGUGCUUCGCAAAGUCACAGGUGAAGAAAAGACUUUAGGAUUGUGGAAUAAGCUUGAGAGCCUCUACAUGAAGAAAUCUCUUAUGACAAGAUUAUUCUUGAAGUAUGUGUCUUUACACUAAAGAUGCAAGAAGGUACUCAUAUUCAAGAACAUCUAGAUGAAUUUAAUAAUAUCGUGAUGGAUAUGAAAAAUAUAAAUUUGAAGUUAAAUGACGAAGAUCAAGUUCUAAUUGUGUUAUGCUCACUACUGAGCUCGUAUGAAAAUUUUGUGAAUUCUAUAUUGUAUGGAAGAGCAUCUAUAACUCUUGAGGAUGUGAAAGCAUCAUUGAAUUCUGAGGAUAUGCAUACAAAAUUGAAUGCAAAUAGUGGGGGUGAUAAAGUUGAUGGCUUAAUUGUUAGGGGAAGGUCGAAUCAUUGUGAUAAACACGGUAAUAGUAAAAGGUGUUCGAAAUUUAGAUCAGGCAGAGAUAAGAGUAAGGUGAAGUGCUACUAUUGUCACAAUUUCGAACAUUACAAAAGUGGGUGUCCAGUGCUCAAAGCUAAGGGGAAGAAGCUAACGAAGGGUUCCGAAUCAGCUAUCUUGUGAAAAAUAACAAGUCAAUAAUGUAGACAAUGUUCUUACUAUUUUGUUUUAGAUUGUUAUGUCAAUGACGAAUGGAUUUUAGAUUCAGCAUGUUCAUACCACAUGUGUCCAUAUAGAGAUUGGUUCUACACAUAUGAAAAAGUCAGUGGUGGUUCAAUUUUGAUGGGCAACAAUGCAGUUUAUAGGAUUUUAGAUAUUGAUAAAUUGCAAGUUAAAUGUCAUAACAAUUUAGUAAAGACUUUGACUGAACGUUAGACACAUCCCACAUUUGAAGAAAAACCUUAUUUCAUUGAGUAGUUUAGAUUCCAUUUGGUGCAUGUAAACAAGUGGAGGUGGAGUUUUGAAAAUUUUAAGAGGCUCCUUGAAUGUGAUGUAGGGUAACAUAAAGAAAAAUCUUUAUGUUCUGCAAGGAAGUACCGUUGUGGGUUCUUUAAAUAUAUCAUCCUCUUCAGAUUAUGAUAAUCAAUGUUGUGGCAUAUGCGAUUAGGUUACAUGAGUGAAAGAGGAAUGACUAUCUUGAGUAAACAUUGUUUACUUUGUGAGGAUCAUACAGUCUCGACUUUUGCAAACAUUGUGUUUUCGAGGAGCAGUGCAGAGUUAGUUUCAAUAUUGAUAUGCACUCAAUGAAGGGCAUAAUUGACUAUAUCUACUCCGAUUUGUGGGGACCGAUAUAGGUAACAUCUAAGGGUGGUGUAGUUUAUUUUCUAACAUUUAUUGAUGAUUAUUUUGGGAAAGUCUAGGUUUAUUUCUUGAAGCGUAAAAGUGAUGUUUUUAAUAUGUUCAAGAAGUGGAAGAUGUUGAUAGAAUAUCAAAUUGGGAAGAAGAUAAAGCGUCUCAGAACGGAAAAUGACCUUGAGUUUUAUGGAGAUGAUUUCAAUAAGUACUGUGAAGAUUCGAGGAUUGUUUUUUUUUUUUUUGGUAAAGGUAAUAAAAAGAUUCGAGGAUUGUUCGACAUCAAAUAGUUGGGUACACAUCUCAACAGAAUGGGGUGAUGGAGCGUAUGAACAAGACACUUUUAGAGAGAGCUAGGUGUAUGCUUUACAAUACUAGACUUAGGAAAGAUUUUUGAGUUGAAGUUAUGAAUAUGUCAUGUUAUUUAGUGAAUCGUUCUUCUUCAACCACAAUUGAAUGUAAGACUCCUAAUGAGGUAUGGUCAGGUAAACCUUUUAAUUAUUCUAAUUAAAAAAUAUUUGGAUGUCCUGCUUAUUAUCAUGUAAAAGAGGGCAAGCUUGAACCUAGGGCCAAGAAGUAUAUUUUUGUUGGUUAUGCAAACGGGCUUAAAUGAUAUAGGUUAUGGUGUUUUGACCCUCAAUCAUCAAAGUUUAUAAUUAGUAGGGAUGUUACUUCUGAUGAAAAUUCUAUACUUGAAAAGAGAAAGGUUAUUACUGAGUCUACAAGUAUUCAUGAGGAGAAUGUUCGAAAAGAGGUGAAGCUUUAUGUAAAGAUCCACGGAAAAUAGUUGAAGCUAUUCCUAUUUAGCCAAAAAGUGACAAUGAGUAACAAGACUCAAAUUCUAUCAAAGGAGAAGGAGAAGAAAUUGAGCAACCUCAAAAUUUAGCUGCCAAGAGAGGUAAACAACAAAUUAAGCCUCCCCAAAGGUAUGGUUUUGUUGAUUUGGUAGCGUAUGCUCUUAUAGUUGCUGAAGAGCUUGGUAUUGAAGAACCUUCUACAUUCCAUGAAGCUAUUAUUUGUUCUAGAUCUAGGAAGUGACCUGUUACGAUGAAUGAAAAGAUGGAGUCUCUUUAUAAGAACCAAACUUGGGAUCUUGUGACAUUGCUUAAGAGCAAAAGAGCUGUUAGGUGUAAGUGGAUCUUCAAAAGAAAAGAGGGAAUUCCAAGUGUCACGUCCCGAUCCUUGAGCGAGUGCCCAUCUCUUAGUGGUCAAUUAAGUAGAGACAUCCUAGGAUGCGUCAUCGAUCCAUUCAUUUUAAUGCGCAUGUGGAAGCGAAAAAUUAAAUCCCUAAACAACAACAAGAUGGGAUAGAAAAGCAGAGCCACAAUUUUCGAAAACUAUAACACACUUAUAUACACAUAUCAAACUAUGUCAUAGACAAUAUUAGCCGAUCUAUACAAGGUCUACAAAUAUGGGGGGUAGAGUGCUAUAGAUUCUCUAAGCAUUCGAGUCUUCAACUGAAUACUCCAGGGACCCUGGAUUCGACGAACUCGGGUCCACCAUUGAACCAUCUGGAGGGUCGGCCAUGCCUUUUCCAAAAGCAACCUCCAGCACCGACAUAAGGAUCUCAGAUUCCGGUAUGGGACCCUCUUUUUGUCCAUUUCGCUCACAACAAUACCACGAUCUAUAUUGAUGGAGUACCUUAUGGGUAGACCCUCAUCAACCCAGACAAUGGACCUUAUGAGCGCAAAGACCCAUCCCCUUGGGUUCCCAUGAAGUGGAAUAUAAGAUACCUGCUUGGUGACCUUCUUCGGCUGUUCAAAACGUUUGGGAGGUACUACCAUCUAAGGACAUGUAAAUGUUAUCCCAUAAUGGGGUGAGACGACAUCUCAGCAAGUUCACCCCCUAAGUCCCAACUAUGAAGGAAAUACGCUCAAAGGCUGCCUAAGCAUGCAUGAGAUAGAGGACUUCCCAUUGCCUCAAUUCCUUCAUGCAAGUUAGUACGAUUCAACCAUUCAACAAGUCAUUUCAAUUCAAUCGAUUCAACCCCAACAAUACUAUCUAUCAUUCAAUCCAAUCAAUACUAUCUAUCACUCCAGUACCGAUUAUUAAAUCACUUCAUCAAUACGAUAGUUGCUCACCCAAGCUGAUAUAGAUAGAUAGUAGUUCACCAAAGCUGAUAUAAAUAGAUAGUCGCUCACCAAAACUGAUAUACGCUCACCAAAGCCGAUAUAUGCUCACCAAAGCUGAUAUAUCAAAACCCGUAGGCUAAUAUAGUAUAUUGUUCUCAUUCCUUGGGAAUUUACUAUCUUUAUAGGUACCGGUAAAAAUAAUCGUGUGCGGGUAUACAGUUGGCCUUAGCCAAAAUACAAUAUUUUCCCUUCCCAAAAAUCUCACCAUUUAAUAUAGUCCACAAAGAUAUUGUUGGCAUUGUAAAUCAAUGCGUGGUAAUUUCCAAUUAAAUAUUGAAAUUACUCAAUUUUGGGAUAAAUACCCAAAAUUACAAUUAACACACAAUUUGCAUAAUUUAACACUCAAUUAAAUAAACCAACCAUACCACUGCGAUUAGCACAAAAUUCCGACCAUCGGCUAUCCCGACCUAAUUUCUGGAAAAUAAUAAUUAAUUAAAUAAUUACCAAAAUUAAUUAAUAAAUACCAAUAAAUUCAACUUAGGCCGGAAAAGCCUAAUUAAAUACCAAAAUGGGCCCGGAAAAUUUCGGAACCUAUCUAGAUAAAUACUACAACUUAUCACAUCUCUAAUUACGCUACUCUAACCACCUAACAUGCAUAAACGAAUCAUUAAAUCGCUAAUUCAUUCUAACUAACCACAUAAUCCAUACUUGACCUAAACUAAUCAACUCUUAAGCAUAAUUAACUCCAUAAGCGGAGAUUAGUGAGUAAACUUACUGGUUUUGCGAUUCGAUGAGUUCACUAGGACGACGAGGUGGAGACGACUGAUAAACUCCGAAGCAGGGGCAUCAAGUAAGGCCGGGAAAGGCUUGGAAAUGGGCCUCAAAGCCCACGGUGGGUUGCUAGGUUUCGGCUUUUAUGGUUGGGCCGAAGAGGCCGCUUGGACGACUAGCUUGGGUGAGAAAUGGUGGGAGCAGGUUGGUGAGGCUGCCGCAGGGUCGGGCAGCCAACGACAAGCGACGGUGGCAACCUGAAUGGCGACCACGACAGCAAGACGAGCUUAGGGUGGUAGGGAGGCGACAACCAGGGCGCAACAAGGCCGCAGAACGGCGGGACGUUCGCACGAGCUCGGGCGCAAGAGUGAGCAGCUCCGACGGCGAGCAGUGGCGAUCCAACGAGGCUGGCAAUGGCAGGGGGACUUGGCUCGAUUUCUUUUGGGUCUUUGGAGCUUCUAGAGGUUUGCAAAUGGAGGAAGGAGGCUGGGGGAAGAAGAAGGAGAUAGCCAAGCUUUAGAUGGGGCCACUUAGUCUCAAUUCUAUCCCUUUGUCCCUUUUGGCUUGACUCCACCAUGGCCGAUUGGCUCCCAUAGCCAAAUGCAGCCACAAAGCUUCCCUAGGAAGCUAAUGAGAUGGUCUAAAGGUUGAGGGCAUAGGGGGUACGAAUUUGCACUUGGUUUCUCCCAAUUUCACUUCAAUUCUCACUUGAAUUAAAUCAAUUCGGCUCCCAUAAAUUCCACCAACGUGUCCUCAAUCAAAUUGACAAUUUUCCAUGCGAAUAGAAUCAACUUGCAUCCCAAAAACAUGAUAAAAAAUGGUCCCCUGAAUUUUCCGAACAAAAAACGACCUCACUUUGAAAUUCCGCCAAAAAUCUCGGUUUGCAGAAAAAUCUUUGGAGGAUGAGUCGACAUUCCUAAAAUGACUUAUGACAUGAAAAAACUUUCAAUUUUUAAAUUUGGAUUCAAAUUCACGGUUAAUUUCAAUCUUGUGAGAUUUUAGCGUGACCUAUUCUACCGAGCAGUUUUUAGAAAAUUUUGAUACAAUUGACCUGUAAUCGAUUUUCUUCAAGCCACCAGGUACCUCUUCGACACAUUGGUGACUCUUGAUGGUUGUGAAAAUGUCGAGAUUUCGAAUACGGACAUAGGGUACCAAAACAACACACAUUGGCGACUCUCGCUGGUUUGCUUCUGGUUUUUUCGCUGCUCAGCCGAGAGAAAAAGAAAGAAGAAGAUGAAGAGUUUUAUAUGGAGAGAGAGAGAGAGGGUACGAAGCUUAAGGGGGAAAAUAGGCUACAAGCUAAUCCCUAGGCUAGUGUAAUGAUUAGAUUUGGCUAAUGAUUAUGCUUCCUUGUAGUUGCCAUCUUCGGUUCUAUGGAUUGAGAAAAACCGUGGGUGUUGAUGAGAGAAUCGAGAGAGAGAAAGGUAUCGUGGCUUUCAUGCAUGAAGAUUUUCGCCAUCUGUCGAUCGUCGCUAAUUAAUAGUUUAUCGAUAUCAUUCAUUAGUUCAUUAGCUUCUAAUAUUUUCAUCUAAUUGCCUUUUGUUUCUACUUAAUCCCAAUUAUACAAAGUCAUAACAUAUAUAUAACAUAUCGACUAGUCAAUGUUAAUAUAUAAAGAAUUCAUCACAAAAAGAAUGCUAAAGUUAUAAGUAAUUUACUAAUCAAAUCACCUUAACUAUAAUCUAUUAAUCUUAACUGAAAAUAAAAUCACUCGAGCCUAAUUAUCCAUUCCUGGCCCAACAGGCUCAAUCUAUAACGAUCUAGCCCGCUAAACUUAUAAAUCUAAUAAUUCUGAACCUUGGCCCACUUCAAGUCAAUUCUGAACCCACAAUCUCUCAUUAGAAAUCUCAAGUCCAAUUCAGGUGGCCCACUUAUUUCUCAAGCCCACACAUUCCUCACGAUCCAUCGGGUUCAUUUUUUGGCCCAAUCUAAUUAAUCUAAGUUUCUAAUAAUCUAAUUUUGCUAAUGACGGUCGAUGAAAUUUGGGAUGUCACAACUCUCCACUACUUAGAAAAAUUUCGUCCUCGAAAUUAAUCUUACCUUAUUUACUUGAAAAGCUGAGGAUACUUCUGUCUGAUCUCCUCUUCACUUUCCCAAAUUGCUUCUUUUGAAUCAUGGUAUCGCCACAAAAUUUUGACUAAAGGUAUAGUCUUAUUCCUCAAUACUUGCUCUCUUCGAUCCAAAAUUUGUACAGGCUCUUCAUCUUCUUCUUUCUUUUUCUCUCGGCUGAGCAGCGAAAAACCAGAAGCAAACCAGCGAUUUCUUCUUCUUGCAUGCGAGAUUUUGGUGUUGAUCUUGAAGCAUCUUUGUGUUAUCUAGUAGCUGAACAAGGUAAGGAAAGAUCUAACUCUAAAUUGAAAGUUAUCCAUUGUUUCAUCAAGGGAGCUUGAGGAUCUAACCAAACAGUGAUGGAUAUAGUUUGUAGUUGCUGUUUUGUGAUUGAUCUAAGCUUAGUGAGUGUUAGAUUGAAGGUAGGAGCUAUUGCAUGUCACUCUUGAGUCUUGCAUGUCUUGAAAUCCAAGUGUGAGUAUGUUGUUUUGUUGAGUGAAGUGAUGAAAUGGAUGUUUGUUUUGGUAGAAAUCGUGAUAAGUGGCUUGCAAAUGCAACGACACUUCGAGCCGAGUUGUGAAAUUGAUCAUUUGUUAGAGAAUGAUAUGCUGAAGUUGCUUUGAGUUGCUGUGAGUAAGCAUUGGAGUAUUGUGGAAGAUUUUUGUGGAUAGACAAGUUGUUUAGUUGAGUUAGAAGUGAGAAAAUUUGUGUAUCUAUUCUAUUCUAAGUGAAAACAGUUAUGGAGUCUUCUGUUUGUGUUUAAUUUUCUUUAUGUAUGUUAAUAGAGAUAAGAAAGAAACCUUUUACAUGAUAGAACAUCUAUGAGAUUGAAUUAUAUACGAAGCUAUAAUCAUAUGGAUAUUAAAAUAGAGAGAUAGAAGUGAACUUAGUAAAACGAGUAAACUGUUUUUGUAAGAAACAGAUUUACCUUUACUGAUUACAUGAAUUUUCUGUAAUUACCUAGUUAUAAUUGGACUUUGAAUCCUUAAUGAAAAUUGUAGAACACAUCUUAAGGAAUAAAUUUUCAAAAUUUGAGAUUAAAUCGAUAAGAUUUGACUAGUGAAACAAUUUUCUUUGUAGAUACGAAAUCUGGACGUCGAUACGGGGUACUAGUAAAGAUUAUGGCAAUUGUUACUCUUAGUACAGUGAGAAUUAGACUUAAGUUUCUUCAUGAGAAUUGUUAGUCUAUGUCUAAAAUAUAACAUGCUAAAAUUUGGUAACAUUUCAACAAGAAUUAAUAUAUCUUCCGUGUCCGAAACCGAAACUGUACACUUAGUAAACUGUCUGGAUCUGAGAACAUAUAUUAGAUAAAGUGUCUUUUAUAUUAGGUCUUCGUGAUGUACAUAGAGCCUAAUAAACCUCAUAAUAGAUGUUAGUCAUAUAAGAGUAAGUCUCAUAUUCAUCAGGUGCGUCCUCUACUUGACCUCUUGUGAUGGCGUACACUCGUCCUUGAACUGGGGGUCUAUUCUGUCCACCCUACGGUGCAAUCUGCGGCGCUAACCCCCUAAUUUGACCCAUCAGUGGUGGUGGUGGUAACUUCUGUUGUCCCCUUGGUCUUCUGGGACAAUCUCUGGCCAUAUGACCCUGUUGGCCACACUCGAAACACGCACCUAUCCUUAAAUGGCAUAGGGCUGAUCCAUGUCGCCUCCUACAGAAGUGAGACACGCCAUUCUGGCUCAGCACUGAUUUUCCAACUCCAUCCUUCCUAUUGGGCGGGACAUGGUACCUUCCUUUGGUCAUCAGUCUCUUCCCAAACCGAUUCUCAUCUUUGAUUGAACUGAACCGUAACCCAGAUACGGUGGCUCGUUCAUUCUAAUCUCUCUCAAUCAGCUAGGCUCGUUCAUAAAGGUCGUUAUAGUUCUUCAAAUUCAACGGCACUAGCGGGCUUCUCACUUCCGGUCUAAGCCCGUCUCUAAACCUUCUAGCUCGGUUUACCGGAUUCUCGACUAGUUCAUGGGCGUACUGUGAUAACUCAGUGAAUUUCGCUUCAUACUGAUCCACUGUCAUUAUACCUUGGCGAAGACAUUGGAAUUCUUCCAUUUUCAGCUCUCUGGCACUGUCAGAAAAGUAUUUAUCGUUGAAAACUUUAACAAAGGCGUUCCACUCCGGAACCACGCCUUCCGAGAACACUAUUCCUUGGGUGGUUCUCCACCAAGUACUUGCAAUUCCUUGCAACUAAUAGGCUGCAAGUACUACCUUCUCCACCUCAAUGCACAUUAGCAAUGCGAAGGCCUUCUCCAAGACCUAAAUCCAUAAGGCUGCGGCUUCGGGGUCUCUUGCCCUAGUGAACUUUGGUGGGUUCAACUUCGGAAACUGUUCCACCAGCUUAUGCAUCGGUCUCCUAGCGACCACGUUUCCUGGUGGAACCUAAACAGGUGUGGCAACAGCAACAACAGCAUCCGCGACGGCAUUAGCGACAGCUGUGGUAGCGGCGGCUGAAGCGGCGACACUGGCAACUUGAAUCUGAGCCUGUUGGUCCAUCCUAUUUCCCAGCAUCUCUAGCGCCUGCAUGAUCCCUUCGAACCUAAGAUCAUUAGGGGCUACUACUCCAACACUAACAGGAGGCGGUGCUACUCCACUACUAACCUGAGCUGGCGCUCAACCACGACCUCCUCGGGUACUAACCCUCAUCGGUGUCCUACCCUGAGUCGCAAGUCUUAUGGUAUGCUUUCUAGGAGUCCUUUGCUUCUGAUCACUCAUCUCACAAGGUCUUUAAAGAAACCUGCUUUCCAAUUCAACACAGAAUCAGAAACUGAGGGUGCGAAUGGUAACGCUUCGGCUGCGCAUGACAAAAUUUCUGAAACAGAAAUUGAUUUCUGGUCAGAAAUCAAUUUCUUAAUUUCUAUUCCCCGGACAAGUUUCUGAGCAAAGAAACCCGUUUGAUAACAACUUAAAAUUUCUAUUUCUAAAACAGAAAUUCGUUUGAUAACAGAACAAAAUUUCUAUUUCUAGGAAUUGUCGAAAUAAUACUAAUACAUUACAAAAGUUGAAAAUACAAUUUCAUGGAAUUUCCGGCAUAUUAUUAUCCCUUGCCAUUUUAUUAGCAAUUGUUUUCCUAAGCAUAUUUAUUUGGUUUCCCUCCUCCGUCAAUGUAUCGUUUGCAAGCUCAUCAUACGUAGGUUCAGACAAGUACUGCGGAAGCAUGAAUAUGGAUGCCAUCAAUGGCGCCUAUACAACCUUGUCAUUUGAUCAAAAACUAGUAUUAUAUAAGAUUAUCAACAAAAUAAAAUUAAUGGUGUAAAGGAAUAUAUAAGAAUUCUACCUUAAAGUAACGUUUAUGGUUAGGAACCAAUCGGGGGAAGGUCUGUUUAUUUUGAUUCUUGAAUUGAAUCAGUAGAGUUGCUCAUCCCUAAUUUCUUUAUUGUUACUCAAUGAAUCUUUAAUGGCCCUUGCAUAGCAAAGAGAGAGAUUCUCUUGAAUCUCUUGCCUUCGAAUUAAAAUUCAAGAUUGUGUAACAAUCUAAUUAUUUUGAUUUUGCAAGAAAAAUAAGGUUAAAUUUCUAGGCACGUUUUUUAUUUAUCUAUUACGUAAGAACUUUUUCUUCAACUGGCCAUGCGCGUGCCUUUUCUAGGAGGAAAAAGCCCCAUUGUUUUUAAGUAAGCAUUUAAGAACUUCGGUCGUUUUUGAAAAUUGGGGACCCAUUCGAUUGCCUUUCAUCCUAAAGAGGAAGUUAUCAAAAAAAAAUUGAAAAAAAAAAUGCAAAAAUAACAUGAGCAAAAUAAGAAAAAGAAAAUUAGCAAUAAUUUGUGAAGUUGUGGUUAUGAGUGAAUUAAGUUAGCAAGAAAGCACAAUGUUCUUUUAUAUAGUUUGAUUUCAGUUUCUGGUUUCUAUUUCAGAAAUAAGAAGUUAAAAAUUUCAGCUUCUGAUUUCUUCAAUUUCUCUAUUUCUGGAAUAGAAAUCUGUUUCAGAAAUAGAGAAAUUAAAUUGCGUUACCAAACUGAUUUCUAUUCUAAACCUGUUCCGCGGAACAAAGAAACAGAGAAAUCGAGGAAUAGAAAUUUUGUCAUGCGCGCCCUUCUUGGCUGGGGAAUAGUUUCUUUUCAGAAAUAGUUCUUUUCUAUUUCUAAUCUAGGAAACAAUUUUUAAGUAAAAUAAUGUGUUUGGUAACUACAUAAUUUUUUUACUUUUGAAAUAGAAAAAGAAUAGAAAUGCAUUUGGUACGAAACAGUUUCUUUUUUCUACUUAUUCGUUUUAUAUUCUUGCUCAUGAAUUGCCGGCCGCCGCUACAUAACCGCUGGCCGUCAAUCGCUAACCGCUACCGCAUAGCCCAUUGGCCACCGGAGGUAGACGGGCGGCCACAGGAGGUGGUGGUCGAUGGGCUGUGCGACGGCAGUCAGUGGUGAUGGUCGGUGAUCGUGUAGUGGUAGUGGGCGACAGGGGGCGACGGGGGGCGGUAAUGGUCGUUGGUGGCGAAGGCAGUUAACGGUUGGCUGGCGGCGGCGGACGGCGGCGACACCGGGUGGCAAGCAGCGGGCGAUGGGCAAAGGCGGUCGACAGUCGACGACGGUGGUGGUGGUGGCGGUCAGUUGCAGCCGGCUGUCAUUGGCGGUGGCAGUAGGUGGCGAUGGGCGGCGGCACCGGCGGCGGCGGGCGGUGGCUCCGAGCAGUUGAAGGCGACCGCAGCAAAAGAGAGGAAUAAACAAAAAUUAAAAAAGAAAAUUGGCUUAUUUCUAGAAAUUGUUCCCGGGAACAAGAAGCUACUUUUUUUUGUUUCUUAUUUCUGUUUCAAAUCUAUUCCCGGGCUACUUUUCUAUUCUAGAAAAUAGAAAAACAAGUUGGCGUUACUAAACAGAUUUUUAUUCUUUUUUUGUUCCGGGGAACAAAAGAACAGAAAUUGAGAGGAACAAAAAUGUCAUCAUACAGGCCUUGAGUGACCCUAAAUGAACAAUUCUACCAAACAAUUAUCAUAGACAUGCGCCAGUAUGAAAUAAAGGCCAAUCCUACUAACUAUCACAUAAACCAUCGCACCUUAUCACUCCAACCACUAACCUUGCUCUUUAUACCACUUAAACGGGGAUGUCACGCCCUAAUCCUCGAGUGCGUGCCCAUUCCUCGGUGGUCGAUUAAGUAGCGACGUCCUAAGACGCGUCGCUGACCCAUUCAUUUUAAUGUGCAUGCGGAAGCGAAAAAUUAAAUCCCUAGACAACAACAAGAUGGGAUAGAAAAGCAAGGCUACAAAUUUUCAAAAACCAUAACACACUUAUAUACACAUAUCAAACUAUGUCAUAUACAAUAUUAGCCAAUAUAUACAAGGUCUACAAAAAUGGGGGUAGAGUGCUAUAGAUCCUCUAAGCAUUCAAGUCUUUAAUUGAAUACUCCGAGGACCCUGGAUCCGAUGGACUCAGGUCCACCACUGAACCACUUGGAGGGUUGGCCAUGCCUUUUGUAAAAGCAAUUUCCAGCACCAAGAUAAGGAUCUCAGAUUCCAGUAUGGCAGAGCUCUUUGUUCAUUUCACUCACGACGAUACCACGAUCUGUAUUGAUGGGGCACCUUAUGGGAUAAACCCUCAUCAAUCCAGACAAUGGACCUCAUGAGCUCAUAGACCCAUCCCCUUAGGUUCCCAUGAAGCAGAAUAUAAGAUACUUACUCAGUGACCUUCUUCGACUGUUCGAAACGCUCGGGAGGUAUUGCCAUCUAAGGACCUAUAAAUGUUAUCCCACAACGGGGUGAGACGACGUCUCAACAAGUUCACCCCCUAAGUCCUGACUAGGAAGGAAAUACGCUCAAAAGUUGCCUAAGCACGCAUGAGAUAAAGAACUUACCUUUGCCUCAGUUCCUUCUUACAAGUCAGUACGAUUCAACCAUUCAACCAGUUAUUUCAAUUCAAUCAAUUCAACCCCAACAAUACUAUUUAUUAUUCAAUCCAAUCAAUACUAUCUAUCAUAAUAGUACCGACUAUUAAAUCACUUUGUUGAUACGAUAGUUGCUCACCCAAGCUAAUAUAGAUAGAUAGUAACUCACCAAAACUGAUAUACGCUCACCAAAACUGAUAGAGUAUACUGCUCACCGAAGCUAAUAUAUAAAAGCCCGCAGGCUGAUAUAGUACUAUUCUCAUUCCCUCAAAAUUUACCAUCUUUAUAAUACCCGGUAAAAAUAAUCGUGUGUGGAUAUAUGGUCGGCCUUAUCCAAAAUACAAUAUUUCCCCUUUCCAAAAAUCUCACCAUUUAAUAUAGUCCACAAAUAUAUUUUUGGCGUUAUAAACCGAUGCCCGAUAAUUUCCAAUUAAAUACUGAAAUUACUCAAUUUUGAAUUUUGAGAUAAAUAUCCAAAAUUAUAAUCAACACACAAUUUGCAGAAUUUAGCACUCAAUUAAAUAAAUCAACCAUACCACUGCGAUCAACACAAAAUUCUAAUCACCGGCUAUCUUGAUCUAAUUUCCGGAAAAUAAUAAUUAAUUAAAUAAUUACAAAAAUUAAUUAAUAAAUACCAAUAAAUGCAACUUAGGUCGGAAAAACCUAAAUAAAUACCGAAACAGGCCUGGAAAAUUUCCGAACCUAUCUAGAUAAAUAUUACAACUUAUCUAAUCUCUAAUUACGUUACUUUAACCACCUAACAUGCAUAAAUGAAUCAUUAAAUUGCUAAUCUGUUCUAACUAACCACUUAAUCCAUACUUAACCUAAACUAAUCAACCCUUAAGCAUAAUUAAUUCUCUAAGCGAAGAUUAGUAAGUAAUCUCACUGGUUGUGCAAUCCGAUGAGUUCACUAGGACGGUGAGGCAGAGAUGACCGAUAAACUCCGAAGCAUGGGCACCAAGCAAGGCCGGGAAAGGCUUAGAAGUGGGCCUUGAAGCCUACGGUGGGUUGCUGGAUUUCAGCUUCUAUGGUUGGGCCGAAGAGGCUGCUUAAAUGGCUAGCUUGGGUUGGAAACGGCGGAAACGGAUCAGUGAGGCUGUUGCGGGGUUGGGCGGCCAACGACGGGUGACGGCGGUGACCUAAACGGCAACCAUGACGGUAGGACGAGCUCGGGGUGGAAGGGGGCGAUGGCCAAGGCGCGACAAGGCCGCAAAAUGGCAGGACGUUCGCAUGAGCUCGGACGCGCAAGCAAGCAGCUCCGGCGGCGAGUGAUGGCGAUCCGGCAAGGCUGGAGACAACAAAGCUUUAGAGGGGGUCACUUGGUCUUAAUUUUGUCCCUUUGUCACCCUUGGCUUGAACACACCAUGGCUAGCUGGCUCCCACAGCCAAAUGCAGCCACAAAGCUUCCCUAGGAAGCUAAUGAGAUGGUCUAAAGGCUGAGGGCAUGGGGGGCUAUGAAUUUGCACUUGGUUUCUCCCAAUUUCACUUCAAUUCCCACUUAAAUUAAAUCAAUUCGGCUCACAUAAAUUCCACCGUGUCCUCAAUCAAAUUGACAAUUUUCCACACCAAUAAACCAACUUACAUCCCAAAAACGCGAUAAAAAACGGUACCCUGAAUUUUCCAGACAAAAAAUGGCCUCACUUUGAAAUUCCGCCAAAAAUCUCGGUUUGCAGAAAAAUCUUUGAAGGAUGAGUUGAUAUUCCUGAAAUGACUUGUGACACGAUAAAACUUUCAAGUUUUGAAAUCGGGUUCAAAUUCGUGGUUAAUUUCAAUCUGGUGCGAUUUUAGCGUGACCUAUUCUACCGAGUAACUUUUAGAAAUUGUUCGUGUAAUUGACCUGUGGUCGAUUUUAUUCGAGCCACCAUGUACCUCUUCGAUACAUUGACGACUCUCAGUUGUCAUGAAAAUCUUGAGGUUUCGAAUACGAAUAUAAGGUACCAAAACGAUAGAAAAAUUAGUCUAAUACCGAUCGACGAGAAUUUUGAAUCACCCACGUUUAACCACACAUCUCAGUCGAACCGACCUAUCUCUGAUCUCUAAUCAUUUUUUAACUGUGAUGUAAUGAUCUUUGCAGUUGAGCACGGUCAAGUAGUCGAUUCCCGGUUGAAUUCUCAAGUCCAUUGCAUUAAAAUUCCUUAAUGGCUUCCCCUGAUAAUCUAGUUAUCUCACGAGUGAUCAGCUCAGAGAAUAGCACUCUAGGCACAUCGAUGAAAGGCCCGAUUUAUUUAAUUGAAAAUAGAAUUGAAAUUCCAUGAUAUUACACCAAGGAUUGAAGAUGAAAGAUUUAAGGCAUGUUUGAUAGUGAAGGGUUCUAGUCAAAAGGAAUGGACCAAGUUUAAUGAAGUGUUCUCUCCAGUUAUGAAACAUAAUUUCAUUCGUGUGUCACUCACGUUGGUAGCCCUUUAUAAUCUAUAACUUAAGCAACUUGAUGUCAGUAUCGCUUUUUUGCAUGGGUAGCUUGAGAAGACAAUUUAUAUGUCUCAACAAGAGGAAUUCGUUAUUCAAAGUAAAGAAGAUCAUGUUUGCAAGUCGAAACAUUCUUUGUAUGGUCUCAAGCAAUCUCCAAGGGAAAGGUACAAGAGGUUUGAUAACUUUAUGUUGAGUUAUGGCUACUCGUGAAGUGUGCAUGACAGUUGUAUGUACUAUAAAAGACUGUAUGAUGGUUCUUUUAUUUGUUUGCUAUUAUAUGUGGAUAACAUGCUGCAACGAAAAACAUAUUAGAGAUCCAAAAUUUGAAGAGGUAACUUAGCAGGGAAUUUGAGGCGAAAGAUCUUAGAGUUUCAAGAAAAUUCUAGGUAUGGAAAUUCAUAGAGACAAAAGGGUUGGGAAGUUACACCUCUCACCGAAGAAGUAUAUUGAGAAAGUGCUUGAGCUCUUUGGCAUGAAGAAUGCUAAACCAAUAAGUACUCCUUUGGCGUCCCAUUUUAGGUUUUCAAUUUCUUUGUCACCUAAAACUACAAAAAGAUUAGAUAUCUCGAGUUCCAUAUUCUAGUACUAUGGAUAAUCUCAUGUAUGCUAUGUUUUGCACUCGUCCGCAUAUUUCACAAGUUAGUGUUGUGAGUAGGUAUUUGGCACAUUCGGGUAAAGCUCACUGGUAAGCCAUGAAAUGGAUUUUUCGAUACAUCUGAGUACCUCAGAUUUGGGUUUGGUCUUUAAUAGAUAUUGUGAUAUUGGACAUUCAGUUGUUGGCUUUGUUGAUUCUAACUAUGUAAGCGAUCUUGACAAAAGAGAUCUUGAUAGGUUAUGUUUUAUGCUUGUGCUUCACGAUUAGUUGGAGAGCAAUUUNNNNNNNNNNNNNNNNNNNNNNNNNNNNNNNNNNNNNNNNNNNNNNNNNNNNNNNNNNNNNNNNNNNNNNNNNNNNNNNNNNNNNNNNNNNNNNNNNNNNNNNNNNNNNNNNNNNNNNNNNNNNNNNNNNNNNNNNNNNNNNNNNNNNNNNNNNNNNNNNNNNNNNNNNNNNNNNNNNNNNNNNNNNNNNNNNNNNNNNNNNNNNNNNNNNNNNNNNNNNNNNNNNNNNNNNNNNNNNNNNNNNNNNNNNNNNNNNNNNNNNNNNNNNNNNNNNNNNNNNNNNNNNNNNNNNNNNNNNNNNNNNNNNNNNNNNNNNNNNNNNNNNNNNNNNNNNNNNNNNNNNNNNNNNNNNNNNNNNNNNNNNNNNNNNNNNNNNNNNNNNNNNNNNNNNNNNNNNNNNNNNNNNNNNNNNNNNNNNNNNNNNNNNNNNNNNNNNNNNNNNNNNNNNNNNNNNGUAAAUGAAGUUCUUUGGUUGAAGCGUUUAGUUACAGAAUUUGGUAUGAAGCAAGAGGGAGUCUCCUUUAUCUUGUGCAGUAACCAAAGUGCAAUCCAAUUAAACAAGAACAUGAUUUAUCACAAGAGGACAAAACAUAUCCACAUACGGUAUCACUUUGUACAUGAUGAGGUUGCUAAGAGUAUGAUUACAAUGAAGAAAGUAUCUACAGCAGAUAAUCUGGCAGAUAUGUUGACCAAACCAGUUCUUUUGAUCAAGUUCAAGCAUCGCUUGGACUUGAUUGGCAUUUUCGCCAUUUGAGUUGCUUAGGCGAAGUUGCUGGCAUUUCAUCCCUUGUUUCUGACACCUUGUAUGCUGCGCGUAGGGUUAGGGUUGUGCAUCAUUAAUUCUGUCGUCUUGGGGGUGACAUUGUGUGUUCAUUUUUGGUGGUGAGAGGAAGAGGUUUUAUGGUGUUUGGCAUAAUGCUUUUUGGAGAUUUGAAGAGAGGCUAUAAAACGAAUGUGUUUAUUAACACAUCUCCCACCUUAGCCUCCAUAUUAUUUCCUGUUUUGUUUUUUCCUAUUUUAUUGUUAGAUCUUUAGAUAUUGUGGCUCACAAGGUGGUUUUUAUAGCUUUUUGAUUGUACUUUUGUAUUCGUUAUUGAAGAUAGUGAAACCCCUCUCUCCCCGUAGUUUUUCCUGUUUUGGGUUUCCACGUAAGUCUUGCAUUUCGUGUGAUUUCAAUUUUCCUUUCAUCCUUUACUACUUGUGCUUCGAUUGGUGCAUCUUUUGGCCUUUUUUUUUUUCCGCAACAGGGAUUAUGUUGACUAUUAAUACACGGGCUUGCACGCCCUCGUAAAAAUUCAAUUAGGAAACAUACAAAUAUAAACAGACAACAAUGAUUUCGGAACGAUUAUGUCGGGUAUAGCUUGAACACUUGUAAUCGCUCCUCUGUCGACAGCGAAGCCACUGAGUCAAAUCCAGACGUUGACCUUAUCCAUGAACUUAUUGAAUUCAGAGAUCAUCCAAGCCUUUUCCCAGAGAUUUCCACAGCACGCAUGGAUUACAAACAAUGGAAUGUCGAAUGGGUGAAUCAACACCUGAUCAAGCGUCGGGAGAGAGUGGAUGCGAUAAUUUUCACCAAAAGCAGCGUCUGUGAAAUUUUGGCUUUUCACGGAGAGAGAGAGAGAGAGAGAGAGAGAGAGAGAGAGAGAGAGAGAGAGUUGGAGAGAGGAGGGAGAAAAUGGGCUGUUCCUUUUCGGAUGGGAGAGGAAGUCAACAAGCGAUGGGGGGACCCAACAAGGGCCCAUGGGAGGAGUAGGAGUUGGAGAAGGAGGUUACAAUGGCGGGCACGACGACGCCGUUGAUCACAUCAUCUGAGCUCGUAGUCAACCCGCUCUCUUCUCUCAAAUUGUAGCUCAUGAGUUCAUGUGAUUAUGCGCGCUUCUUUCCAUGUGACUCGUAAUAUGUUGUGGUGAUACGCUUCGUUUUCUUCAGACCUAAGUCAACAUUGUUCUUGGGAGAAGAAGAUUAAAAGUGCCUUAACUUGUGAAUGGCACUCACUUUAGUACCACAACUUUUCGCCAGCUUACUUAAGUGCCACUUUUUGAAAAGAAAUGAUCACUUGAGUGUCAACUCCAAUUUAAGUUGGCAUAUAGUCUUUAAACAAUGUCACGUAGUAAGUUAAAAAGUAAUCACUUCAGUGCUAGUCAUUGUAAAAAUAUAAUCACUUUAAUGCCAAUUUUUGUUUAAAAAAUGAUCACUUCAAUGCCAAUCCUAANNNNNNNNNNNNNNNNNNNNNNNNNNNNNNNNNNNNNNNNNNNNNNNNNNNNNNNNNNNNNNNNNNNNNNNNNNNNNNNNNNNNNNNNNNNNNNNNNNNNNNNNNNNNNNNNNNNNNNNNNNNNNNNNNNNNNNNNNNNNNNNNNNNNNNNNNNNNNNNNNNNNNNNNNNNNNNNNNNNNNNNNNNNNNNNNNNNNNNNNNNNNNNNNNNNNNNNNNNNNNNNNNNNNNNNNNNNNNNNNNNNNNNNNNNNNNNNNNNNNNNNNNNNNNNNNNNNNNNNNNNNNNNNNNNNNNNNNNNNNNNNNNNNNNNNNNNNNNNNNNNNNNNNNNNNNNNNNNNNNNNNNNNNNNNNNNNNNNNNNNNNNNNNNNNNNNNNNNNNNNNNNNNNNNNNNNNNNNNNNNNNNNNNNNNNNNNNNNNNNNNNNNNNNNNNNNNNNNNNNNNNNNNNNNNNNNNNNNNNAUUAUCACUUCAGUGCUAAGCAACACCUAAACGACGUCGUAUAGCAAGUUAAGAAGUGAUCACUUCAUUACCAAUCAUUGAAAAAAAUGAUAAUUCCAAUACCAAUCGUUAUAAAAAGUGAUCACUUAAAUGCCAAAAAUGCAACCUUAGAUAAAAAAUUUAAUUAUAAAAGUCUCGUAAUUUUUCUAGCUAGAAUUUUUCGCCAAAGCCAUUUAAGUGAUUGUUUUUCUCCUAUUUUGGCACUUAAGUGAGCCAGCAAAAAGUUGUGGCACUUAAGUGAAUGCCGUAAACAAGUUAAGGUACUUUUGGUGUCCUUCUCUCUGUUGUCCCUUAUUAGUCUUUUAUUCUUGCUUUUUCGUGGGAAUGAUUUAGCCAGAAAAAUCCUCUCUGUAGGAGGAUUGUUUGUAGAAACACUGGAAAGCAUUCUUCACAAUGUGGAUUCUCCUCAAACCUCACUAAUGAACUAACUGACUGAUGAUAUAUUAUUUGAAGAAAUUCUGUUCAUGUGUUCCCAACAUGCUUGUCUAAUCAGAGUUUUCUUUGUUGAACGUCAGAGGCAUAGCUUUAAUACCAAUUUGACGGGAUUAUUUGAAAGUGAAAUGCUCACAGCUCACACAAAAAAGAAAAGGAGAUAGAUAGUCUUUUCAUUUAAUUCAUCUUAACAAAAAUGAUUAUAAGACUCUCCUAUUUAUAGACUUGAUCACUUUUAUUCUUCCUCAUAAAUAUAGCAAGUGUUCUAAGGAGAUAAAAUCCUAGGAAUUUACAAAAUAUUGAUUACAACUCAAAACACGAACAGUCACGAUAUAGAAAUGUAAAUAGACUUCUUAAAAGAAAUGCUAUAAUGAUGACUCUUCUUCAAUGCUUGCACUUGUCUUGAGACUCGAACGGAUAUAUUAAUGAAUCAAUAACUUCUUUACAUGAUUGACAACAUCCAAUGAAUUUGGUUUAAUUACAAACACUUCCCCUUAAACGAAAUUAUCUUCAAUCAAUCAUUCUAAGUAAACUCUUGAACUUUCGGAAAGUGUAUAUUGUCAUGCCCUGAUCCUUAGGCAUGUGCACAUCCCUCGGUGGUCGAUUAAAUUUUGCGACAUCCCAAGACGCGUCACCGACCCAUUCGAUUUUUAAUGCACAAGAAGCAAAUAAAUAAAUCCCCAAGAUGGGAUAGAAAAGUAGGGCCGCAAUUUUUAAAACCACAACACACCUUUAUACAACACGGACUAGGUCAAUUACAAGUUAGUCUAUAUUCACAAAAGUUUACAAAGGUUGAUCCUCAAAACAAGCUGUCCUGUAACCAGCUAGUUGGACUCGUUCGCCGAUUCUUCAAUCUCCACCGAAGCUGGGUGUGACGUCGAGUUCUCCACUACGCCAUUGGGAGGAUCAGCUGGACCCUUGACUAGAAUAGUAUUAAUUACCACAGCGGGGAUAUCAAAAGUUCUAAGGGGACCUAGCUGGACACCAUUGGGAGCGUAGCAGAACCAUGCUCCGAAUCGAUGAGGGAACACGUAACAUGGACACUCUUCGACCCAAACAGUGGUCACUACAAGUUCAUAGACCCAAAAGCUUUCGGGAUCAGGAUAACUAUAGAUUCACUCAGUGACUCUCAUCAGCCAACCAUAACGCUCAGGGGGAUUCACCAUCUAAGAACCUAAAAAGUUAAGCCCACGACAGGGUGAGAUAAUGUCUCAGUAAGUUCACUCCUUAAACUCCGACUAGGAAGAAAAUACACCCUACCUAUGCACACACAAGAUGAAGGACUUACCUUUGCCUUAAUUCCUUCCUACAAGUUGGUAUGAUUCAUAUAUUCAACGAAUCACUUCAAUUCGAAUCAAGUCAUCAAACCAAAUGGAGUCAUCGAUCAAUUGAUCCAAUUGAUUCCAUAUCAUUAAUACCAUCUCUCAGUCAACCCAUUAAGCACUAUUUAUACAAUUCGAUCGCAUCAAGGACUGCUCACCCUAAGCUGAAGAUAGAAAGUAUAGCUCACCAAAAGCUGAUAUAUCAAGGCUCGUAGGCUGAUAUAGUAAACAAUAAUGCUCACCAAAGCUGUGCAAUACUUAAUAUCUAUUGUACCAAAUAAAAUAAUCGUAUGUGAAUACACGGUCAGUUUUAGCCAAAAUAUAAUAAUUUCAUUUUUAUAAAAACACACUAAAUAUAAUAGCUCACAAACACAUUUUUAGCGCUGUAAACCGACGCCCGCUAUUUUCUAAUUAAAUACUGAAAUUAUCAAAUUUUGGAAUAAAUUCCCAAAAUUACAAAUAUCAUUCAAAUAGCACAAAUUAGCAUCCAAAUAAAUAAAGGAAACACACCACUACAAUUAGCACGAAAUUCCGAUCAUCGGCUAUCUCAAUAUAAUUUUCGGAAAAUAAUAAAUAAUUAAAUAAAUACCAAUAAAUUCCAAAAAUACAAACUUAGGCUGAUAAAGCCUAAUUAAAUACCGAAACAGGCCCGGAAAAUUUCCGAACCUAUCUAGAUAAAUAAUACAACCUAUCUAGUUGCUAAUUACAUUACUCUAACCACCUAACAUGCACAAAUGAAUAAUUAAAUCACUAAUCAAUUCUAACUAAUCACAUAAUCCAUAAUUAGCUUAGACUAAUCAAUCAUUAAGCAUAAUUAACUUCCUAAGUAGAGUUUAGUGAGUAAACUCACUGGUUUUGAAAUCCGAUAAGUUCAUGGCAAUGGCAAGGCGGAGACAGGCGACAAACUCCAAAACGGCAACACCUUACGAGGUCCGAAAGCGGUCCAAAGCGGGCCUUGAAGCCCAUGGUUGGACUGGGUUGCUCAAUUCUGUCCAAGGCCGAGCGAGUUGGAACGAAGGCUGGAAACGGCAAGGGACAGGCGAACUGGGCUGUUGUGGUGGACGGCGGGUGAUGAUGGUGGCUCUGGCAGAUUGGACGGUGACAAACAGUGGUUGGCACAGUUAGACAGAGGCCUAGCUACGUUGGACAGGGGCGCGGGGACAAGCAAAUGCGAGUAGGGAGGCGGACGGCUAGGCGGGACUAGUUCGAGCCCACAGCUUGCAUGUGGUGUCUCCAGCUGGUCCGACAAACAUCGAUUGCAGGGGGGCUUGGCUUGGUUCCUCUAGUUUCUUUGGAGCUUCAAACACACUAAAAGUGGGGAAAGUAGGUCUAAGAAGAAGAUCAAGCAAGCUGCCCAAGUGGAGGGCCCCCUUGGCCUAAAUAUCUCUCAAAUGCUUAUUGCUUUGACCCCACUUGUCUUUAACUCUAUCCUCAAUCAUUUGCAGACCAUUAGCUUCCUUAGGAAGUUAUUGAAGUGGUCCAAAAGGUUGGGGAUUGGGGACCAAGGAACUACGAAUUUUGAAGUAUUUUUCCCCAAAUCCACUUCAAUUUCCUCUUGAAUUAAUUCAAUUCGGCCCCUAUAAAUUCAACUAUAAUUCCCUUGACCAAAUUGACAUUUUUCCUCAUCAAUAGAACUAACUGGCAUCCCUAAAAUGCGAUAAAAAAAACAAUCCCCUGAAUUUUCUAGACAAAAUCUUCGGAAGAUGAGUUAACAUUUCUAAAAUGACUCGUGACAUGGCAGAACUUUUAAUUUCUGAAAUUGGAUUCAAAUUCGCGGUUAAUUUCAAUCUGGCACAAUUUUAGCGUAACCACCAGAUAGUUUUCCAGAAUUUUUAGUGCAAUUGACUUGUGAUCGAUUUAUUUCGAGUCACAAUGUACAUCUUCGACACAUUGGCAACCCUCUGUGGUCGUGGAAAUCUCCAGGUUUCAAGUACGAACGUAGGGUACCCAAAACAAUAGAAAACUCAGUCUAGUAUUGAUUAACAAGAAUCUUGCAAUCAGGUGAAAUCACCCACACUUUGAUCACGUAUCUCAAUCGAAUCGACCUAUCCCUGAUCUCUGGUCAAUUUUGACAAUGCCAUAAUGACCCUUGCAAAUUAGUAUGGUCGAAUAGUCGAUUUCUGGUCGAAUUCUCAAGCCUAUUGCAUUUAUAUUAGUUAAUGGCUUCACCGGAUAAGCUAGUUAUCUCAUGAGCGGCCAACUCUGAUAAAAGAACUGUCGAUGAAAAGCCCAACUUAUUCGAUCGAAAAUAGAACCUGAAAAUCAGUUGGUCACAUAUACCUUGAGAGGUUUAGUAAAAAUGUCUACUACUUGAUCUCUCGGCUUCACAUGCAACACAUUAAUUUCAUUCUCUCUCACCUGUUCUCGAACAAGUGAUAUCAAAUAUCAAUAUGUUUGCUUCGUUCAUUAAAAACUGGAUUUUUUGCCAAAGCAAUAGUAGAAACAUUAUCAUAAAAAAUCUCUAUUGCUUUCCUUUGCUUCAUAUGAAUGUCUUUAAUUAGUCUUCUCAACCAUAUUGCAUGACAAACACAUGAUGAUGCUGCUACAUAUUCAGCUUCACAUGUCGACAGAGUAACAUUGGGGUUACUUCUUUUAUGACCACAUGAAAGCAGAGUUACACAAGAAAAAUACAAAGCCUAUAAUGUUUUUAUCAAUCAUUGAUGUCUCCACCAUAAUCACUAUGCAAAUAAGCUCUAAGUUGGAAAGCUUUAGAUUGAUAAUAGUGUAAGCCAUGAGCGACAGUUCCUUUGGUAUAUUGAAGUAUUCUCUUUACAACUUUAAGAUGAGAUGACUUUGGUUUCUCUGUGUAUUGACUCAUUAUUCCAACAUUGUACAUGAUAUCUGGUCUUAUACAUGUCAAAUUAUCUCAACUUCUAUCAAGCUUAUAUAUACAUCACUCACAUUGACACCAUCAUAAAAUUUNNNNNNNNNNNNNNNNNNNNNNNNNNNNNNNNNNNNNNNNNNNNNNNNNNNNNNNNNNNNNNNNNNNNNNNNNNNNNNNNNNNNNNNNNNNNNNNNNNNNNNNNNNNNNNNNNNNNNNNNNNNNNNNNNNNNNNNNNNNNNNNNNNNNNNNNNNNNNNNNNNNNNNNNNNNNNNNNNNNNNNNNNNNNNNNNNNNNNNNNNNNNNNNNNNNNNNNNNNNNNNNNNNNNNNNNNNNNNNNNNNNNNNNNNNNNNNNNNNNNNNNNNNNNNNNNNNNNNNNNNNNNNNNNNNNNNNNNNNNNNNNNNNNNNNNNNNNNNNNNNNNNNNNNNNNNNNNNNNNNNNNNNNNNNNNNNNNNNNNNNNNNNNNNNNNNNNNNNNNNNNNNNNNNNNNNNNNNNNNNNNNNNNNNNNNNNNNNNNNNNNNNNNNNNNNNNNNNNNNNNNNNNNNNNNNNNNNNNNNNNNNNNNNNNNNNNNNNNNNNNNNNNNNNNNNNNNNNNNNNNNNNNNNNNNNNNNNNNNNNNNNNNNNNNNNNNNNNNNNNNNNNNNNNNNNNNNNNNNNNNNNNNNNNNNNNNNNNNNNNNNNNNNNNNNNNNNNNNNNNNNNNNNNNNNNNNNNNNNNNNNNNNNNNNNNNNNNNNNNNNNNNNNNNNNNNNNNNNNNNNNNNNNNNNNNNNNNNNNNNNNNNNNNNNNNNNNNNNNNNNNNNNNNNNNNNNNNNNNNNNNNNNNNNNNNNNNNNNNNNNNNNNNNNNNNNNNNNNNNNNNNNNNNNNNNNNNNNNNNNNNNNNNNNNNNNNNNNNNNNNNNNNNNNNNNNNNNNNNNNNNNNNNNNNNNNNNNNNNNNNNNNNNNNNNNNNNNNNNNNNNNNNNNNNNNNNNNNNNNNNNNNNNNNNNNNNNNNNNNNNNNNNNNNNNNNNNNNNNNNNNNNNNNNNNNNNNNNNNNNNNNNNNNNNNNNNNNNNNNNNNNNNNNNNNNNNNNNNNNNNNNNNNNNNNNNNNNNNNNNNNNNNNNNNNNNNNNNNNNNNNNNNNNNNNNNNNNNNNNNNNNNNNNNNNNNNNNNNNNNNNNNNNNNNNNNNNNNNNNNNNNNNNNNNNNNNNNNNNNNNNNNNNNNNNNNNNNNNNNNNNNNNNNNNNNNNNNNNNNNNNNNNNNNNNNNNNNNNNNNNNNNNNNNNNNNNNNNNNNNNNNNNNNNNNNNNNNNNNNNNNNNNNNNNNNNNNNNNNNNNNNNNNNNNNNNNNNNNNNNNNNNNNNNNNNNNNNNNNNNNNNNNNNNNNNNNNNNNNNNNNNNNNNNNNNNNNNNNNNNNNNNNNNNNNNNNNNNNNNNNNNNNNNNNNNNNNNNNNNNGUUUGGUUUCAUACUCCAUUGGUGUAUUGGAGUGUACAAUUCUUCAUAUUAAAUAUUUCAAUGACAUUUUUUGCAUAUCCUUUUUGAUAAAUAAAAAUCCCAUUUGCACUUUGCUUCACUUCGAUGCCAAGAAAAUAGUUCAUGAGACCAGUAUCAAUCAUUUCAAAUUCUUUCACCAUCAAUGCCGUAAAAGCAUUAACCAUUGCAAGAUUAUUUCAUAAGAAACAAGGUCAUCGACAUAUAAACAGGCGAGUAGAACAUCACUUUUUUCUUGCUUCAAAUAGAGUGCAUGCUCAUAUGGACAUUGUAAGAAUCCAUUCACCAUGAAAUAUGCAUUGAUUCUGGAAUUCAAUGCUAUCAAUGCUUGUUUAAGCCCAUAUAGAGCUUUAUUUAACUUCUGUCACGCCCCGAUCCUCACACACGCGCACAUCCCUUACCUUUGGUCGAUUUUAAAAUGCGAUAUCCCAGGAUUAUAUAUCACCGACCCUUUCAUUUAUAUAUGCACAUGCGAAAGCAGUUAUAAAUCCCCAGAUAAUAAAACAAUGGGAUAGAAAAGCAAGCCAUAUUUUUCAUAGUGAAAAUUCACAACCACACCUUUUUACACACAUCUCAUAGUAUUCCACAAUACUACAUAUACGUAAGUCCGAUCUAACAUUUAUUUCACAUGCCAACAAGGUCUGAUAACACAGGAUGGGAUCUCAGUCCUCAUUCGGGUCGUACUUGAGGUCAUUCUCGGGGUCCUCCUCCAGGUACUCCUCUUCGCGUUCCUCAUCAAGGUUCUCCUUGUCAAAUUCCUCCUCCUUAGGCUCCUCAUUCGAGUCCUGAAAUGGUUAUUCAAUAACAACUGAGACAACGUCUCAGCAAGUUCUACCCCCUAAGACCCGAUUAGUAAACUAAUACACCUUAGGGCUGCCUAUGCACAACACGAGCCAGAGGACUUACCUUGGCCUCAAAUUCUACCUGCAUAUUAGCACAGAUCAAAUAGACACCCAAGCAAUCACAUCACAAAUCAAAUCAUCAAUCAAAUCGACCUAGUCGAUUACACGCCAACGAAACCACUCAUGGUCAUUUCCAUUCAAUCAAUCAAUCCACAACAUCAAAUCAAGGUAACGAUCAAUCAACCUAGCCGAUUACGUCUCAAUCAACCAUUCACCGAUCAUUCCAUUCAAUCAAUCAAUUCACAACAUCAAAUCAAAGCAAAGAUCAAUCGACUUGGUCGAUUACAUAUCAAUAAGACCACUUCCGAUCAUUUCGACUAUUCCAACUCAAUUCUCAAUUAUGAAUCAUUGUCCUUAGGACAACUUAUCUAUAGGUGGUAAUCACGGCCCCACCAAGCAACUUUCGAUAUUUAAUGGCUUUACGGUCCCACUCGACCCUUUCAAGAUUCAAUGGCUUUACGGUCCCACUCGACCAUUUCAAAGAUUCAACGGAUUUACGGUUCCACUCGACCAAUUCUCAAUCACAUAGCCAAAAUUGCAUUAUUUAGGAAUAUAACUUUAAAAUGCAUCAUUAAAUCAAUUCGACAAGAAUUAAAACUCAAAUAAAUAAAUGGACUGCUCCACAACAAUCAGCACGAAAUUUCAGUCAUCAGUCAUCCUGGUUGAAUUUCCGGAAAAUAAAUAAUUAAAUAAUUAAUUUCGAAAAUGAAAUAAAUAAACACAAUAAUUCUAAUUUAGCACAAUAUGAAGCUCAAUUAAAUAAACAGACUACGCCAUGAUCAUCAUCAUAAAAUCCCAGUCACUGGCCAUCCCAGUUAUAUUUUCAUAAAAUAAAUAAAUAAUUAAUUAAUUUUGAAAAUUAAUAUUUAAUUCCUAAAAAUUCCAUUUAGGCCCGAAUUGCCUAAUUAACACCCGAUAAGGGUUGGGAAAAAUCCCAUGAAACAUCCAAUAAAUACUAUAGGCAAUUCUCUAUAUCUAAGUACACUAACCAAACAACUAAUAUGCAAUGCAAUUAAUUAAUAAUCGCUAAUCAAUUCUAAUCUAACCACCUAAUUACACUUAACUAACACUAAUCAACAUUCAUGUAUAAUUAGCAAACUAAGAAGGCAUUAGUGAGUAAAACUCACUCAAUACGUCAGGAUCGACGCGAGGAUCGACUUUUCUCAAGGUGGGCCGAGCAUCCGGGCUCGGGAAGCCGGCCAAAAUGGGCCAAAUAGGUGCUGCCAUACCCAUUUCCGCACUUCCAUGUUCAUUGCUGGUUGGGGCGGAUCCGAGGCUGAGAUGGCGAUGCAAGGGCAGCUAGGGCCAGGCGAAGCUCCGGCGGGUCGAGAUGGUGGCGUACGAUGGCCGGAGGUGGCCAAACCGUGGCCUGCGUUGGCCAAAACAGAGUUGGAUAACAGCUCUGGAACAACGAGCUGGACGAGAGGGCAGUCGCGGAGCUGCAACGACGUGCAGUGUGAGUCGGCGACGAUGGCCUUGGCUUCGGUGGUGGCUACAACNNNNNNNNNNNNNNNNNNNNNNNNNNNNNNNNNNNNNNNNNNNNNNNNNNNNNNNNNNNNNNNNNNNNNNNNNNNNNNNNNNNNNNNNNNNNNNNNNNNNGAAUUUCCUCAAAUAGAAAAUUAUUAUUUCAUUUUCUUUCGAAUAAGCUCAUAGAUUCCCAAAAGAAUUUCAUAUUAGAGUACUCGGUUCUCACUUGCAUUUCUGCAUCCAAUUUCCCUCUUGAAUUUCUCUCAAAUGACUCUCAUAAAAUCAAUUGAUGUCUCACUUAUCAAAUUGAUUAUUUCGCUCAUCCAAGAAUCCCUCGUGCUUUUCAAUUUCACAAUCCCCAGCUUCAAUUGAACGAAAACGACCCUAAAUCGACUUUUUCCCAAAGAGUCUCAGUUGUUAGAAAAAUCUUCUGAGACUAAGUCGACAUUCCUAAAAUUUAUUGUGACAAGACAGAAUCUUCAAUUUCUGAAAUCGAACUUAGAUUGACAGUUAAUUUCACUCAAGCAUGUUUUUAGUGUGACCUAGGUUAUUAGGUAGUUUUCAGAACUUUUUAAGACAAAUGACCCGUGGUCGAUUUUCUUCGAGCCACGAUGAACCCACUCGACCUAUUGGCGAUUCUCAGUUGUUAUGAAAAUCUCGAGAAUUCAAAUACGAACAUAAGAUAUCAAAACGAUGGUAAAAUCAAAUUAGUACUAGUCGACGAGAGUUUUCCAAUUUAGUGGAGUCACCCAUGAUCGCUCAUUCAUCUCAGUCGAACCGACCUACCUUUGAUCUUAAUUUGAUUUUUAACUAUGUCAUAAUGACCUCUAAAGAUGACCACGGUUGAGAAAUCGAUUCCUAGUCGAAUUCUCAAGUCUAUCUGCCUUAAAGUCCUUAAUAGCUUACCCAACUAGUCUAGUUAUCUCGUGAGUGGCCAUCUCAGAUAAAAACACUGUAGUCGUGUCGAUGAAAUGCCCAAUUUAUCUAAUCGAAAUCCGAACCCAAAAAUCUGGAUGUCACAACUUCAGCACUUUGUCAUCAUGAUCUUUCACAAUAAACCCUUUGGGUUGUUCAACAUAAAUUUCUUCCUCGAGGAUGCCAUUUAAAAAUGUCAAUUUAACAUCCACUUGAUAAAUUAGCCAAUCAUUUUGAGCAGCAAUAGAAAUUAUCAAUUUAAUUGUUUCCAUGCAGAUGACCACGGCAAAAACUUCAUCAUAGUCGAUUUUGGCAUUUUGCUUGUACCCCUUCGUGACUAAUCUUGCCCCGUACCUUGUCACUUCUCCUUUCUUGUUCUUCUUGGCCUUGUAUACCCAUUUGAUUAUUGUCCUUCUCUCAUGUUUAAUUCUUCUCAAUGGCUUUAAUUUCUUCAUUCAUGGCUUUUUUCCAUUUUUCUUCUUUGGCCACAUCAUUGUAGACAAGUGGUUCACAAUUUGUAAGAUGACAUACAAGGUGAAGCUCAUCGGUGGCUUCAUAAAUAAUAGACAAUAUGAUAUCCUCGAUUCAAACCCCUAUCUCGAGCGCAAGGAAUGGACUAAGGAUUUGUAUGUCAAUAACAAGAAUGGGUUGUGAGUCAAUCUUAUGGAUUGUUCACAAGGCAACUAGCUUAUCAGAGUCAAUGCAACUUUCGAUUAGGGUUACAUUAGACCAUAGCGUUCAACCAUAAGGAUCAAUGUGGACGAUCAUAUGCUGUCAUAAGUUGAUCAAUAGACGGAUAUAGAUUGAUUCAGCUCGAGUAUAUUCCAAUCGCAGUGACUCCACACAGUCACUGUACCGUUCAUGAAUGACCCUAAUUCGAUUCCACGCAACCAUGAGCCAAGAUAAGUCGAUUGAUCUCACAUGAUUACAUGACAAUCGAAGGUCAUUCAUGGAUAAACCAAGCUCAAACAUAGGUCAUGCAUGGAACCUCAGAUAGGCGCCAAACUCAGUUUGGAUCUAGCCGCGCGAGUACAGCUGAUGCUGCUUAAUUAGCGUAGGUUGUGUUAAGGCCAAUUCCACUCGGAACAUAGCCACAAACCUUGGUUCGAUUAAGGGUAUCGAUCAUACAUUACCUCAAGAUAUUCCUGUCCCGUUAACACAGUAAUUAGAUAAUCCUUUUUAUUAUAUCUUGUCCUCUUGACUUUGGACUAAUUGAAAGUGAACUUGGAAGCCAAUGAGACCCCCUCACAUGCCUAAAUGGGAUAAACUUGUGGGACAAGCUGUCUUGUAAGGCUUUAAACCAUUCUUAGAAUUUUGGAGAUAGUUCAAAAGUGCAUUAAGUGGAAACAUGUGCUAAUUUGAGGAUAUAGACUUGAAUAGCCCUGAAGAUGAAAACCAGUUUAGCUUCUUAAGAUUAAAUUGAGAGAAGACAAAAUUUUGGUGGCAAUUCAAGAAGGGGUUGAGCCCCACUUUGAAGAAGACUAGGAGGAUGGACAAAUCUAGUUUGGGUAACAAGACUAGUUGCUCUUGAACUAAAACGGUAAUUGAGUCUUUAGAGCUUGGAGAACAAGCUUNNNNNNNNNNNNNNNNNNNNNNNNNNNNNNNNNNNNNNNNNNNNNNNNNNNNNNNNNNNNNNNNNNNNNNNNNNNNNNNNNNNNNNNNNNNNNNNNNNNNUCACGCCGCCGUUCAUCACUGUCAUGUCAUCUGCCAUGCCGUCGCCAUGAACCGCAAGCCACUGCCGUCCAUUUCUUGUUCCUGUCCCGAUUUGUGUAAGUGGAUUUCCUAAACGUCGCCUUAUAGGUUGACAGUAUGUAGUUUUUCUAUUUUGUCUGCAUUUUGCUUUCACAUUCACCAGGGAUAUUCUUGGUUGUUUUUUAUUUGAUUUUCACAGAAGGGUCUAACUUCUUCUUCUUUUGGAGUAAAAUGUCAACAACAUAUCCUAAUACUUGAUUUUCUGUCUUCUUAUGCCUGCAAAAAAUUUAGGAACAUCACAGCACAUGAUGUAUGCAUUUCUGGUUCAUGCCUGUAAAUUGUGUCUUCAGUAAUCAUGUGUUGCUGAAAUUACCUUAUGACUGGAAGACUCAUUUGUGCUGCAGAAAGCAUUUCUAGGACAGUCUUUGCAGUUCUGGUUGAUGCCUGUAAAUUAUGUCCUCAUUCUUUUUUUUUUCUUUUUUCUUUUUAAAUAACUUUCAACAACUUAUCUUAAAGUUGAUUUUCUGUGUUCUUAUGCUUAUAGAAUUUAAGACACGACAGCAUAUGGUGUAUGCAUCAAUGGUUGAUCUCUGUUAUUUGUGUCUUCAGUACUGGAGUGUUGCUGGAUUAACUUAUGACUGGAAGACUAGUUUGUGCUGCAGAAAACACUUUUAGGAGAGUCUUUGCAUGCAUAUGUUAUGCUAAUUUCGUUUUUACUUGCGUGCUUCACAUGAGGCAAAGGGUAGAAGUCCACCACAAGUGCCAUAACUUGGCACGCCGGGACACUUAGGUGCCAUAACUUCAAAACGGUACACUUAAGUGCCACUUUUUUUUUUCGAGUGGGACACUUAAGUGCCACCUCCGGCGACCCUUGCUGGAAAUCCUACGUGGCAAUAUUUUAUUAUUAAUUUUUGCCUACGUGGCUCGCCGGAGCUCCAAAUCAGCAUAAAAAUUAAAAAAAUUAAAAAAAAAAGAGAAAAUUUUAAAAAUUUUAAUUUUAAAAAAUUAAAAAAAAAAUUAAAAAAAAGAAAAUUUUAAAAAUUAAAAAAAUUUUAAAAAAAAAGAAAAUUUAAAAAAUUAAAAAAGAAAAUUAAAAAAGAAAAUUUUAAAAAUUUAAAAAAAUAAGAAAAUUUAAAAAAUUUAAAAAAAAAGGGGGGGGGGGGGGAGGGAGCUUUUCUUCGCGGCCAAGAAAAGGAGAUGGAGAGAGAGGGUUAUGGUCGGCAAAAGAGAGAAAGCUUUUACAAAGAAAAACUGAUAAAGUGAUCUGCAAUAGAAAAGACAGAAAAGAAUGAGAGAGAGAUAUUGCUGGGCCACGAGUAAAAUGCAUUGAAACUUUGCCUGUGCAUGAAACUUCCACCAGUUGAAGCGACGACCAAAUAAAAAAGACGAUGACCAUAAUGCAUGUUUACUGGUCUAGCGGUGAAUUACCAUUNNNNNNNNNNNNNNNNNNNNNNNNNNNNNNNNNNNNNNNNNNNNNNNNNNNNNNNNNNNNNNNNNNNNNNNNNNNNNNNNNNNNNNNNNNNNNNNNNNNNNNNNNNNNNNNNNNNNNNNNNNNNNNNNNNNNNNNNNNNNNNNNNNNNNNNNNNNNNNNNNNNNNNNNNNNNNNNNNNNNNNNNNNNNNNNNNNNNNNNNNNNNNNNNNNNNNNNNAAUUUUCUUAAUUUUUUAAAACUUUUAAAUUUUUCUUAAUUUUUCUUAAUUUUUUUUAAUUUUUCUCUUUUUUUAAUUUUUUUUAUUUUUUGAAUACUUUAUAAUUUAAUUAAUUUUUAUAUUAUUAUUUACACGUAGACACGAAACGGCGUCGUUUUUGCGUUUCUCCGCCACGUCAGCGUGCAAAACGACGCCGUUUUGGACUAAACUCGCCAGAAAAUUGCCACGUCAGCCAUUUGGCCGGAUUUUCGCCGGAGUGGCACUUAAGUGUCCCAUUUUACUCCAAUGAUGGCACUUAGGGGUACCAUUUUAAAGUUAUGGGGGGGGGGAGUGUCCUGGCGUGCCAAGUUAUGGCACUCCAGGUGUCCCGCACUCUGAGGCAAAGUUCAUCUACCAAAAUUUCUGCCGUAGCACUUCAACUAAUGUCAAAACUUGCAUAUAUAUACUCUUGAUCCAGUUUCAGGCUAUGCGAGAACCUAAACUGAAAUAGUUAAGUAGCUUAUAAUUACAGUAUAUGACUAAUUCCAGGAGAUUUCUGCAUGUUUGUGUUUCCUCCUUUUUUUUCCCCAAAUUUGAGCUUGCUUUUAAAGGUUUCUGAAUUUUGAUCAGUGGACUCUUGCAGAGUGAUUUAAUGGCAAUUGUGUACUUGAGAAAAAGAGGUGGGGUGCUUCAGGAACUUGGGAGGACAGAAGUUUAUAUCAAUUAGUUGGAUCCGGCAUGGAUUGAAACGAUUUCUUAGGCUUGUCAUCUCGAGACUAUUCAACAUUUGAUAUGAGUUUUUCCAACUAUGGCAAAGUAUAACUCAUCAGUCUCUAUGUUGUCUUAAUUGCAUUAUGUAAAUCCAUUUCUUUGUUUGUUAUUAUCUCUUUUCAGCUUUCAUGUAAAGUAUCAUUUCAUAAUGUUAUUUCACAACAUUCCUGUAAAGGCAUGUUGGUUGUUUUAGUCAUUUCAUAUCUUUUGAUAUUCUCUUCUUUGGAUGUUAACUAAUGUUAUUUCUUUGUGCUAUCUUUGGCUCUUUUGGGUUUUUCCCCUCUUAAUUUUAUGUGCGAAGCCAUGUGCUGUGCAGGGCCUUUCCUUGUUAUACAUUAACAGUGUCUCCUACUGCAAUUCUAUGCUCUGUCACAUUUUAGUCAUUCUUCCUAGAGGUCUAACUCAAAAUUAUAUAAAAAUGGAGACUAUUUGGAGUAAUAUAGGGAGUGGGCUUAGAUCGAUUACCAAGUUUCUCCAACUUAUAUAAUAGCUACUUUUACUAUGGUUAUGGAUGAACUAAAUUUUUGGUUUGGUCCUGAAGUAAGGAAUAUAUUAAAGACAGAUGCUCAUCUCUUUUCUUCCCUUUGAUGUUCAAGUGGGGUAGGACGAGACUUUUCUGGGUUGAUUGGCUUUAGCUUUCUUGGAUGCUACAUAUUGAAAUGCCUAUGGAAUUCGGGAAAAGCAAAAUGGAUGCAUUGGACGAUCUUAUGUUUGCGUAGGAAUUUGAAUGUUAAACGGUAAUUAAGUAAUUGCAAUCAUGCUUAUUUGGGCAAUAUAUAGUAGUCCAUUCAGAUUACCUGGGUUUCUAUUCGCCUUUUGCCUUUAAAUGUAAGGAAGAAGAAAUCUAAAUGGUAUCUAUUAAUCAGGAGGUUUGCUGGCAGACGUUAAAGCUAUAGGGCCAAGAGUUUCUAGGAAAAGUUGGCUGUGUGCUGUCUAAAACCUUCAUCUUCAUCUUAUGAAUAAAAAAAGGUACAUGUGCAUUUUUUGUAACACGACUGAUAGUAAGAUCUCGAACUACCCAACUAAUAUGAUGCAUUUAUUGGAAUAUAGAACAUAAUAAUUAGAAGCGGAGGUUAAUAACUCCUGAUUAUUUAAGAUGCCAUGAUGCCAUCCAAUUUUGGCCAGUGCACAUGAUCAAAUCUGUUAAUAGCCUUUUUCUUUUUUUUUGGAUUUGCUUAGGUUAAACCCAGGACUUUUGCGUCCCCAUCCCACCUUUUUUGGGAUUUGCCUAGGUUAAACCGAGGACUUUUGCGUCCGCACCCCUCCCUUCCUUGCCACCAAUGGCUAAUAGAGGCUAUCUACUGGGAAUUGUUUGAAUCUGGAUUUCAAGACAACACACUUGCCACAUUUCAAAUAUGCAAAUCAUAACCACUUGACUGCCUUAGUGGCUACCCUUCCCAUAUGAAAAGGAAGAGAUGAGGAGUUCGAUUUCUCAAUUCUCCAAAGGAACUGGAGGUGGAGAUUUUGAGUUUUAGGUGUGAGGUUUAACUCUCACGCUCUGCAAAGAGAUAGCGCAAAAGUUUAAGAUUGAGUCGAGAGUUAGAGUAAGACAUAUCAAUAAUAAAAUAAUAUAUAUAUAUAUAUAUAUAUAUAUAUAUAUAUAUAUACAAACCAUUACUCCGAUGAUUUCUCUUAGCGAUAUCACUAUGACUAUGACCUUGCAAAAGGUCUAAGGAAAAGUAAUAUGCUUAGGUCGACUAGCACUAGAGAGCAAGCAAAUUAUCAAGAAUGUUGUAGAUUAUGGAGCCAUGAAAUUAAUGUAUAUCAUUGGAGAGAAUCAAGUUUAAGAUAGGAUUAAGUAAUCCAAACAUCUUUGUGCACUUAUCAAAAGUGUAAUUCAAACUAUCGUGCCUACAAGUGAACAAUUUACUAAUGCAUGAUCCCAAGCGACCACCACUUGAGUUCGUGCAACCUCAACAAAGAAAAUAAUCAAAGACUUCUCUGUUCACACAUUAUCGAGAGACCCAAUUUCUCGAGUAUAUAUUGUCUGCUUUUUGUCCCUAGAGAAACAUGGUGUGAAAGUAUUGAAGUGUAUGCUCUCAUUGUCUUGACCAAACACCAAUUUAUGCAUUUACGUGCUGGCUCAAAUAAUUUUGCCAAUUUUACCUUUAUUGUUAAGAAUAUGUUAAAAAAACCAGCAUUUGAGAGGCCAACAUGUCACGCCUCGAUCCUCGAGCGCAUACCCAUCCCUCUGUGGUCGAUAAAAUAUUGCGACUUUCCAAGACGAGUCGCCGACCCUUUCAUUUUAUUGCACAUGCGGAAGCAACUAACAUAUCCCCUGACAAUAACCAUCUCAGGAUAGAAAAGCAGGACAACACAUUCACAAACAAACAUGUUUUUAUAAACAUACUGAGUUAUGUACAAAAGCCUAUACCCAAAAGAUUUCAAAAGACUGGCUCUCAAAAAGAGAUUGUCCUAUCUGACCUACACUUCAGGUCACCUCAGCUCAGCUCCAGGUCCUCCCUCUACGAUCCUGAAAAUUUAAGCCCACGACGGGGUGUGAAAUAAAUCUCAGCGAGUUCAUGCUCUAAGCCCCGAUUAGGAGGGUAAUACGCCUAGAAGCGUCCUAACCACACAAUCACGGAGGCUUAUCUCGUCUCAGACCCUUCCUAUAGGUCAGCAUAGUUCGUAUCACAAUGCAUAUAACAAUUGAAAUGCCUUGUCAACUCAAUUAAUCAUAAUGAUCCCGAUUAUAAGGCCAAACAGUUAUGACACGUUCCAUACCAUGCCACACAGUUUUGUCUCAUAAUUAGGCGCAUCAAACUCAAACAACCAUGCGUUCCAAAUGUUAAUUAAGCCCCUCAAGGCACAUUCGACUCCCAUGUUCGGUUGUCUACUGGCGUAGCCAAGCAUCGUCUCUUCCCCAUUGAGCACGGCUACGUCUCUCAUAGACGGCUUUCCCGAAGGAGCGUAGGUUUAGAAUCUAUUACGACCCGAUACCCUAAUGCAUGGGUAACCCGAAAAGGGAUUUAGUAACGUCCGGUGUAAUUGCUCGAGAUGGGUUCUCUUAACCAACACAUGACUAAUCAAUCUCGGCCCAAGACACUGUGCAUUGCACUCAGAUUCCUCAAUUAAAAUAGUAAUCCUAGCCUAAUUUCUUUGUAUUAAAAAUACCCAGUGAAAAUAAUCAUGUGUGGGUACACGAUCAAAUUGGACCUAGAAAAUUCAUAACCUCCAAUUUUAAAAGUCCACUGAACCAUUUUUGGUGUUAAAAUCCGACACCUGGGAUUUUCUAAAUAAAUGUCGGAAUUCACAAAUUUUGUACUCAAAAUUCCAAUCAGCACUCAAUCUGCACAAAUUAACAUCCAAUUGCAUAAAUUGAACACACCAUUGCAAUCAGUACGAAAUUUCGGUAACCGGCUAUCCCAGUCUAAUUUCCAAAAAAAAAUUAAUAAUUAAAUAAAUUACCGACAAUUAAAUAAAUUACAAAAUAAAUAAUAAAAGCACUCAAUUAAAUUAACCUAAACUAAUCGAGCUAAUUAAUUGAACUAACAAUUAAAUCUAACCAUUCUACCUAAUUCAAUCUAAAUACACUAAUUAUAUGAACUAACUAAUUCCUAACUAAAUCCACCUAACUAUUCUAAUUUAACUAACUAUAUACUUACUCUAACUAAAUUACCCUAAGCUUAAUUAACUUAAAUAAUCUACAAAUUAGCUAACUAAUCAACAUCUAAGUGUCAUUAGCCUACUAAUUAGGGGUUAAAACGCAAUUCACCGGUUUAACACGAAAGCUGGUUCACGACGAUGGUGGCGCGACGGAGGCCGAAACCCGAACUUUCGGCGACGCCAACAGAGGCUCGGACCGGGCCGAAAAGGCCUUGCAAGCCCACAGCAAAUUUGCUGGGCUUGGCUGAAUUCAUGGGCUGAAGCCCACGAGCUGGACCUGGCCGAACUUGCGGGCUUCAAAUGGGCUGGGCUUGCGGACAUGAAGGCUGGAGACAAGCGGGCUGCAGGCGUGUGAGGCGGUGGAGACGAAGACACACGGCUGAGGUUGCUUCGGUCAACCACGUCUUCGCUGGAGAAGAGACUUGACCGGUGGAGGGUCCUUCAUGGACAUGUGGCAGCAAACAUGGAGGUUCGGUGGAGCAGAAUUGCUGGUGGAGCUGCACUCGGUCGACGAUGCUGAUGGUUGACCGAGCUGAAGAGAAGACGCGGACGUGGCAGAGAAGCGGCUGUCUUCGGUGGGGCUGGAGACAAGUGAAGGUGGAGAUGCUGGCGGUCUGUGCUAGCGUGAGUGGAGAGGGGUCAACAAUUGAAGGUUGCAAGGGAAGUUUGACUCAUGGGAGACAAACGAUAGUGGAGAUGGGGCCGUAUGGCAGCUUGGGAAUUCGGUGGGGGUGGCUUCGGUUGCAGAGGAUGAACGAAGAUGAAGACGCAGGGGAAAAGAAAUGAAAACGGGAGCAGCUGGGUGAGUGCGACGAAAAGAAAAGGAGAUGGGCAGCAAACGUGAAAGGGAAGCUUAGAGAGAGAGGGGCAAAAGUCAAACAACUUAUCUAAUUUCAUAAAUGCUUGGUCCCCCAGUAUUCAUGCAUAUCUCCAUGUCCCCAGUUACUUUCUAGCAAAUUAAAUCCAUAAAAUAAGCCAACUGUUGCCAAAAUUCAAGCCCUCCUCCUUAGCUCCGAAUUUCCUCAUUUUGACUCUAAUUUCUUUAUGAAAUUCCCCAAAUCGAUGUCCAAUUUUGUUGAAGAAAAAGCCCACAAAAUUUUUAUAAGUUCCCAUCACCAAAUAGCUCGGCUUGGAAGCCCAAAUUCCCUUCGACUUGGCCCAUCCGAAUUUCCGGUCGUUUUCCGAAUCGUCCAAAUUGAUUUUCCAAAAAAAAUCUCGGAAUUGCUGAAAAUUCUUGGGAGGAUGAGUUGACAUUCCUAAAAUGAACCGUGAAACAACAGAACUUUCAAUUCCUGAAAUCAAGUUCAAUUUCGUAGUUAAUUUCAAUCUGACGCGAUUUUAGCGUGUCCUAAUCUACCAUAUAGCUUUUAGGAAUUUUUAGUGAAAUUGACUCGUAGUCGAUUAUUUUCGAGCCACGACAUAUAUCUUCAACACAUUGGCGACUCUCGAUUGUCGUAAAAAUAUCGAGGUUUCAAAUACGGAUGCAGGGUACGAAAAUGACAGAAAAAUUGGUCUAGCAUCGUUCGAUAGAAAUUUUACAAUUAGGUGGAAUCACCCACGCACUAAUCACAUAUCUCUAUCGAAUCGACCUAUCUCCAGUCUCUGAUCGAUUUUGACGGUGCCGUAAUGACCAUUGUAGAUUAGCACGGUUGAGCAGUUGAUUUCUGGUCGAAUUCUCAAGUUUAAUGCAUUUAGAUUCCUUAACGGCUUCACCUGAUAGGCUAGUUAACUCGUGAGUGGCCAACUCAGAGAAAAAUGCUAUAAUCACGUCGAUGAAAAGCCCAUUUCAUCUCAUCGAAAUCAAAUUUGAAAAUUAGGAUGUCACAUGACAUGUCAUUAAUCUUUCAUGGUCUAAUAAUGCUCUCUUGGAUAGAUUAAGUCUAAUUGCACGUGAUGGAUGGGGGAAGGAAACUGAGGGGCCAAUAAUUUAAUGAAUAGAUCAUUCAUCCAUUAAAUACUUGAUGUCAAUCUGUAUCCGUGUUAUUGUUUGGAAAGGGAGAUCCUUCAUUUAAAGGUAAUAAUCUGUCUAUUUGACUUAUGCCUAUGUUUAAUGUAGAUAUAACAUUGUAAUAAUUUAAAUGUGAUAAUUAAAAUUUUGAGUAAGAUAUUCAUAGUUACAAAUCUAGUAACUUAAUAAAUCCUUUACUCAUUAAAAUAUAUACUUUCUCUCUUUUUUAAUCACUUUGAAUUUUUAAUUGUGGGCAUUGUCUCAUUUUUUUUGGCACAUGCAUAACUUGCACUCUUUUUUUCUUCCGUGAGAUUGAAUGAUAAUUUCAGCCAUUCAAAUAAGCAUUGGCAUUUACUAGCUGGCUAUAUCAUGAAGCUAUCCAGGUGAAGUAAAUUAAAGAUCAAAAGAAAAUACACUUCAAAAUCUUAUCGAGGAAUUCAAAAGCAAACUCACACCCUUGUGAUUGUAUUAACUAUCAUGCUAGUAGCACUCCAUCCAUCUAUCAAAGAGAGAUACGAAAAAGGAGAGAGCUUCAACGGGGAGUGUGAACUCAACACACGAAAUUUCAUGCUCAAUCGUCGAGUAAUCACAUGUUCUCGCACGUAUUCAAUCAUUAAACAUUCAAAAGAAAGACCAAGAAACAACGAUGUCCUCCUCUCUCUCUCUCUCUCUCUCUCUCUCUCUCUCUCUCUCUCUCUCUCUCUAUAGAGCGAUUCAGAGAGUCAAGAUCCAAAAUUUGACCUUAUCCAUCAACUUAUUGAAGAGCCACAAUGGUGCAUUUCUUUCAGAAUUAUGAAAGCCCAUUCGGAAAAUGCAAAGUAAUUUAACCUAAAAGACUUUAAGCAAAUGUAAAGGCCGUUUAGUAAACUGUGCAGUGAGAAAUAACUUUGAGAGAAAUGUUAUUUGGUAGAAAACACAUUUGAAAAGCCCUUUGAAUGAUUAAUAUUAGUUUCUUUUAAUUACAUUUGUUUAAAAUUGAAAAAAAAAAUAAUGUAUGUAACUUUUUAAAUAUAAAUUUUGACAAUAAUACUAAAAAAAUCAAAUACAUAUAUAAUUUUUUUUUAAAAGGCCAAACCCUUCAUUGGAGUUUUUUAAUUUUUAUUUGCUUAAAAUUGAAAAAAUAAAUAAUGUAUGCAACUUUUUAAAUAUAAAUUUUGACAAUAAUGCUAAAAAGAAAGAUCAAAUACAUAUAUCUUUUAUAUAUAUAUAUAUAUAUAUAAUUUUUUUUAGAAAAGAUCAAAUCAUUCAUCAAAUUUUUUUAAUUUUUAUUUGUUUAAAAUUGAAAAAUAAUGUAUGCAACUUUUUAAAUAUAAAUUUGAAAAUAAUGUUAAAAAAUCAAAUACAUAUAUAUAAUUUUUUUUAAAAAAACCAAACCCUUCAUUGGAAUUUUUUAAUUUUUAUUUGUUUAAAAUUGAAAAAAAAAUAAUGUAUGCAACUUUUUAAAUAUAAAUUUUGACAAUAAUGCUAAAAAAAUCAAAUACAUAUAUAUAAUUUAAAAAAAAAAAGACCAAAUCCUUCGUCAAAAAUUUGUAAUUUUUAUUUGUUUAAAAUUGAAAAAAUAAUGUAUGUAACUUUUUAAAUAUAAAUUUGAAAAUGAUGCUAACAAUCAAAUACAUAUAUAUAAUUUUUUUUUUAAAAGACAAACCUUUCAUCGGAAUUUUUAAUUUUUAUUUGUUUAAAAUUGAAAAAAAAAUGUAUGCAGCUCUUUAAAUAUAAAUUUUGAUAAUAAUGUUAAAAAAAUCAAAUAUAUAAAUAAUUUAUUUAAAUAGACCAAAAAAUAUUAAAUUUUUUAGCAUUAUUUUGCCAUUUAAAAAAUUAAUAACGAGAGUAAAAUAAGAAAUUUGAAGAAUGAGUAAUGAUAGUUUUGGAAAAAAAAUAAUAAGUUUUAGAAUUUUAUUAAAUGCUGAAAGUUCAAAGCUAGUCACUACUAGCAUUGGGCUUUCUGCCUCUCCAAUAUUGGCUGCGUUUGGUUCAGCAUUUGCAAUGGGCUUUGAGUCCAAUGCAAAUGCUAAAAGCCCAAAGCUAUUUUGGGAAAAUGCAGUUGUGUUUGGUAAAAAAAAUUUGCAAAUGGACUUUGAGUUGGAUGUGUGUUUGGUAAAAAAAACUUUCGCAAGGGGCUUUGAUGGGUAUUAUUUUUUCUUUUUCUUUUUUUUUUUGAAAAUUCAGCUAAACCCUUCGCCGGACCGGCGAAGGGCUGCGGCCGUCGACUAGCUAAAUCUGGCACCGGCGGGCGUCGGCUGAGGUCACCCAACCUCCGGGGAGCUCCUGCGAGGAGAACAAAAAUGAUUUCAGCAUUGCCAAGGACUCCACUUUCAAUUGAAAGCUCCUUGAGGAAGGUGCCAAAACCCCCUCUCUUUGGGUGAAUGGGGUUUGGGGGACUGGAAGGGCUUUCUAAAUGCCCAUCCAACGCUCGCAUUGGGCUUUUACUUUAAAGUUACUUCAAAUGGUUGUGAACUAUUCAGCUUUUUCCCAAUGGGCUAAGAGACGGAAACGCCCCUAGGGUACUGUACGCAAUGCACCCCAGUAUUUAGCCCGAGGCAAAUAAUUGACACCGGAAAGUCAGCUUAUGAUGGUUAUUUUGAGAGAGAGUAAAUUAGGUAAAGAGCCAGUUUGNNNNNNNNNNNNNNNNNNNNNNNNNNNNNNNNNNNNNNNNNNNNNNNNNNNNNNNNNNNNNNNNNNNNNNNNNNNNNNNNNNNNNNNNNNNNNNNNNNNNUAGUUUUUUUUUUAAUUCCAUCUGUUUAAAUUGCAAAAAAAAAUAACGUAUGCAACUUUUUAAAUAUAAUUUUUGACAAUAAUACUAAAAAAAAUCAAAUACAUAUAUAUUUUUUUUUAAAAAGACCAAAACCUUAAUUGGAAUUUUUUAAUUUUUAUUUGCUUAAAAUUGAAAAAUAAAAAUAAUGGAUGUAACUUUUUAACAUAUAAAUUUUGACAAUACUGCUAAAAAAAAUCAUAUACAUAUUUAUAUAAUUUUUUUUUUAUAAAAAAGACCAAAUCCUUCGUUGAAUUUUUUUAAUUUUUCUUUGUUUAAAAUUGAAAAGAUAAUGUAUGCAACUUUUUAAAUAUUAAUUUGAAAAUAAUGCUAAAAAAAUCAAAUACAUAUAUAUAUAUAUAUAUAUAUAUAUAUUAAAAAAAGACCAAACCCUUCAUUAAAUUUUUUUUAAUUUUAUUUUUUUAAAAUUGAAAAAAAAAUAAUGUAUGCAACUUUUUAAAUAUAAAUUUUGACAAUAAUGCUAAAAAUAAAAUACAUAUAUAUAUAUAUAUAUAUAUAUAAUUUUUUUUAAAAAAAAAAAGACAAAAUCCUUCAUCAAAAUUUUUUAAUUUUUAUUUUUUUAAAAUUGAAAAAAUAAUGUAUGUAACUUUUUAAAUACUAAUUUGAAAAUAAUGCUAAAAAAUCAUAUAUAUAUAUAUGUGUGUGUGUGUGUGUGUGUGUGUGUGUGUGUGUGUGUAUUUAAAAAAGGACCAAACCCUUUGUCGGAAUUUUUUAAUUUUUAUUUGUUUAAAAUUGAAAAAAAAAGAAUGUGUGCAACUUUUUAAAUAUAAAUUUUGACAAUAAUGCUAAAAAAUCAGAUAUAUAUGCUAAAAAAGAUCACAUAUAUAGAUAAUUUCUUCUUAAAAGACCAAGAAUAUAUCUAAUUUGUUUUAACAUAUAUUGAUGGCAUCUAAAAAAAUAGGCAAAAAUAAGAAAUUGUGAAGAAUAGGUGAUGAUGAGUUUUGGAAAAAAAAAAUAGGUUUCAGCAUUUGGCUAAAUGCUGAAAGCUCAGAGUUAGUUUCUGCUAACAUUGGGCUUUUAACCUUCCCAAUGCUGACUUUUACUUGAAAGCUACUUCAAAAUGGUUACCAAACGGUACAGCAUUUCUCUAAAAUCCCUUGACGCACCUUCGGAUAAGGAACAUCAUAGCCUCGAUAGAGACGUCACAACCAACCUCACAUGAUUUAGUGUUACUGUCAACUAAAAUAAAGGAAUAGAGAGAGUGGGUGGGUGCCACAAUUUUCACCAGAAGCAAUUUUUAAGAAAACAAAUCCAAAGGUAAAUAUUCAAGCAAUUCAGAAUACUCUGCGUUGAGUAUGGAAAAUGGAAAAUAUGGAGAUAUCCCCUAUAGCCCAAGGCAUCUUUGAAUUCCAAUUUUGGUCGGAAACAGACAGGGAUAGGGUUCUUCAACAGGGUCCCUGGUCUUUUGCAAAUCACUUACUCUUGUUGAAUUCAUGGGAGCCUAAUAUACCUCCUGCAUGUUACAAUUUCAAAACCUGUGAAUUUUGGGUGCAUAUACAUGGUCUGCCAAUUGAAUGGAUAACAGAGAGGGUGAUAACAAAAGUGGCUGGGGAAAUAGGCAAUGUCUCAGAGGUUAAGAUUGAAUCUAGGGGAUAUACAUCCUACAAGAUAGGAAAGGCUAGAGUCAAGAUAGACAUCUCGAACCCUCUGAUUUCAGGGUCGAUAUUUAGCAACAGAGGAAAGAAAUUAUGGCUGGAUUUCAGAUAUGAAAGAUUGCCUCACUACUAUUACUCAUGUGGGCGCCUAUGAUAUUAUUCUCAAUACUGUGAGGAGGGUCCUUUUACUGAGGAGAAGUUUAAAAACAUUAAAGAUUUACCCUUUGACCCUUGGUUGAAGGCAGAAGUUAAUGAAGUUAGCCCCUAUUGGGACCUAUUUUACAUGAAGUUGAUUGAAGAAUUGAUGGAAGCAGAAGCCAUACCUGAAACACCACUGGAUGCAGCACCUAUUGUGGUGUAUAAGGGCAACCCAACAGAUUUGGAGAAUAUAAGCACCAGCAGGGCAGACGAACGUGGGAAGGCCAAGAUGAAGGAGCCUAUGUCUUGGGAAGAGGAUAUAGGUGUGCUAAAUCCUUCACAAGAACUGGGAAAGAGUGGAGGUGUAUCUUUAGCAAGUAAAGGAUCACUAGAAGCUCGAAACCUAAAAAUAUGCAAAAACAUGAAAAUGCAUGUUAGUAAAAAAAAAAACAGAAGAGAUAUUCUCCUUAUGAAGUGCAGCAAUCCAACAACAAAAUCUUAGAUGCGACUCAAUUGCUAGAGACUCCAAUUCAAACAUGGGAAGAAGUACAAAAAUGGGCUCUGGUGGCUAGCCCUAAUAAGCCACCAAGUUACAUAUGAAAGUUAUAUGCUGGAAUUGUCAAGGUUUAGCCUCCCCCCUGACAAUUCAGUCUUUACGAGCUUUAGUAGCUUAAGAAAAGGCUACGGUCCUAUGCUUACUGGAAACGAAGAAUAGAGAAGAUGUUGUGAACAGAAUGCAGAAAAUACUAAAGUUUCAAAAUGGCUUCACAGUAAAUCCAAGAGGCUUGGCAGGGGGAUUAGCAAUUUUCUGGAAUGAACAGGUUACCAUUACAAUUAUAUCCAGCACUAUGUCUUUUAUCAACUUAACAUGCAAAUUGGAAGAGACAAAGCAAAGUAUGCGCAUUACCUUUGUUUAUGCACCGACUGAAUUUCAGCAAAGAUUACAUCUGUGGGAUGCAAUUUAUCAGAUGACUAGGCUGAAUUGAGACCCUUGGCUGUGUGUUGGGGAUUUUAAUGAAAUAUUAUAUCAGUGGGAAAAAGUAGGAGGAAGAGUGGCUUAAUACUAUAGGUGUAAAGCUUUCCAAGAUUUUAUAAAUGCAUGUGCUCUUAUGGAUCUAGAAAGCAAGGGUUGUGCCUAUAUUUGGGCAAACAAUAGAGAAGGGGAUGAGCUGAUUAGGAAGAGGCUGGAUCGAGCUUUGUGUAGUAUGGAUUGGAGGGUUUCUUUUCCUUCUACGGAAGUUAUUGCAUUGCCAGCUAUUGGGUCAGAUCAUAGUCCCAUUUUAUUAAACUUUUUUCCCCAACAAGUUAAACGUAAAAAAGAAUUUAAAUUCGAAGCUUUCUGGGUUGCUGAGGAGGACUAUGAACAUAUUGUAUUGGAUAGUUGGAAUUCCUUUGGAGGGGAGAACGUAAACAUGUCGGUUCGAUUAAAAAAGGUGGUUGAAGAGCUAGCGAUUGGAGUAAAAGGAGAUUCAGAAAUGCAGAAAAACAAAUUUCAAUGCUGAAAAGAGAGAUGCGGGCCAUUUCAAACAACGCAAAUGCACAUUAUGACAUAAACAGAAUGAAUUGGCUGAAAAUAGAGAUAGAGAGACUAUGGAGACAAGAAGAAGUAUAUUGGGGUAUGAGAUCCAAGAUCAAUUGGCUCAGAUGGGGGGAUAAAAAUUCCAAAUACUUUCAUGCAACCACAGUGCAAAGGCGUCAAAGAAACAGGAUACUAAUGCUGAAAAAUGAGCAUAAUGAAUAGUGUCGGGACCCCAUAGUUUUAAAGGAGAUAACAGUAAACUUUUUCAAAGAGCUUUAUACUUCUAUAGGGCAAAGAAAUAUCCAACCAGUCAUUGACCAAAUCCCAUACCUUGUAACAGAGGAGAUGAACCGCGUGCUGAGAAGUCACCCUACAAGAGGUUAUCACAGCAACUUUUCAGUUGGGUGCUCUCAAAGCUCCUGGACCAGAUGAACUGUGUGGAAAAUUCUAUCAACAUCACUGGAAGGAUAUUCAAGAAGAAGUAUUCAGAGAGGUCAAGUCUUUCUUUAACUCAGGAAAGCUUAAUCCUGAAUUGAAUCACACAUAUAUCACCCUUAUACCGAAAAUGCACAAUCCAGAGAGGUUGGAUCAAUUUCGCCCUAUUAGCCUUUGUAACUAUGCUUAUAAAAUCAUUUCAAAAAUCAUGGCAAAUAGACUAAAACAGUGGCUGCCUAACUCGAUAGCAACAGAGCAAGUGCAUUUGUAAAUGGGCGACAAAUUCAAGAUAACAUCCUAAUAGUGCAAGAAGUGCUUCAUCAGCUACGCAUCAGAAAAUGGAAAAAGAAAUUUCAUGCAGUGCUGAAGGUAGAUAAGAAGAAGGCAUAUGACCACGUGGAAUGGGAUUUUCUUAAAGCUAGCAUGCUAAAAAUGGGUUUCUGCGAUACUUGGGUCUCUUGGAUCAUGGAAUGUGUCUCAACAGUAUCAUUCAGCGUUAAAGUAAACGGGGAACCUACAGCUUCUUUUAAGCCUACUCACGGGAUAAGACAAGGUGACCCACUAUCUCCGUACCUAUUCAUUAUUGUGGCAAACGUCCUAUCUAUGAUGCUGAAAAGAGAAGUGGAAAAUGGCAGCAUUAAGGGUAUUAAGCUGAAUAGAUUCUGUCCAUCACUAUCCCAUCUACUAUUUGCGGAUGACCUAAUCUUGUUUUUGGAAGGCAAAUUGGUCAAGUGUCAAAAUGUAGCAAUGAUCCUAAACCAAUAUUGCUUUGUAUUUGGACAAGCUAUAAAUCUGAACAAGUCUAGUAUGCGCUUUAGUAAAGAUUGUCCAAGAGAAAUGAGGAGUAACUUGACUAAAGAAAUGAGAGUACCAGAGUUGGAAAAGACCGGGAAAUACCUCGGGAUACCUUCUGAUUGGGGUGGAUCCAAAAAGCAAAUGUUUAAUUGGAUUCUUGCAUGAGUCAAUAUGAAAUUGGAGGGCUGGAAAGAGAUUUUUUUUUAUCAAAGGCAGGGAAAGAAAUUCUACUUAAAACUGUGGUGCGGGCUCUACCACAAUAUGCUAUGUCCAUUUUUAAAAUUCCCCUAUCUAUUUGGCGUACCAUUGAAAAGAAAAUAACAACUUUCUAGUGGAAAAACAAUGAAAAUAGGGCAGGUUUACAUUGGAAAAACUGGGAUAUUCUCAGAGUAAGAAAGGAUGAAGGUGGGCUAGGCUUUCGAGAUCUAAUUAAAUUUAACGAGGCACUAUUGGGGCGGCAAGCAUGGAGGCUAAUUCAGAAUCCGACUUCUCUUUGGAGUCAAAUUCUCAAAGGACUACACUUUCCACACAUAGAUAUAUUACAUGUAGAGAAAGGCUCAAGACCAUCAUGGGGUUGGCAAAGUCUACUCAUGGGGUGGUUGGAAAUGGGAAAAAAAUCAGUAUCAGGAAUGAUCAAUGGUUACCGAGAGGAUUUAUUGGAGGACCUACAAAUAGAGAUGACCCAUUACGGGUUUCGGAACUUAUAACCAGAGAUUCUGCCACUUGGAAGGAGGAUAGAGUACUAGAACUUUUCGACCAUGACGUGUGUAAAGAAAUUCUAGCAAUCCACCUAAACCCCCAAUUUCCAAAGGACAAAUUAGUCUGGAAGCCAACCAAAACAGGUCAAUUCACAGUCAAAAGUGCAUAUAACAAGCUCAAAGCACAAGGAGAAAAUCAUAAGCAAAACCAUGCUUCUUCGUCCUAUCAUGCUCCACGAUCAUUGUGGAAUAGAAUAUGAAAGCAAAAGUUCAGCCUAAAAUCAGAUUUUUCUUUUGGCAAAUUUGUCAAAAUGCAUUAGCAACAAAGGAGAAUUUAUAUCGGAGACAUAUCAUACCUGAGGCCAUGUGCACAAUUUGCAACAAACAUCCAGAGUCAGUAGAGCAUCUUUUUCUCCUUUGUCCAUGGACAAACCAAUUCUAGGAAGCCGCUAUAGUGACAAUACAAAGAGAUGGUCAAGGGAUUACUCAGAUAGAGGAAUGACUAGCAAAAUUUCAACAUACCUCAGUGUCUUUUGGGCAAUUAGCUUUCUUGCUGUGGCAAAUCUGGAAAUCACGUAACGAUUGGUGUUUCAAAGCAAAAUCGUUGAAAUCCCAGCAUAUAAUCUCCUCAGCACUGGCCAUAGAAGAAAAUUUCAACAGGUGGAUGCAAAAAUAGACCAAAACAGAGCAGGUGCCGGUGUUCCCAUCUCAAUUCAGAGUGGCUUCAACGGAGACCUCGCCCCCAAACUGCACUCCUCUAAUGCACGAUACAGAGCAAAUCCCGAAUCCCACUUCUUGACGCACAGCAAGACGCAAAAUUGGAAUCCCUCACUACAAAGCCCNNNNNNNNNNNNNNNNNNNNNNNNNNNNNNNNNNNNNNNNNNNNNNNNNNNNNNNNNNNNNNNNNNNNNNNNNNNNNNNNNNNNNNNNNNNNNNNNNNNNCCCCCCCCCCCCCCCCAUCUCAGAUCUGGAGGUCUUCGACGCGAGCGCCAUCUCAAAUGCCCACCCCUCCAACGCUCGGCUUGGCCCAAACCCGAAACCUGUCAUUGCAGCACUUACAUCAGACUGGGAACCCUCCGAAUUUCAUCUCAACUCCAACAGGAACCUCUACAAAGUACGGCUCACCUCAGAUCUGGACUCCCCCGACACAUGGUGUGAUAAAAAUAAACGUCGAUGGCUCCUUUCUUCAAGAAACAGGGGAAGCGGCUAUAGAUUGCAUUUGUCGAGAUAGCCGAGGAGUCCUUGUUGAUGGUUUUGCGCACACGGUCAGAGUCUCCUCAGUGCUUCAGGCGGAAGCACAGGCGGUGCUACAAACCCUAAAGUUUUAUGAAGGAAGAGAAGAAAAGCAGAUGGAGUUGGAGUCAGAUAAUCUUGAACUGGUGAAAGUGUUAGUCGAAAGUACACCGCAAAGCAACUGGGAAGUAGAUGCGUUAAUAUGUGAAGGGAAGGCACGUGUUAUUACUUUCCCAAAUCUGAAAAUAGCCCAUUGCCGACGAGAGUGCAACAAAAUGGUGGACUGGGUCGUCAAGGCCCACCGAAGAAAGGCCCUUCCAACUAAUUGGGUUUUUUAUCCCCCUCUUGUCUUUUGGACUUGUUAUGUUCUGAAGCUAGUGCUUCUAUUGUCCAAACUUUGCUCGAAUGAAUGCUAAAAAAUUUCCUUUCGACCAUAAAAAAAAAAAAAAAAAAAAAAAAAAAAAAAAAAAAACAGAGGUUUUCGGAGAGAGACGUCAAGGGACAGGAAUUGUGGGUGUGAAUCGAAUCCAUGAAGGAGGUGAAAUCGGACUUGUUCGAGAGGGAGGGAGGGAGAGAGCAUGGGGGGCUGCUUUUCGGAUGUGAAAGGAGGUCAACAAGCCGUCGGGGGACCCGAUAGGGCCCCAAGGGAGUAGGAGUCGGCGGAGGAGGAGGCAACAACGGCGGGCACAACGACGCAGUUGAUCGUGCGCGCUUUCUUCGCCGGAGAAUCUUUUUCUUUUUUGCAUAGUGAUGCGCUUCGUCUUCUUCAGGCCUGAGUCAAUGUUGUCACUUGUCGGUAUUUUACUCUUGUCGUUUCGCGGACCAAUGAUGUGGCCAGAAAUAACCUUUCUUUGGGAGGAUGGUUCGCAGAAAAACUGAGAAGCAUUCUUCACAACGUGGAUUCUGCUCAAGCCUCACAAUUUGAACGACAUGAUGUUAAAUUUUGCGCGUAAUGUAAAGAAAACAUAGUCGUCUAAUUGGAGUUUUCUUCUUGUGUUCCUCAUUAGACUUGACUUCAGUAAAUUUCAUUUUUUUUCUUCAAACCCAAGUUUUCGUCUGCCUCUUGAGCCGGGGGCCUUUUUGGAACUCGUGCAAAUGACGAAGAAAUUACCAUACCACGACCAAGUUUAAUCGGAAUUUUCAUCAGUCUUAUUUAAAAGGGCUGCUAANNNNNNNNNNNNNNNNNNNNNNNNNNNNNNNNNNNNNNNNNNNNNNNNNNNNNNNNNNNNNNNNNNNNNNNNNNNNNNNNNNNNNNNNNNNNNNNNNNNNNNNNNNNNNNNNNNNNNNNNNNNNNNNNNNNNNNNNNNNNNNNNNNNNNNNNNNNNNNNNNNNNNNNNNNNNNNNNNNNNNNNNNNNNNNNNNNNNNNNNNNNNNNNNNNNNNNNNNNNNNNNNNNNNNNNNNNNNNNNNNNNNNNNNNNNNNNNNNNNNNNNNNNNNNNNNNNNNNNNNNNNNNNNNNNNNNNNNNNNNNNNNNNNNNNNNNNNNNNNNNNNNNNNNNNNNNNNNNNNNNNNNNNNNNNNNNNNNNNNNGUAGUUUGACAUUGAAUGGAUAUGGACAACAAGCAUAGACAUGAAUCCAGCAAAUUUAAGUUGCCGACAACAUUUAUAACCACAAAUCUGGCAUGUGAUGAACAUACUCAGCAUUCAUAGCCAAGAAAUCAACAUACUCUCGAGCAUGUACAACAAGAACAACAAUGAUUCUAGUAUAUUUGAGCCAUGUAUAGUAAGAAUAGACGUAUUCAGUGAGCCUACGAUGCGGCGGGUGUGCAAAUUCAAGGAAUAGCACAUCCUGCAAUGAACAUUGUGUAAGCUAAUGGUGACAACCGAGAUAAACCACGAUGUACCUACACAUACAUCGGAAGCAUGACACAAACAAUACUCCAACGUGUCCAUCGCAUGUGAAGCGGAUCUCAACCACCCCCAAUACAGAGUAGUAGUUAGCAUGCAAAAGAAAAACUACAACUCUUAACAUAUGAACAAUUUGCGGUCAUAGAGGAUUUCUCUGUAUUAACACCUAAACGAUUAUGAUAAGUGCACUUUGAACACCUCAAGCUCAAAAUUAAAUCCAGGGGCUCUCAGUUUAGAGGACGAUUUAGCCCCGCUCCUAAAGCAGUAUUUAAUUCACCAAGAACAAAGUAAACGGAAGCACCAAGGGAAGGAGAACUCUAGGCCAUCAAGGUACGAAGCAUCAAUUUGCAGUAUAUGAUCAGCACACUAGACAACAACAUACAAAUCACUCCUAUUCAAUCUCAAAUCGAUCAAUUAAUUCAUCGUUGUCAUCUACGAGGCAAAACGUUGAACAGGUGGUGAGCAUGAAAGGCGAGGUUUUACACAAACGAGAAUUCCUAUCAAUUGGCGAGGAAUAUAACAUGAGAAACCCUGCUAAAACUUGCUAGAGAGGAAUCGUCAUCUCGGUCCGUGCGUUGUGUUCUUGCUUCGCUCGGUUCCUCAGCUCUCACGCGCACACCAAGCUUCAGAGAGUGUGUUGUGGUUGUUGUUGUGAAUUCUCGUGCAGACCUUGAAUUCAUCAGCUUCAAGGGAAUCUCUAACGCGUUAGACGAGAGAGAGAAAGAGCGUGAGAGAGAAGUUCGAUUGGUGGGGGUGGUGAUGACUGUCAGAUGCUCCACUCUGUUACGGCCAACGCUGCAGCGGCCAGCAAGGGAGAUCUGAUGGCGGCUGUUGCUGAUCGGAGAUGGAAGACGAUUAUCACCACCACCAAUCUUUCUCUCGCAGCUAUGUCAAAACGCUCUCGUGACCAAGGAAAGUUCGUGCAAAAGAAAGAUUCUACCUGAGACUACCUGCACGCUCUGCCAAGCAACAUCCAAGAAACCACUGAACAUCUCUUCCUCCUCUGUCCGUGGACACAGCAACUUUGGGAAAACCCAUCAAUCAAUAUCAGAAUCGACAUUCACGGACUUACCAGGUUCGAGGCAUGGCUAGCGAAUUUCAAACACGCCUCGGUCUCGUUUGAACUCCUCUCCUCCUUACUCUGGCAGAUUUGGAAAGCUCACAACAAUCUUGCGUUCAGAGCUCAAAAUCCGAACCCCUGUUCAUCAUGGACUCGGCCCCUCGCGAUGAAUCGAAACGUUACCUGGUGGGUGGCGGUAACUUCGUCGAGGGCUCAAAAGAAGAAGCGAUUUUACCCUAGGUUUGGAAAGCGCCAGCUCCUGGCGUGUUCAAACAUCAACGUCGAUGCGUCGUUCGUCCCAGAACAGGGGAAGGCGCCAUAGCUUUCGCGUGCCGCGACUGCCAUGGAACGCUGAUACGACGUCGUGCCCGCUCAGUCGCCAUCUCCUCGGCGAUUCAAAGCUGAAGUAACUGCAAUUCUAGAAGCCCCCAAAUACUUUAUGAGCCCCAGCAUGGUGAAGUUGCUAACGUGAACUGAAGUAGGAACUCGAGGCAGAUCAAUCUGGUCUGGUAGCUGUGAUAAACGAUACCGCAGGCGUAUCAAGUUGGGAAGUAACUGCUCUUAUCACCGACGCCCAGGCCUCUUAUCCUCCCCCCCAACACCAGCGCCACCCCCUCCCCCCCCCCCCGGGGCGGCAAAAAAAAAAAAGCCUUUCGAAUUUGUUGUCCUGCAGCAAACUUUAUGUAUUCUCGAAGUACUUCUUAAUGAGAAAUUCAUUAAUUUCAUUUACAGGAUUGCAUUUAAAGGAAUUGAGCAGAUUGCAUUACAUUUAGACAGCAUCAAUUAGAUUCCAAUUUCCAAAUAUCAUAGUUUUUAUGGAAAUACUCCAUUUAGUAUUCAUAUAAUAGCUCACGUUGUUCAUAUUGAGUUUUCAUUUAUAGCUUAGGGAAGUCCUAUUCUGAGCAUUGUUAACACCCGAAUUUUUACCGACGAUCCAAGUGUCCAUUUUUCGCAAAAAUAUAAAGAUACAAAAAAUAAAAACAAAAAAUGAGAUAGCAAAAUUUUGAUUAAAAAAUAUGAAAACAUAAAAAAGGAUAUAAAAAUAAAAUCCCACUCGGCAAUUUUCGACCUUUUAAUUCCCAACCCCUCUCUUUCGGCCCAUUUUUCUCCGUUCUUUAAGCCAACAACUUGAGCCCAAGAAGACAAGAACGGAGCCCAGCCCCUGUAGCCCCUGUCUCCCAUCUCUUCCGCACAACACGCCUGUGAGUGUUGAAAAAUUAGAAAGAACAAUGACGGUCACCGAAGAAGGCCCGGCGAGCGAGGGAUGAGUAACGAGCAUGUGACGGAAGCGGAUCCGAGAGAAACCUUCUAGAACCGUGAGCUGGCGAGGGAUAACAGAGAGAGAUAAGAGAGAUGUGCAGGUGUCUGCUCUCAUCACCCUCCACGUCGAGGCCUCCACCUGAUCACCAUCUCCACCUCGACUUCAAGAGCUUCUUUCCUUCUUCUUCUCGAACGCUCUCUCGUCGCCGCCUACUCGGCUACGACGGCGCUCUCAAAGUUCCGGUUCUCCUAGCCGCGUAGAGUCUCCCUUCUCUUGAUCGGCGCGUGGCGACGUUGCUGAUAGUAGUUAUCUGGCGGCGAGAGCGAGCUCGAGAGUUCGAGUAUCGAGAACGCGAGAUGUUGUCGAUUCUGAGACGAAAGGCCGCCGCCGGAGGCUCGGAUGCUGUGCUGUUAAAAAAGAGAGGCUGCGGAAGAGUUGCGCGCCACGGCGGCGAACCGGUUUCAGGGCUACGCUACUGCGGCGAAAGAGAUGAUGACUGUGAGAGAGGCUAUGAAUUCGGUGCUUGACGAGGAAAUGUCUGGAGAUCCUAGAGUCUUUCUAAUGGGAGAGGAGAUGGAGCCGACGCACAACAGAGAGGGGAGGAUAGGCUGGCUGAGGGUUUAGCUCGAGAGGAAAACAGAAGGAAAGAGGAGAGAGAGAGAGAGAGAGAAGAAGAAGAAGGGACGUCGGCCAUUGGAGGUUUCAGGAGAGCUUCGCUGGAAAGAAAGGAGAGGCCAGAGAAGAACGAGAAAAGAGAGGAUGAGAAAGGUAAAGUUUCUGGAGAAGUUGAGCCUUCUCAUCAGUCGACGUCCAUUGCAGCCGAACGCCAUCUCCAUCGAUUUUGGGUUGCUGUAACUUCUUCGUGAUGUUUGCAAUUCGAACGUGUAUUGAUCCGAAAUAGGUUUACAUCUUUUGUGAUGGCCGAGAAUGAGCCGUUUGUUCUGGAACUGGAUAUGGGCAUCGCGGAUGAAAUGCACAUAACCUGUUUGAUUAAAUGCCUCAGGGCACAAGCAGAAAAUUAUCCGUGAUCUUGUUCAAAUCUGGGAAUAUGUGGAUGUAGGUUGAUUACUAUCGAUUGAUUUGCUAGCCUCUAGAGUCGAUAUCAGUCUUGUUUCAUUCUUAUUACGACCACAUCCGAACGUUCCUUUCUUUUUAUUUUUGGGCAUCUUUAUGCAUUCCUGCGGUGGUCGCCGGUGGUGUUAUUCCGGCAAUUAACGGUGGAGGUCCGGCGAUAGGAGACGGUGAAGAGCAAGCGUCGAGUGUGCGUUGAUUACAUGCUGAGAUACGUAUGUCUUCAUUCCUGUGUUUUUAGAGUGCUGAGUCUUGAUUGAAGAUCAGUGUGGUUUCGGCGAUGAUAGUGUCCUCGGGAAGAAGACCUGCAAAAGGAGAUGAAGAAAAAAGUAAAAUAUAAAAGGUAGAAAAAGAUUUUUUUUUUUUAAAGGAGAAAAUACUUUUAAAAAAUCGGUUUUAAUCCGACGGAGGUUGGAUCCAAGUAGAGGGGUUGGAUCAUGUUUGGAUCGGGUGAACCCGGUCCAAACCCGUACCCUGAAUAUAAUAACAAUAAUAAAAAAUCAAAAUCAAAAUAAAAAUCACUAAAAUCAUUAAAAAUUCAGAAAAUCCGAAAAAAUUUAAAAAUUUUCGGACUCUUAUCUCCUUUUAUAGCUAUGAGCUUCACCAUGAUUCCCACAACACACACAAAGCUUCGAGCUUGAUUCAGUUUCGACACCAUUCGGAGCCCUCCAAAAGGAAACCAAAUUUAUGUCUGUGCUUGUGGAUCAUUCGACGUGUGGAUAAGACCGUCGUAAUUUUGAUCAAGGUGUGACAACCAACCCCACUCGCUAAAGGCAGAGAGAGAGAGAGAGAGAGAGAGAGAGUGAGUGAGGGGUUGCUUUUCAAAUGUGAGAGGAGGCCAACAAGUGGUUUUUUUUUUCGAGGGUAAUCAUCCAUUUUAUAUUCUUUAUUGCAUUUAGACAUUUGAAACAUUUUUUAGGUUUAGACUAAUGCAUUUGCAUCAAGUGAAGCAUGAGUUGUGAACUCCUUUCGAAUCGACCCGAUAGACAGCCCUACAUAUGCACGCCAAGUCUAGGCUCAUUCCCUCAUUUAAAGUGGAGCCCACAAGUUCAGUUUCUUCUCUCUCUCCCCCCAAAUUCAAGCGCUUUCUGCCCUCUAUUUCUUUGACCGAAAUGUCAUUUGAUCAUGCCAAAUAAGUGUGACUCCAUUUCUUGCCACCUUAGACCAUUUUAAGCAAAGCAGUAACCAAGGCAUCUGAGAUGAUGGGGAUCCUGAAAUUGACAAGGAAAGGAUUAAAUUUUGUGCACUUGAAAGGGGAGAGAAUGAAUAAGAGCUGGACUGAAAUUAGAAGGGGAAGCUGGAGAUCUCGGGCAGAAAGCAAAAGGAAUGAGGCCCUCAUGUUUUUUUUUUUUUUUAAUCCUGCAUCAUCACUAGACAAAUGAGUAUCUCCUCACUUAGUGUUUUACUCCAAAAUUCCUCGUCUGCAGAUCUUUCGUCCACCCGUCCGUUCUUCCUGGGAACUCAAAUGGUGCCGUAACACAAGCAACAGUUUUGGCAGUUUUCCAAGGAGGACGCCAAUCUAGCAUUGUAAAGAAGGAGCGAUGGAGGAAAUGGAAAAAGAUAGGAAAGGAAACGGAUUUGGUGUCUCGGCAGAACGUGAAAAAAAGGACGAGAAGAAUGUGGGAAGGUCGUGGGAUGAGGAAAAUAAGAACAAAGAUGGAAGGGAGUGGGAGACUCGGUGGAGGUGCGCAAUCACUCACAUUCACGAUUUCAUAUCCAUUCUCUCAGUCUCGCGCAUCAGAAGCCGAAGAGACUCGGGCCAGAAGAAGCAGCGCUUCCAACUUCCUCCGUUGUCCCCGGAGUCAGUCAUGUGAGAACCUAUAUUCCUUAGCUAUGCGAUGCAUGUCCUUGCGUUUGCUCAAUUUUCGGUUUAUUUUCGGUUUAUUUUCUUUAUGCUGGGUUCGUUGUAAUCUCAUAAUUGAGUCUUUUUCUAGGUAUCGGUUCGUGCCGAUUGUUCUCCAUGUUUCAAUAAAUGUGGGCAUAACAAUAUAGGAAAAAUCUGCAUCGUGUAGUCUAUAUUUUUGCACAGUUUAGUACCCCUAUUCAGGCCAAUCCAUGGCCGGAGGAGUAGUUAUUGAUUUGUUGCCCAAAAAUUGGUUUCUGUUCCCAUAAUUCGCUUUUACAAUUGAAAUAGUUGCACGCAUCGCCGUUGGUUAUUCAUCGCAUUGGUUCGAACCUAAUGCCCUAGUCUGUGUGAACAUGCUAAACACCAUUGUCCGAUCCAUGAAUAGUAGGAAUUCAGAUAUUUUUCCUGCAUAAUACCUCCUAGGCCUCUACCGACAUGCAUAGUCAUGGAAAAAGCUGCCUAAAAAGUCCUAAAAUUAUUAUCCUGUGGUUAAUUCAAUCUUAAACUUUUUAAUUUUGGCUAAUUGUCAUAAGGUUUAACGCUUAAAUCUAUUUGGCAAAAUUGAAAAUUUUACUUUGGUUUGGAUUUUUAGAGACAAUUAUCCCCUGUAGUCAUGUUAUCUUGUAUGUUUACUUUGGUUAUUUUCGCUUCAACUUCCAGCAUCAUUUUAUAUUUAUUUUCAUCACUUUCCGGUGUCACCAACUUCGAUUGAGCUGAACGCGACAUUCUAAUGUAUUAAGGUCUGAGUCAAUCCAUCAUUCUAAUGUAUCAAGGUGACUGGAGAUGAACCACAUACUUACGUGCACCCAAGGUCCAUCAAACCAAUCAACAAAUCGCAACAAUAUCAUUCAAGUCCAUGCCCAAGAGGAUUCGCUGCAAGGUCCUGCUCAUUAAGCUCGCAAGAUUUACAACUUACCCACUCCAAUAAUACCCAAACAUGUACUGAUAACUAGCAAAUCAAGUAUACAUUGUCACAUUAUCAUGGGUUAUCAAAACCACACUCAAAUGAGUCUUAAAAUAGCCUGACUCAAAUGAGUCUUAAAAUAGCAUAACUCGUAAUUUACAGAGUGAAGUCAACAAAAUCCAAAACAAAAUCAGAACAGCAAAGGUCGAGGAUUCAUGAUUUUUUUAGUAAUGGACUUGAAACAUAUCUUCUUGCAAGUGUAUAUGCGCUCAUGCGAUCAAGAUGAGUACAAAUUGAAUUCAAAUGAAGAUCAACGAUGCUCGUACAGUGGAUACAUGUUUAAUUUCAGCAAUUAAAGCAUGACAACAUAAUUAUCUCCCUCGAAAAUUAACAUGGAUUCCUCAUGUCAACUCAUAUGACUAGGAUAACACAUACACAAGUCUUGGCGAUUGUUGUCUGAACAACGAAUGGAUAUGGACACAUGAAAAUGAAUCCAGCAAAUUUAAGUCAUAGAAAACAGUUAUAACCAUGGCUAAAGCAUGUUAUGAACACACAGUAUUCAUAGCCAAGAAAUCGGCAUAUUUUUGUUCAAACUCAUAGCCAAAAGAUCAACAUAUUUUUGAACAUGUACAGCAAGAAUAACAAUGACUCCAGUAAAUUUGAGCCAUGUACCAUAAGAAUCGACAUAUUUAGCAAGCCUACGAUGUGGCGAGUAUACAAAUUCAACAAAUAGCACAUCCUGAAAUGGAUAUAGUGCAAGCUAAUGGUGACAACCAAGAUAAACCACCAUGUACCUACAUGUACAUUUCAAGCAUGACAUAAAUAAUACUCCAACAUAUCCAAUGCAUGCGAUGUGGAGUCUCAACCAAGCGCAAAAUAGGGCAGCAGUUAGUAUGUGAAAGAAAAGCUACAACUCCACCAUAUGAACAAUUUGCGGUUAUAGAGGAUUUCUCUACAUUAACAACUAGAUGAUUAUGAUCCGUGCACUUUGAACAAUUCAAGCUCAAAAAUAAAUCCAGAGGCUCUCAGUUUAGAGGAAAAUUCAACCAUGCUCCCGGUAUUUAAUUCACCGAGAGCAAGUAAACGGAAGCACCAGGGGAAGGAGAACUCUAGGCCAUCAAAGGAUGAAGCAUCAAUUAGCAAUAUAUGAUCAGCACACUGAACAACAACAUACAAAUCACUCCUAUGCAAUCUCAAAUUGAUCAAUUGAUUCAACAUUGUCAUCUCCAAGGCAAAACGUCGAACAGGUGGUGAGCAUGAAGGGUGAGGUGUCACACAAAUAGGAUCAAACAGUUAAAAUUUGCUAGAGAGAAAUUGUCAUCUCAGUCUCUGUGUUGUGCUCUUGCUUCGCUCGGUUCUCCAGCAGAGCGUGAAAUCAUUAGCUUAAAAGGAAUCUCCAAUGCCUUAGACGAGAGAGAGAAAGAGCAUGAGAGAGAGUUUUGAUUGGUGGGGAUGGUGAUGAGCAUCAGAUGCUCUGCUCUGUUACGGCCGAGGCUGCGGCGGCCAGCAAGGGAGAUGUGACGGCGGCUGUUACUGAUCGGAGAUGGUAGACCAUCAAAUUGAUGGUGAUGGAGCUGAAAUAUGGGCUGAUUCAUGGAUGUAAGCUUUUAGCUCAUAUUUAUUUCAGCACUUGGUUUCAAUUUUGUGUUUAAAAUGUAUAUAAAAAAAAUGGAAAGUUAAAAAAAAAACAAAAUAAAUAAGAAUAGAUUGCAUCUCCAUCGAAAAAUACAUCUAGGAUUGCAUUUAAGAGAACUGAAGCAGAUUACAGUGCAUCACAUUUAGAUAGCAUGAGUUAGAUUCUUAUUUCCAUAUAUCAUAGUCCAUUUAGGGAAAUAAUUCAUUUAGUAUUCAUAUAGUUUUUCAUAUUUGCAUAUUUGUUUUUAUUAGCGGUGGUUUAUUUUGAAGAGUUUAUAUUGAGUUUCCCUUUAUAGCUCACGAAAGUCCUAUCUGAAUAUAAAUAACAAGGCUUUAUAAAUUUUUACCCGAGGCUCGGGUUCUUUAUUUCUUUCCACCUUUAUUUAUUUAUUUGGUUCAUAUUUAUUAUUGCUUGCUUGUUUAAUUUUUACCUACUGGAGUGCUAUGACUAAUCAUCUUUACAUAUAAGAGGAUUUAGGGGAACAUAAUUGAAGAGACCCCAUAAAAAUCAUUUUAUGAAUGGUGUCAAAAGGGAGUGCGUGCCCCUCCAUGAGCGGUUAUUUGAGAAGUGCCACUUCUAUCGGGGUUUCUUGAACAUCAAAAAAGAUAAACAAAGGACAGAUUAUGUUCAUGCUCGAUUUGUGUAUAGCUGCCACUAAAGGUUUGAAAGUUUGUAAAGAGCUCUAUUAUUUUCUGUCAGUGCAACUUCUUUAAAAGCUAAAAAAAUAAAAUAAAAAUGGGAAGGACAUAAGCAGUCUCAUUGCGCAAGUGUUGUUUAUGUAAAUUGCUAAUUUUACUACUAGUAGGUGAAUAUGAUUCACCUUUUCUUGAAUACAAGUAUAGUUUAGUUUUGUAGUUGUUAUCGAAGUACCUACGUGUGAUGAAGGAAAAUUUGAAAAAGUAAUAUUGACACAUAAAUUUUGAUAACCCGUUUAAUCAUUUUUUAAUUGCAUAAAAAAUUAUGGAUUAAUUUUAAUCCCUAACAAAAAUUGAUUUUCAUUAGAUUGCAUCGCAUUUAGGUAUUAGAAGCAUUGGUAUUACUAGUAUUAAAAUUUUGAAAAAAAUUUAAAAAAAUUAUUGUUAUUUUUAAUAUUUUUUUAAAUUAUCAUUUAAAUAAAAAGAAAGCAAGACUGGGCCGGGCCGGCGUGGCCUUUUCUUCUUUUCCCACGCGGGCCAGCCCAUUUUCCCUUGUCCUUGGCCCGGCCCGCGGACCUCUUCCUUCCUCCUCCUCCUCCCUCACGCCUCGCACGCAGUCAGCCAAAAGGAAGGAAGACGUACGGAGCAGCGGAGGGGGCGUCGAGCGGGAUGUUUGGUCGGGGGCAGGCCGGCACGGCAAGCUGGCAGUUGCAGGGCCAUUCGCGCCUGCCGUGAGCUUAAAAGACGGAGAGAGAGAAAGAGAGAUUCGGAGGUGGAGAGAUCGUGAGAGCAGCCGAGGGAGAGAGUUUGAGAGCGAGGAGUCCUCCGGCAGUCCGGCCACGCCCGACCCCCGUCCGACGACUCCUGACCGCGCUCUCAAACCCGCGGCUCCCAUUCCCGGCGCCAAAUCUCCGGUAGGUCACGUUUCUUUUCUUUCUUUGAUUUUUCGCAGGACGAGCCGUUUUUCCGAGGAUCCCGGCUCGGAGGCGUGCGAGGCAACCGAACGUGGUCCGUCUAUCGAGCUCGCCCUCCAUUCGCCAUCACCGAGCCGGAUAGGGACCCUCGGCCGACCCCCUGUUUGUGCCUUGCUUUGCCCCUUUUUGGGCUCCCCGGACCGGGCUUCUUUGUUGUCCGGUUCUCGCGAGCACCGGCCCCGUUCGUCCGUGCGCCGCUACUUUGGGUCACUACUUGUUGAUUCUUGCGAGUCCCAGCGCAAGUUGGUCGGUUUUUCCCCCUUUUAGCCAGUGCGCUUGAAACGUUCGAUGAAAUACCUGAACCAAUUCCGUUUGGUUGAAUCUGGACUUCUGAAUUGUUGAAAGGAGCCCGUGAACAUGUGUGAUGCGAUGUAGCUUCUCUUGUGAUUAGCAAGUACGUUUUCGGUCAUAUUUCAUUUCUACCGAGUUUUUUUGGGUUGCUUUGCUUCGUGCCUUGGUAUAUCCCUGCGGUAGUCCUUGGUGUUUGGGGUGCGGCUGCGAAUGGGAGCCUCCAGUGAUUAGCGAUGGAGACAAGUGGUUGCUCGGUGGCUGAAAGUCGCUUGCUGUGAAGAUGCGGGGAUACGGUCACGUCGUUGACGAUGAGAAGAAUAUUUUCACGUUAUGGUUUGGGGAGAGUCUCGGUUGUGGAUGUGUGGGGGCUCAUCUCUUAGCUUUUACCGAGCAAGAGCAGCUAGACUGUUGGUGGUGGCCCCGUAGCUUGAUUGUUGAGUACGUAUGGUUACUGUUUUGAUGGUUUGGUGUGUGUAGAGGUUUUUUUUCAAAGAAUAAAAAAAAUAAAGAAAAGAAAAAAGACAAAAUAGAGAAGGAGACGACAAUAGCGGCUCAAGUUGCAUUUUGUUGAAUCUGGGCUAAUUCAAUGAAUGAGUAAUUUUGGGCUUGAGUGGUUUUAAUGAAUUCGGGUUGGCUUCAUUUUUGGAAGUGAUUGGGCUGAGUUCUUUUUAGUAAUAUGGGCUUAGUGUACUCAGUUACAAAGGAAUGGGCUUGUCAUAGCUUUGGUGGAAGAGUUGGCUCACUUGGGAGUUUUUCCCAAUUAGGCUUAGAAAGGGUAGAAAUGGAGAGGCGAGAAAGAAAGUCACGACUGUCUGGAGCUUGAGGAUAAGAUCAAUCGUGCCCUCUAGUCUGAACUGUGAGUCCAAGUUCAUCCAUGUUCUGGCCAGGUCCCUAUUUUCAGACUACUAAUUAUUUGAAUAAAAAUUAUAUUUUUAAAAAUUAUUUUAUAAAAAUUAAUUAAAAAUUCCGGAAUUUUUUUUUCCUAAAGUUAGAAAAUGCUUUAAAAUAGUUUUUCAGGGUAGCCUUCUCUUUAAGUUAUGGGAAAACCAUUGAUAAGAAAAUUGUGCUAAAAAAUUAAACAAGCCCUUAUAGGGUUCCGAUUGUCCUAAAAACAAAUACCCUUAAUUACGCAUUUUCAAUAUGUUGAUUAUGAUUUCGCUUUAGCUUAGUUAAGAUGGUAGGCUCCUUAUUUGAUAAUGCUAAAUUCUUGCUCUUCCAAUUUAAUUUAUUCGAUGCCGCUUUGGUUGCUAAUUGUCAUGUUAAUGAUUGGGCAUUCACAUGGUCACCUUAUGUAUUAGGGGAUUCUAAAAUCAACACAGACUGCCUCACAGAAAAUAUUCUUGAAAUGAAUAAGAUUAGUUAUCGAAAUGACACUAAUUAUUUAAUUAGUGUAAUCAAGUUUCCGAUCCUAAACUCUUUGAUUACGUAGGAAUUGAGGUAUAUUCUCACAUCUCAUUUGAUUUCUAGGCAACCUUAAUAAGUUAGUGACGACUCCUCAUUUGAAAAUUUUUAUGAAUACUCCAACAUCGUGGGAGGUACCGCACCUAAUCAUGGACCAUAGAAUACCCCUAAACUUCUUUCCCUCCGUAUUGAGGGGUAGGUCGAGACAAGUAAAUAUUGAUCUUGCACUCUUCAUCAAUUGGAUGAGUACAUAUACAUAGAUUUAUUCAAUGCUACUCUAGACCUAAAAAUUGGAUCAUUGGCAAUCUAUCUUUAUACAUAUAGAAGUGGAUAUUACUCGUGUGAAAGUGACCCAUGAGGCAGCACAUGCGCUUUCUUCAUUUGAUCUAAUUUUUAUGGUAAUUUUAGCAUAUUUUUAUUAGUUUAUUUAAAUUGACGAUUGUUGUGAAUUUUCAAAAAAGUUUAACAAUAUAGGGAAUACAUAUUAUGCUAUGAUAUUCAUUUCACCUUAAUUCGAGGACUAUGAGGUUUUCGUUAAAAGAUUUUCACAAUAUUGAGAUCCAAAUUAUGACGUGAUAGCCCAUAUUUGGUAGAUGAUAUUAGCGAAUCAAUAAAAAUAAAUCCAUUGCUACCAGAAAAUUUCAUCACAGAAAAUUAAUUUCAUGUAUAUUGCAAAUAAGUAAAUAUGAGAAAAUGAUGAAAAUAAUCAUUAGCAAAAGUGUAGAUAGAGUAACCCACCGUUAAGAAAAAUUAAAUUAGAAAAAAAAAUAAGCAUUAGAUGACAUGAUAGCACAUAAUUUCGUAUACAAAUAUGAUAGCUCUUGGGAUUAAAUGAAUGAUCGUAAUCACUAAAAUCAAGCCAUGCCCUAACACUUUCAACCGUUGAAGAAUGCUAUUACAAAUGAAUUACCAAACCUCCACCUAUUAGCAGAGAUAUUUUCAAAUGCAAGCCGGCCAUUGCAAUGACGGUGGAAAUUCCUAACCACGAGCCAUCUAUUAUCAUAGUUAUUUUCAAAUACGGAGUAAUUAAUAGGUAAAUUUUGUUCUGUUAAAUGGACAUGGUGGCAAGGAAAUUAUUACAUAAGCCCUUUCGAUUAUGCUUUGUCUUCGUAGGAACCGUAGCCUAGAAAAAAGAAAUGCUAAUCACGUUUCCACGCAUUAUGUAAGAGAGAAAGGGGAAUCUUAUGGCGAGCUCAUGUGAAGAGUUGCUUAUCAAUCAAACCUGUCCUUUUUAGAUGGGAAGGAACCAAAGAUAACAUCUCAGUUUCUACAACCCACACCACCCAUAGUCGUUGCCUUUGUUUUGUUUUGUCUUCUGUGUUCAAUUGUCGCUCGCUAUUAUUGAUCUGGACAAGUUGGACGGACCCAAGAAAAUAAAGAAAGAAUUGACUCAUGUGUAUCAUCCUUUGUGGGGCAUGAGAAAAGGCAAAGAUCUUUUUCUCUUUUUUUUUUGAGGUCAAAGAAAAUUUUAUUGAAAUUGCGAACAUGAUCGAAAGAGUUCCAAGCUAGGGGAAUCUAAACAAAGAAGAGAACAAAAGGCUUAUGGAGGAAUAGAAAGGCAGUUUUGUGGAAGCGAGCCAAUCCGUCGAGUCUUUGCAACUUAGUUUACAGGCCCACAUUUGUAAGAACAAAAAGUGUCAUAAUCUAUAUCUAUAUCACCAAAUGGAAAGGCAAAUCAUAUUUUAAAGGAAAUAAUCUAUCAAAAAGUGUAAAAAAUCCUCAAUUCCAACAGACAAGUUGGUAGAAUUUGAGGGUGAUUUUCAUGUGAAUUGAGGCAAAAUUUAAACCUUAGGAACCAACACAUCGCUAGCCCCCCUCUGUCAACAGUGCAUGAGAGUCAAAUUUGCAAUUUGUCAAUAUAUUUGAGAUGUUACUAAUGAGAAUAUGAAAUUCACGGCUCCCAUAAGUGGCGCAAACGGUUGGGAUAUAAAAGAAUUUCAAGUUUGGGAAUCGGAAGUCAUAUGUGCAAAUCUCAUAAGAUACAUAAUAAAUUAUUUUGGGUUAUGGUCAUCUGCACAUGCAAAAUGAAAUCUUUAAAUCAUGAAUUAAGAAAUUUUAAUUACUAAUGCUUUCAUGCUCACGUGAAUGUAGGCAAGAAUGUAAAAACCUCAUGCUCUUGUGAUAGCUCUUCGUGUCUCCUCUGCAUAAUUGAAGAAAGAAAUCAGCCAAAAACAAGUCGACAGAAGCCGCCCCCACGGAUUAUUACCAAAAAAAGAAAAAAAAAAAGAGGUGGCAUAAGAGAUGCACCCGAUGUUUUCUCAGUUGUUCCCUCUCUACGGCAAUAUCUGCCCAUUAAUCCGUUCUAAAAUGAAUAUUAAAAUCAAAUUUCAGAGUGUUUCGUUUUCCUUAAAAAGAAGAUUAUAUCUAUGUCUAUGCUGCAUAUUCAGGGAAAAGCAUAGGAGUUGGUCUCUCUUUCAAGAGUCCAAUUAUGCCCUUCAAAAAAUAUUCAUUGUUCCUGCACUUUGCAAAUGGUUGAGGAUACAAAAAGGGGGUAGGUUGAAAGUGGAAAAUGACAACUAGCGGUUGCGAUUUAACCAUCUGCUUUGGUUGGUGGUUUAGUGGGACUUAAGUGAGGGAAAACUACCUCUAGUGAUAAAGUCGCAAGCAAACAGAUUUUGUAUCGAGACAAUUUCAUUACUCCUUAUCAAAACUGUUUUGUUUUAUCUCCAUAACAAGAUUGGGACAAGAUUAUGAUUUUAUAAAACAUCACAUAAUUAACACUUUUAUGCUUAAAUGGUCCAAAUGCCCAUUUCUCCUUAUAGGGAGGAGUAGAGGCAAUUGAGGAAUUCAUUGAAUAAUUUAUAUCUACAAAAGCGUAGGAGUUUGGAUAAUUGACAUCCCUCCAUAACAGAGAUACAGACAUCCCACUUUUCUACACCACUUUCAAGGAUCGCUAGGCAAAUAUUAUUGCCAAUAAUAAUAUCGCAAUGAUGGCCGUGCUAUCUAGUUUUCUAAAGGGGCUUAUUAAGCAUAUUUAAUAGAAAUUUUUGCAAUUGUAUUGGUAUGAGAUGAUAAAGCAAUCAACCACUCAAAAUAUUCAUCGUAAGAAUAGGUACAUUUAACUAUGGAACAAAAAGUGCUCGAUAUCCUCGUAAUUCUGCGCCAGCAUUAUAAGAAAUACUUCCUCAUUGCAAAAUUUCAAGUGUUUUGAAAAAUCUUAUAAAUAGAGUGAUGGAAAAAAGGCGUCUUACAACGACCAAAUUAAAUGAGAGACAAUCGAAUUGAUGGGUUAGAACUUUGAAUAAUUCAAAGAGUCUAAAAGCCGUCAGACUUGAAUUUUAUUCGCAGUAGGCGGAGAAAACAUGCAAGUUGUGACAAGUGGCGCGCAUGACAACCAUUCUGUUCCAGAAAUAGUUUCUGGAACAGAAAUAGAUUUUUCUAUUUCUAUUUCUAGAAGAGUUUCUAAGCAAAAAUAACCGUUUGAUAACGACACAAAAUUUCUACUCUAAAAAUAGAAAUUCAUUUGAUAACGACACAAAAUUUUUUCCUUUCGGACGGCGGUGGCAACGACCGAUGACCUUUAAUAUAAAAAAUAAAAAUAAAAAUGAUUUAGUAACAAAAAAAUAAUUAAUAAAAUAAAAUAAAAUAAAUCAUAAAAAAAUAAAAAUAUCAUUUUAUUUUAAAAUAAAAAUAUCCUUAAAAAUAAAUUUAUUUUAAAAUGAAUAAAAAUAAAAAAUAAAAAUAAUUUUAUUUGGCAAAACACUCAAGGCAAAUAAAAAUAAAUUUAUUAAAUUUAUUUUUAAUAAAUUUAUUUUUAAUAGAAAUAAUUUAUUUUUAUUUAUCAUAAAUAAAUUAUUUUUAAUAAACUAAAAAUAAAAUGAUAAAAAAAAUAAUUUCUUUAUUUUAAAAAAUUUAUUUUUAUUUUUAAAUGAAUAAAAUGAAUAUUUUUAUUUUUAUUUUUAUUUAUUUUUAAUAAAAUGAGGAGAGGCGGAGGAGGAGGAGGAGGCAGAGACGUAGAAGAGAUGAGGGAGGACUCACCGAAAUUAGGGUUUAGUGAGAGAAAUUAUUUCUGAUUUCUCUUCCAGAAAUCAGAAGUAUAAAAUUUUAUUUAUCAAACGGAUUUUUCUUCUAGAAACUGGUUUGGAAAAUUUUAACUUUUGAUUUCUUUUCCAAACCUAUUUCUGAAAUAGAAAUCUAUUCCAGAAAUAGAAAAACUGAAUAGGUUUAUCAAACGGAUUUCUCUUCCAGAAACUGGUCUGGAACAUAAAAACUAUUUCUGGAACAUAAAUUUUGGGUUGUCAUGCACCCCCUUAGUCAACCAUCACCAUUCUCCCUUAGACUUGGCCAAAAUGGUACCAGAGGCAAAAGUGAAAGUGACCCUGUACCAAGAAAAGCACCUUCAUUCUCUUUACCCAGUUAGACUACCUAGUAAUAAUCAUUUCAUGCCUUCUACAUUUGUUUUUGGGUUUUCACUUACAUUGUUUUUUCUUUGUAUCUUUUGUUCCUUUUCCCCUUAAAAUUCGACAUCAUUAAGAAUUUGAAGUCAUGUUCCUUUUUACUACCUUCGUUUCUUUAGUUGGUAAUGGUAGAUUAGCUUCAGCUAUCUUGUAGUCCACAGGAGUGCUAUGUCCAUGUAAUCCUGGAAAAAAAAAACAAAAUGAAUGCAUUGGAGGAUCUAAUGUUUCGGGGGGAAUUCGAAUGUUAAAUGGCAAUUAAGUAAUCAGGACUUGAAAUUACACUUGUGAUCAUGCUUUUUGGGCAGAUAUCGACUAAUGUUAUCAGAUUACUUUGGUUUCUGUUUGCCUUUUGUCUUUUUGUGUCAGGAAGAAGAAAACUCAAUGGAAUAUUCAUUGGAGAGGUUUCUAGGAGAAGCUAGCUAUGUGCGGUCUCUAAUGCUUUUGAUUCCGUUAAAUAUUUUGAAUAGACAAGGUACAUGUCCAUUUUUCUUAAGAUGGCCGAUAGUAAGAACUAUUAAUAUGAAACAAUAAUAANNNNNNNNNNNNNNNNNNNNNNNNNNNNNNNNNNNNNNNNNNNNNNNNNNNNNNNNNNNNNNNNNNNNNNNNNNNNNNNNNNNNNNNNNNNNNNNNNNNNNNNNNNNNNNNNNNNNNNNNNNNNNNNNNNNNNNNNNNNNNNNNNNNNNNNNNNNNNNNNNNNNNNNNNNNNNNNNNNNNNNNNNNNNNNNNNNNNNNNNNNNNNNNNNNNNNNNNNNNNNNNNNNNNNNNNNNNNNNNNNNNNNNNNNNNNNNNNNNNNNNNNNNNNNNNNNNNNNNNNNNNNNNNNNNNNNNNNNNNNNNNNNNNNNNNNNNNNNNNNNNNNNNNNNNNNNNNNNNNNNNNNNNNNNNNNNNNNNNNNNNNNNNNNNNNNNNNNNNNNNNNNNNNNNNNNNNNNNNNNNNNNNNNNNNNNNNNNNNNNNNNNNNNNNNNNNNNNNNNNNNNNNNNNNNNNNNNNNNNNNNNNNNNNNNNNNNNNNNNNNNNNNNNNNNNNNNNNNNNNNNNNNNNNNNNNNNNNNNNNNNNNNNNNNNNNNNNNNNNNNNNNNNNNNNNNNNNNNNNNNNNNNNNNNNNNNNNNNNNNNNNNNNNNNNNNNNNNNNNNNNNNNNNNNNNNNNNNNNNNNNNNNNNNNNNNNNNNNNNNNNNNNNNNNNNNNNNNNNNNNNNNNNNNNNNNNNNNNNNNNNNNNNNNNNNNNNNNNNNNNNNNNNNNNNNNNNNNNNNNNNNNNNNNNNNNNNNNNNNNNNNNNNNNNNNNNNNNNNNNNNNNNNNNNNNNNNNNNNNNNNNNNNNNNNNNNNNNNNNNNNNNNNNNNNNNNNNNNNNNNNNNNNNNNNNNNNNNNNNNNNNNNNNNNNNNNNNNNNNNNNNNNNNNNNNNNNNNNNNNNNNNNNNNNNNNNNNNNNNNNNNNNNNNNNNNNNNNNNNNNNNNNNNNNNNNNNNNNNNNNNNNNNNNNNNNNNNNNNNNNNNNNNNNNNNNNNNNNNNNNNNNNNNNNNNNNNNNNNNNNNNNNNNNNNNNNNNNNNNNNNNNNNNNNNNNNNNNNNNNNNNNNNNNNNNNNNNNNNNNNNNNNNNNNNNNNNNNNNNNNNNNNNNNNNNNNNNNNNNNNNNNNNNNNNNNNNNNNNNNNNNNNNNNNNNNNNNNNNNNNNNNNNNNNNNNNNNNNNNNNNNNNNNNNNNNNNNNNNNNNNNNNNNNNNNNNNNNNNNNNNNNNNNNNNNNNNNNNNNNNNNNNNNNNNNNNNNNNNNNNNNNNNNNNNNNNNNNNNNNNNNNNNNNNNNNNNNNNNNNNNNNNNNNNNNNNNNNNNNNNNNNNNNNNNNNNNNNNNNNNNNNNNNNNNNNNNNNNNNNNNNNNNNNNNNNNNNNNNNNNNNNNNNNNNNNNNNNNNNNNNNNNNNNNNNNNNNNNNNNNNNNNNNNNNNNNNNNNNNNNNNNNNNNNNNNNNNNNNNNNNNNNNNNNNNNNNNNNNNNNNNNNNNNNNNNNNNNNNNNNNNNNNNNNNNNNNNNNNNNNNNNNNNNNNNNNNNNNNNNNNNNNNNNNNNNNNNNNNNNNNNNNNNNNNNNNNNNNNNNNNNNNNNNNNNNNNNNNNNNNNNNNNNNNNNNNNNNNNNNNNNNNNNNNNNNNNNNNNNNNNNNNNNNNNNNNNNNNNNNNNNNNNNNNNNNNNNNNNNNNNNNNNNNNNNNNNNNNNNNNNNNNNNNNNNNNNNNNNNNNNNNNNNNNNNNNNNNNNNNNNNNNNNNNNNNNNNNNNNNNNNNNNNNNNNNNNNNNNNNNNNNNNNNNNNNNNNNNNNNNNNNNNNNNNNNNNNNNNNNNNNNNNNNNNNNNNNNNNNNNNNNNNNNNNNNNNNNNNNNNNNNNNNNNNNNNNNNNNNNNNNNNNNNNNNNNNNNNNNNNNNNNNNNNNNNNNNNNNNNNNNNNNNNNNNNNNNNNNNNNNNNNNNNNNNNNNNNNNNNNNNNNNNNNNNNNNNNNNNNNNNNNNNNNNNNNNNNNNNNNNNNNNNNNNNNNNNNNNNNNNNNNNNNNNNNNNNNNNNNNNNNNNNNNNNNNNNNNNNNNNNNNNNNNNNNNNNNNNNNNNNNNNNNNNNNNNNNNNNNNNNNNNNNNNNNNNNNNNNNNNNNNNNNNNNNNNNNNNNNNNNNNNNNNNNNNNNNNNNNNNNNNNNNNNNNNNNNNNNNNNNNNNNNNNNNNNNNNNNNNNNNNNNNNNNNNNNNNNNNNNNNNNNNNNNNNNNNNNNNNNNNNNNNNNNNNNNNNNNNNNNNNNNNNNNNNNNNNNNNNNNNNNNNNNNNNNNNNNNNUUUUAUUCACGCUCGUGUGGUAAUUUUUUAUAAUAUUUUAUUUUUUCAAAUUUUUCUAUUUUUCUAUUUUUUUUCUUUCUUCUUCCUCUUUGCCUUCUUUUCUCGCUGUGGCCGGCGAGCCUCCGACCGGCAAGGCUCUGGCGAGACUCGCCGGCCAUUGGACGAGGGCCGUGACCUCGCCCAGCCUCACCCACCCUCGCCAGCGGCCUCGUCCAUGGCUGGCGAGGCUCGCCGGCCUCUCGAAGGAGGAGAAAGUCCCCUUUCCUCUCUCUUCCAUAAUCUCUCGCUCCUCAAUCUGUCUUCUUCCUCCUCUUCUCGGUUAGCACCAGGAGCUCUCUCGAUCUCCUCCAUUGCAUUCCAUCCCCUCCAAUCUCUCUCUCCCUUCCUCUCUCUUCCAUAAUCUCUCGCUCCUCGCCUCGAUUUCCCAAACCAUUCUCCAAGGACUCGCAGGUGGGUAAGUGCGUUUGGUUUUUUCCGUUUCGCCGAAAUCGCGUCGCUUUCUUGGAAAUGUUCCGGCUCCGCCUAUGAUCCGAAUUCCGCUCGCGUCCCUGCUUCAAGGCUCGAUUCUCGUCCUGGUGUCGAAUUUCCUCAUUCUGCUCUUGCUUUCUUAGCAAUCCGCUGUGCUGGUUGAGUCAUGCCCCUCUGCAUUUUUUGGUUCGAAACUCUUAGAGCAGUUUCGUGAUUUAAGCGGGGGCCUGGCGAUGGGUUGCUGAGCCAAUCUCCCCCGAGGUAUAGUCGGUGCUAUGCUCCCGUAAGGUGAGCUAGGCCGGAUCCUCGGCAUAAAAAAGAAAAGAAAAAAGUCUUUCAUUAAGGGCCCUCACCUUUGGUUCAUCUACACGUUAAAUUCCUUUAAUGAAUGACCCCGCUCUUAAGUUACUAAAAUUUCAUUUGCUUUAUUUGAAGUAAAGCGCAGGUAGAUAAGUAGAUUAUGCAUAUGAAAAAUUGGACAUUGUAGCAGGUGUAUGUGUAGAUUAUGGGAAAUUGGAUCUUGUUGCUUUAAACCUGCUUCGUCCUUUUCUAAGCAAGAGGAUUCAACAUUCUCUUUUUCAUUUUCUUUUUUUGUUUUUUUUGGGGGGGGGGGGGGGGGGGGGGGGGGGUUAAAAAUAAAAAAUCUUUUCAAGGUUAGUGUUUGUAUCUUUUGAUUCACCUCAUCCAACAACCUACGAAGUAGGAACGAAAAAAAAUAAAAAAAACCCGCAGGGGGGCGGGGAANNNNNNNNNNNNNNNNNNNNNNNNNNNNNNNNNNNNNNNNNNNNNNNNNNNNNNNNNNNNNNNNNNNNNNNNNNNNNNNNNNNNNNNNNNNNNNNNNNNNGAGUAAAGUAUAAAUGUACCAUAUUUUAUGUUAUUCCUGACUUGAUGUUUGUAUUUUAUUACCCUUAGCACGUGGAAUUGCAGAUGACUACAUUAGCUAACAAAAAAUGGCCCAACUUGUUGAGGCUGCAUCUACUCACAACUUCACGUGAUCACUAAUGAUGGAACAAAUAUAUGAUAUUUACAUAUAAUAAAUAUAACUUUUUGGCAGUCUAAUCUAUUAUAUGAAUGAGGGCAAAAAGAAUUUAGUAUGUUAAAAUAAGAUAUCAGGUAACAACUUAGGGUUUUACGGUGGUGUGUGUGAACUUUAUCUUCGUUAAAUAAGUAAUGAUACUCGGAAAAACAGGAUAAAAGAGUGAGAAUAUGACCAUUUUAAAUAAAUUUGGAGAAUGAUGUCUUUCGGUUGAGUUGAAGAAAAUAAUUGGAAGCAUACUAGUCAACAUUUGCAAAAGUUGCCGAUAAAGGAGAUGGUUUCGGGCCUUUAAAGAGUAGCAUCAUCUGAAAAUCAAUUUCCACUAUGAGCAACCAGACUCUAACAUGAGUAUUAUUCUUUCGUGGCCCGAUAUAAGUGUUGAUUAAAACAUCUUUUAGCAAAAGACCAAUUAUUUGAGAACGUCUAUUAGCAAAAAAAAAACCAAUUUGAGACCAUAGCAUUAAUAUGUUAAUGAAUGAAGAAAUCAAUUAGAUGUUGAGGUUGCAAUAGCAUGGUCAAUGAAGAAAAAUGAAAUUAGAAAAGAAUUGCUGUCUCUUUUCAUGUCAUCGAUAAUGAAGAAAGGAGGGCGUUGAGAUCGUCUCCAUCAACAAGUCGGAAUUCCAUCUGGAUUUUGGUUAAAGAUGUCUUAGGGGAUCGAGAUACCUGGCGAUCUCCGGCCCUCGUCGUCAUUUCCCAUUAAUAUGAUACACUAGUUCUCUAAUAAUCAGUUAAUUGCAAGUUGUCUCGAUAAAGUUGUGAUAUUUUGGUACCUUGUUUUGUUUCUCUGUCCGAUGGUCAUUUGCAAUUCUUUCUCUGAGCAAAUGUGACAGAACCACGUGAUGAUUCUGUUCUCAUCAUUGCCCUCUAAAAUACGUUUCUGAACUAACAAUUUCUUAAUUGUAAGUUGUCUUUUUGAUGAACAAUGAACGUGGGUGUUUGUGCGGCACAUUGACCUGUUGACUGCUAAUUGUUUUUCUUGAUUUCUGUAGCAGCAAACGGCCACUCCAAUAAGUCGGGCUUAGUAACUGCGGCAAGAACUCAGUAAAGAAUCCCUUCAUCCUUUAGCCAUUCCAGUCGAAGCUGAAGGCAUUGAAACAUCUUCCUCCAUUACAUUUUCUCUUCAGUGAAUUUUCAGUUCCCUGCUGUAUUCUUCCCCCAGUGUCCACUUGUUUUUGCGUCAUGCUGAUAUGUCCAUGUAUAUUCUGGUGUUAUCAGGACUGGUUUUGGCCUGCAUUGCCCGUCACCCAUCUUGCAGAGAAAUUAGCAAUGAAGCCAAGAAAUCUCGGAUUCCUUGCAUCCUUACAGUGAAGCCACUCCUGGUAUGUGUGUCAUCAUAUAUCUACUUUUCGUAUGCUAUCGGCUCUUGUUUCACAUUCAACCUUUCUGUUUGGUAAUUUGGUUGUAUUGAUCUUACCCUACAAAACCCAAAAGCAAAAAAAAACAUGGAAGAAGAAACAAAAUGGGUGAAAUAAUUGCAACACAAACUCAUUUCAGAUGCAUCUAUGUUUGUGUCUCUAAGGUUUUAUGCGUCACUAAAUUUGCUUAAAUGAAACUAUAAUAAUAUUUAUAAAGAUCAAAAAGGUCAAAAAAAUGAAUAGAAAGACUAUUUUCUUUUGUUGAUUUAGCAAAAUAAAUAAAAAUAAAAAUAUAUUCUAAAAUAUGACAAAUAGUGUAAUAAUGAAAAAUUGUGAAUGCUACGGAAGAAUUAAUUUGACUUUAUCAUGCAAAGUCGAGAGAUCGNNNNNNNNNNNNNNNNNNNNNNNNNNNNNNNNNNNNNNNNNNNNNNNNNNNNNNNNNNNNNNNNNNNNNNNNNNNNNNNNNNNNNNNNNNNNNNNNNNNNNNNNNNNNNNNNNNNNNNNNNNNNNNNNNNNNNNNNNNNNNNNNNNNNNNNNNNNNNNNNNNNNNNNNNNNNNGCUUAUAUUGUUUUCAAAUAUUGCCUAUAAUCAGAGACCGAAAGGGCUGACUAAAACUCAUUCGUUUUUUUCUUGAAAGGUGGGUAUGCGAAAACCUUUAAUUAAGGGCCUUCACCUUUGGUUCAUAUAUCUAUACAUAAAAUUUCUUUAACGGACAACCUUGCUCUUAACCUACUAAAAUUCCAUCUGCUUUAUUCGUAGUAAAAUGCAAGAUUAUAUUUAUAGGGAAUUGGAUAUAGUUGUUUUAAACCUUCUUUAUCCGUUUACUAAUGGAGAGGAUCCCACACUAAUAAACGUUUUCAAACAUGUGGAGAUAGAGUGAGACCUUUGCAAAUACAUGCUAAUCAAACUUACUCGAUUGAUAACAAACGAGUAAAAUAUAAAUUGCAACAUAUUUUAUGUCUUCUUGACUUGACGCUUGUAUUUUAUUAUGCUUAGCACGUGACUACAUUAUCUAACAAAAUAGGGCCCCACUUGUUGAGGCUCCAUCUACCUCACAACCUCAAUUGAUAAGUGAUGAAAGAACAAAUGAUAAAAAUUUAAAUAUGAUAAAUGUAACUUUUUGACAUUGAAUUGGAAAAAAAAGAAUCUAACAUGUUAAAAUAACACAUCAGGUAACAUUUUAGGUUUUGUUGUGGCUUGUGUGAGCUUCCUAAUCGCUAAGGAGUAAUGAUACUCGAAAGGAAUAGAAUAGAAGAGCGAGGAUAUGACCAUCCAACAAAAUUUUGUUGGUUAGAACCUUUUGCUUCAGUUAAAUCUAAUGAAUCAAAAAGAUGUGUCCUUUUUUUCUUAACAUGACCGACAAAAAGAUCUUGAUUUUUUUUUUGUCGAAAGAAAAUUGUAUUCAUUACUCAAAUGGAUGCAAAAGUACACAACCUUCAUGACAAAACAAAUCGAAACAGAGCGAAAGUACUGAAAAACAAAGUCAAAUCCAUAACACAAGGAGGAUUGAUGGAGCAAUUGCAAAGUUAAGCACAAACUCAUACCACAUGAACAAAUCUAUCAAACAAAAUCGACGUCUGGUCACUGGAUCUUGUAUCUUUGUCAGUGAUGAGCACAAGCCAAAAAUUCCUUCUUUAAUAAUUAUGACAUUGCCAUUUGGUGAUGCGCGCCUAGAUUUGGCUUCCUCUACACCAUCGUCAUAUGAAAGCUAUCAUAACAGGCUAAAUAAAUACAGAUCUAACAUGUGGAUGAGCAAAUCUUUGAAAUUCAACGAGAUGCCAAAACUCUUGCAAUCAUCAUUGAUACUCGAGUAGAGAAUUUGUACACGAACACAAACAGAGCACAUGGGCAUCGAAUUCCCAAAAGCAUAUUGAUUAAACUCUUAAAUCUAAAUCGAGAGAGAAUAGCAUCCAAAUCUAGAAUUAGAUCGAGAGAGUUCAAACUCUCAAAUUAAGAACUAGACCAGGAGAAGAGAACUCCCAAAUCUAAAUUAAGAGAGAAAAAAAAAGUAAGAAAAGAACAAUAAACGCAAACAAAAUCAACAAAAGAGAGGGGAGAUUGAGACUAGCUCAAACCCUCCCCAUGGUUGAAGGUUGAAGAAGAUGAUGGGAAAAGAGAGAGAAGAGAGAAAAAAGAUUUUGAAUUUGCCAAUUAAUUUAAUGCAUUAAUUGAAUUAUAAAACAUAAUUAUGAGGGGUGGAGGUUGACAACGCCUGAUUAUUUAGGAUGUCAUCUUGCCACCCAAUUUUGACCAUUGAACAUAAUCCACUCUUUUUGGUUCUCUUCCCUCCCAAUAAACAUGCACCUCUUUUAGUAAAUUUAUGAGUUAAUAAGGUAUUGCCAAUUACUCCGACCACUUUCAAUUCACUCCAAGUAUGUCGUGUGGGAUUUUGUUUAUUUCCCACCUCACGUGUGCACCAGAUAUUCUCCCCCUCACAUGACCAUUGCCAAUUGAAACACGAUCUCUUGUUUUGUGAAUCAUUGAAUACUUCCUUUUUAUCCCAAAUGUCCGAUUUCGUAUUGCCGAUUUUCAAGAAAUUUUUUUUUUUUAGAUUUAAGGAAAAUGAUUAUACUAAGCACUCAAAUGAUUUAAGUAAAUUGCAUUUCUUGUUAAAAGAGCCAAAUUAACUGACGGAAGCGCAUGAGUCCAUGCAGUAAAAUAAAAUAGGCUUUAACAUUUACGACGACAGUGGAAGUUCCUAACUACCAACGUUUAUUCAGCUAAAUAUUUUCAAACAUAGCGUAAUUAAUAAGUAAUUUAUCGGAUCAUCCAGACUAGUGCCAGAAAAUGUGUAGGGUACCGAAGAAAUUAAUACUUAAACCAUUAAUAUUAUGUUUUGACUUGGUUAUGCCUCAUAAGUCCUUUCGUCUCCAAUCAAGCCAUUGAUGAUGCCGGAUGCAUUUUCAAAGGGGUUUAUCAUGAUUAAGGUUCUUUCCACAUACCCAAUAGAUGACGCAGCAGAUUAGUUCAUCUUUUAGGACCAUGAACCCAAAUUAUCCUGUAUCUCUUCCUAAAAAAAAUGCUUUGAAAAGUAUCUUAUAAGUCUCGAUGUACACCAAUUCGGUCGAUUUACAUACGCUCAUGUGGAUCAGUCAAACUUCAUUUUUCAUUUUUCUUUUAUGGAUUUAAAAACUUCAAAAGUUUAAGUACUUCUUGUUUAUACCAAAAAAUAUAUAUUAAAUAAGGAAAAAUUAACUUUUUCGCGCUUUUUUAAUUAGGCUGAGAAGGUUCUUUGGAUGAAAAUUCCAGGUCUGUAAAAUAUUAUAUUAAAUGGCCAAAAUGACUCCGCAUUUCGAAUGUCAAAAAAAAAAAAAAAAAAAGCACCCACUCUUAAUGGACGGAUCCAAAUGGCCACCAUUAUAUUUCCCUCCAAAUGAAUUACGUGCAGUUGACAAAUAUGCUUACAUCUAAGAUGACAUGUCCUUUUUUUAUUAUAAAAAAAGUUUAAAAAAGUGAAAAUAAUAAUUUUAAACACAAAAUAGGAUGUUUUCUAUCAAAGAAAAGAAUAAAACGAAACUGGAAACAGUGAGAGGGGAAGGGGCUGUGUCCGGCGGUGGUGGCCACGCUGGCAUCGAGAUAAGCAUGGCCGCAACCGCUGCCGCGUCGCUCUUGGUGCUCUUUUCGACUCCAGUAGCCGACGACAUAAUCAGUUUUUCCACGACACAUAAUUUGCAAAGGCGACCAUGGAGAAAGCGCCGUUCGCAGCAUCACUCGCGACAGGGUGUCUACCCUUGUCUUGCUCGGCCUCACCAUCUCUAUUAUUUAUCUCACGUAAAAAAGAAACAACAUAAAAGAAAAAGAAUGGCCGCAAUCACAAAUCCGCUCAUAAAGUCGUGAAUUUUUGUCGCCUUCUUUUGUUUGUCUUUGUUUGAUGGUCAUUUGCAAUUAUUUAUGUGGGCAAGUUGGACAGAAGUCACAGAACCGCGGUGAUGAAACUUCGCUCAAGCCAAAAAGUAGGACUUAGUAGUGUUCUGUAUAAAAAUGCCUCAAGUCAUCCCAUUACAAUUUAGAAGAAUUGAAAAGCUACAUUAAAGAAUUAACAAUCUAAGUAAAGUAGUUCUGACCCAAAAAAAAAAAAAUCCAAGUAAAGUAGUUUAUGGACAAAAAUUACAGAAUUACCAAUUUUACAAAAAUUAAUCCAUCAUAAUUUACAGAAAGUAUGGUUGAUUAAUGUUCAAUUGAUUUUCAAACAUAGAAGGAUAUUUUAGUCAAUUACUAUAAACAUAGAAGGUGAAGAGAACAUAUGAGAGAGAAAAAAGUGGGUGAAUUGGUGGUUGACCUUGUUUUCCGAAGGUAGAAGGCUAUCUUGGUCAAUUGAUAAUAGGAAGUUUGUAUUAAAUUAAAGAGGAGGUGGUAACUGCCCCACAUCUCUUUUAUGUAAAAUAAGAUAAUAAGAUCUGAACCUUUACUUGGUGUGACUUUAUUCCAAUUCACAAUAUGUCAAAUUUAGAUGUAGCCAUUUGAGAAAAAAAAAUCUCUUUUAAUAAAUUAAAAAGAUCUGUGUGCUCUAAUAAUUGUUUGUAACCUCUUCCAUACUCAAGUCCGAGUAAUGGAUGGUACAAACAUCACAACAAGUAACAGUUAUCGAAUUUUUUCUUCUUUUUUUUUUCAAAAAGUACUUAUUGAUUUCUUGUAAAUCAUGAACAUACAAAGAAAUGUUUCAAGCUUUAAAAUAUUGGGAAAAAGUUCUAAAUAAUUCUAUCAGUCAAUAAUUAAAAGUCCUAAAUUGGAAUGCACUUAAACUUUCUCGCGGAAACACUAUGAGAGCGUGGAAUUGUGGCGGAGUCUACAAAAUUUGUUGAAGCCCUCGAAGAGUCAUCCCCAUAAAUAAGAAACUAAAAAUAAAGAAAAAAGGAUAAUAGAAAAAAUAAAUGAAGAAAUUUAGCCUUCUACUGCACGUGGUUGACCAGUAACGUGUUGUCUGUCCUCGCAAGAUCGUCUGCAAAUCGUCCACAGAGACCAGUAACGUGUUACUUCGGUGCAUUGAGUGCGGUGAGCCAAGGAGCAACCGAAUUUUCCCAUCAAGUGCUCCUUCUUUUCAGUAUGCGUUGUGCUGAUGUCUUUCUUUUCUUCGAUUCUGUUUUCAUCCUCGAUCUGAUUCUAAAUUGCUCUUGCUGAUAUUCCUCAGUCUCCCUGUUUAUUUACAUUACUAUUGCUUCCGUACACUCAAGGCUCUCUCUCUCUCUCUCUCUCCUCUGGUUUUGUUUCACAGUUCUCGUUGUUUUAUGACUUUGCUCUUCCUUUCUUUUCAUACACCGAAUGAUUAGGGAUUGUCACUGCUACGACAAGAGGAACAAAAGAGGGAGGUGGAGGGAAAAGGGAUUUCUGGAAAUUAAAGCAGAAAAAAUGUGUGACGCAUUUGCUACGUCCAUUGCAUCAAAUCUUGUGUCGAAACUAGGUGAGUAUCUGUUUGCUCCCAUUGGACGUCAAUUUGGGUACGUCCUGUCCUACAAGAGCUAUGUUGAAGAUCUCAAGAAAGAAGUCAAUGAUCUGAAGAAUGCAAGGGAAAGGGUGCAAUCCUCCGUAGACAAAGCCGCGUAUGACGGGAAACCUAUAUUCACCGAUGUUAAGGUUUGGCUGGAAAAUGUGGAGGAGGAGGUUAAGGAAGCAGAAAACUUAUUAAGAGAUGGCGAAAGUGCCAAAAGUGCUUGUUUCCGUGGGUGGCUUCCCAACCCCGUAGUGUGCCAUUCAAUUGGUAGAAAAGUGGAGAAGAUGACUCAAGUCAUUCAAGAACUCCAUAAGAAAAGUAACUUCCCGGAGGUCCACUACGACUAUCCUCCGAUAGGAAUUGUCACUGCUACCACUUCCGUUGUUGCAUAUGCCGACAACGAUGAAGAUGUCCUGGAGUCAAGGGUUUCAUUCGUAGAGAAGGUAAUUAAGGCUAUAGCUGAUGACAAGGUAAGUGUGGUUGGGGUGUAUGGACCAGGUGGGUUAGGCAAGUCCAAGCUUUUGACGGAUAUCGAAAGGCGAGCAAAGAAAGAGAAGCUAUUUGAUGUGGUUGUCACAGCAGAUGUAUCACGCAAUCCAAAUCUUAGAAGAAUCCAAGGAGAAAUUGCUUAUGCAUUGGGUCUAAAGAUAAUGAAUGAGGAAACUGCUCGUGGGAGAGCAGAUCUUUUGCGCAAGAGGUUAGAGAGUGGUUCUAAAAAAAACAUUCUCAUAAUUUUAGAUAAUUUGUGGAAGAAGCUGGAGUUGAAUGAAGUUGGAAUCCCUUGUGGAUUUGAUAAUGAAGUAAGAGGCUGCAAGCUAUUGCUAACGUCUAGAAAUCGAGAUGUUUUACGUAUUGACAUGGGCUCUGACAAAGAGUUCCGACUCAAUGAGUUAGAGCAUGAAGAAGCACGGAGACUUUUUGAAAGGACAGUGGGGGACAAAGUUAAUGAUCUUGAUAUUAAACCCUGGGUAGAUGGAGUGGUCAAGAAUUGUGGAGGCUUGCCACUUUUGAUUGUUUCGUCGGCAAAAAGGUUGAAACACGGAGAGUUGGCUGCAUGGAGGAAUGCUUCGACCCAUAUAGACGCGUCGGAUGUAAAAUUAAUAGCUGAACAAAAUUACAAUGACUUAGGAGACGAGAGGAUCAGAAAAUUGUUCUUGGUUUGUGCUCUAGACUCUAGCAGUAUUGCCAUGAGGUGUACCCUUCCCUACUGCAUGAGUAUGGGCUUAUAUAAACAAUUCAGCAUGACCAUCGAAAGCGCUAGAGAUAGGUUGGUAAUGGAUUUACGUUCCCUGCAAAACUCUUCUUUGUUAUUAGAUGGUGAUGACAUGGAAGACCUCAAAAUGCAUGACAUACUUGUUGACAUGGCCAUCUCUAUUAGUUCCACAGAGUGGAAGGCCUUGAUUGGGAGGAAAGAUUAUGGGUUUAAAGAAUGGUCAAAGGAUGAUCUCAGCAAAUGCACCGCGAUAUCCUUCCGUUUUGUGGGCAUUGAUGAGCUUCCAGAGCAAUUAGAUUGCCCAAACUUGAAGAUGCUUCUGUUAUCUGAAGACAACCAGUCUCUUAAAUUUCCUGAGUCAUUUUUUGAAUCUAUGGAGAAGCUCCAAGUCUUGGACUUGACUUGCUUAUCUUUCACCUCUCUACCUACGUCAAUUGAAUUCCUUGAAAACCUCAAUUCGUUGUGCCUUGAUUACUGCCAUCUGAAGGAUGUGACUGUUCUUGGAAAGCUGAAGGGAUUGCAAUUCCUAAGUCUCCACGGAUCUAUAAUCGCUCGGCUGCCCAAAGAAAUAAGUGGACUAACAGAAUUGAGAUUUUUGGACUUAAGAGAGUGCUUAAGGCUCCAAAUUAUUGAACCUGGCGUACUUGAAAACUUAGUUAAUUUAGAAGAACUGUAUAUUGAUGAAUUUUGUCAAUGGGAAGCCGAGGAUGAAGCACCGCGAAGCAACGCCAGCCCGGCUGAGUUGAAGAACAUGAAAAAGUUGAGAACUUUGCACAUUACCAUUCCUCAUUCUACCAAUCUCUCAAGCGACCUGCCUUUCGGGAAUCUAAACGAGUAUAAAAUCCAAAUUGGGGCAGUUACGCAUUGGUGCGAUGAAUACAAAGAAUCCAGAAGUUUGAAGCUCAAGUUGGAUUCUGGCAAUCUUCUCCGUAACACGUGUAUGCAGGAAUGUUUGGGGAGAACGCAAGAUCUCUGCUUGGAUGGAUUGCAAGAUGACACAGAUAGCAUUCAUGACUUGUGCGCCAAAGGUUUUCGGGAAUUGAAGCAUUUUUGUGUAAAAAAUAACCUCUCACUUCAAUAUGUUGUUGGCUCCACACAGUCCACUGGAUUUAUGAGACUGGAAUCAUUGGUUCUACAGAAUUUGAACAAUUUGAAGAAGAUUUGCCGCGAUUGUCUUACCCCGGAAUCCUUUAGCAAAUUAAAGAUUGUGAAAGUGGAAAACUGUGAUGAAAUUAAACAUUUGUUUCCUUCGUCCAUGACAAGAAUAUUCUUGCAGCUAGAAGAGAUUGAAAUAAAUAGAUGCCACUUGAUGCAACAAAUUGUGGGAGAUGACGAGAUAGAUGAAUACAGAGAUGAGAUUGAUGAUGAUGCCAACGUGAAGUCAUGCAAGCUGCGAAGGCUAACGUUACAAAACUUGCCAGAGAUGAUGAGCUUCUAUAAAACCGUGGACCAUUCAGUCGUAUUCUUGGAUGGGCAACAGGUAAAUUUCAUGCUUUCUAAAAGUAUCAUCUUUCCAUUCAUCCGGACCAUCCUGAUUGGAGGAAACCUUCUCCGACUAGUCUUCUGAUGAAUGAGUUAUGAACAUGGAUAUUGCCUUCAACUGAAUAUGUUAAUCGUAGGAAAAAUACUGGUGUAAGAGUGAGUUAGUUCACUACUCAAUUCGUGAUACUCUCGAUAAUAAAAUCUGAGGAAAGAUAGACAAAAUAACAUAAAUUAAGUUUCCGAUUUUUAUAGCCUUUUCCAAUUUCCUCCAUGCCUUUCAAAGGUAUCAGUUGAAGCCCCCGGCAUUUUACGGUCUUCUUAAAAAAUGACUUGUUGAAAUAUUUACUUUGGAGAGAUAAUGAAUAGAAAUUUUGUGUAAUUUUAACAAAGUAAUAUGUAUUAAUCAACCAAACGACAACAAUUAUUUAGUGAGAUUUGGGUCGUUUAGUGUUUUGUGUUAAAAACGUAUUGAGUUUAUUUGAAUUUGAUUAUUUAAAUAUUUGAUUUGUAAACACAUGAAAGUAUUGAAUCUAGAAUUAUCCUCAAUUUAUUUUUUAUGUGUUAAUUGAUGGACUAUUAUGUGACUACGAAAUGAAAAUUCAAAUAUAAUAUUCAAUAGGGCAGUUUGUUUUCAUUACCCCUGGUUGUAGAAUGGACCUUAUGUGGUGACCAAAUCUAGCACAAAUCUACAUUCUAACCACUUAUUCUAAUAUUAGUAGUAGAAUUUAUGUGCCCUGCAAAUGUUUAAAUUUCUUUUUUUUUUUUUUUGUAAUAAAAUAUUUUGAAAGCAUUUAUUAGAUAUACAUCUACCAUUCAUUUGUUCACUAUUGCUUGGACUUAACAGUUUCUGUAACUGUUCUGUUUGUAUAGAUUAAAAAUAUGGAAAACCUUUUUUAAAUUAUCUUAAAAUUAUGUUUAUAGUGUGACCCAAACUGCAAAAGCAUGAUGCUCGAUCAAAAUCAUUUAUUAAAUCAAUUGGCUACAUGACUAACUCUCCACAUAAAUUAAUCUUUUUUUAUGACGAGAAAGGGUAUAUUAGGGUCUUAUAUACGUAGAAUUAAACCUAUUGCUGAAAUUUACUUUGAAGCCCGUACGGUGCUGCUGCGACCAGUUCAUGGAUCUUAUGGCCAACCACGGACCUUAAAUUGAUGAACCCCUUUCUGACUUUGGUUCGAUAAGUCAUCGAUUCCGCCCUACAGAUAUACUAGAAUUUUAGCCCAUGUUAUGCACGGGGACAACAAAUUUUUCUGACUACUUCAUAAAUUUACAAUUACUUUUUACUUUCAAUCUUUUGAUAAGGCAUGUUUUUGUUUUUGGAACACUUUGAAGAAAAAAGCCAGACUCAAGUUACACGUUUUGAUCAAUUAAAAGUAUAUUUUUUAUCGGUUGGUCAAUCACAAGCCCUUUAAAUAAUGUUCAUUGUUAUGUUUAAUGUUGUUCUAUGUCUUUCUUUAACCUAAUAUGUUGUUAGUCCGUGAACAUUUGGUAGAAAAUAAUUAAGAUGGUUUUUGUAAAUUAUUAUUUGAGAUAUUAUAUAAUACCACAAUUAAUGACUAACAAGAAUUAAUUGAGUCUACGCCAUUAAUUUGUAAAAUUUGGAAAGCACAAAAUGUAAGCGCAAAUUCAAUAACCUCAAUACCCAUGGAUUAUAUCUUCCUUCUCUUGUCAUAUAUAUAAUAGAGCCCCAAUAGACAAUAAGGUGAAUGAUAAGUCAAGUGCAAAAGUUGAUAAAAGUUAAAGAAGAAAAAUGCAAAAUUGAAAAAUCACUACUCGGCCUUUUUUUCCCGUCAACUUCAAAUCCAUUAUGUGAGAUUAUUUCCCUAAUUAAUUUUUCACAAACAGCGCGUGUUCACAGCUUUUAGUUAUAAGCAUUGUGAGAUUAUGUGGGAUCAUCCACCCCUUGCUGCUAAAGAAGAAUCAAUGCAUAUACCUUUGUAACGUUAUUCUCCUAACUUUUUAAGGUUCCAUUGCCCUUGUUGGAGUACUUGACACUGUCUGAACUUCCCAAAUUGAAAGAGAUAUGGAAUUCUCAAUUUCCUUUGGAUGUGAGCAACCUAAAAUUUUUGAAGGUAGAGGAUUGUGCGUUCCUCUUGAGCAUCUUCCCAUCAAACUUGGUGACAAAGCUACAAAAUUUGGAAGCCAUAACCAUUGAAAGAUGUCAGUUAAUACAAGAAGUAUUCAAUGUUGAAGAACUGACAACUAGUGGGGAUGUCAAGAUUCUAUCACGAUUGAUGACAUUAACCUUGAGUGACUUACCAAGGUUGGGGCAUGUAUGGAACAAGAAUUCAAGAAUAGCGCUGUGUUUCCAAAACUUAAGGGUACUGAAGGUGCAAGGCUGUGAGAACUUGAGGUUUAUUUUUUCUUCUUCCAUGGCUAAAGCACUCCAACAAAUAAGAGAAAUAAAAAUAGCGAGAUGUAAACUGUUAGAGGAAAUUAUAAAUGUGCAAGAAGAAGGAUCAAAGAAAGCUGCAUCUAUGCACACUUUAGAGUUUCCUCUAUUAUCCUCCUUAUCUCUUGAGGAAUUGCCAAAUCUUAGAACAUUCUCUCAUGGGACACACCGUAUUCAUUGUCCAACCUUAACAAGAUUGAGGAUAUUUGGAUGCCCCAAGAUGAUGACAUUCUCUUCAUUUGAAGGAAACCAACAGACGAUAGCAACUAAUACAAGUUUACAACAAGCACUUGGUGGUGUCAACUCUAGCAUGUCCUUGCCUAUACUCUUCGAUCAAAAUGUACGUCAAUAUCUCUGGAAAUUUCUAUUAUAUGUUCAUCGUAGAAACUAUUCUUGGUAAUUGUAGUCUUAUCGCCGAUGAAGCAGUUGAAAACUUUGUCUGCAUGUCCUUUAAAGCCUCUUGCUACUGCAUGCAUUUGUCAUUUUUAUAUGAUGAUGGUAAUCUCGAGUAACCAACUUCAUUCAUAAGAAUAUCUUACAUAGCACAUAUCAUGGGUAAACCAACUUCGUCCAAAUCAGGAUUUUUAGGAGUUCUUGGUCGAGAAACUAACAUAUGGUUGUUGCAUACAGAUUCUUUUUCCCAGCUUGGAGGAGUUGACCAUCAUGUCAUGUGGGUUGAUGAAGAUAUGGCACAAUGAACUUUCUAAGGAAUCAUUCUGCAAACUAGCAUCCAUCACAAUCCGAGAUUGUGAAAAUUUGUCUCAUAUUUUUCCAUCAAAUAGAAUAGAGGUUUUCCGAAGCCUAAAAAUGGUUGAGGUGGUCAACUGUACCUCUUUGGAAUCAUUAAUCGAACUUGUUGCUGUCAAUACUAAGAAAAGGCCAAAAAGUCUAGUCUUCCGAAAAUUAAACGAAGUGAAGUUGUGGGACUUGCCGAGACUAGAUGCGUUAGUGACAAGUAGCUCCCAAGCAACUUUGAGUCUUCCUAGUCUGACUACUGUUAGCUUACGCAACUGCCAUAGUAUGAGAUAUCUCUUCACAUAUGAUACAUCCAAGACUCUUGAUAAACUUGAGAUGUUGGAUGUUUCUGAUUGCAAUAAGAUGCAGGAAGUAGUUGCCAUUGAAGAAAGUGAAGAGCAAAAGUUGAAGGCAAUGAAGUUCUCUUGUUUACAAACAUUGAAACUUUGUUCCCUUGAGAGCUUGAUUAGUUUCAGCUUAGGAAGUUGUGCAUUUGAGUUUCCCUCCCUCACAAACCUGUCAAUUCUGGAGUGCAUUGAACUCAAGGCAUUCAUAUUGAGGUUGCCAGCACCAAGGGUGGAGAUGACAAAUGAGGGAACUGCCAGUUCCAAUGAAAGUCCACAUUGUUUGUUUGAUGAUAAGGUUUUCCUCUUUCCUUUAUCUCGACUGGAUCGUUGUUCAUCUGAUUUGCUUCCUUCUUUGCGUUGCUCUAGAUAAAUAAGCAACUUUGCUUCAAUGCCAGUCAUAGUGACUUUAGCCAGGUGAUGCCUCUAUAGGUUGUUUUCCCAAAUUAGAAGAGCUACGUCUAACCGGAAUUCAAUCAAGAGAUUAUGUAUAAUUUUAACAAAGUAAUAUGCGUUUAUCAACCAAACGAAAAAAUUUAUUAGUAACAUUUGUAUCAUUUAAUGUUUUGUGUUAAAAGGUAUUAAGUUUACUCAAAUUUGAUUAUUUAGGUUUUAAAUUAUAAACACAUUAAAGUAUUGAUUUUAGAAUUAUCUUCAAAUUUAUCUUUUGUGGAAAUGUGGCUCUAAACAAACUUUGCUUCAAGCACCGUAGAUAAUUUUCUUAUCGGUCACAUGUUAGUAACUCAUCAAUAGGCUUAAAAAAGGACCUUUUUUUUUUAUAACUUUUAAAUCAUCAACUACUUUAAUAAUUUACCAACUUUCAUUUUGGCUUACCAAUAGAUUUGAAAUUACUAACUUUAUUUGAAGUUGCCAAAUUAAAUUUGAUUGGUUUACCAAUAUUAGUCACAUUAAGACUUCAUUCAUUUCACGAAAAAAGGAAUUUACGCAAAAUAUUUUUUGAAAAAUGAUCACUUGUAUUGUUUAUAAAAAUAAAUGAACAAAAAAUAUUUUUAUAAUCUACAAAAAUAUUUUGAUAUAAAUUAUCAUCGACAGUGAAAAUAAUUUUAAUUGAUUAAUUAUUAUCAAGCGAUAUAAGCAAUUAUUUGUAGGAAAACGUUUUUCAAAACAUUCAUUUUCUAUAAAAUAUAAACUAUUUUUAGUUACUUGCCACCUUAUUAUUAUCUUGUUAGGUUGAAAAGUACCAACAUUUUCAAAAUUACAAACUACUUUAAUAAUCAUCCAGUAUUUACUCUCGUGACAAGCCAACGCCUCUCAAAUUACUAACUUUAUUUUGAAAUUACAAAUAAAAAUCUAAUUGAUGUACCAACAAUCAUCAAAUUAAGAUACCAACAGAUUUUAUUCAUUGACCAACAUUUUAUUAGAUCUUGAAAGGUACUGAUAUAUAUUUAUAUUUUCAAUAUCACCGGCUACAUUAAAAACAUACCAACGUUCAUUCCUAUGGCUGGCCAAUGCUUUUCAAGUUAAACAUUCAAUCAAAAUUACCAAACUUAAUUUGAGUGGUAUAUCAGUUAUAUACCAAUACGAAAUUAGGUUCCUUUUUAACCGCAUGGAACGCUAAAAAUAUCCAUUUAUUUGGGGCUAUGUACUUUUUAUUUGUUUCGUUGCUCAUCUAAUGUUUUACCUUGCUUUUGUAAAAAUGAACAACUUGUCUUCAUUAUUUAUUCUUUUUUCCAUCAAAAUUUUGAACUAUCAUCUCUAUCUUGUUUUAUUGCUUUUUUGCCCAUGUCCUGUCAUUUCAAAUUUUCUUUUCUUCUCUUUUCUUUUCUUUUUUUGCCAAUCAUUUGUUGAGUUUCGAUGCAUUCUUCUCAAAGUUACAAAAAAAUGAAGCUAUAUGAUACUUAUGAUCUAUAGUAAAAUAGAUAUGAGGAUUUCAGCUUUGAAAACAAUGUGCAACAUUAAUACAACAUCUUACUAUCGAGACACAUACACUAACUAUGAAAACAAUCUGAUUUGUUAAAACAAGCAAGUGUAAUUUUUCCAUUUGAAUUUAAUUAGUUACAAUUUGAAAUAGCUAAAGCAUCAUUGAUUAAUAACUUUCUUUAUCCAAAUUCAUGAAAUAUAUUGUGAUUGAAUUGGGCACACACAUCAAUAAAAAAAAAAAAAUUGGGCACACCACUAACAACAAUCAUCCCCCAUAUAGUGGCCAUCAGUGCUUGCUCGUUUGCUUCUGAAAAGUUGUGUUUCUCAUUUUUUCCCUAAACAGAAAGACAUUUUAGUCAUUGGACUUUCGGCAGCCUAAAAAACGGAUUCCCUCCCACAGGUCAUUCCACACUUGGAGGGAUUGACAUUAGCAAGGGAGGACGUUGCAAUGAUACCGCAGCAUUACGUCUUCCACAAUCUCAAACAGCUAACUUUGGCAUGCUACGAUGAUGAAAAUGUCGCUUUUCCUUUCAACUUCUUGCUUCACAGAUUCCCCAAUCUGGAAACGCUUGCUGUGGAACAUGGUUCAUUCGAGGAGAUAUUUCCAGAAGAUUCAUCUAGACAUGGGGGAGCGACUCCCUGUGGAGAGCUAACUGACAUGGCAAAACCUCUCCAAGAUUUGCGAAAUCUUAGGCGACUUAGCCUGUAUAAGUUACAUAGCCUGAAGCGAGUUUGGAAAGAUGGCUCAUUGAUGGCUGAAAUUCUCAAACAGAUUGAAGUUGUGUGGGUUGAGGAGUGCCCGAGUUUAUCAAUUGUACUUCCAUCCCUAACUUCAUUCCAGAGAUUGAUACAAUUAGAAGUAGAGGAUUGCGCUGGUUUAGUUCAUAUGGGGACUUGCUCAGCAGCGACAAGUCUGGUGCACCUUACUUGGCUAUCCUUAAGAAAUUGUGGCGCAAUGGAAGACGUGAUAACAGAUGAUGGGAAUGGAGCAGGGGAUAUCUCUUUCCCCAAGCUGGAAGAGCUAAUACUUGACGGUUUACCAAUCCUUGAGAGCUUCUCAAACACAAAUCGUGCCUUGAGAUUCCCAUCGUUGGUGCGUAUUGUCAUCACGAAGUGCCCCAAGAUGAAUAUAUUCAGCAAGGGUGCCUUGAGGACACCGGAGCUAGAUGAAGUACUCCUCUCCAAAGAGGAUGAUGAAGGACAUUGCGAGGGCGACCUUAAUACCACCAUCCAAACCUUAUCUGCUUUAAACGAUCCACAACAAAUUCAGUAAGGUAGGUGAAUCUGUUUGCUUAAUCGUGUCUGCCUGAAUUUGGUGUCAAAAGGAAGAAAUUCGCAUUCUUCGAAUUCUAUAUUGGCUCAUACGAAGUCAAUCUUUCUUAAAGGAAUGUUUGACUGGGUUUUAUAGGAAUUGUCACAAGUUCGACAAUUAGGGCCUGUUGAGCACUUACUCACCCAUACAUUCUAGUUGUUUGAUGAAAUGCAUAGCAUGACCUCUGUUAGUGCAGCUUCAAAGAUUGUGAGGUUUUGUUGUAUGGCAAUGUGUUCUUAGCCACCUCUCUAGUUAAUCUUGAGGAGUGUCAGUAGUUAGACAUGUCUUAUAGACAAUAUUUGUUUCUUUCAGGCGUCAUGCUCACUACGAUCUAAGUGGCUGCUUUCAUUUGCUAGAAAGUGUCUCCUGUAAGAAGAUGUUGAAUGGAGCUUUUUGCAACGUUUUCACUAAUGGUGUUAUGAUCAUGGUGUUGAUGCCUCUUGAGAUGGCGUCUUUGUGCCGACAUGUGGUAUUCUCAAUGGGCAGCUGCUUCAUUGAAUAUUUCAUUCUUUUUCUAGUUUGGAAUGUCCUCUCUAUGUCAUUUCCUUGAUAAUGGUACUGGUGUAGCAUAAUGUUUGGAAUGUGAGGGUUCUCUAUCCUUUAUCGAAUUAUGUAGAGAUUUUGUAUGAGUGUUGGCUUUUGGGCAGCAUCGUUUGGCACCAAGUUGUUGUUUGGAGUUGGACUAUUUGGAUGACGACAACAGUAGCCAUACACUGACCAAAAGGGGAAGAAGUCUAAGAAUCCAAAUAAACAUGUCCUUCUAGCAGCGGACCAUAGCCUACAUGGAGCCAUUCACGCUAAAUGUUUUUAUCACCAAGCGCCUCAUCUUGGCUUCACUCACUCAUAAGGUCAUGUGCAAGUAGGUCGCUCUUGUAGGUACCAAUUCUAAAGACAUCAGAGCCGUGCUCAAGUUUCAACCACACAUACCAACAUGUUUGGCUAUAGGCCAGGUUCUGGCAGACUGGGCGGGGGAAGCUGAUGUGUGCAAGCUUCCUAUACUCCAAGAGAAAGGGACAAGUUUGACGGAAAAACUAGGGCAGUACUUCAAUCUCUGAUUGACAGUGGCAUUGAUAUUACAAUUUAUCUUAACUGAUUUUCCUCGCUUCAGCAUGAUCUUGUUAAUGUGCACUACUCCUAAUAGGAAGAUACUAAUAUCUUUGACAUUGUUUUGAGAAUAGGCAAGAUGUAAUGUUGGUUCUUUUGCUGGUUAUAUGUAGAUAAUGGUGACUGUUUGUUUGGCAAUAGGGGAAUCCAGAUUUUCUUUUGGCUUUGUCCAAAAAUUUACCUUGAUUCUUGGAUGAGCAUUGUGGUGGAUAUCAUUGUUGUUAGAAAAAUCCCUUAUGAUGUUUUGAAGAUGACAAAAUAAAUCAAAGGCUACUAACAUGUUUAAUGGUUAAGUAAUAGACCAUGCAGAUGAUAGAACAUGUAAAGGAUAUUGUCAAAGUCUGAAGACGACCAGAAGACUGAACGUAACAUAUGUCUAAAGUAUAUUAUGAAGAUUUCCAGACUUCUGUGUCAAAGUCUGAAGACUGUCAGACUCAAGACUCAAAGUCUGAAGACUGCCAGACUUUAGUGUCAAAGUCUGUUCUAUAUCAGAAGUCUGUCAACUCUGACAAAUUCCAGACUGAACAUGAAUGAUGAACCAGAAGACAGACUCUAUGUUGAAGCUAAACCAAAAGACAGACUCUAUGCUGAAGCUGAACUGGGUACAAACCUUAAAGCUAAAUCUGUUUAGAAGCAGAUAUGUUCAGACCCAGAUUGUAAAGUCUACAAACUCAGACUUUACAUCUAGAUUCGAUGAAUCGUAACUCAAGCCCAAUCAUACAACGGCUAGUGAUCUGGUUUGGAUUCCACAUCAAGAUUGAUUUGAUUGAUUCAAUCUAUUUGAUUGACGAUUGGAUCUUGAAGACAAGAACUUUCUAUAUGAAGAAGCUUUACUUAUGGAAACCAAGAUUUCGUUUGUAUGGGCGAUCGGAAUCAAUUUGGGAUUCUACCUUUGUCACUCAACGGCUACCAAAUCUUCUAGAUACAGAGCUGUCCAAUGGGUAUAUUGGAAGACGAUUCUCCGGGAUACUGUCCAACGGGUAGUUUGGAAGUGGAGGAGUAUUUAAGGAGAUCAUGGACCGAUGAGCAAGUAAGAGACGGAGCGUAGAAUUUAUAAUUCCAAAGUCUGAGCGACUUUUGAUCAUAUACUUGUCUCUGGAGAGCUUAAACGUUUGUAAUCAUGAGAGAAAUACCAAAAGAGUGACUUAGUGAGAUAGUGUGAUCUACUACUAAGUGUUUGCACUCGAGGUUGUAAUCUCUUGUUGAUUGCAUAGUGGAAUCCAGCCAAGAAGGCUGUUAGCGUGGGAGAGUGGACGUAGGCUUGGAUUAAGCCGAACCACUAUAAAUCUUGUGUUCUUAUUCUCUUCCCUAACUCCUUUAUUUUGUUCAUACUAGCACUCUCAAUUGCUUCAUCUAUAUUUCUUCAAUUUUACAUGGUGUCGACAUUGACUACUACUCUUGAAACGUUAUGGAUGUGCAUGCCAGGAUGGUUAGUUUGGUUCAUCUUCUUUUACCAGACAAUCGUUACAAGGUUAGGUCCACAGUUGUUGAUUAUCUGAAGUACUAUAAUAACAUGGAUUGGAAAAUAAUAUCCCCCACGAGUUAUCAUAACUUAAGUUAGUUUAGUUGUCUACUAUUCAGUUGUUUUACUGGAGUUCAUAAAAUAGAGAUACAUAGAUAUUACUUUGCCGGCCUUCGUGUCAUGACGAUAGAUAAACAAUUGACUUGAUAUAACAUGAUUUAAUUAUUUUAUUCUUGUAGAAAAUUUUGACACUAAAUAUAAGGUGUUGUUUAGUCAUUCUUUUGUUUUGUCUCUGAAUUUAUCUGAUCUGUGGCUUUGGAAAUGUAAAUCCUUGCCAAUUUACUUUGGUGGGAACUGAGAAAAACAUUUUUUGAAAGUUUGAUGCCAUUCAAACAUCUGCUUGGGUUUAAGAUAACAGUAGUACCGACCAUGUCAAUAUGAGAGUCUCUCUAAAUUGCAAUGAGUUCACGCUUGAACUUCUUUAGACCAUCGAAGAGAGAGAAAAUGGAUCCAGUUUUCUGUAGAAUUCCUUUAUGAACCACCCAUCCCAGCUUUUAGAGAUUCACGAAUUGCAAUUAUAUCCGCAUUUUACUCCGAUCCUCUCCCAUGGAUGUUGGGCGAUAUAUCAGGUAAAAUAGAGAUAUGUCCAAAAUCCUAUGCUCACAAGUAGCAUCCAAUCUUUCCUAAAGAAAUAGCAAGAGUGACCUAGUUGAUUGAAUGUGAUAUAAUUGCCUCGCGAAUCAAUUAUUUUAGAUGCAUCCCCUGCAAAAGCAGAUGAUCUAAGGAUCACUCAGCUACCGAGCAUAUCGUAAUUUCAUAUGUUCUUCGGAAGGUUAGUAUGAAGAAGAAAGGCUUACUUGCUAGUUUCUAUUAUAAGAUAAUGUUCGAACUCUACUCUUCUGCUUUUGUUAGAGUUAAGUUGUAUUCAAAGCUUCUUGGUGCUUCAUCCUCAUAGCUCUUUCCAUAAGCGCCAAUAUAGACUAUUCAUUUUUUUUUAAUUGAAUUAGGAGGUAAAAAUCCUCUCCUAACUAGGAGAAAAUACCAUUUCGGGUCCACAAUAUUGAGAGUUCUUAGUAAUCUGACUCUUCAAUUGUUUCGAAUGAGUUCAUAAAAGACAUAAAAUAGCUCACAAACUUAAGGCAUCAUAUUCAUUACCAUGACAUGUUUGCACUUAAAAGUACUGCAUAUCUCUAUACUAGUCAAAUCUCCACAAUUUUAACAUAAACUGUAUAUAAUAAGAUUGUGCAGUAAAACGUUAUUAUGAGUUCCUAGGAGAAGCUAGCUGUGUGCCAUCAGAGGUAUUUACUCCUGAAUCACAUUAUGAACCUAUCAUUUUCCAUGUACUUGGUUUCAGUGAAGUACAAGCGCAAGCCAUCUAGAUCUUGUCCGACGCAUCGUCUCCUUUCUAUUUUCUGCAGAUAGUCAAAAAGCAAAGUUGGAGUUUGACCUUGUUGCUUCUUACUAAAAAUGUACAAGUAGGCUUGAGAAACCUGGUUACUCACUGACAAUCCAUACUUAGGAAUCUGUUGUUUCCAGGACAGCUGAAAUAAUAUUUCGUUGUUCCCAAUUUGGAAAAAACAAAGAUCUGUUUUCUAAAAGUGCAGACAUAUCCAAAAUCUCUCAUCAAAUGUCCUGUUUGAUAUCGGUCCUUACCAUAUCUUUCAUUGCUCUGUAUCUCGUAUUAUAGUGUUACCUUUUCUUAGGACCCUUUCCUGAGAACAUCCAGAGGAGUUUAUUCUGGGGGUUCUCUCCCUAUUUCCUUGAAGCUGUCAUCAUAUUGUUUAAUUUGUUCGCGCAGGCUCUAGUGAUUUGACAUACUGUAAAACUUGUUGCUGGAAAAUCAAUUGGAGAAUCAAUUAGAUCAUUGAGUUCGACUUCAGUGCUAGUGGGAACCAUGCACUUGUAGGGUAAAUGCCUUUUCUCAUGCAAUUUGUAGUACUUGGGCUUUUUGUUUGUUAAUUUGCUUCUCGUUUAUCACAGUAAACUUCAGACAUCCAUAACAAACAUGGCGAAACUUCACAGAGAAAGCAAUGGUGAAAAUUUUACUUUACCAACUUCUCAUCAAGGCCAUGAAAAGGUGUAUGUCAUUCUUAAAUAGUUUAAUACUUUUUAUUCUGACAAGUCGUUUGUGAGAUAGCUAGUAUAAGCACCUAGAGGGGGGUGAAUAGGUGCACAAACAAUUUAUUUCAAUACGGAAGCAAUUCUUGGCAAACGAUAGAAAGGAAAUUCACUAUUGAUUAACAAAAUGAAGUACGAUCAAAGUAAAGAGAGUAAGGAAGAGAAAAUUGAACACAGGGUUUAUAGUGGUUCGGCUUAUUCUAAGCCUACGUCCACUCUUUCGCACUGACAGCCCACCGGCUGGAUUUCACUAUGAACAAAAGAGUAGUUACAGCACAGCUUUUCCUUGAUUCCACAGUGUAGAUGUUCUACCACACCUCCUCAAGGUUUCUCACAAAUAUAAACUCUCUUUUGAAUACAAUGUUUCGCUCAAAGAAAUUGUUUAAACAACAAGGAGCUUCAGACUUUGGAAUUCUUCUAUCGCACACUCUCGAACAACUUAGAACGUCUUCCUUAUGUACUCCUUUAUGCCAUCAUACCCGUUGGCACUUACCAAAGGAAUUCCUCCAAUCUACCCGUUGGAUGGAAUCAAUUAGGAAGAUUAUUCGAGCUAUUAAAGGAACGUGUCGAUAGCCCAUUAAUCAUGUUUGCCCAUUCAAUCAGGAUCUCGGUUUCCAUAAGUAGAACCUUCCAAGAAUAUUUAGGCAAUUAUCGAAUCUUCAAUUAUCGAAUCAAUCUCGAUCAAUCAAAGGAUUCCAUUAUGUCUUUUCCAGCCACGAGAUCUUCUCCAGUUGAUAAGGUUAAAUCCUUAAUGAAACAUACAGUUCUGGAUAACCUUUCUUCAACGGAUUAGAGACUGUCAAUGAGGAUAGACUUUGAGUCUUGAGUCUGGCUAUCCAGAGGUCUUCAGACUUUAAAUAGCAAAGUCUGCAAACCUUCAAACUAGAUUGAUGGAAACGUUUUGUUAGCUUCAAAACACUUCAAGAAGAUUUCUCCAACAAUCUCCCCCUUUUUGAUGGUAACAAAACUUUCCUGCAGAUUUGGACAACUUUGACCUGCAAAACAUUUCUCAAACGCAUAUGCAUAUCUUAUAGAGAUAAAUGGCUAAAUGAAUAACACUAGAAUCUGCAACCAUAGAAAAUAGGUUAGUCUAAUAAGUGAUAAAGCCAUCCAUAAGAUACUAAUGAUAGUUAAUAAAAGCAGUCAAGUUCAAGUCUAGUUCAGUUCUCAUCCAGACACAAAAACAAGGUCAAACAGAUCAAAAGAAUCCAACAAAAUCCAACAAACUGUAACCACACAGUCUAACAAACCACACGAUCUAAAAGUCAAAUUGUUCAAAUCUUACAGCUCUCCCCCUUUUUGUCAGCAUUAAAAAAAGGUUGAGAUGAAAAUGGAAUAAAGUCAAGAUGGCUUGGGAACGCGGACAAGCUGGAAAUCUCCCAUAGACCGAACGAUGCCUUCCGGCCUUUUCAAGUCUUCUUUCAGUUGUGCAAUCUCCUCACCCUUGGCAUUGGCCUGAAUCUAAAUAGAGAGGGCUUGCAUUUUAUCAUUCAAUGAACAUGAAGAGACUUGACCCGCAGUUUGCAAGUUCUGAACCUCGCAUCCCAAGGCAUAAAUUUGACAUCGCAUCUCCAAGAGAAUAUCCAUGAUUCUGCAAAAAUCGGCUAAGUUAUCGGUCUGCGUACUAGCUUCGGCACAUUCUGUAGAUGAUGGCAUAUCAAAAUAAUCUCGCAGAUUUGGCGAUGAAACUUCAUGACCUUCUUCUGGAAAUUGAGAGGCGUAAACAUCCUCUGGGUCUGCAGGUGAGCGACUGAUUCCUUCACUUGCAUCAGGAUAUGAGGACUUCCCUCCUUUCUUUUGAUCUCCCCCUAUUUCCAUGCCUAUAGGUGGAGAAGAGUGUUCCUCAGUUUCUCAUUCUUUUCUUCUUUCUUCUUCAGGUCUUUCCUCCUCUGCUUCUUUUUCGCCAACUGCUCUUUCUGCUUCUUUCUCUUGUUCUUCUCUUUCUUCUUCUUCUUUCUCUUUUUCUUGACCUUCUCUUUCCUCUUGGCCUUCUCUUUCUUUUUCUUCUGUCUCACGUUGUUCCAUUGACUUUGGAACAGUACGACUUAGCUUCUUCAAAGCUAUGGCCGAAAGGGUAAGGUCAUCAUCUUCUUCAUCUUCCACAAUAAGAGCUCUCCUUUUCGGUUUUGAAGCAACCAAUGGCUCCCUUCCUUUCCUUUUUGAAGAAGAGAUUUGAUGAGCUUUGACUGGAGUCUUCUCCUUAAAUUUCUCCAACUCCUUGUUCAGUUCCUUCAGACGCAUUUUGGUUACCAUCUUUAGUCCUACCACCAUAUGAUCGCACAAUCGAACACAAAAGAUUUGCGGAGGCUGAAUAUUCAGAUGUCUGAAUAACUUCGUAACAAAGCUUGGGUAAGGGAGUUGACCUCUGUCCUUCAUCAUUACUCUAUACAUGUGGAACAUGAUAGUGUGAGGGAGAGAAAACCUUUUCCCAGUGAGAAUGGCAUACAUCAGCUUUGCCUCUGAACUUGAAACAUCAGUCUUGGAAGUUGAUUUUGGUCGGAGGCAAUUAAUCACAAUCUUGUGAAGCAAGAUGUUGAAUGCACUCAUCCUUAAGUAGGUGAUCUUCUCCUCUGUUCUCCUGUCCUUCACCAAUUCCAGUGUGGCCCGAGCAAUGGAAACUUUGAUCGGUUGAUAACUUCCUCUUUCAACUCCUAACACAUCUGCCAGCAUAUCCAUAUCCACCACAUAAUCUUGAUCUUUGACACUAAAAGAGAAUCUAUUCGCAUCCAAAAAGCUAAGAUUUGAAUAGAAAUAUGCGGUUAAUUCAGCAUAGGCCUCUGUAGUGUCGGAGUAGAACUUUUCAAGUUGAAGAUAACCGAACUUUUCCCUUAAUUUCAAAUUCACCGCAUCUAGAAAGUCAAAAUCCACACUUCUGGGGUUUAUUACCCCACGCUUCAGCAAUUUCGAAUACAAAUCCUUUUGUUCCUUCAAUCUGAACAAAUCUCCCCUUUUUCCUCGACUUUCAACCGCAACACCCAUUCUCGGUUGAAAUUGACUGUACAAUUUGUCGUCAUCAUUCCCAUCUACAGGAUUCGGUCCCCAAUCACGAGGAUCACUUGGGAUAUUCACAAGGGUUUCCUCAGCCACCCCUUUACAAGCAAUUCCCAAACUUUCCAUUUUUCGCAGAAAGAUAUAUUCGUUCUCAUAUCCUUUGUCUUUGAGAAAAUCAUCGACAUAGUUCAAGGGAGUACAAGUUCCUUUUAAGGCACGAUAUAGCUUAUAAAUAUAAGCGGGCUUUUGAACUCUUACCGAAUCUGCAUCCUCAAUGAUUUCUUCUUGUUGUUGACGAUCAACGCCUUGAGGACUAGAUGGAGGAGAAUGACGCUGCUGAGAAUGUUGUGGGCUCGGUUGCUGUUCUUGAGACACUUCUUCUUCAAUGAGAUCAAAGUGCGUAGGCCACUCACUCAUUCGCCGUGGUCCCCUGCUUGCGAUCUUCGAAGACUUUCUUGAAGAUGACAUCUUUCUCAGUUUUUGGAAGAUUCCUUGCUUGACUUUCCCAAGAAAGAUGACAACUUUUUGAAGAUUAACCAAGGGAAGAAAACGGGAAUUGAGGAUCAAUGUUUUCUAGGGUUUUUGAGAGUAAAGUGAAGAGGAAUCAACAGUACACGAUCGGUUAAAAAUAGAAAUAAACGAACCGUCACAAAGGAAAUAAAAAGAUGCAUUUUCAAAAUAACUGUCCUUUUUCCGCGAAAAUAGUCAUUUCAAAAAAUAACUUCUCUUUCGAAAAGGAAACGAUGCAAUAAUUAAGCCGAUUAAAGAUAGCAAUAAAACACGGUUCACAAUCGUACUUUUUCAAGAUAAGAUUCGAGAGGGAGAAAGACUAACUUACAGUCUGACGGUCGUACCAAGACUAACUUACAGUUGAAGUCUUGUAUGUCUGAGUCUGAAAGUCUUUAGACUUUGAUCUGCUCAUACCUUAAACUGUUGAGUCUGGAACGGAUGAUUUCAAAUUGAUUUUUCUCCAAAGGCUUUGUAAAUAUAUCCGCCAGUUGAUUCUUUGAAUUAACAAAUUGAAUUGAAACAACUCCAUUUUGAACAUGGUCUCUAAUAAGGUGAUGUCGAAUCUCUAUAUGCUUUGCUCUUGAGUGGAGAAUUGGAUUUUUGGUGAGGUUUAUAGCGCUGGUGUUGUCUCAAUUAAUCUCUGUGCAUGAGUCUUCAAUUCCAAAGUCUCUUAGCUGCUGUUUUAUCCACAGAAUUGCGAACAACAACUUCUGAGAGCUAUAUACUCUGCUUCUGCUGUAAAGAGAGCUACUGUACUUUGCUUUCUUGAAAACCAAGACACUGUCCUGCCUCCAAGUAGUUGACAAGUACCCGAGGUGCUCUUUCUAUCGACUCUGCAUCCAGCAAGGUCUGCGUCUGAAUAUCCAAGAAGAGUAAAGUCUCCCCUUUUUGGAUACCAGAGACCAAAGCUUGAAGUUGAUGAAACAUAUUUGAUAAUACGCUUCGCAGCAUUCAAAUGAGAUUCUUUUGGGUCUAAUUGAAAUCUGGCACAAAUGUAAACACUAAACAGAAUGUUAGGUCUAGAAGCAGUAAGAUAAAGAAGUAAUCCAACAAUACUCCUGUACAGCUUUUGAUUGACUUUCUUUCCUUUUUCAUCUUUGUCUAUCUUCAAGGAACUUGACAUUGGUAUGUCAGCCUUUUUGCAAUUGUCCAGUCCAAACUUCUUGACAAGAUCAUUUGCAUACUUUUCUUGAUAAAUGAAAGUUCCUUCCUCCAGUUGUUUUAUUUGAAGUCCAAGAAAGAAGGUUAACUCACCCAUCAUGCUCAUUUCAAAUUCAUCCUGCAUAGUCUUAGAAAAUUUCUUGCACAGACUUUCAUUAGAGGAUCCAAAGAUAAUAUCAUCGACAUAUAUUUGAACAAGUAGAAAACUUUUGCUUUCUCUUUUAAUAAAAAGAGUAGCGUCUACUUUACCUUUAACAAAUCCAUUUCGAAUUAAAAACUUACUUAAUCUGUCGUAUCAAGCUCGAGGUGCUUGCUUUAAGCCAUACAAGGCCUUUUUGAGUCUGAAUACUGAGUCUGGUUUCUUUGGGUCUUCAAACCUUGGCGGUUGUUCCAUAUAGACUUCCUCAUGGAUGAAUCCAUUUAGGAAAGCACUUUUAACGUCCAUUUGAAAUAACCUGAAAUUUUUAUGACAAGCAAAUGCAAGUAAUAAACGUAUUGCUUCUAACCUUGCUACCGGUGCAUAAGUCUCGUCAUAGUCGAUCCCUUCUUCUUGUGUGUAUCCCUUGGCCACGAGUCUAGCUUUGUUUCUUAUGACUUUUCCUUUCUCAUCCAUCUUGUUCCUAAAAACCCAUUUAGCUCCAAUAAUUGUUUUACCUUUUGGUUUAGGAGUCAACUCCCAGACAUCAUUAAUUCUGAAUUGUCUGAGUUCUUCUUGCAUAGCUUCAAUCCAGCUCUCAUCGGAUAAAGCUUCUUCUAAGCUCUUGGGUUCUAUUUCAGAAAUAAGAGCUACAGCACUAGACUCUUCUCGCCUUUUGGAUCUUAUGCGGAUUCCUUCAUUGAUGUCGCCAAUAAUAAGAUCUUUGGGAUGACUGGACUUAUGUUUCCAGUUGCAUGUUAAUUUAUCAGAUUGAUGGUCACUUCCUUCACUUGAAUCUUCAAUAGUCACUUGUUGCUGGUUCUUCAAAGUCUGAGCUGUUUCUUGAGAUUUAGACUUUGUAGAGUCUGGAGCAGAUUCAGUCUCUUCAGGAUGAGUCUGAAUAUAUUCAUUUUGAAUAGAGUCUUGGAAUUUGACAUUCAUUGUUUCUUUCACAGUUUGAGUCUUCUUGUUGUAGACUCUGUACGCUUUGCUAGAGGUUGAAUAUCCGAGGAAUAUGCCUUCAUCUGACUUUUCUUCAAACUUACCAACUCGAUCAUUUGCAUUUUUCAAUAUGAAACAUUUACAUCCGAAUACAUGAAAAUAUGAAACAAUGGGCUUCUUUUCUUUAAAUAGUUCAUAGGGGUUUUUUCUAGAAUAAGCCUUAGAAAAACUCUAUUGAUGAUAUAACAUGAUAUUGGAACUGCUUCAGCCCAAAACUGUAAAGAGAUAUUACUUUUAAUUAAAAGAGUUCUAGCCAUUUCUUGAAGCGAUCUAUUCUUCCUUUCCACAAUUCUGUUUUGCUCUGGAGUAUAUGGAGAAGAGAACAAAUGCUGAAAACCAGAUUCAUCACAAAAUUUUACAAAAUCUUGAUUUUCAAAUUCACCUCCAUGGUCUGUCUUUAUACUUGAAAUAACAUACCAUUUUUUUAUUUUGAACCUUCUUAGCAAAUUUUUCAAAGUAAGAGAAGGUUUCAGACUUACUUGUCAAGAAAUAUACCCAAGUAAAUCGUGAGUAGUCAUCCACAAUUACUAGGCAAUAUUUCUUACCUCCAAUGCUCUGCGUUCUUAUUGGUCCGAAGAGAUCCUUAUGCAAGAGCUGCAGUACACGGUUAGUGGAAACUUGAUUUAUUGGCUUAAAGGAAUUUCUUACCUGUUUUCCCAAUAUACAUGGUGUACAUAGAUCAGACUUUUGGUAUGAUAAAUUGGGUAGACCACGAAAAAGCUUCUUUGCUGAGAUUUUGGCUAUCUGUUUCAUGUUGAUAUGCCCAAGCUUUUUGUGCCAUAAGCUCGCUUCGUCUUGGAUUGAUAUUAGACAUUGCGAUUCAUCUGGUUUCACGUCCAAGAGGUAGAUAUUUCCAUGUCUUCGACCCAUGAAUAACUGAGUAGAGUAUUUACUGGUUCCUGAGCAAAUACCCUCUUGAAAGUUGAUUUUAAAACCGGCAUCACACAGCUGACUAAUACUGAGCAGAUUGUAAUUGAGCCCUUCAACUAAAGAAACAUUGCUGAUCGUGAGGUUCCCAAUCUUUACAGUUCCAAAUCCCACUAUUUUUCCUUUGUUGCUUCCUCCAAAUGAGACUUUUCCACCAUUCACUUGAACAAUCUUUAUGAAGCAAUUUGAGUCUCCUGUCAUGUGUCUCGAGCAUCCACUAUCCAAAUACCAUUUCACCUUUUUCUUUAUAGUGACUUGCAUUUAAAAAGAAACUCAAGCUUUCUUUGGUACCCAUAUUUUCUUGUGUCCUUUUGAGUUAGUCUGAUAUACGGUUUUUGCCCAGACUUUAUUGACGGGUCUCCAAACCAUAGGACAAUCUUUCUCAAAAUGAUCUGCACUAUUGCAUUUUGAACAUCUAAGAGCAUUGCGACCUACUGGUUUUACAAAGUUUCUGUCAAAAUGAUUUUUGUAAGCAUUUAUUGUGGGUCUUUGUUUAAUUCUUUCUUUUAUUUUAGGAAAAUCAAUUAAAGGAAUGGUUUUAGCAGUCAUUCCUAAACCAGAUUUAUUGAAAUAAGGUCUUUGAACAGAAAGUAUUUUCUCCAGUUUUUCAGAUCCUAGAGAAAAUCUUUUGGAAAUAUUUGAAAUAUCAUUUUUCAAAAAUGCAUUUUCUUUUAAAAGAUUAUCUUUACUUUCUCUGAGAGAAGAAACAUUCUGGUCUAAGUAUUUCACUUUUUCUUCCAAAACAUUCUCUUGUUGUUUUAAAGCAGAAUUUUCCUUUUUGAGUUCGGAAAUUCUUUUAAGAGAAGUCUUAAGACUAAAAAAUAAUUCAUCAAUGUAUUUUGAAACUUUAAUAGGGAUUUUGAAGUUACUUACCUCGAAUUCACUUUCCGAAUUUGAAUCAGUCUCGAAGUUUGAUUCUGAGUCUGAUUGUGCCAUUAGACAUAUGUUGGCAUAAUCAUCAUCACUAUCUUCGCAUUCCGUAUCACUCUAGGUUUCAGCUUUGAGAGCUUUUCGAUACUUUUCAGUUUUUCCUUUCUUCUUCCUCAGAAGAGGACAGUUGGGUCUAAUGUGUCCAUUUUUCUUGCAUUCAAAGCAGACUACAUCUUUGUUUGAUUCAUCAUCUUCAGCAGACUUGGUCUGUUGUUUUUGAAAACUUUGUUUCCUUGAAUUGAAUCUUCUUCCUUUUCUAUUCAGCUUUCUAAAUCUUCUUAUCAUGAGAGCAAGUUCUUCAUCAUCCAUGUCGUCUUCAGAAUCUGUUACAUCAGAAUCAUCAUUAGAUUUUAAUGCAAUAGAUUUCUUACCUUUAGGAUCUUCGUCUUCAUUAAUUCGUUCUACUUCAUAAGACUGAAGGGUUCCAACCAACUCAUCGACAACAGUGGCAUGAUUCUUUGGGUCUUUCUGAUUGAGGUCUUUAUAUGAUUCCAAUCCUUGGAGAGUCCACGCAAUAGCUUGCUCACUUUCAUGGGAUCAGAAAUUGAUUGACCUUGAUUUUCAAGACCAUUCACGAUUUCUGUAAAACGACUAAACAUGUCAGUUAUAGAUUCUCCUGGUUUUAUUCUGAAGGCUUCGUAUUGACCGAGAAGAAUAUUGAUUCUAGUCUCUUUCACUCGAUCGGUUCCUUCGUAAGUAAUGUGUAAUCUAUCCCAGACUUCUUUGGCUGUAUCACAAGAAGAUAUUUUGUUAUAUUCAGUAGGUGAUAAAGCACAAUAUAAAGAAUAAAUUGCUUUUGCAUCAAGAGCUUGUCUCUUAANNNNNNNNNNNNNNNNNNNNNNNNNNNNNNNNNNNNNNNNNNNNNNNNNNNNNNNNNNNNNNNNNNNNNNNNNNNNNNNNNNNNNNNNNNNNNNNNNNNNAGUGUCCUUUCCCCUUUCUGAGACAGAUGCAGCUUUAGGAAUGAUUCCUUUUUCUACAACGUCCCAUUCCAGAGGAUCCUUUGAUCUUAAGAACGCCUUCACCUUGUUCUUCCAUAUGUUGUAAUCCUUCCCAUCAAAGUAAGGCGGUCUGGUGUUGCUUUGCCCUUCUACCAGCCCUGGAGCCAACAUACUAGCCAUGGAUCUUUUACUCUGAAGUAAAACACUUCAAACAAAGUGAGUACAUGAGCUCUGAUACCAAUUGAGAUAGCUAGUAUAAGAACCUAGAGGAGGGUGAAUAGGUGCACAAAUAAUUUAUCUCAAUACGGAAGUAAUUCUUGGCAAACGAUAGAAAGGAAAUUCACUAUUGAUUAACAAAAUGAAGUACGAUCAAAGUAAAGAGAGUAAGGAAGAGAAAAUUGAACACAGGGUUUAUAGUGGUUCGGCUUAUUCCAAGCCUACGUCCACUCUUCCGCGCUGACAACCCACCGGCUGGAUUUCACUAUGAACAAAAGAGUAGUUACAGCACAGCUUUUCCUUGAUUCCACAGUGUAGAUGUUCUCCUCAAGUUUUCUCACAAAUAUAAACUUUCUUUUGAAUACAAUGUUUCGCUCAAAGAAAUUGUCUAAACAACAAGGAGCUUCAGACUUUGGAAUUCUUCUAUCGCGCACUCUCGAACAACUUAGAACGUCUUCCUUAUAUACUCCUUUAUACCAUCAUACCCGUUGGCACUUACCAAAGGAAUUCCUCCAAUCUACCCGUUGGACGAAAUCAAUUAGGAAGAUUAUUCGAGCUAUUAAAGGAACAUGUCGAUAGCCCAUCAAUCCUGUUCGCCCAUUCAAUCAGGAUCUCGGUUUCCAUAAGUAGAUACUUCCAAGAAUAUUUAGGCAAUUAUCGAAUCUUCAAUUAUCGAAUCAAUCUCAAUCAAUCAAAGGAUUCCGUUAUGUCUUUUCCAGCCAUGAGAUCUUCUCCAGUUGAUAAGGUUAAAUCUUUAACAAAACAUCCAGUUCUGGAUAACCUUUCUUCAACGGAUUAAAGACUGUCAAUGAAGAUAGACUUUGAGUCUUGAGUCUGGCUAUCCGGAGGUCUUCAGACUUUAAAUAGCAGAGUUUGCAAACCUUCAAACUAGACUGAUGGAAACGUUUUGUCAGCUUCAAAACACUUCAAGAAGAUUUCUCCAACAGUUUGAUCAUAUUUAACUUUCAUCUUGCAAAAGUUGCCAGUAAAGGAGAUGAUUAUGUAGGUCCUAAAUAGUAGCAUCAUUUAAAAGUCAGUUUCCACAAUGAACGUAAUGAAUGUAACAUAAGUUUGGGAUUCUUUUUUUGCCAAAGACCUAGGUGUUGAUGAUAAUGUGCUAGACAAGUUAAUAUCGACAAUGCACUUAGAGCACAUCUUUCGCGAUAUUCACAUGUUUAUUGAUCGAGACAGGGUGUCUAGUCUUGUCUUGCUCUGACUCAAGGUCUCUGUUAUCACUUGGCAAAAGAAAAAAUAUUUAUAAAAAGAAAUGACCAUAAUCGCAAACCCGAUCAUAGCAGUUACAUAAGUGGUGUUGGUGAUCACCAUUCAAACCGCUUGCCUGCCUUAUCUUGAUGGGUCUUUCAACCCCGAUUACGACCCUAACAAUAGCAAGCUCAUGCUCAUGCUGCUACAAUUGACCACAGCAACACUAGUUAUGUGUAAAUCUCAAAUGACAUCCCAAACUACCAUGGCCACUAGCCCUAACGCUUGUUACUAGCUAUGUAUAAGUAGCAAUAGCACCGUCAAUGGAAAAAAAAUAAGUGGAAAAGAAAACGAAGGACCAUCUCUUUCCAUCAUCACAUGACAUUAUGUCUCAUAUCUUCUUGUUGAUAGCCUAGUUUGUGAUGUAAAAAUUAUUGUGGCUCACAUGAUAUGAUUUAUUAUAUGGUUUAAUAAUUUUUGAAAUGCUAUAAACAAUAAAUAUUGGUUAUAAGAAGUUGCGACUCUAAUAAAACGAAACGGUAUAAUUAUUUUCCGAAAAGAUGCGACUUUUAUGGAAGUUAAAAGGCGCUUUGAUGGAAGGCACCUAUGGAUAGAACGUAUGAAUUGAGUCCGGUCCUCUCUCCACCUACAAGAACAACAAUAAUUGAAAAGAACUUGGUAUUCUCUCCUCCAUCGAUAGAAUACAUUAAAGAAUAGUAUGUUAAGGGAGAGAAAUCGGAUUUCUUCAUUUGGUUCGAGUUCUUCGGUUUUCCACAACGAAUAUCAUCAAGGGUAACGCUAUGAAUAAAUGUAUGUCUUCAUCUAUUUGUGAAAAUCAUGAAGAUCAAAUAUCACUAUUUUCUUUUGAAUUUCCGCAUAAAAGAAGUAUAUGUAUCAUUUAAUAAUUGGUAUCAGAGCAAUAGUUUAUGAUCUCAUGAUUUUUCCAUUUAUAGAAAUAUUAUGAUUUAUGUAUGAUGUUUCGUUGAAUGAUCCUGUUCGUACUAUUUGUUGUUGUUGAAAUAUUUUCGGAGGGUUCUGUCGAAGAAACCCCAAUGAUGGAAUGUUUUCAAAAAGAAAAAAGAAAGGAAAAUGGAGGAAUUCAGAGUUUUUAGGUCAAGUGAGACUUUAAGAGUGAUACUCUUAUUGGAACUGGAACUUUAUGUGAUGGUCUCUACAAAUUUAGACUUGAUAAUACUUUUGUUGAGACAUUAAUGACAUUGCAUGAUAAUGUUGGCACUAAACAAAGUUUGGUGAAUGAGAAUUCUGCUUAUUUGUGGCAUAAACCUUUGAGUCAUAUAUCCAAGGAAAGAAUGCAAAGAUUAGUGAAUGAUGAAAUUCUUCCAAAUUUGGAUUUUACUAAUCUUGGAGUGUGUAUUGAUUGUAUUAAAAGUAAACAAACAAAGCAUACUAAGAAAGGUGCCACAAGAAGCACAGAGCUUCUUGAAAUUAUACAUACUGACAUAUGUGGUCCAUUCGAUAUUCCAUCUUUUGGUAAGGAAAGAUAUUUCAUCAUCUUUAUUGAUAAUUUUUUUACGUUAUAGUUACAUUUAUCUAUUGCACGAUAAGUCUCAAUCAGUGAAUGCACUUGAAGUGUAUAUUAAAGAAAUUGAGAGGCAAUUAGAUAGAAAGGUGAAAAUAGUAAAAUCGAAUAGAGCCGGCGAAUAUUAUGGAAAGUAUGAUGAAUCGGGACAAUGUCCUGCAAUUCCUUGAAGGACAUGGCAUUUAUGCUCAAUACAUAAUGCUAGAUACACCAUAACAAAAUGGUGUAGCAGAAAUGCGUAAUCAUAUUUUAAUGGAAAUGGUUAGGAGUAUGAUAAGUCAUUCAUCUUGUCAUUCAUCUUUACCCAUGUUUUUGUAGAUGUAUGCUUUAAAGACUUCUAUGUAUCUAUUAAACAGGAUUCCUAAUUAGGCAGUCCCAAAGACUCCCUUUGAACUGUGGAUGGGAAGGAAACCUAAUUUACGACACCUACAUAUUUGGGGUUAUCCAACGGAAGUAAGAAUCUACAAUCCACAUAAAAGGAAAUUAGAUUCAAGAACGAUCAGUAGUUAUUUCAUUGGUUAUGUAGAGAAAUCCAAAAGGUAUAAAUUUUAUUGUUAUAAUCAUAGUACAAGAAUUGUUGAAUAUGGAAAUGCUAGGUUCAUUGAGAAUGGUGACAUCAGUGAGAGUGAAAGAGUACGUGAUGCUUGCAUUCAAGAAAUAAGUGUAGAAGUUCCUAUACGCAAAGCUUCUAAAGUUGUUGUUCCUGAUAUUAUAGUACAACUUAACAAUAAUCGAAAAUAACAAAUUAAUUAACAAACAUUCCAUAAUGGAGAUGUCAAUAUUGAACCUUCAAUAUCUGAGUCACAAGAAAUAACAUUAAAAAGAUCUCAAAGAAAAAUGAAGUCGGUUAUUUCUGAUGGCUAUAUUAUUUAUCUACAAGAGUCAGAAAUUGACAGAGAUUGACUUAGGAAUUGGAAAUGAUCCAAGUUCAUUUUCUCAAGCCAUGGAAUAUGAAAAUUAUAAUGAAUGAUUUAAUGCUAUGGAAGAAUAGUUAAAAUCCAUGCAUCAAAAUCAAGUUUGGGAUCUUGUUGAAUUGCCUAAAUGAUGUAAAAAGGUCAAGUGUAAAUGGGUCUUUAAGACCAAAUGUGACUCAAAAUGCAAUAUUAAACGACAUAAAGCCAGACUUAUUACAAAGGGUUUUACUCAGAAAGAAUGCAUUUACUAUAAAGAUACAUUUUCACUAGUCUUUAAGAAUGACUCACUUAGAAUCAUUAUGACUUUGGUGGCUCAUUAUGAUUUGGAAUUACACCAAAUAGAUGUAAAAAUCGCAUUUCUUAAUAGGAAUUUAGAAGAAGGGGUUUAUAUAGACCAACUCGAAGGCUUUUUAGUUAAAGGAAAGGAACACAUGGUAUGUAAAUUAAAGAAAUUAAUAUAUGAACUUAAACAAGCUUCCUGACAAUAGUAUCUUAAGUUUAACGAUACCAUAACUUCAUUUGGAUUUAAGAAAAACACCAUUAAUCGGUGUAUAUAUAUGAAAAUUAGUGGGGGCAAAUUUAUUUUUUCUAAUUCUAUAUGUUUAUGAUAUUUUGCUUAUUGCUAAUGAUCUUGGUUUGUUACAUGAAACCAAGAAGUUUCUCUCUAAGAAUUUUGAAAUGAAGGAUAUGAGAGAGGCAACAUAUAUGAUAUGAAUAGAAAUAUUUCGUGAAAGAUCACAAGAAUUAUUAGGAUUGUCUCAGAAAGCCUACAUUGAGAAAAUUUUAGAGAGAUUUAAUAUGGAUAAAUGUUCGGUAUGAAUAGUUCCAAUUCUGAAAGGUGACAAAUUUAGCCUUAUGCAAUGUCCAAAAAGUGAACUACAACGAGAAUAAAUGAAAAAUAUUCCUUAUGCAUCUAUUGUGGGGAGCUUAAUGUAUGCACAAACUUGCACCAGACCAGACAUUAGUUUUGCUGUCAGAAUAUUGGGCAAGUAUCAAAGUAAUCCUAGAAUGGAACAUUGGAAAGCUACAAAUAAAGUUCUUAGAUACUUGCAAAGAAUAAAGAAUCAUAUGCUCAUUUAUAAAAGAUCUGAUCACCUCGAGGUGAUUGGAUAUUCAGAUUCAGACUUAGCCGGAUGUGCUGAUACAAAAAAAUCAACGUUUGGUUACUUGUUUCUUCUAGCUAGAGGGGCAAUUUCAUGGAAGAGUGCGAAGCAAUCAGUUAUUACUGCAUCCACUAUGGAAGCUGAAUUUGUGGCAUGCUUUGAGGCCACUAGCCAUGGAUUAUGGCUGCGGAAUUUUAUUUUAGGGCUUAAGAUUGUCGACAGUAUUGCCAAGCCGCUAAAAAUUUAUUGUGAUAACUCUACGGCAGUUUUCUUCUCUAAGAACAACAAGUAUUAUAAGGGUGUUAAACAUAUGGAGAUCAAAUACUUGUCUAUUAAAGAAGAAGUUCAUAAACGAAGAGCAUCAAUUGAGCACAUUAGCACUAAUCUUAUGAUAGCGGAUCCCUUAAUAAAAGGACUGCCGCCCAAAACAUUUAAUAAACAUGUUAAAAAAAAUGGGUAUUUUGGGACGUCAUUAAUAUUUGUAUUAUGAUUGUAUUAAAUUUAUGUAUUUGACACUUUGAGCUCAUUUACGUGUUUCUAAUAUUUCAUGUUUUCUAUUUAGUAUACAUUAUGGAAAAUAGAUGAAUAUUAAACAGGAUAGUUUCUAAAGAGACAUUAUAGUUGGACUAUUACUGUACUUCUUAUUUAUGGAUCAUAUUAAGUAAAAUGCUAUAGUUGUAGUGCAUAGAAGGGACUAUGUCGAUUAAUGACAUACAACCGCUAUUACUCGCAUUAAUUUUCUUUACUUAAUUGUGAUUAUUAUGUGAUUGCCAAUUAAUGAAAAUUUUAUAGCAUAAUGUUAUUAUGCAUAUUACAAUCUUUAUUAAACCAUGAAAGGAAAAUCAUAUGGGCUAAGUAGGAGAAUGUAAAAAUUAUUGUGGCCCACAUGAUAUAAUUUAUUAUAUGGUUUAAUAAUUAUUGAAAUGCUACAAAAAUAAAUAUUGGUUAUGAGAAAUUGCGACUCUAAUAAAACGAAACGGUAUAAUUCUUUUCCGAAAAGAUGCGACUUUUAUGGAAGUUAAAAGGCGCUUUGAUGGAAGGCACCUAUUGAUAGAACGUAUGAAUAGAGCCCACAUGAUAUAAUUUACUAUAUGGUUUAAUAAUUAUUGAAAUGCUACAAAAAAUAAAUAUUGGUUAUGAGAAAUUGCGACUCUAAUAAAACGAAACGGUAUAAUUCUUUUCCGAAAAGAUGCGACUUUUAUGGAAGUUAAAAGGCGCUUUGAUGGAAGGCACCUAUUGAUAGAACGUAUGAAUAGAGUCCAAUCCUCUCUCCACCUACAAAAACAACAAUACUUGAAAAGAACUCGGUAUUCUCUCAUCCAUCGAUAGAAUACAUUAAAAAAUAGUGGGUUAAGAGAGAGAAAUUUGAUUUCUUCAUUUGGUUCGAGUUCUUCGGUUUUCCACAACGAUUAUCAUCAGGGUAACGCUAUGGAUAAAGGUACAUCUUCAUCUAUUUAUGAAAAUCAUGAAGAUCAAAUAUCACUAUUUUCUUUUGAAUUUCCGCAUCAAAGAAGUAUAUGUAUCAUCUAACAGAUUUCUAUAUGAUAAGGUGAUCUUGGAAAAUUAACAUAUCUCUACUCAUGCAAUUGAUAGGAGAAAAUUGAUUUUUACUCAUCAUAGAACUCCUAAAAUAUUUUAAAGCAUGCAAAUAUCACGUGUGAGUUCUCCCAUAACAAUUUUGCAAUCAUCAUUUCAAACAUGCGAAAGGAGAGAUAUAGAGUCCUAUGCAAACACACGCUAACCAAACAUCCUUGAUUUGUUGACAAAAAGGUAAAAAUGAAAUUUACCAUACUUUAUGUAAAGGGCUAUAUCUGUGUGCAUCCCUAAUUGUAGGAAACUUUAUCAAACCAUGUGUUGUGUCGGUGAAUUAUAAAUUAUGGAUCACCUCAAGCAAAUAAAAAUAUGAGUGAUGUUCAUGUUAUCCUGACUUAAUACUCGUAAUUUAUCAUGCUUAGCACAUAAAAAUUGCACAUGACCACAUUUUCUAACCCAUUAGGCCCAACUUGUUGUGGCUCCAUUUACAACUUAACCUCAUAUAAUAACUUAUGAUAGAUCAUAUGUUGAAAAUUAUUAUUCAACUUCUGGCUUGUAUUAUUUUGUUUAAUACAUUUUGUCAUCCUUUUAUAGAUCAAGGUGUCUAGUUACAGUUAAAAAAUUGGAAGAAAAUAAACUUGUUACUUCUCCAUGAACAAGAGAAGAUCAUCAUUGAGCUUUAGGGAAACUCAUCCGGAUCGUAGCAAAUUGUCGAUAACCUCAGUUAUCUCAAUAAGUAGCACCAACUCUAUACUUGUUGUGCUCAUCACAAAACAAGGGAUGCACAUGGUCACAAGCACGUCUCAUUUUUUUUUUUUGAGUAAUUAAUUCUCUUAGCACACGUUUAAAAUAAGGUACAAAGUUAAUGAUAUUUAUUCAAGUGAGAUUUGUAGAGUUAUUUCCCAAUAUCGAUGACAUUUGAGAGAAAAUUAAAGGUGACAAUUGAUUUUAACAAAAGACAUCCAGAAUUUUGAUCAAUAUUUAUUAAAGCAAUAAAAAAAAUAGCGCCGGGAACAACCGAGAUCACUUCACAGUUAUAUAUCUCGCUCCCAAAGUGCACGAAGUCAGGAUUCAACUGAGUGCGAAUUAAUGUGGAGCUAAGUGUGGAGAAAGAUUUAAAAAAAAAAAAAAGAAUUGCAAGGAAAAUGUAAAUUGCAUUGGACGGAUAAAUUUCAUGGAAAAUGAAUUGGUGCAGUAAAAAGUAAAUAUAAACAUAGAUUAUAGAAUUUGCUUGAUUGAAAGAGAGAGCUUUUAAAAUCCCAAAAAUAAUGGUACUUGUAAAUCGAAUACUAAGAAUAACCAUUUCCUCCUAUACGUACAAGAACUGCCCACAUAACUCCAAUCAUUCCAACUCUUUUGCAACUUCCAACUUCAAAGAUGAAUGCUACCACGUGCAACAUGAGCUCUUCCUAGUUAGUUUCCCUAGCUUACCUGUACAUCUUCCCUGUUUGUUGUUUUCACGUUUUCUGUGUUUUCUUCCGGGAGAAGUACACUAUUGGUACCAUAAGUUGUGUACAGCGCUCACUUUGGUGCUAAAAGUUUUCGUUGAAUCACUUAAGUGCCAAACCGGCGAAAAAACAAUCACUUAAGUGCCUCUGGCGAAAAAUUCAGGCCAAAAAAUGGCGUGGCUUUUUUAAUUAAAAAUUUAAUAUGAUUGGGUAUUUUUUUUUUUUUAGAAAAUCAGUCCAUGUGGACUUUCUUGGCUGCUGUCCAACGAAGAAGAAAGAAAAUCAGUCCAUCCUCUUCUUCUUCUUCUUUUUCUUCAAUGUUCACACCUAUCGUUCUUCCUUGCUUUUUUUUUUUCUUCUCAGCGUGAAACACCGAGGAGGAGGACGAGGUCUCUAUCGCUCCCUUCUACUAGAGCUCCUCCACAAAGCUUAGGUCCAUCUACAAAGGAUGGCCCCACAUCAUUGACGAUCCACCCUCUGCCACCAUGCACAUGCGGUGAGUGGCGUCUAAAGUCCCUGGCUUAGACCCGAGCCACAACUCGGAGCCCCAUUCCCCUAACUCGGCCGGGAGGUCGUGGCUCCACGGAGCUGGAGCUUCAAGUCACGAGACACGUUACUUCCAGGACCUCUGCAGUGUGACCUAUCUCCUCAACCCUCUGACCCAAGACAUCUUCUCGCUGUCGAGCGUCGAGCCAUCGCACAAGUGGUGGCGCUGAGCAUAGAAUUGGAAUCGAGUCAACUGCCUGACCUACCGGUAGAAGAUCAUGUGAUAAGGGAAGAGGUCCUCAAUUGGGGCUCGAGGUCAUGGGGAGACAUCGCGAGCAUCCCUCCCAGGCUCCUCAACCCCGUGUUCGCUGCUGGAUCUAUCCAUCUGAAAGCCGCUGGCGGAAGCGGCAUUAUAAUCUUGUCCUUCAAUUACAGAGGAGGAGGUUGAGACAUCCACCUGGCACAAGUCCGGGACGUUCUGGGGCUUGUCGACAAUAAUUAGGGUUUAAAAUUAGGGAUUUCUUUCAAUUUGGCAAAUUAGGGUUCUUAUUUGGGGGGAAAUGCAACUAGACGACGUCGUUUCUUGCUUUAGAUGCUAACUAGACUCUCCGGCGAGCCACAUCAGCAUAAGAAAUUAAUAACAAAAGGCCACGUCGGAUUUCUAGCCAAUCAGAUCGGUGUUAGCACUAAAAUGGUCGUUUUUCAAAUUUGUUGGCAUUUAAGUGAUCCAAAAUAAACUUUUGGCACCAAAGUGAGCGUCGUACACAACUUAUGGCACCAAUAGUGUACUUCUCCUGUUUUCUUCCCUUCUCAUAACUAUACUUGUGAUGAUAACUAAUAUUUCAAAAUUGUUAAAUUUUCAUCACAGGUGUAGCUUCUCUCUCACUUAGUGCUUAUGAUUUUUCUUUAAUUUCCUAAUAAAUUUAUCUUAGUCAACAAAAGAGUUCCCUCUCAUCUUUAGUUCAUUCAAUCAACCUAAAUGCAGCAUUAAUAGAUGAUAUGUCAGCUUUUUUGCAAUUUUAACAAAAGGACUAACUCGAUCAUGAAAAUAAUAAUAAUUAGAGACCACAUUGGGAAAAAAGAGAAUUUAUGGACAAUAUUGAAUAAAUUGAAGAAGUAAAGGCACUUGCAAUUCGAUUAUCCCUAAACUUUUCACAAAAGUUUUAUGAAAAGAUUUUUCUAGAGGCUAUGUUAUACGCUAGUGUAUUGCUCCAAGUUCUUUUUCUACAAUCAUGAGUGGUUUGAGACAUUCUAGUUCAAUAACUCGAAGCCACUAGUUUGCAUCCCGCCAACUACAUACAAACCACUUUAAGUUAAAACCACUUGUAUAGGUGAAAUGCCCGAACUCAAUAAGUUUGUGAUACUUGUAGGUUGUUUCAUGGACCUCCAAAUAACUGGGUCUGCAUGUUCGUAUUCCUUAAAUUAUCAAUAGAAAAAUGAUCUGUCACAACUUUAAAGUCAUCUAUCGUAAUAAAAUAAUAAAAAAUUACCAACACAUCCCAAAUAAUUAAAUCACUUAUUAAAAUCAUUAAGCACAAAUUAAAAAUCUUCAAUAAUGAAUGAUUUCACACUAAUGAUCGAAGUAAAAUGUAAACCUUACGAUCCUCCCUAUUGCUUAGCACUUCCCUCUCCACGGGGAUUUUGAGUCAAAUUCAACAUUGACCUUACCCAAGCUUUUUCUUAGAGAUUUCCACAAAAAUUUCAAACACGGCACAACUUUCUUAUAUUUCUCAAUUAAUCCAUCAUCUUCGAAGCAUAUUACUCACCACUGGCGAAAUUUGCCAGUAAAACAGAUGAUUACGGUACUAUAACAUAAGUAUUGUGAUACAUUUCCUUUUUGGCCAAAGACCCAAGCAUUGACCAAAAGGUCAUUUAGCAAAAGACCAUUUGAGAAGGUUUACAGGCAAACAACCAAUUCGCAACCAUGUGUUCAAAUCAAACUUCUUGAUUGCAAGUUGUUCUGUGCCGAUAAAGUUGUGGUUUCUUGUUGCCUUGUUCUGCUUGUCUUUGUAUGAUAUGCAAAUAAUUCAUUGGUGCAAGCAUCCGACAAAACCGCAAUUCUGAAUUCUGUCCCCAAAAUAUCUUCACUUUGAUUUUCAUGGUGACGUGAUCCAAUUAAUAUCUUUAAAGUUUACAAGGUGAGGCAUUCUCAUGUAAUCUCGUGUUAAUUAGCACAAGGUAGCAUUAUAUGAUAGGAAUUCUCCAAUGAGUCGGUAACUUGUUAACGAGUGUGAAUGAUUUUGUACAAGACAAUUAUCAAUAAAAUUUUAAACUUAUUAUAUCCAUAUUAAGUUAGUCAUAAACCUUUUAAUUUUGUCAAUUUUGCCAAUUUAGUCUUAAACAUUUUCACAUUUUUCUAAUUCAGUCUAUCAAGUCAAUUUUGGCUGUAAAUCAAUGACGUAGACGCCAAUAGUCCAACGUGACACAACCACCAUUGACAUAGACAUUUUAAAAAUAUUUUAAUAGUCUUUUUAAAAAAAAUCUUUUUCUCUUUACUUUGUUUUUCUUUUUCUUUUUUUUUGGACCGAGGGCUGGCAAGGGUCACGCUAAUGAUUGAGGUAAAAUGUAAACCUCACAGUCCUCCCCAUUGCUUAGCACUUUCCUCUCCACAAUGAUUGUGAGUAAACUUCGACAUUGAACUUACCCAAGUUUUUCCCUAGAGAUUUCCACAAAAAUUUCAAACAUGGCACAACUUUAUUAUAUUUAUCAAUUAAUCCAUCAUCUUCAAAGCGUACUACUCAACACCAGCGAAAUUUGCCAGUAAAGCAUAUGAUUAGGGGAAUAUAACAUAAGUAUUGUGAUGGCCAAAGACCCGAGCGCUGAUCAAAAGGUCUUUUAGCAAAAGACCAAUUAUUUGAGAAGGUUUACACGCACAAGAAACAAAUCGCGACCAUGUGUUCAAAUCAAGCUUCUUGAUUGCAAGUUGUUGUGUGUCGAUAAAGUUGUGAUUUCUUGUUUCCUUAUUUCGCUUGUCUUCGUACGAUAUGCAAACAUUCAUUAGUGCAAGCAUUGGACAAAACCGCAAGUCUGAAUUCUGUCCCCAUCAUGAACAGAAAAUAUCUUCACUUUAAUUUCUGUGGCAAAAAAAAAAAAAAAAAAAAAUUCUGUGGCAACGUGAUCAAAUAAAUAUUCUUGUAAGUCUAUGAGGUGGAGCAUUCUCAUAUAAUCUUGUGUUAAUGAGCACGAGGUAGCAUUAUAUGAUAGAAAUUCUCCAACAAGUCGGUAACUUUCUAAUGUGUACGAAUGAUUUUGUAUAGGACAAUUAUCAAAGAAGUCUUAAACUUGUUAUAUCUGUGUCGAUUCAGUCAUAAACUUUUUAAUUUUAUCAAUUUAGUGUUAAACAUUUUCACAUAUUUCCAAUUCAGUCAAUUUUGGUUGGAAAUCAAUGACAUGGGCUCCAAUCGUCUAAUGUGACACGGCCAGCACUAACGUAGACAUUUUAAAAAUAUUUUAAUGAUUUAAAAAAAAAUCAUUUUCAUUACUUUUUUUAGACUAAAGGCGGGCAAGGGUCACUGAUUGACCUUGCCAACUAAUAGUACUGUAAUUUAAGAAUUAUCCUAAGCAAGUCCUUCAAAUACUUGAAUCUUCUUGUUCUUUCUAGUUUCUGCAUUACUAAACCUAUUUAGUCCCCCAUAUGCUAGCUCCAUUUCACUCUAGAUUAAGAAUUUCAGUAACUUUCCUAUUUCGUGGACAUCUGCAAUGUAGCGCCCUUCUACAGAUCUCAAGAUUUGGUUGCAACUCUCUAAUCAAUGAUCGGUCUCCAGAAAAGAUACUUCAAUAGCAGCCUUCUUAUCAUUUUUUUGAUGUGCAUGUUUUCCUAAAUUACAGAUGGAAUAUUUAUUAAAAAUCAUGGAGGUCAACAUUCAGUCUUCAAAAGCUGUCAAACAGUAACUAUAUGGCCAUCCAUGUUGUUAACCAAGUGCUUCUUCUUUGUGUGUUACCUGUGAUUCUUUUGAAAUAUUAAAUUCUAAUGAUGUUUUGUAGUUGCUAGAAAUUGAUUAGAUUAGAAAUUGGUUGGUCCCAUGUAGAAGAAGUUGCACUCAAGCUUUUCCGUCACUAUGUCUUUUAGUAUGAUCUGUUGACACAUAAAUUUUGACUAAAUAUUUAAAAUUAAAAUUGUAUAGAAAAUUAUGAAUCAAUUUGGUUUUAACAAAAAAGAUUUUCACAUCACAUAAGCAUUAAUAUUAUUUGCAUUAACUAAGUUUUAUUUUUGCUUUAUUUUCCCUUAUUUUACUGCAUUUUGGAUAAAUAGAAUUUUUUUAAAAUUUUAUUAUUACUAAGUAAAUGAAAAAAAAAAGUUGGCUUGGGGGGGUGGGCCUAACCCCAGCCCCUUUUCUCUUUUCCGUGCGGGCCCAGGGCCCAUCUCGCUCGGUGACUUCACGGCCCGGCCCUCUUCUUCUUCUCCUUCCUUCCUUCCUUCCUUCCCGAGUGAAGGAGAGAGAAAUCGGGGGAGCUCUUCAGAGAGUAAGUGAGAUCUGAGAGCUGUGAGGUGGAGGUGGCGGAGAGAGAAAUCGGGGGGUGUUCUAGAGAGCGAGGCCAAGAGAAUAGGAGAGAUCCAAGGGCGGAGAGUGAGAUCUGAGAGAGAGAACCGAGAGCGAGGCUGAGAGCGAGUGUUCUCCGGUGACAAAUACACUUGAAACCUGGCCGACGAUCCAUUGACAUCACCCCACUUCCCAAACCAAACCCACGGUAGGUAGGUUGUGUUCCGAUUCUUUUGCUUGUGCCGACUCGGGGUCGGCUUCCCAUGGAUCUCGGCUCGGGGGCGCGCGAGGCGGACGGACGUACCCCGAUCUUCGGGCUCGUCCGCCGUCCGAUGCCGUGGUAGGGACCCUCCGCCGAACCUCCCCUGUUUCGUGCCUUGUUUUGCCGCAUCGCGAAUUUUGCCGUUUGUCCAGCGGGCACGAUUUCCGGCCCCCUUCGUGUGUAUACUGCGGCUCUUGGGUUGUUGCUUGCCGAUUGUUGUCAGCUUCGGCGCGAGUCGGGGCUCCGUUGGUUCGUUUUCCCCCUCUUUAGUUAAUGCGACUUACCUGUUCGACGAAACGCCUAACUGAAGUGUGCGCUCUUGUUCUCAGUCCUUCGUCCAUUUUGGGCGUUCGUGGUUGGUGAAAUGCGUUUUGAUAGAUCCGCGCAGCUGUUCCUUCGCUUCUUACGUUCUUGUUUCGACGUUCCUUUUGCGCAUCGUGUUUCCGCAAGCAACCGACUCUUGACCGGCGAGAUUGAAGGGUGGUGGCGGCCCCGGUCACAGUGAUGGCCGUGCGAUGAUUGAACACGACCGGCAGCGGUACCGGAGCUUUGGUUGAGUUUUGAGUCCCUCUUACCACUUGAAUUUGCUCGCGUUAUUGGUCCGGUCGUUAAGAAGAUGGUCGCGGAGGAGAGGGAAGCGUGAAAGAAGGGAAUAAAAUGAAAAUGAAAAGAAACGGAGGUGGGAAGGAGGGGCGACAACUUUAAUUAAAUAAAAAAGUCUCCUUUUGUCUCUUGGUCACUAGAGUAUAAAAGCGCGGCUCUGUAUGACCACACGCACAAGAUAUAGGACAAGACAAGAGACAGAAAGCUAAGAAGAAUAAAUGAAAAGGGACUAAAAGGGGACUCUUCUCUGGCCAUCCGGAUGCGCGAUUCAGGUCAGGUUUAUAUUAUCUUGUUAUCUUAAUUUUUUAAUAAAAAAUUAUUAAAAAGUUUUUAAAAAUUCGAAAAUUUCUCAAAUUAGGGAAAGGCCUAAAAAUGUUUUUUUGGAAUUUUUUUAAUGCACGAAAAAUUUAUCAAAAAAAAAUCAAACUUCAAACUUUAAAUAAGAUUAAGCAUCGAAAGAGCAUUAGUUGAUAAUUAGUGUGAUCAAAUUCUCAAUCUUAGUUUCUUUGAAGGCGCAAGAGCAAAAUAUUUCUCCCAAUAUUUUAUUUAGAUUUUUAAUUGACCCAACCCAAAUUAAUUAUUGGCGACUCCUAAAUAAAAAUAAAUUGCAAGUUAAAACUCAUAUCAUAAGUCGCGAAUUAGUAGGCUUGGGAUGGCCCAAACUAUGCCCAAACUUAAGCCUUUGCGCCCACAAUAGGGCUUCAGAGGUCGCAACAUCCAUUAGUGGUUUUGCACGCAAAUGCAGAGGAGCUUUGCACUCGAGUUGUCAUCGACUAUAUGCAAACACAAUUUUGGAAAUAUAAUGGAAUUUCUUCAUCUGUCUUUGUCCACAAUAGUACAAAUGUAUACCUAUACUCUGUUAUUUUCCUUUUAGAUAUGUGCAUGUGAGCCCGACUUUGAGUUAGAUUCAGCAGAAUUUGGCGAAGGUCAGGCUUGAUAUCAGGUGGUAGUGAAAUCAUCCAAGUUGGUUCGUCUCAAAUGCUCAUUGAUUUGAUAUUUAAGAGAUUACAUUGAACCCUCCCACUAUGUUCACCAUUGCCAUCAGUAUACUUGUUUGUGGGAUUGUUCUUUUGUGAGGAGAAUAUUGGUGAUUGUGAAAGAAGAAUGUCCUAGAUUGCGUGAUCAUUAUCGUUUCCAACAAACUACCAAUAUUGCCUAGGGGUGAUUGAUUCACAAUCCAGUCCAGUCCAGUCCCACCUAGGAAUCAAUAAACCGAAUCGGGAGGAUCGCUUCCCACUAGUUGGACAAGGGACUAGACGGACUGGACUGGUUGGUCCAAUCUAAUGGAACUUACCACUCAACCAAAAAAAAAAUUAAAAAAAAUUAAAAAUACUAGAGUUGUUACUAUUGUAUGGUUUAUUACUAUUUUCAAGAACAUAAGAAAAUAUUUAUAAAAAAAAAAAAAAAAAGAGUUGGUCCAAUCCAAUUCUCCCUCGAAAUCGGGAACAAGACCAAAAAUCACCGGUUUUGUUUUUAUGAAACCAAGAACCGAACCGACGCUCGGGAACUAGACCAAACUGGUCAGUUCAGUUCGGUCCAGGCGACUCUAGGUUCAAUCAAUCCAAUAUGCUCACCCGUAGUGUUGCCUAGUACAUAGAUUAGUUUCUAUUAACUUGUGCUCUUGUAAAGAUUUGAGGGACAAAAUCAUUCAUGGAACCAUGAGUCAACUCAAAAUGUUUCAAAAAGAAUUCACACAUUAAUCAAUCCGCCAACUAUUACAAAAUAGGACCGGACUAAAUCAAAUCCGAAUCCAACCAUGAAAUGAUGUAUCAUGAUCACUUUAUUCUUGCUGAUUUGCAAAUGUUUGUUGGAUCUUUUAGGUUAAACACUCUUCUCGCUAUGAGGAGAAUUUUGGUGUUUGCGAAAGAAGAAUGUCCUAGAUUGCGUGGUCAUUACUGUUUCCAACAAAUUGCCAGUACAAAUUAUUUUCAAUUAGCUCGUGCUCUUGUAAAGAGGUGAGGGACAAAAUCAUUCACGAAAUCAUCAGUCAACUCAAAAUGUUUCAACAAGAAUUCACAUAUCAAUCGAAUUGCCAACUAUUACAAAAUUGGACCAGACUAAAUCAAAUCUGGAUCCAACCAUGAAAUGAUGUAUCAUUAUAAUAUUAUUCCGAUCGAUUUGCAAAUGUUUGUUGAAUCUUUCAAGUUAAACACUCUUCUCGCUAUGAGGAGAAUUUUGGUAAUUGCACAGGAAGAAUGUCCUAGAUUGUGUGGUCAUUAUCAUUUCCAACAAAUAGUCAGUGUUACAUAGGAUACAGAUUAGAUUCAGUUAGCUUGUGCUCUUAUAAAGAGUUGAGGGACAAAAUCAUUGACGAAAUCAUCAAUCAACCCAAAAUGUCUCAAUAAGAAUUCACGCAUCAAUCAAACUGCCAACUAUUACAAAAUAGGACCAGACUAAAUCAAAUCUAAUAUGACCCUGAAAUGAUGUAUCAUAUUUACUUUAUUAUGGUCAAUUUGUAAAUCUGUGUUGGAUCUUUCAGGUUAAAACACUUUUCCCGCUAUGAAAAAUGCAAGGGCUAGAGAAACUCCAUACGUAUAGAUUUAGUGAUUGAUCCUCUUAUGAUCUUGGGGACUCGACAUAAUGAAAAUUCGUUUAUUACGGUUUGGGUUGGGGGGGGGGGGGGGGGGGGGGGNNNNNNNNNNNNNNNNNNNNNNNNNNNNNNNNNNNNNNNNNNNNNNNNNNNNNNNNNNNNNNNNNNNNNNNNNNNNNNNNNNNNNNNNNNNNNNNNNNNNGAGAAACUUCACGGCAUAUACCAGAAAUAAAAGGAACUUAUUUUUUUCCCCGUCUGUUAGAGCAUCAGAAGGAGAGACAUCUCUCUAGAGACAGAAACCUAUCGGGCCGACAAGCUGUCGGACGUAAAAGCAUCAGGGACACCCCACAAGCAGCAGUGUGCGACCAACUUAUCAGUGAAAGCUUAUGCACGAAGGAACCAAGGGAUAAUUAUGCCAAGGACUCCAAUAUCAAUGAAGCAAAUACCAAUCAUCCAAUCCUCCUCUCAUAAGAACGCAAAAAUUACGUUGAUGAACGACAAUCUCAACCCCUAGAACGCGAAAUCUCACCUUCACAGCAAAAUUAGACUCCUCCAAACUCGAAAGGAACCCGUGCGAGAGAAACGGAUUAUACUUCUCAGGGCCAGUAGCAUCAAUAGCACACGCAUCCCAAUCAUCCGCCGAAACCUCGGAGAUGGAAUUAACAACCGAGGGCAAUAUGUGCUUCGGCCUCGACUCCGCCGCCACGACAUCCUGCGCGACAGAACACGAACCUAUUCAUUCCGUACAUCCCAGAAACAGAACCAUCGCGAACGUGACUAAGAACAAACCUUGACGCCCGGCGCCGUCAGAGCAUAAUAGCCGAGGGAAAGAUCGUCGGUCUCGCGAGGCUCCAAAGACUUCUUCGACCUCCAGAACAGCGCUCGGAUUCUGCCGGCGGCGGUGGCUCGAAGUCGGAGUUGAUGACGAGUUCGUCGGAGGGAGGAAAUCGGACGGAGGCUCAGAAGUUGCCGAGAGACCAACGCGAGCACAAACCUUACGCGUUGGAAACAGUGGGAGGCAAAGGCGGUCGGGAACCAGCUGCGACAGGCGAGGCUCUUGGAGGAGGCGACGUGCCAGAGGUAGAUGACCGGCGAGGCGGAGGCGGAGGCGGAGGCGGAGGGGUGGGAUGCGCUGAGAGGGAAGUGCAGCUCGUUCUCUGUCUGCUCUUCGAUGAAGAGAGAGAGACAAAACCCAAAAAAUUUCAAGUGAGGAGAGAGAAAAUUUAAGCGGGAGCGCAGAGCAUUCAUUACCCUUCUGAUCCGUCCUUUCUUCUGCCAGCCGAGCCGAGCCGAGCCCCUAGCCAUUUAUUUCGGAGAGAGCGAGAAGAGAGAGGAGAGAGAUAGGAGCGCAGAAGAUGGAGGGGCGUCAGAGUGGUGGGCCCCAAGAGCGCUUUUGAACGUCUGGCACCGUCGCCUACGUGGAGCCACGUGUCGACUCCUGAGUGGUCUUACCCACCGCUUACGUGGAGGGUAAAACUCAGCCAAUAUUUUCUGUCUUUCGGAGGAUGGUUCGCAGAAAAACUGAGAAGCAUUCUUCACAAUGUGGAUUCUACUCAAACCUCGCUAUCUGAACGACAUAAUGUUAAAUUUUGCGCGUAAUCUAAAGAAAACAUGGUCGUCUAAUUGGAGUUUUCUUCUUGUAUUCCUCAUCAGACUUGACUUCAGUAAAUCUGAUUUGUUUUCUUUGAACCAAAAUUUUGGUCUGCUUCUUGAGCCGUGACCUUUUGGAACUCAUGCAUUGCAUGCCGCAACAAGUUUAAUCGGGAUUUUUCGUCAGUUUAUAAAGGGCUGCUAAAUUAAGACAAAAGUCUAACUAAGCCUUGGACUUAUACACAAUUACAUUGUUCAUUCCGCAGAAACAGCUCUUAACUAUCUUAAAUUGUGUCACCUUAUGAAAUUUAAAUUUGGCGUUGCUGAUUAAGCUUAGCAAAGAGGGAGCUAGUACAAAUUAAGCAUAUUAACUUUCCAGCAACAAACUUCUUGCAUUGCAUAUGGUGUUCUACAUGAGUAUUAAUCUUGAAAUAUAAUGCCCACAGUUUGUAUGAUGUGCUGUAUUGUAUUGUCUUUGCUGCAGUUAUCCUUUCUUGCUUCAAAAUUAAGUGAUCCAGACGUCAUGUCAAAGGUGAGAAACUUAGCAUUUUCAGGAGACUUGGGUAUAUAUCGGAGAUGAACCACAUGCUUACAAUCAAUGAAGAACCAUCAAACCAAUAGAUAAAUGACAACAAAAUCAUUCAAAUUAAUGCCUAAGAGAAUUCACUGCAGCAUCCAGCUCAUUAAGCUUGCAAGGUUUACAAAUAACCCACUCCAACAAUACCCAAACAUGUCCUAAUAACUAGCAAAUCAAGUACACAUUGUCUUCCGACCACCAAAAAAAAAAAAAAAAAAAUGCACACAUUGCCACCUUAUAAUCUAAAUCACACUCAAAUGAAUCUUAAACUAGUAUACAUCAUGAAUAAAAUGGUGAUGUCAGAAAAAUCCAGAACAAAAUCAGAACAUUUAAGGCCGAAAUUCAUGAUUCUUUCUAACUAAUGGACUUGAAACACAUCGUUCUGCGAGUGUAUAUUAGCUCAAUUGAAAAUUGAAGUCAAAUGAAGAUCAUCAAUGCUUGUAUAGCGGGCACAUGUUCAAUUUCAGCAAAUUAAAGCAUGACAACAUGAUUAUCUUUCUUGAAAAUUAACAUGGAUUCCUCGUCUCAACUCGCACAACUAAGGUAACACAUAGACAAAUCUUGGCAAUUGUUGUUUGAACAACAAAUGGAUAUGGACAACAGGCAUCAACAUGAAUCCAGCAAAUUUAAGUCACGGACAACAUUUAUAACCAUGACUAAAGCAUGUUAUGAACAUACACAGAAUUCAUAGCCAAGAAAUCAACAUAUUUUUUUAACAUGUACAGCAAGAACAACAAUGAAUCCAGUAAAUUUAAGCCAUGUACAGUAAGAAUAGACAUAUUCAGCAAGCCCACAAUGCAGUGGGUGUACAAUUUUGACAAAUAGCACAUCUUGAAUCGAAUGUUGUGCAAGCUAAUGAUGAGAACUGAGAUAAGCCACCAUGUACUGGCACGUACAUCGCAAGCAUGACACAAACAUUACUCCAACGCAUCCAUCACAUGUGAAGUGGAGUCUCAACCAAGCCCAAAACAGAGCAGCAGUUAAUGCGAAAGAAAAGCUACAACUUCAACACAUGAACAAUUUGCAGUUACAGAUGAUUUCUUUAGAUUAAAACCUAGACAAUUAUGCUUUGAACACCUCAAGUGCAAAAAUAAAUCCAAAGGCUCUCAGUUUAUAGGAUGAUUCAGCCACGCUCCCAAAGCAGUAUUUAAUUCACUGAGAAUGAGUAAACAGAAGCACCAAGGGAAGGAGAACUCUAGGCCAUCAAAGGAUGAAGCAUCCAUUCGCCAUAUACAGUUAGUACCUUGAACAACAUACAAAUCACUCCUAUACAAUCUCAAAUUGAUCAAUUGAUUCAUCAUGGUCAUCUCCAAGGCAAAUUGUCGAACAGCUGGUGAGCAUGAAGGGUGUGGUGUUAUAUAAACAGGAAUUCCUAUCAAUUGGCGAGGAAUGUAACAUGAGAAACCCAGCUAAAAAUUGCUAGAGAGGAACCGUCAUCUCGGUCUGUGCGUUUUGUUCUUGUUUCGCUCAGUUCCUCAGCCCUCACGCGCGCACCAAGCUUCAGAGAGUGCAUUGUGGUUGUUGUUGUUGUGAAUUCUCCUACAGGCCGUGAAAUCGUCAGCUUAAAAAGAAUCUCCAAUGCAUUAGACGGGAGAGAAAGAAAGAGCAUGAGAGAGAAGUUCAAUUGGUGGUGGUGAUGAGCGCCAAAUGCUCUGCUCCAUCACGGCCAAGGCUGCGGCAGCUAGCGACGGAGUUCUGAUGGUGGCUGUUAUUGAUCGGAGAUGGAAGACGAUUAUCACCACCACCCAUCUUUGUCAGGCAGCUAUGUCAAAACACACUCGGCGACCAAGGAAAAUUUGUGCAGAAGAGAGAUUCUACCUGAAACUACCCGCGCUAUAAGCGAGCAACAUCCAGAAAUCACUGAACAUCACUUCCUCUUGUGUCCCUGCACAAAGCAAAAUUUGGGAAAACCCAUCAAUCAAUAUCAGAAUCGACAUUCGCGGACUGACCAACCAGGUUUUGGGCAUGGCUAGCGAAUCUUAAACACGCCUCGGUCUCGUUCGAACUCUUCUCCUCGUUACUCCGGCAGGUCUGGAAAGCCCGGAACAACUUUGUGUUCAGAGCUCAAAAUCCAAAGCCCCCUGUUCAUCAUGGACUCAGCCCUUGGCGAUGAAUCGAAACAAUUACCAGGUGGGUGACGGUAACUUCGUCGAGGACUCCAAAAAAGAAGCGAUUUACCCCUGGUUUGGACAGUGCCAGCUCCUGGCGUGCUCAAACAUCAAGGUCGAUGGGUCGGUUGUUCCAGAAACAGGGGAAGGCGCCAUAGCUUUUGUGUGCCGCGACUGCCACGCAACGGUGACCCGACGGUUGUGCCCACUCGGUGGUGACCGUCUCCUCGGCGAUUCAAAGUUGAAGCAAUGGCAAUUCCUGCCCGAAACACUUCGUAAGCCCCGGCGAAGUGAAGCUAGGUGAACUGAAGUGGGAACUCGAGACUGAUCAAUCUGAUCUGGUAGCUGCAAAUUUUUCUUACUUCUGCCAACAUUCCCAGAUGAUCUUUCCAACCAAGGGAUCGACUUUCUUUGGGGAUCUUGAGGCGGCGAUUUUGAAAACCUGCGUCACCUUUAACUUGCAUCGGGUUCAUCCCAGUCCAAAGUACUCUCAAAGUGGCAAGCUCCCAGAGAAUGACUCCAAACUAAAAAUGUCACAUCUGCACAAUCCACGAAACAUCGAAUAAAGUUUUGUAGCUCCUACAGCUUAAGCUUAUCAAAAGGAAGUGCUGUGGUUAACCAUAUCAUCUCAAGCAACGCGUAUAUAGAGCUAAUAACAUCAGUUAUACAGCUCUUAUAAAGCUCUUUUUCCCUGACAGUCACAUCCAAGCAGAGUCUGAUCAAAUAAAGUUCCAUCUUCUCAAUUUUGUAUGUCCUAUUCUCCAGACAUCAAAAGAUACACAUUCAAUCGAAAAGAAACUUUGCUUAAGGUGCAACUUUUUUCUCUUUUCUAUAUAUAAUAUCGUGUAAGGUAUCAGUGAUAGGGUCAAUCAGAAGGACAUUAUCCAAGUCCAUCCAAAUCCCAAUAUCGACAAAAAAAGUAGGCCAGGAAGAAUGCUUUCCAGCUUCAGCAAUGAAAAACAGAAGGCCUAAUAGUAUAAUUACAACAUAUUAUCACAGCAACGCUCAUAAGUGAAAUCAUUUAGGCUUGACUAUCGCAAAAUCUAAGCAAGACAAGCUUAAGAAACUUAGUUUGGACAAAAUAAUUGAAGCUACCUCAGAUAUGCACAAUUCACUUCUCAUUCGACAGUUCAUUACGGAGAACUUCUGGUGCCAUCCACUCAGCCUUACACGACCAAAAACUUCACAUUAGGAACAGCAAAAUCUCAAGAAACAUCAAGAAUGGUUUCUUUCAAAUCCAAGUAUAAAAUAAAAAUGGAAAACGAGACUCUCUGACUCUUAAGGCAUUGUUUAUUAUUGCUAUGGCAAACUGUUUUCUAAUUUCACAAAUUGAAUCACUAUGUACAUGCUUGUCUGACUGUUUAAGAUUGCAUUAGAGAAGAAGUCUAAUUCUGAAAUGACCAAAAAUAAUGUUUCUAGUUGUUUUCUCUUUGUUUCCUCUUUUGUUGCUAAUUGUCCAUUUAACUCCACUGAAAGCUAUUAGUAGAAACCAUCCAAAUGUUUUUACCUAUUUCAAUAUAGUUGGAUAUCGUUCUCUCUCCAUCCUUGAAAACUCUUCAAGAACGAUUUCAAGAAAGCUUCCAAAUUUACUGUUCUUGCAGUUGACUUGGAUGACAAGAAAGUAUUAUGCUUCAAGCGUGACAACCCAAAGUCACAAACCUGCACAACGAUAAAUUUUAGUGAGGACGCAAACAACAUUUUACUGCAAACUUUGAUUGUCAUUCACAUCGAAAUCACAGAUCACAUUUCUGAUGGAAAUUGCAUCGCAUCAGCAAGUUUGGAUCAAGAAUCAUCCACAUCAAGGUUCUGUACAAAUGUAAGUUCAUCUAUGGCAGUGAAAAGAGAGAAUGAGAAGUCAGAGUCUACAAGAAAUAAAGUUAACAUGCUAUCCCAGAAUAAGCUAAUACCAGUCAAUAUCGAGCUUAUUUGAGGUGCUCACACUGUCAGGCAAAAAAGAGUAUCCAAGAAAAAGAGAAAAAGGCCAAGCAAGAUGUUAGUAGCACCUAGGAGAUGGAUAAAUGACAUGUACGCAAGAGAAUAGCUUGAUUUGCUAUUUAAAGAAGUGAAAGAAAGAAAACAAAAGUGUCAGGCAACAUCAAUAAGUUUUAUGCACUUUGACAAUCCAGUUUUUGUCAACAAGAGGAUUUGGUGAUUUCAAAUCUCGAUGAAAUAUUGUCGGGAGGCUUGUGUGCAAGCAAUUCAUUCCCCUUGCCUGUAAAAUUUCCAUAAGCACUUAAAUCGAUUUCAGAAAAGGAAAUCUCUAUAUCUCCAGCACCAAAGAGAAGGGAGACCGAUUAUUUCAUACCACAUCAAGGGCCAUUUUUAUCCUGCGUUUCUCAUCAAUAUGACAGGACGAUGUAUGAUACUAUACAAGCUUCCCCUGGAGAAGUAAACAAAAUUAAAAAUCAGACAGCAAAAUGAGAUUGUCGCACACCAUCAAAAUAUCAACACCUUUAACAGUAGAUAAAUGAGCUGCAUGCCCCUAACAAUUGAUGUCAUUCCCAUACUACCAAGGUUUUUUAAGGUACAGAAAAUUGUACCUUGGAAGAAACUCCAUAAUGAUAGACAGAUGUGGAGGAUGAGCCGCAUCACCCAUGAAAAGAACAAAUUUGGAUGACACAGUCUACGGAUCAUCUGCACCUUGGAACAGAAGAACAAGACAUAUGGUCAGUUAUCUUCCUAAAUAUAUUGGAAAGCAUUUGUUGACUCAUUGCUCUGAUUAGUCCUCAUAUCUUUCCUUGCUAAAUAAGCAAAUCAAGCAAACAUAUUAAUCGUUGAACACAAUUAUUUCCAUAGACGCGGACAGAUCAUGGAACCCGUGAAAAGUAUGACAUUCUGAUGACACUGUCUACGUAUCAUCAGUAACCUUGGCACAGAAGCAAAAAGCAUGGUGCAUAGUCAUUUAUCUUACAGUUGCUGGAUAAACGGGGAAAGCAUUUCUUUGUCCUCAGUUUUAUUCUUGCUCAAAAUGCAAAUCAAUUACUGAACACACUAAUUCAUCAGCUUCCAAAAUACAUAUAGAUACACAUAAACUAAACUGAACUUGUGAUCCGUAAAUAUUUCUCUUUUGUUUUCAACUAUCAGACUUUAUGUGUCAUUCGGAUCUUAUGUAAAGAACAUUAAUUUAAUGUGUCGGCGUUAUAUAAAUCACCAAAAAAAGCAGACUAAAUCAACAAUUCUAUGCCAACAUCAACAAAGCAACAGGAAAGCAUAUUGCCUCUUUCCUCCUGUAAUAUUUCUGUCAAUGCAGAAUGCAUGGCGUGGUAAGGUAGUCUUAUUGUGAAACUCAUCUCUAUUAAGCGCCCGUGCUAAUUCUUUCCUUUACAAUGUUCAUCCAAGUUUUAUUCUUUACAGGUUUUGAGUUCUCAAUAAAUCUGGAAGAUUUUGUUCCCCAAAAAAUAAAAAAUAAAAGAACUGGAAGAUAAAAAGCACAAAUGAAAGACCUAUGGAUAGCUUACUUCUCAUCUGAACUUAUCCAAAGCAGCACUUGAGAGAUCCUGAUCCAAAAAUUUCCUCAUAGCCACCUCCUGCUAAACAAGCAAGUCAAGCCAGAUGUUAGACUCAGACAUGCAUUGCAAUUUAUCUUAGGUCUUAUACAUCAUAGAUUUUUAAUAUUAAAACACAUCACCACCAAGUAUUUUGCAAAAGGUAAUGUCUAAAUUGCAAAGUACCGAUAAUAAGUGCAUAAAAUUCUUCGAAGAAUGUUAAAAACUGAAAAAAUCGUCUGCUGCUUCUCUUUCCAUUUCUUGAUAUUUAAGAGUAUAUAAAACCAUAAGAACGACAAACCUAAACAACCCAGUGUUUAAAGUGCUUUUACCAAAUGGAUGGGGUUUGAUUGAGUCGCAGACUAACAAUUUACAAAAAGACUUUGCAACAGCCUAUUCAUUGUGACUAUUUGUACAAAAAUCUUCAGUCUUCACAAUAAGGAUUCAAUUACAUCCAGAGAACUUGCAACUCUUCACCGAAGAGCCAAACAUAGAAGCAGAAUCUUGCCAGCACCUAAUAACAGAAUAGCAAGGGGGCCAAAAAUAAAACUUCCUUUUGCUUAUCCAAAGUAUAAAAGAGAGAGUAGCAAGACAAGGCCAUGAAUGAGCAACGAGGAUUUAGUUAUUAUGGUUGGCACCAGUCCAACAAGUCAUGUGCGUAUGUCAAGUUACCGAUUCUGGAGCUUUUUUUAACCAACCCAGGUUGAAAUAUUAGAUUUUGAUACUAUAUCUGAUGUCACUAUUACACACUAGCUGCUUAGUCCAAAAAUCUAAAACAUUAGCACAAAGCAGGACACCGAAUUAGUACUAACCGUCAUCUCUUUUGACUAAAAGACUACUUGUCAUUUUCAAGGAGGAUCUCUUGCUUAAAAGCAAUCAUAUAAAAGGAGUCAACGGAUAAAUCUCAUUCCAUACAUUCAAACAAAUGGAAGUCACAACCAAAAAUAAAGGAACUCUUCAAGUAACUAACGCAAUGCCAGUUCUUGAUUUGCAAGAAUUUAGAAAUAUUUGAAACUGACCUUGCCAUUCCAGUAAGCAUGAUAGACCUCUCCAUAAGAGCCUGUUUGGAAGACGAUGAAAUGGGGUAAAAUUUCUGACACAUUAAACAGUAAAUGCAAUUUAAUGAGGAAAUGUUGCAGUAGAUCCUAUAAUAACUACUGCAAUUAUGCUUACAUUCAGAUUGCCAUAGGAACUUUAUAUUAGAAGGCAUGCCCUUCUUGUUACAAGGCUAGCUAGCCAUGAGCAUAUUAGGCGGUAAAAUGGUGGUAAAGCAUAUCUCAUAGUACUAGACAAAUUUCACCAAAAAUGCAGCAACAGGAUCAACAUAUAUGAAUUCAUGAGUCUUGUUCUCUGAGCUAAUAUGUGGACCUGCAUAAGAACAUGAAUAGAAUCUAUCCAACCAGGGACUUAAUCAAAGCAAUACCAAGUUCAAUCCUUUCACCAAUGAUCAAAUGUUCCCAUUGAAUCUCAUCACCAACAUCACGUCAUCAACUUUAUUGGUAUUACUAUCAAUUGAUGCACUAGGCCCUUAUGAAUUCUUCAACAUGAAGUUUGUGUCCAUGAAUUUGUCAUUAGUGCACUUUUCCGGAUCAGGAAAAGAAAUUUCAUGACCAUCACACCUGCUCAGAAAGUCUGCUAUGCCAUGAGUCCUAAGAGGGUCUUCCCUGAAGUGGGCAUUCAAGCGCUCUUCACAAGGCAUCGUAUCAUAUUGGCCUGUGCUACAUCUCAACAUCGGACUAUUUCUAUUGAAAGGAUUCCAGUGACUACUCUCUUUGAUCAACUUAUUUGAUUUGUUUGACGACUUGACGCUACUGCUCUCUUGAGCUGAAUGAUUAAAAUAAUUACGUAACUUAAAGCUGUCCAGAGAGCUGCCAAUGGAUGAUGACACAUCAUAAGCAAUAGGUUCCCAAUUGCUUCUUGGAAAUAGACCUUCCUUAAAAACCAUGUUCUUUCUUUCUUGCUACUUCGUUGAGAGAAAGUCGAUUUGUCAGCAUCGAUGGGACAGGAGGCUGACCAGGAAUGGAGUUAUUUUUCUAUCCGGCAUCUCAUUGAUUUUGUUUUCUGGGCUGUUUCCUAGGGCUUUUGGAAAGCCUGCCACUAAGAAAGGAUAGGGAUUUACAAAAUGAUUUGUGGGGUGCUUUGAACACAGCAUAAUAACAGCAUUGAUCCUCCUCGAUGAUGAUGGUGGUGGUUGUCCCGGUCCUCGGCAUACCCUGCUUCGCACUUCCUUUUUAUUUAGCUUUCAGUGACAAACCGACAACCGAGUGAUCUAAUCAUUCUUCUGGGAGGCGGGGAUGGGGGACGGACGGUUCGAUCACUUCGAUGCGUCGAUCUCCUCGGACCACAGAACCGUCCACCGGCUCUUCCGGUACCCUCUCGGGGGCGUCUCUGUCCAAAAAAUCGCCGGUUCUCUCAAAACACCGUGGCCAAUCCAAACGCUGCCGCCGGCCGGUCGACAGUUACACCGCACAUUCUCUUUUUUUUUUUUUUUUUUCUCAUUUUCUCACGAAAGUAAACAACGAGAAACUCUCAUUUUCUCAUCUCUCUCUCUCUUUCGCCCCGUGCCUCUCUGCGCACAGACAGAAGUGAGAGAACAGAGGAGGAGAAGUCGGGACCUCAUCGGCGUCAAGCCGCGCGCCGGGCCCUUAGACUUUCGAAUUUGCUGUGUUCUGAAGCAAAUUUUAUAUAUUAUCAGACUACUUCUUAAUGAGAAUUUCAUCAAUUUCAUCUAGGAUUGCAUCUCCAUCGAAAAUUUCACUUAGGAUUGCAGUUAAGGGAAUUGAAGCAGAUUGCAUUACAUUUGAAUAGCAUCAAUUAGAUUCUUAUUUCCAUAUAUCAUAGUUCAUUUUACAGAAAUAAUUCAUUUAGUAUUCAUAUAGUACCUCACGUUUUUAUAUUUGUUCUUUUUUUUUUAAGCGGUGGUUAAUUUUGAAGAUUUUAUAUUGAGUUUCCAUUUAUAGCUCACAAGAGUCUUGUGAUGAGCAUUAUAACAAGGUUUCAUAAAAAUUUUCCCAUACGGCUUGGUUCUUUAUUUUUCCUGCACCUUUUAUUUAUUGUUAUGGUUAAUAUUUAUUAUUGAUUGCUUGUUUAUUUUUUACUGCUCGAGCACUAUGCAUUAUCAUCUUCCCAUAUUAGAGGAUUUGGGAAAACAAAAAAUGAAAAUACUACUUGCAAAUUUUUUUAUGGAAGGUAUCGAAAGGGUAUUAAAUCAAUGUAGCGUACUCAAGUCCCAAGACACAUGAAUCUUUGGUUCCUAGGCUCUCGCAUCUUACCCAAGUUUCUAACUAGCUCCCAAUAGGUUAGUAAUGAUUCUUCAGCAUGAUCUUGAAUGAAUGAUUAAUUAGAAAAAUUAAAGUUACGAUUAGUACAACUUGUAAGGGCACAUCCUAGGCAUAGGCCCCAUCUAUUAAGAGGAACCAAUCUUCGUUUAAUAAUCCAUCAAAUUUCCUCGGACAUAACUAAUAUCACUUUCGGGAAGGUCACAAUAAUUUGCACAUAAAGUACAACUUAAUUCUAUACUAGUCAAAUGUCCGCGUGUUAUGCGAGAAAGAACUCCAAAAUUCAAUACAAUCAAUGUAAAGCGAGAUGUGCAGUAUAAUGUUAUUAAUACAAAUUUCAUAAAUAAAUAAAAAAGUUGGAAGCAAAUGAACAGAAACGAUGAGAUGAUACAUAUCACCUGAGAACGUCGAGGAUUGCUGCCAAUUACUGCCAUUAAAUAGCGCCCCAUGGUCCUCUCUUGUUGCUACGACCGUGCAUUGGCUACAACAUUAAAAUUUAUUGAUGAGAUCUAUUCUGGCACGAAAAAGCUUCUGUCAACACUUCUUUGAAAAUGUGAGAUCAAAAUAUAAUACAAGAACCUUAAAUCCAUUUUGCAAAAUGAAGAUAAUCACCUGAGCUACAUGCCCUCGCGUCUCUAAAGCAACAAUUUAGGCAAAUUUUUAAGGUCCAUAACACUUAGGUCAUCAUCAUUAUUUAGGAUGGUCCCAAUGGUGUAGUAGAGAUACAAUUCAAAUGAAGGUGCGACAAGAAACAAACCUCAAAAGGAGAUGAGAGGAAGCGAGCAUGCUGUCGAUCAAACCGAUGCACUCUUCUACCACCUCUUGAGGAAUUGUGUAACCAUAUUUUUUAACAUUGAUAAAAUUUCAAGGAGGAGAUUUGCUAAUAGGCUCCUGAUAUAACAAAAAGAUUUUGUAGGAUUUUUUAUUGUGAUUUUCUUGUGCCUUUUUUUUACGAGUACAACCCACUAAAAAAGUUAUCUAGUACACACUACUGAUGUUUGAAGUCUAUUUUAAUCCACACUUUUUCCCCCUCUUGAUUUAGAUCUUGCCAAAAAUUAAUUAUCAUUCUAAUAGGGCUAUGGACUAUUCUAAAUAUGGACUUAUCGACUAUCCACGCCUUUUGCUUAUGCAUGGAUGGCCAUGGACUCAGAUUGGUUUGCACGCUUUUAGUUGUAUUCGAAUAGGUGACCUACAAUUCUAAUUUGGAAAUACCCUUAUAUCAUGACCAACGGCGCCAACUUUAAUGGUUCUAUUAAAAAUAGAAGAUGCAGAUAAGAGAGAAAAAGGUUAAUGAAUUGAGCAUUAACAUCUUUUUUUUUUUGUCAUUUUCAAGGAUCUAUUUCGCAAUAGACUAGGGUGAAAAUCAAUGCUAAAAUGAAUGAAUAUAAGUGACAACCGCAAGUAAUCCUCCUUUGUCCCUCAUCAAAUAUGAAGUUUAGAAUUUACAAGUUGUGACUAUCGGGCUCGGCCCAAAAGCUAAUAAGCCCAUGAGCUAUGUAAUUCUGAGCCCAAAUUAAGAUUUUUUUUUUUUUUUAUGGUUGGUCCUUGUUGACACUUAAUUUUGGAAAAAUAAAAUUGCAUUUUGAACAAAUAAAAAGAAAAAAAAUGAAAAUGGGGGAAAUUGAUUUGAUUGAAGUAUGCAAGGAAAUGUGGAAUUCUGAUGGAUGCCCGGAUUUUGUUAAAUGCAGCAACAAUUUUAAAAUCAGAUGUACAAAUGGCAAUGAUUUUGACAAAAUGGAAGGAAUCAAUGUAAAAUCGAGCUGAUUAUGAAAUCAUGCUCCGAUUUGCAUUCAUAAUUUAAUGCAACAGAAAAUGAAAAUUUAAAAUUUUCCACAGAAAGCGGCUGAUCAAAACCACUAUAAAAGGGGUUGACCUACACAGUAUUCGGGGGGGCGGAAAAAAAUUGAGAGAGAAUCCACUAAAAAAAUUUUCGUGAAAAAGCUGAGAGGAUUCGCGAAAGUAAAAAAAAGGGAGAGAGGAAAUCCCAUUUUCUCGUCCAAGGUCAUUUCCUUCUUUUUUUUCCUUCUGACAACUUGCAGAAGAAAAGAAAAGGAAAAGUCAGCAAAAGAAAGAAAAAAGGUGCAGAGAAGCGACGUGUGGCCAGAAAGAAAAAGAAAAAAAGAGUAGCAGGAGCUACUGUUCGUCUUCUUCGCGUGGAAGCCCCUGCUCACGCUCGCGUCGCACCUCCUCCGUCCGUGAAACACUGCACCAGCACCAUCCGCGACGCCACCGAAGCCCGCUCGCUGCCGCGCCACCGCAACACCCGCCGUCCCUGCCUCAACCCGACGCCCGAAGCUCGCGCCGCCUCGACGCCCGAAGCUCGCGUCGCCCCGUAGCCGCACCCCCCCCCCCCCCCCCGCUCCGCCCGCGACGCCACCCGUCGAUCUCCGAGCUCCGCCGCGCCUCCGCACCGCCACCUUGCUGGUUCGCUCGCCUCUGACGCCGCGACCCUCCGCUGCCCCGAGCUCGAGCCCGCCGCCGUCCACCGUCGGUUUACCUCCUCCUUUAGGUAGUUUUUGUUCUUUUAUUUUGUUUUACUUUUAUAGUUUAGUUUAGUUUAUUUUAUUUGUUAUGUUAUUUUUGCUCAUUUCAUUUGAUAGCAUCUUUAAGUUUAGUUAUCUAAAUUGCAAUAUUUGAUUUUAAUAUUUGUGAAUUUAGUAUGAAUUAUUCGCAGGGAUUUUGUCCGGAAUUAUUAUAAUUAUUAAUUUGAUCCGAGAGACAUGGGAUCAUUUUUUUAAUUAUUUUAAUUGCUGGGCUUUUUAGUGAGAUUUUAAUUGUUAAAUCACAAUAAUUAUUUAAUUUGGUCCGUAAGACUUCGGAUCAGAUUUGUAAUUAUUUUGAUAUAUUUGUUGUGAUAAUUAGGGUUAUGAUAAUCGUUAAUUUGACCUGUGAGACAACAGGUUAUUUUUCGAUUAUUUUAAUCCUUUAUUUUGUUGAUAGUUUAGAUUUAAUAUUUAUUAAAUAAUUACUUAUCUUUAAAAAAAACUAAAAAAAAUCAAAAAAUCAAAAUUAUGCAUGAGCAUAUAGGUUUAGUAAAUCAGACAUGUAGGUUUAGUAAAUUAGACUUUCUUAGGAUUACAUUUUUAGGGUUGCAUUUUUAGAAUAAGUUAGGAUUGGACCUAAGUUAAUUUUUAGAUAAUGCUCGCACAUUUUAAUUAUCUCAUUUUAAAAAAAAUAGUUUUCUAAGAUAAGAUAGGGUUUAAGUCAAAUUAAUCCCUAGAAUAAAUUAGAAAAUUAUCCCUUCUUAAAUAGAUUACUUAGGAUCUUUAUAAAUUCUGAAUUUCAAUAAAAAAAAAUACAAAAAUACUAGGUGCAUGUUAACUAGUUCGCAUAAUAGAGGCAUUUAAUUAGAAUUUGCUCAUUAGUAAAAUUAGGUCAUGAGGUGCAUGUUAAUUAAUUUGCAUAAUAGACCCAUUUAAUUAGAAUUUGCAUAUUAAUAGGAUUAAGUCAUUUAGUUUUAAAAUGCAUUUUUAUAAAAGAACUCCAAUUUAAAAAAAAUAAUAAAAAAAAUGAUUGCUUGCUUUGUGUGAUGCAAUUUAUUUAUUUGAAUGUUUUAAAUAAUGGAUGAGCACCCGUGUGGUCACCACAUUUGCAUGAUAGUAAUUUAGGUUAAAAUAAAUCAGCUGCUUGCAAAAACAUUUUAAAAAAAAAUUAAAAAGAAAUGGUACCGAAAGGGCAUUAGAAAAUUCUAAUGUAACCAAGUCCCCGUACCCUUAGUCUCUGGUUCGUAGGAGUAAAAUAAAUCUCCCUUUAUUUUACUUAGGUGUCUAAUCGACCUACCAUAAACCGAUUAGUGGCGACUCAUAGUUAAUAAUCUUGCAUAUUUAAAAAUUUGGACUUAAGUCGUGAAUUGAUAUGGGCUUGGAAGAGUCCGAGCUAAGUUUAAAACUUAGUAGUCCAUUAACCUAGUUUUAGGUGGUGCACCCGAAAAAUAGGUCGCGACAGCUUGGCGACUCCGCUGGGGACUUGAGUUAAAACACUGGCCAAUUUUUCUUUUUCUUUUAAAAUGUUUUUGUUUGGCAGCGAGGAUUACGUCCCUAACAUUUCUAAGGUGUUAAAUGUUUUUGUAGAUGGGAGGUAUAAGGGGAGUAGUCUAUGCUAACCUUUGUCUUGCAGGUUGAAGUAUGGGAUUAAUGAUUUAUUUUUCCAUAAUUAGAAGUGUUGUUUGCAUUUAAAUUGUUGUGCAUGUUUUACUGUUUUUUGCACUACACUAUUGCACACACAACCUGUGGCCGGACCUGGGCUGCGAUAGGAUUUCUAGGAUGGUGUUGAGAAGGAUAUUUCCUCCAAAGCGAGACUGCUAUGUAGAGGUUGACCUUCUCUUCCCCGAAAGUCUUUUCAUGGUGUCGAAUGUGUUUGUCCAUAUCCGCGAGACUGCGUGACUAUUGGAUAUUCCAUUCGAUUGAGCCGGAGUUAGGGGGACCUGACACAUUAAUGCGAGACUGCAACGGUCAGAUCAUCCUCUUAGCUUCACUUUGUUAAGCCGUUUAGAUAGAAAUCGAGCCUCACAUUUCAUGCGUGUGUCUAUGUGCUUGUCAUCCCUUUCGGUGAAAGUAAGUUAUCUAAAUUCUUACUUCGCAAUUUACUUAUUUUAUUGCAAUUUUGUUGGUCCAUGACAAUAGGUUUCGUCGCCGGUCUUGUUUUAUAUGCUAUGGGGAGGACCGACAUACAAUUCAUUUCCACUCCCAAAAAAGAGCUCAAGAUGUGGCUGGAUCAGUUAGAUCAAGAGGGCCAGAGGUAUGUGAAGACUAGGAUUGCCCGACUUCUUCCACUAUUGGAGAUCAACAUCCACUCUAGUGUGAUACAAGCACUCCCUCACUUCUGGUGUCCACAAACUUCCACAUUCAUAUUUGGUGAGUACGAAUUGACUCCAACUCUUGAAGAAUAUAGUGUUGCCUUUAGAAUGCCCCUGGAAAAGGAGCUUGUUAGACCGCCUAUUGGUAUAGAUUCAAUUUCUGAAUUAUCACAGUUUUUAGAAAUCGAAGCCGAAAGAGUAAGGAAAGUUGUCAAGGCCAAUUGUUUUGCAUGCCCCUUUUCAUUUUUGAAAGGCUGUUUUGAAAGUCAAUCAAUGGUGUCAAAAGCUAGGAUCUUCAUGUUAGCAUUUUUCGGGCUAAUUGUUUUUCCUUAUCGAAAAAAUGCCAUUAAUCCUUCAAUUUCAUGGGUGGUUAAUCGUGUUUGUGACGGGUUAAAUUAUGUCAAUAUGGUUUUAGCUGAAACAUUUUUGUCAUUAAACCGUUUCAAACAAAAUGAAGAAAAGACCAUGCGUGCCCUCCCUGAACUUUUGCAAAUAUGGUUUUUCUCCCACAUAAGAGGAUUUGGGCACCUCAUAAAACAAUUUAAAAUUGACGAUUUUAGGCACCCCAUACAAAAAUUUGCGGUCUUAGAGCGUUUUUCUCCAAAUAAACAGUACGCUCGUUGGAUUAAUCUUUUGAAAAAUCCUAAUCCUAAGGCAUUCCUAUGGCAUACUAAAUGGUUCCGAGUUGAGGAGGCUCGUUUCUCACACAAGCAUGAUGAGCCAAUCCUGUUGCUGGGUCUUUCUGGUGUGACUUCUUAUUACCCAUAUAGGGUGGCCCGUCAGUACCAAGCUCUUCAGGAAGUUCCUCCGCCACUCAAGACAGAGUUGUUCCAAGUUUGUUUUAUUCGAGCAAACUAUGACUACUUCAAGGAGAUCCAGAUGAUCAUUGCUGCAUGGAAUGAAUGCCACCCAGAGAAGAUUUUGGUGCCCAAGAGACUAAAAGGCGAAGAGGAAGUCCACCAUGCGUCGGCAUUCUACAUUCAACAACACCGGAUUCCUGCGGCCUUACGUCCAGUGGUCCCUGAUGUGACUAAGAAGCCAACCCAACGAGCACAAAUCGAGCAUCUUAAGCGGAAAGUGGAAAUGAUUGAAGCGGAAAAUAAGAAGCUUCGCAGGGCGUUGAAAUCCCGAAAGCAUAUAAAAUGAGACGUCUUGAAUUUUCAUUCUUAGUUUAGGGACUUUGAUUUCUAGCUCAAUGUUUUCAAUUUUUAGAUUCGAUGUUUAGGGAUUUUGGAUUUCAAUUCUUAGUUCGUUGUUAGGAAACUUGGUUAAAAUUUCAAAUAAAAUCAGGCGAUUAAACCAUUGUCAUGGGCCAUUUUCCCUAUCUUGUCAUUGGUUCUUACAUUAUCUUUUUAGGUGGCAACGAAUUCUCCACGCUCACCCAUUAUCACGCGUUUAAGAGCAAGAAUGGCCGACCAAAGCGAAAUGCGUGAUCGUAUGUCUGCUGUGGAGACUCAACUCCAACAAGUACUCGCCUCUAUACAGCUUGUAACGGAUCAACUCCAAUUCCUCCAAGCAAAUCCAGUAGCUGCACCCGCUCUUCCUGAGAUGGUCACCCCGAAGCCGGCAAACAAGGCCCAAACGAGUGAGGAUGACAUGCCCGGGCUGGAAGAUGAUCCAUUCCCGAUUAACGUGGAAAAGGCUACUCUUGUCAACAUCCCUAAGACAAGGCAGGAUGAACGCAUUGCAAAGCUGGAAGAGAAAGUGAGACAGUUGCAAGAGUCUCAAAGCUCACUCCCAUUUGACCUCUCGAUCUAUGAGAAAGUUAAAAUGCCGAGCAAGUUCAAAAUGCCGGAGUUUGAGAAGUAUGAUGGGACAUCUUGUCCAAAGUCUCAUUUGCAGAUGUACCACGUCCGCAUGGCCCAGCACGUCAAAAAUGAGCCCUUUAUGAUCCAAUCAUUUCAUGCGAGUUUGACUGGGCUCGCACUAAACUGGUAUGUGAUGAAGAAUGUGAACCUCCUCGACACUUGGAACGAAGUGGCUGACGCGUUCCUCAAACAGUACAAGUUCAACAUGGACAUCGCGCCUUCCCGAGAAGACCUGGAGCAGAUGGAAAAGAAAAGAAGUGAGUUAUUUAAAGAAUAUGCUGUAAGAUGGAGAAACUUGGCAGCUCAAAUUACUCCUGAGCCUACCAACAAGGAGUUGAUGAAGUUGUUCGUGAAGACCCUUCCAUCUGAGUUCUGUAAUCGAAUGGCCAGUACGUAUGUUGAGAGCUUCAAUCAGCUUAUUCCUAUAGGAGAACAGAUUGAGAUGGGGAUAAGGGAAGGAUGGUUUUCUGAGCCAUCUACUAAAAGAUUCUCUGCCAAGAAAGAUAAGGAAGUUGUUGAGGAUGUGAAUGUGACCUAUAGCCUAGAAGGUACUAAUCACACCCAGCUAUCCAAAUGAAUCAAAGACAACAACAAAUUGCUGGUCGUCAAUCAUUUGCCCAAGCAUAUAAUACAAGGCAGUUCUCUCCUCUCCCUGGAUCUCCAUCUCAGGUGUUAGCGAUUCUCUGAAAGAAAGGUUUGCUUUCUAGUGAACCGAAGCGUCCUAACCGCGAAAGCAAUCGAGGUUAUGACCCAAUGAAGAAGUGUGACUACCAUAGCGGUGAACUGGGGCAUUCAACUGAUGAAUGUUUCACCCUCAAGCACAAGAUCCAAAACCUCUUGGACAUGAAGGCUUUUUUGUUUCAAACUGCUCAGCCGAAUGUCCAAAAAAAUCUGUUACCGGAGCAUGAGGGUACGGUGAAUGCUAUCUUGGAACAUGACGCCGGUCGAAUCAAGAGCUUGAAGAUGCAUGUGAUGGACACCCUGGGGCAGCCGAAUGAUGGAUGGGGUCGCAUGGACGAGCCAGGAGAUGGAGAACCCAAAUGAUGUGCUGGAAGGGGUUACGAACUUGUUCGACGACCUCAUCAUAGGAGCUGUUGAUGAAGGACCCCCUGAAGAUAUGGGCCUUGGCCCACAAGAGUAACUUUUUUACUGCUUUUGCAUAUUCCCCUGCGUGGGAAUUUCUAUUAUUUUUUAAGAGAUGUUUUUAGUGAUUAAGUGUGGCAUUUUUCCAUUCAAUAAAUGUAAUUGAUUGAUGAAUUUCAAUGAAAUUACAAAUUUUAAUUUGAGGGCAUGAUGAGGUAUACCAAACCAGCUCGGUGAUGAUAUCCAACCGAUAAAAGAAAAGAAAAUCCAAGGAGAAUUCUGAGGCCUGGGCUUCGUCAUGCUUUCUCGUGUCAAAAUGUUUCAAAAAAUGCUUUUCCAAAUGCUUUUCAAAAAAAAAAUUAAAAAAAAAAUAAAACUUGAUUUACUCUGUUUGUCUUUUUGACCCAUCCACUUUUUGUUUCAGAGACAGUCUUGUAACAUGUGAAGGUGUGGAAAUGGUCCAAUCCAAUUCCGGAGCCUAGGGGCAAGUUCGCUCCAAAUUACAGUGGCCCGUAUGUGGUAAAGAAGAUGCUUCCUGAAUGUGCCUCGAUCUUGGCAAAAAUGCAUGGUCAUGAGUAUUACACUCCAGUUAAUUCUGAUGUUGUUAAGAAGUAUUAUCUGUGAUAGAAUUUGCCAUGUCAUGUUUUGAACUGCAAGCAUUUCUAUGAUGAGUAAAUUACUUCAAUGAGUUGAAUCGUUGCAAAUUUUGCAUAUUUUCCCUGAUGAAUUAUGUGAGAUGAAUUGAAUGUGUCAAAUGAGGUACUUUAGAAUGAUGAAAGGCAAAACCUUGUUCCAUACAGUGUUUCAUACACUAACCCUCAGUGAGUUGUGUGAAAAAUUCCAUGCCCGCAAGGAAGAGGGCUAUCUCGCAAAGGGUACGUCAACCAAGGUGAUGAGAGGCAUUCUUUUCUCUAUCCUAAACACUACAAGUGAUCAAUUGCUCAACCCCUUUGAGCCCCAUACACUUAUGGAGAUUUUUUAAAAUUAUCCCUGUCAAGAAUCAUCCACAUUGGGACAAAUUUGAAAUGAAUGGUGGGAAUCUUCUUGCUCCCACUUGCAUCAAUCUUCGAAUAUUGCUUUUGCAGUAUAACUCGUACGGUAAUUCAAAUGCCUUAGGAUGACGAAGAGCAGUUCUUUCUUUACCCUAUACACUUCUAUCCAUUGCAUAGCCCACUUGAGCCUAUGAAUUUAUUUCAUAUUAAACCCAGUUGGUGAUCAUCCUCCACACUGGGGCAAGGCAAAAAGAACCAUUCAAGUAACAUGGCUUAGAAUGCUGUAAAGGAUGGUUGUGCAAGUUCAAAAAAAUAAGUGCAAAAUAAUGGGACAUGAAAAAGCAGUGUGCCUGGUAAAAGCAAGGCCAAUGCCAAGAAAAGAAAAAAAAUGAAUCAAACUCUUGAUAUAGCAAGUUGUAUCCCCAAGAAGGUGGUACCAGAAACCUCUCAAAUGUUGUUGCAAUCAAUGGAGUUGUGAUAAAAAAUCUUCGACAGUGGAAAAAGAAAGUGAUGGAAAUGUCAAGAUGAUCACCAACUUUAACCACCCUAAACACUUUUUGAGCCUAAUGAUCCUUUCAUUUCUCAACCCAUGAACCAAGCCUAUGUUACGUCCCUUGCAAAGUCUCUUCUGAUUUUAGCACUUGAAUUAACCUAGGGGUUCACAUGUUUUAAGCAUUGCUCGAAGAAGUGCGAGCAAGAUUAUUCCUUUCUCAUUUUGCAGGGUUCUUGACUUGUAAACCCAAAGAUGAUUAUAGAAUAUCGCUCUUUCUUUCAAAAGCCUUGACUCAAAGAGUCCCUUUUGUUAAGCCAUUGACCAGGCCCACAUUACGGUUCCUGUUAAAGACCUCUCAGAUUGGUAAGGUCGUACCACUUGCGAGAUUGCACAAAACCUUGUUUGGCAUGAUGACAGUGAGAUAGAGUGAUUGUCAAAAUCCUGCAUCAAAGAUCAGGAUGAAAUGACCCUUUUAAUGAGGAUGAGCGCAAAGCCCUUUCAGACUGAAAGACCUUUCAUUUGACACAUCCAUAACACUCAUGUAUCUAGAUUGGAAUAUCCUCUUGAAAUUCUUCCCAAAGGAAAUCAAGUAAUGCAAAAAUGAUAGAAAUCAUCACGCAUGAACCUUACUUGAAUUAAUGCAUGUCUGUGAAUGCAUAUUGCCUCUCCUACAACUGUGUUUUGCAGGAGACAUAUCCCCAAGGAACAGAGAUGUCAUCAGGUAAGUCUAUCUCUAUCCAUACUUGAAAUACUUGUCAUUGUACAGGUAUUCCUUUUCAAGCACCGACACUCAAUGGAGUUGUCCCUCAAAGAUUUUUCCUCCAGAUUCAAUCUGAUUAAGGCGACCGAAGAAUGGUUCGGGUCCUGGUUGGAUGAUUUCUGUCGCAAGGCUGGGCGACCGAAGAAUGGUUCGGGUCCUAGCCAAGCAAAACCUCAGUCUAGGCGACCGUAGAAUGGUACGGGUCUUGGAAAAGCAAUUACCUCAGUUCAGGCGACCGUAGAAUGGUACAGGUCCUGAAAAAUCAUUUUUUCGUCAAGGCGACCGUAGAAUGGUACGGGUCCUAAAAAAUCAUUUUUUCGUCAAGGCGACCGUAAAAUUGUACGACUCCUAGACAACACUCAGGCGACCGUAGAAUGGUACGGGUCCUGGAAAAUCUUUUUCAUUCAGGCGACCGUAGAAUGGUACGGGUCCUGGAAAAUCUUUUUUUCAUUCAGGCAACCGUAGAAUGGUACGGGUCCUGAAAAAUCAUUUUUUUCGUUUAGGCGGCCGUAGAAUAGUACGGGUCCUAGACACAACCAAACAAUGCCAUACUGGGCGACCGUAGAAUGGUACAGGUCUUGGGAAAGCAGUCACUUUGCGAAGUCAUAUUACUAUUCUGGGCGACCGUAGAAUGGUACGGGUCCUGGACAUGUAAUACUAAUCUAUCUUGAGUUACUCUACCAUCCUCGAAGGUAAGUAAUUCCAGGUAAGUUCAUUUAUCAUUUGCAUUAGUAUUUCCAUGCAUCAUAUAAAUUUCAUUUCAAAAUGGGAUUCAUUUUCCAAAAAAAAAUAAAAACGAAACAAAACAAAACAAAACAAAAAAACAAAAAACAAAAAGUGAGUUAGUACAUGUGCAUAAUUAAAAUUAGGUCUCAAUUUGUCUUUGAAGGCGAUCUCUAUGAGCUCACUUUCAAAGAGGGGCAGUUGUUGACACCUAAUUUUGGAAAAAUAAAAUUGCAUUUUGAACAAAUAAAAAUAAAAAAAUGAAAAUGGGGGAAAUUGAUUUGAUUGAAGUAUGCAAGGAAAUAUGGAAUUCUGAUGGAUGCCCGGAUUUUGUUAAAUGCAGCAACAAUUUUAAAAUCAGGUGAACAAAUGGCAAUGAUUUUGACAAAAUGGAAGGAAUCGAUGCAAAAUCGAGCUGAUUAUGAAAUCAUGCUCCGAUUUGCAUCCAUAAUUUAAUACAACAGAAGAUGGAAGUUUAAAAUUUUCCACAGAAAGCGACUAAUCAAAACCACUAUAAAAGGGGUUGACCUGCACAGUAUUCGGGGGGCGGAAAAAAAUUGAGAGAGAAUCCACUAAAAAAAUUUUCGUGAAAAAGCUGAGAGGAUUCGCGAAAGUAAAAAAAAGGGAGAGAGGAAAUCCCAUUUUCUCGUCCAAGGUCAUUUCCUUCUUUUUUUUCCUUCUGACAACUUGCAGAAGAAAAGAAAAGGAAAAGUCAGCAAAAGAAAGAAAAAAUAUAGGAUCCCGACCACGUAGAACCAGCGGGUCAUNNNNNNNNNNNNNNNNNNNNNNNNNNNNNNNNNNNNNNNNNNNNNNNNNNNNNNNNNNNNNNNNNNNNNNNNNNNNNNNNNNNNNNNNNNNNNNNNNNNNGUUUAUUUGUUAUGUUAUUUUUGCUCAUUUCAUUGAUAGCAUCUUUAAGUUUAGUUAUCUAAAUUGCAAUAUUUGAUUUUAAUAUUUGUGAAUUUAGUAUGAAUUAUUCGCAGGGAUUUUGUCCGGAAUUAUUAUAAUUAUUAAUUUGAUCCGAGAGACAUGGGAUCAUUUUUUUAAUUAUUUUAAUUGCUGGGCUUUUUAGUGAGAUUUUAAUUGUUAAAUCACAAUAAUUAUUUAAUUUGGUCCGUAAGACUUCGGAUCAGAUUUGUAUUAUUUUGAUAUAUUUGUUGUGAUAAUUAGGGUUAUGAUAAUCGUUAAUUUGACCUGUGAGACAACAGGUUAUUUUUCGAUUAUUUUAAUCCUUUAUUUUGUUGAUAGUUUAGAUUUAAUAUUUAUUAAAUAAUUACUUAUCUUUAAAAAAAACUAAAAAAAAUCAAAAAAUCAAAAUUCUGCAUGAGCAUAUAGGUUUAGUAAAUCAGACAUGUAGGUUUAGUAAAUUAGACUUUCUUAGGAUUACAUUUUUAGGGUUGCAUUUUUAGAAUAAGUUAGGAUUGGACCUAAGUUAAUUUUUAGAUAAUGCUCGCACAUUUUAAUUAUCUCAUUUAAAAAAAAAAAUAGUUUUCUAAGAUAAGAUAGGGUUUAAGUCAAAUUGAUCCCUAGAAUAAAUUAGAAAAUUAUCCCUUCUUAGAUAGAUUACUUAGGAUCUUUAUAAAUUCUGAAUUUCAAUAAAAAAAAAUACAAAAAUACUAGGUGCAUGUUAACUAGUUCGCAUAAUAGAGGCAUUUAAUUAGAAUUUGCUCAUUAGGAAAAUUAGGUCAUGAGGUGCAUGUUAAUUAAUUUGCAUAAUAGACCCAUUUAAUUAGAAUUUGCAUAUUAAUAGGAUUAAGUCAUUUAGUUUAAAAAUGCAUUUUUAUAAAAGAACUCCAAUUUUAAAAAAUAAUAAUAAAAAAAAUGAUUGCUUGCUUUGUGUGAUGCAAUUUAUUUAUUUGAAUGUUUUAAAUAAUGGAUGAGCACCCGUGUGGUCACCACAUUUGCAUGAUAGUAAUUUAGGUUAAAAUAAAUAAGCUGCUUGCAAAAACAUUUUAAAAAAAAAUGAAAAAGAAAUGGUACCGAAAGGGCAUUAGAAAAUUCUAAUGUGACCAAGUCCCCGUACCCUUAGUCUCUGGUUCGUAGAAGUAAAAUAAAUCUCCAUUUAUUUUACUUAGGUGUCUAAUCGACCUACCAUAAACCGAUUAGUUGCGACUCAUAGUUAAUAAUCUUGCAUAUUUAAAAAUUUGGACUUAAGUCGUGAAUUGGUAUGGGCUUGGGAGAGUCCGAGCUAAGUUUAAAACUUAGUAGUCCAUUAACCUAGUUUUAGGUGGUGCACCCGAAAAAUAGGUAGCGACAGUCCUACUCUAUUUUUAUUGUAACACUCACUCUCAGACUUUUGCCAUGCAUUUUUGCAGGGCGUGGGAGUCGAAACCCACUUCUGAAACUUAACCGUCCCCACCCCAACUCUUCUAAAAAGGUGGGGCCUUUCAUGUUGGAAGGGUGGUCACUGAGGCAAACCCCAGCGGUUGCCCAAAUUAAGAUUUAAGUACAGAUAAGAUAACUCAUAGAAACAAAAAGUCCUAAAAUAGAAUUGGAUGUACAUUAGUUCCAUGUCUUGCUAUGUUUCACGCGUUCUCUUUUUCUCAGCAUAUUUAUGAAGUUUUCUAACAUUUUCCACCCAAACUUUCUUUUUCUCCAUUUCCUUCUUUUCCCAAAUAUUGAAGAAGUAACAAUACCGUUACAAAUAAACCCAUGCCAACAUUUGCCAAUCAAUACAUGACCUCCUCUUUUGAAAAUCGUUAAAUCUUCUUUUUAUCAAAAAUUUUGUCACUUCAUAUGCGCACUCAACAAAGAAAUGGGGAGAAAGAAAUAAUAUAUCACAAUCGUACGAAAAAGAACACGUAUGAUGACAUCCAAAUAUCGAAUAUUAACAUCAUGAACUAAUCGCCUCACCCUUUUAGUAUGUACAUCAUUCCUCAGGUUAAUAUCCUCAAACCGUCCUGAGGAUUAUCAGAGAAAAUAUCAUCCAAGACCAAUUCUUGAAGGAUAAUGAGAGUCCGAUCCAUAUAACACUUGACAGCAUUCGAAUAAACCUCCUCAAGUUUUAGAAAAUAGAAACUCAAUCCACCGCAACCGUUUAAACCAUCGUAGAACUGUAACUCUAGCUUUCGGCCUUUUAACACGCUUCUAGUGUCAAAUUGCAAAUAUCUAUCGAAAGAAGCCCGGUUUGGGAAGUCUAGUUCAUUGAGCCCAAUUCUUGCAGGACCCGACUCAACCUCUUCUUUUCUUUGUGUCGUUGACCCGGUUUGAUGGAUUCCCUUCUUCCUAGCUCUGUAUUCGAUCCGAAUACUCCGAGGAAAGAGAGGAUUCUGGGGAAAAGAGGGUUAGGCUUUGAGUGUUAAGGAUGGAAUUGAAUGGAUUUAGGAGAAGGGUUGGAUUUUGAGGAAGAUCGAAGUGAAAAGGGCGUCAAUCUUGCCGUCAAUUUGAAGAAAUUCGAAGUAAAAUGGAGUUGGGUGAUGAAGAUUUGAGUGAACGAAGGUUGGAGGUAAGUGAGAUUCGUGGAUUUAGAGAGACAAACCGUGGUUUUACAAAUAACUAAUAAAGAAUAUGCAGCAAACAAAAGUUAACCUAAAAUCAUUCAAUAUUCACCAUUUUUAUUUUAUCCAGGGGCUUAAUAAAACUAUCCACUAUUUAAUUAUUGGUGUCCGCAGACUCAACCACGAGAAUGUUGAAUUAGAUUUUUGCGCAAGCUAGCAGCGAGGCUAUAGUCAAACCUAGUGGGAACAUUUUUUAUUUUUUUAACAUUUAUUCCAUAACCACACAAUUGAUGUUUCGCCCACAAAAUUUGAGCACAAUAACUAUCCGCGACACCAAAUUUGACUUAUGUCGUUUAAAUAGCAACUGAAAUUCUUUGAGAUCCGUGUGCUAGAAAUCCUAAAAUUUGUCGUGAAAGCUCAAUUGAGUUUUGAAAAUUUCAAAAAACACAAUCAUUUUUUUUAAUUUAUUAAAUCGGUACAAUAAAAUGUGAAAACAUUAUUUUUUACUGUCAAAUUGUUUUUUCUGUAAAAAAGAAGGAGGAGGAGGGGAUAUAAAAAUCAAAUGAAUAAAAUAACAAGUGAAAAAUAAAAAGAAAAGGUGCUUAAAUUGCUCUAAUCCAUCGCUAUGCCUCAGCCCACCAGACCAAGAUCAUUCAAGUUCGAAUGUCUAUUCAAUUUCACGAGGAAUUCGUCCGGCGAGCUUCUGAAAAAAUCUGCUGCGGUUCAGAUCAUCUUUCUUGGCUCUUCUAUUCCAGCGACCGAUCGCUCCCGAAAUCCAGUCGAAGCUAGACACCAUCACUACCAGUCUACCAGUCCUUUUCGCUGGAGAGGAAGUCGAGCGAAAAAGAGAUUUCUGCUCCCUCUCGGACCUUUCUUCACUGAAGCAUCGAGACUCCAAGAACGAGAAUACUCUUCUUGAUACUCUCGAUUGAACCUACGACGUUGACUCCAGUCCAAUCUUCGGCCGCCGCCAACAUUCGAAUCUCCAUCGACCGAGGCGCUUCCACCUCUGUUUGCUUCGAGCUCAGCCAGGUCGGAGAGAUGAAACGGAGUAUUGACAGAAAGAUGCCGAAGUCGCAGCCGAUCGAAGCUGCUUCCGAGCUUCACUGAUCGCAUCUCCCUGUUCUGCUCUGUUUGUUGUUCGGAGAUCUCGAAGUGCCUUGCACUCACAUAGCCCUCCUUUGUCAGGUCCGAUCAUCUCCGACGACACACCCAGGACUCCUUGUAAGUUGAGCAGCUGAUCGCGACUGCAAUCGCACAUCAUCGAGGCAAAACUGUUACUGUUUGUGUGAAAAUCGGCCACGAUUGAGGUUCUAUUAAGGAUUUAAGCUCGCUCCGAUGUUGUUGUAAUGAUCUAAAAGUGAGUCGUCGAUUCAUAUUCGUGUACAAUCUCCUUGAUCGAAAUGCGUAUCACCUGUUUGAUGAAAUACUCGAACCAGAUUUCUUUCUAUUAAAUCAUUGAGCCGAAAGUCGUAACGCAUCAACUCAACCCACUCUUGACUUAUUGAAACCUCACUGCAACUGAUUUAGUUGGACUCCGAUGCUCACUUGCCGUUGAAUUGGUGUUAUGAUUCUCAUGUUGGAAAUUGCAUCUUGAUUUCUCUGGUUCUAGUCGAGUCUUCUGUACGAACGGAGUUCAGUGUUGGAGUCGUUGCUUAUAUGCUCAGAUUUUUCUAUUAAAUCUUUGUAUAAUCCAUUUUCGGCAUUACUCUGACGUGAAAUCGCUUAUGUAUGGGUGUGGCUGGCGAACGAUGGCAACCUCUAAUCUUUGGACCAGUGAUCGAGGGAGAGCUUGUCUCUCAAAAUAGAAGCUCGGAGAAGCUUGGUGACUGUUCUUGACAAGGCCACAAUCAUAACUAUGGACUCUUCAUCCUUCUCUCUGCAUUUCGUUGUCUUCAUUGCAUGUGCUUCCUCUUUGCUGUCCGUCAUUCACAUCUUUGGUUUGGUUAUUGCUCUGUUUUGGGGCCCUACGAGAACGGAGUAAAGGGGGUACGGCAGCAACUGGUGAAACUCCUGCUCUUUUCGCAUCCACAUUGCUCUCAGCUUGAAAGGUUCGAGUACGGGUAUAUUCAUGUAAAUUUGAUAAGGAAAGAUCAAUUCAGUACAAGUGAAUCCUCGCUUGCCUAUAAUCUCUGUUUUUCGUUUUCCCCUGCUAUCCUGAUUAUGGUGCGAUCGUAUUUGGAAAGCUUGAGGUCUUGAAUAUUUUAAUUACACCCCCAAAAAAAAAAAAAAUUUGUAGUAGCUGGAGUUCUUUGGGGAAUUAUUGAUUGCUUUAGGGGAAUUGGGCAAGCAAAAUUAUAAUUUAUAUUGCAGAGCUGCGUAUUAAGCCAAUCUUAACCUAUUAUCUUGCAAUUACUUGGCCAAGGUUUCAAAUAGGAUCCGGUCCUUUAUAAUCCUUUCUAACCUGCACAAACUUACACAUCCAAAUAAUUUGUGAGGAUUUAGAAUCAGGGUGCUAACAAUCUCCCUUUUUUAUGAUAAGAAAAUCACUUUUAAAGCCUCAAAUUAACACUACCCUCAUCAUACUACAGGGAAAAUAAAUCAAGUGAAUACAUCGCAUAUAAUAUGAAGAUUUUACCAUUUUCCCCUUUUGUCAUAACAUCAAAAAGGGCUUAAGGUGGAAUGUAUCACCAAACACUUAGUAACCAUUUGUAUAUCAAAGACAUUCAUAAAACGUCAAUUCAACACAAGGUCUACAACCAUUAAGUGCAACAAAAACAUAGAGGAAGUUCAACAUAAACUUAAAGCACGUUCAACAUAAAACCACUUCAACAUAAAUUACAAAUCAAUCUAAAUACAAGUUUAAAACAAGGAGGAAAUAGAGAAUUUUGGGGAAAUUGUGAGGAUUCUAAAGAAAGUAUUGGACGAAUUGAGGGAUUGAUGUCUUGUCAAAGUUGGUGAAAAACUUUUAGCAUUUCAUUUCUAACCAUAUAAAUUUCUUCCCCAAAGUGAACUUAGCUCAGUUAGAAAGUGCCUCAACUGACGACUAAUCCCGUCCUCAUCCUCAUGUUUGUCGACUUCGACGGCUCUUAGAACACGUCAAUGGUGUCAGUAUCCUUUGAAUUAGGGUUGGCCAUCCCAUACAUUUUCUCUCAUCAAACUCCUUGUCACCUCUAGAUGUCUAGACUCUCCAAUGUAUUGACCAUCAAGUAAAGCCUUAGGAAACUCCCAUCGAGAUCGCCAUCAAAAGACCUGAAGGUAUGAGUAAGAGCCAUCCCAUCCAGUAAGUCCUUUCCUUUCAAAACACUGCAUUUAACCAUAGUAUCAAGUAUUAAGUCACUCAAAGAUACCUCAAACCCAUUCUUAAUCUUGAACAUUAACAUGAGUUGGUCCUCACAUGUUAAAUCAAAGAAAUAGGAGCAAACUAUAUAUCACAUCAUAUGAUGAUAAGAUUAAUGUAGUGUAACAAAUUCUAGACUAGUGAAGUUUUGGUUGGUAGGCUCUCGAGUCUUUCCCGGGUUUCUAACUAGCCCAUAAAAUGUUAGUGGCAACUCAUUAGUCUAAAUUUAAAUGACUAACUAAUUCGAAAACUAAGUUGUAGUUGGUAACACUUGGGAGGAUCCAUGUUAGCCAUGGGCCCACCUAAUAAGAGGAACCGCCCUAGGAAAGGUUGCGAUAAUUUGCACUUAAAAUACUAUAUGUUUUCGUGCUAGUUUAAACGUCUACACGUUACGAGAGAAAGAACUCCAUUUAACACAAUCAAUGUAUGACAAGAUUUGCAAUAAGAUGUUAUUAAUAAAUAUUGCAAAAAUAAAAAAUAAAAAAUGGGAGCAAAUGAACACAAAAGGAUGAGAUGAUGUAUCACCAGAGAAUGCCGAGGAUUUCUACCACAUAUUGCCAUAAUAUAACUUCUAAUGGUCCUUCUCUUGAUGCUACGACCGUGCAUUGGCUAUAACACUAAAAUAUAUUGAUGAAAUUUAUUCUGGCAAUAAACAUAGUUAAUGAAGAGAUAGUGAUUGUGGAGCGUACAUCAUCUUCCUUGUUGGCUUAAAAAUACGAGAACAAAAUUCAACACAAAUAUCUUAAUCCGUUCCGCAAAAUGAAGAUAAUCACCUGACCUGCAUGUCCUCACGUCUCUAAAGCAAUGAUUUAAGCAAUUUUUUUUUAAUCCACAAUACUUAUGUCAUCAUUAUUAUUUAGGAUAGUCCAAAUAGUGUAGUAGAAAUACAAUUCAAAUGAAGGUGCGACUAGAGACAAACCUCAAAAGGAGAUGAGAGGAAGUGAGCCUAGUGCCGAUCAAACCGUUGCACUCUUCUGCCACCUCUUGAGGAAUUGUAUAAUCGAAUUUCUGGACACUGCUAAAAUUUCAAAGAGGAGAUUUGCUAAUAGGAUUAUAUUUUGUGGGUUUUCGAUUGUGAUUUUCUUGUGCCUUACGUUGAUUUGUACAGCUGACUUUCAAAUAUUUCUUCUUUUAUUUUGGAUUUAAGGGGAGGGAUCAAACCAGGCAUCUAAUGAUUUAGUGAAUUCAUUUGUCGUGGAACCAAAAUAGCUAACAGGCUUCGUAUGAGUCUAUAUGGUCAAGUAGAAUAGGCAUGCUACUGAUUACAACAAUUCCUAGCCACGAACCAUCCAUGAACUAUAUAUAUAUAUAUAUACAGACAUAGUGUAAUUAAUUAAUAAACUUAUUCUCUUGUGCAGGCUAGUGUGAGCAAAUGUAAAUGGUGAUGAAGAAACUAUUUCUUAGGCCCUUACAAUUAUGUUUUGUCUUGCACGAGUCGAAGCUUACGAAAGGAAAAUGUAAGUGUCUUUCCACACAUUUGUAAGCGAGAAGAGGGAAAUCUUAUGGUGCGCUCACGUAAAUAUUGCUUACUAAUCAAAACCAUUCCUUAUUAGACGGGAAACGGAGAUCGCGUCCACCCGGCUCACGCGAGCUCCGGCCACUGGCCGUCCCUCUUUAGGCCAUCAUGCGUAUUCUGGUUCGUCGACGAGAACGCCGUCGUAGGUUCCGACCCCGUUAGGGCUAGGGAUCUCUCGCUUCGGUAGCGCACUUAAGCCGUUCGACAAAAUGCCACAAUGAGAUGUGGAUUUUAUUUCCCUGUUUUGGGCGGAGCUGAGUCGUCCUUGCUUGUCAUGCUCCCCGGUGGCCUUCCUGCGAUGCCGG